GCAAAAGCGGAGAUUUAUCGCACCAAACCUCAUCAAUAUACUGAACUAUUAUCAGAGACUCACAAAUGGGCUUUCCAUUGUGGAUCAGAACUGGGAUUUUCUUAUGAACUGGGUUCAUCUCAAGAAGCAAAGGGCUCUUGUUCCACAGGUCCUCCUCUCUAUAUUCAUACUUGAGACCCUUCUCUGCCAGGGCAACUCUGACCCUCAUACCAAACAUGCUAGGCCAGAAAUCCAACAAGAUAAUCUCGUCUGCCAUUGCUACUAAUGUGAUUGAUAAGAUUCAAUCUCUUUAGUAUUGAUGAACAACACAGGGCAAAUUGCUGAGUAUUUAUAGCAAAUUUCAGAGAGUGGGUUAAACCCUUGGAUACUUCUAGGAGGUGGUGAUGCUCAUUCCUUAUCUCAGCUUUCAUUUUCAUUUUCCAUUCUAUCUGGGUUUCGUAUCUCCAGAAUUUGUGAAUUAUGCAAACUUUUGUUAUGGCAUGGUAAAAUAUAGAAGCGUCACGAUAGUUGGUUGCUUCCACGACAUCUCAUUGCUUUGAUCAUUCCACGUCAUCGCUUUCGCCAGCCCUGUCAAUUAAGUACACUGGUCCUCCGCAUAAUUUCCACCACAAAAAUGAUGUUGCAAGGAAAAAAAAUGAUAUUGUAGGGAAAAGAAAAUAGAACUUGUAUACUUUUAGAUCGACAAGUCACUAUUGGUCCCUUCCUUAGUUCUUAGAUUCCUGAAAUUAAAUAAAUAUUUAAACUUUAUGUGUAUUAUAAAUAUUUAAAAUUUCAGUGGUGAUUGUAUUUUUAUCUAAGAUCUAAUUUUUUUUUUAAUUUGAAUAAAUUAAGUAUUGUUAAAUAUUUAAAUUUUUUAUAUUUUAAUUAUUAGUAAAUGUUAAUAAAUAUUAAAUUACUGAUCUUUUACAUUACAAAAAUAUUUAUAAAAUAUAAUAUUUUAUUUCUUGUUAAAUUAGUUUGCAAUCCAGCAUAUUUUUUAAUAUUUAAAUAUCAUAAUUCAUUAACAUAUUAAAAUUUUAUAAUAAAUAAUUAUGUAAUUGAUAAGAAAUUGGUAGUAUGAUAAUAAGUAUAAUUAUGGGGUAUUUGGUAAACUCAAUAAUUAUUAUUUAAUGACUUAAGUUGAUUUUAAGUAAAAUUAUAUUUAAGUUAUUGACUUAAAACUUAUCACUUAAUUUUUACUUUAAAUAUUAAGGUUGUUUAAUAAAAUUAAUUUAAAAUUUAUUCUAAAUCAUCAAAUUGAUAUACUUAACCCCAUAAUUAUAAUGAGGGUAAAUGAGAUCGAGUAACGAUGGAAGUUGUAUAAUAGCAAAAGAAAUCGUGGAACUAAGAUAAAUGAGGGUAAAAAGAUAAAAUGAAAACAUGGAUUUAAGAAUAAAUUAAUUAUUUUUACUUAUUACUUAAAGUUGUUUUUUACUUUUAAGUUAUACCAUUAAAUUAUUUUACCAGCUGUAUUUAAUUUGUUUAAUAACUUGAAUUAAGUUAUUAAGUUGAUUUACCAAAUUCCCACUUAGACUUGUUAGAAACUAUUAGAACUUUUUCUAAGUUAGUAUAUGUUUAGAUUUGAAGAUUUGUGAUUGAAAUAUAUAUUCUUUUUUAAAUUAAUCAUUGAUUUUUGGAAUUUUAUCGGAGUAUCAACUUUUAAUUUAUAUUUUUUAAAAUUAUUAAUUCUAAUAAAUAUUUAGAUGAAUGUGAAUUAUGCUUUAGAAUUUUGAUUAAAAAAAUCUUAUUAGAAUUGAUAACUAUUUUUAUUUUUUAUAAAGCUGAAUUUUAAAAAUUUAUAUUAAAUAUUUUUCUAAUUUAAAUUUUAUGAUUUUUAGUGUAAUUUACUUUUUAAUUUUGAAUGAGUAAUCAAUAAUAAUUUGCGGAAUUCAAUUUUAUUAAGAAUGGGAUAAAUUAUGGGGUAAAAAUAAUGGAAACAUGUGGGGAUUUGAAAUUUUGUAAAUUUAUCUUUUAGCUAUCAAUUUAUGAGAAAAUUUUAAAUCUGAUUUUUCUUUAAAAAAAAUGAAAAAUGAAAAUGAAAAAAAAAAAACAAAAAAAAAAAUCAAAUAUAUUUGAUGCUUUUUGUGAAUGACAACUUUGUUAAUUUCUAAUAAAUUUAUUUCUCACUCAAAUUAUAUAAAAUUAACAUAGUUUAACUAUUUUUUAAAACAAGUUAUCUAUUCUUUUUUAAAGGAAUUUAGUUUAAAUUUUUGUGAAAAUUUGUAUUUAAGCAAGUACUCUUAAUUAAUGAUUAAAAGCUUUUUUAUUUUUUAGUUUUUCCCCAUAAAGAAUUAAAUAUUAUAAUUAAUCCUAGUUUUUUCAAACUCUUAUAAAUAGGAGACUUGGGUCAAUGAAAUGGAUACCUCAAAGUUAUUUUAGAAAUCUGUCUUUUCUCUAAUUCUAGUCUCUCCAAAAGAAAACUUUUUUUUAUCAUCUAAAAGGUAUGUGAUAAACUUCUACUUUUAUAUUAUUUUCUAUUUAAUUUAUCCUUUUUUCGAUGAAGAAACUAGAAAAUAUUUUUUUAUAGACAAAAAUUAUGAAAAAAAAAAAUCGCAACUAGAAGUUAUAAAAAAAAAUGUAAAAUAUGUACAAUUGUAUAGCUAGAGGUUAUAUGAGAAAUUAUAAAGUUAUAAAAAUAUAAAGAACGACUUACAUGUAAUUUCUAAUUUCUUUUAAUCAUAAUGAUAUAACCAAAUGUUACACAAAACAAAAUUGUAUAGUCAAAAGUUAAAUAAUGAAUAUUUCAUAGCCUAAAGAUGUAUACAAAUUUACACAUUUUUGUUAUGAUAAAAAUAAUCCAUAGCCAAAAACUAUGUAAGGUAUCAAUUUGUAAUUUUUAUUUUGUUAAUUCUACAUGAUGUUCAUGCAUUUCUUUUUUACCAUAUUUAUAAUAAUCCUUUAGCGAUAAAAUAUAACAAAAUCUUAAAUCAUUAUGCUUUUAUUAAUGAAUAUAAACCUGAUAAAAUAUUGUUAGAUAAUUUUAUUCAUUUAUUUAUAAUUUAUUUUGGUAAAUUGAAAUAUUAUUCUAAUUAAAUUAUUUCAAAUAUAGUUUUCAAAUAAUGUCAAAUCUUACCAAGUUUGAGUUUGUUACACUCCCUAUUUCAGGCAAAACUAUUUAUAUGGAUUUUAGAUGCUAAAAUUCACCUAAACGAUAUGAAUCUUGAAAAGACCAUUAAAGAAUAAAAUGAGGCAUCCUCACAAGAUCGCACUGGAGCAUUAAUAUUCCUUCAUUAUCACAUUGAUGAAGGAAUAAAAGGUGAAUUCCUUACAAUCAAAGAAUUUUCAUCCUUUGAAAUAAUCUAAUGGAAUGAUACUUUGAUCCUUUGGAAUAAUAUAACAUAAUGAUAUGGCCACCACGAGAUUAUAAUCCUUCCAAAAGCACAUCAUGAUUGGAUGCACUUGAGAUUACAAAAUUUCAAGUCUGUCAAUGACCACAACUCGACUUUAUUCAAAAGUUGUUCACAAUUUAUAUGGAGAAAAAAUCAUUAAAGAAUAUAUCCUUGAAAAGACAUUUACUAUUUUCCAUGCCUCGAAUGUACUCCUAUGGCAACAAUAUCAAGAGCAUAAUUUCACUAAAUAUUUUGAAUUAGUUUAAUGUCUUCUUAUGGCUAAACAAAAUAAUGAACUUCUACUUAAGAAUCAUCAAUCUCAUACUAUUAGGUCUGUGUCAUUACUUGAAGCAAAUGUCACAUCCGUCCAAGCUCCUAGACAUUGAGUUGGACUUGGACAUGAACAAGGCUAAGGACACAGUCAUGGUCAUGGUAAACAUAAUUCUUGGUACCAUGGUAAUUAUAGUCAUUAGAAUAGACAAAACAAUUCAAACCAUUAGAAGUGGAAUAAUUCAAAGGUGCAACCUAAAAAGGAUAUAUAUAUAUAUAUAAUCACAAAACAAACAUGAUAAUAAGAAUGAAUGCUAUAGAUAUGGUAUGAAAAGGAUGUAUGUAGGAUUUAGAAAUGACCUACGAGGAACAGGAAGACCUCAAAUUCAUUAUGAGGCUUCUAUAAUUUAAUAUUUAGACCCAAAUAAGAAUGGAUAGAACCAUGGUCCACCUUAAAAGAAAAGUUUUUUUUUUUUUUUGAAGAAUUUACAUACUUUUCUUAAGAAUGUACGUAUUUUUCUUAAGGAUGUACGUAGACUUUGAAAAUGACAAACGAGGAAUGGGCAGCCUCAAAAUUAUUACAAGGCUUCCAUAAAUUAAUAUUAAAAACCUAAAUAAGGCGAAAUAAGGUCACAAUCUGCUUUUAAAAAAACGCACAUAUUUUGUUUUUUUAAGAAUGUACAUGUUUUCCAUAAAAAUAUAUGUAUCUUUUCUUAAGAAUGUUCUUAAGGUUUAGAAAAGCCUAACAAGGAAAAGAAAGACCUCUAAUUCAUUCUCAGGCUUCCAUAAGUGAAUACCUAGACCUAAAUAAGGUCAAAUAGGAUUAUAGUCUUAAGAUAGAGCUCUUAAGAGCAUAACAUGGUGUAUUAAGUUUGAAAUUCAUUAUUUAUUUAAUGAUGUUCCCAUUUCACUUUUAUCUAUCUUUAUUCCAUGUAUUAUAUUUUAUGAGAAGUCUUGUCAGCAUCUUUUGCAUUGUACAUGACUUAGGUGCAUUAGGAGUUGCACAGAAGAUCUUUAAGCCAUGGGUUCCUUGCAAAUAAUUGACUUGUUCACAACCGGUUUAUGGGUCUAGGCAACCCUUUAGAAGUUGUAGUGCACCACCUCCUAAUUAGAGGGAUGGUUGGUCUUCGUUAUCGGGAUGGGUUUCCCAUGGUGAGUACACUACUAUGUAUGAUUACAUGUUGGACAAGACCUACGAUGAGCCAUGACUUAAGACUAUCAAGUAGUCAUGACCUCACCAAGCUACUUCAUUGUGUUAUCUCUCAACCUUGAGAGAAUAUCGAGAUUGUGUUAAAAUUAGCAAUGACUUUUACCUAUGAGUGAGAUCGUAAGUUGGAUCAUAUAUUCCCUAUGGAUUGGGUCACUGUUGAUGGAAGUCGGUAACAAUAGGUAUUCUCAAUAGACACCAUGAUAUCUCAUGGGAUUGAGACAACGUGUCCCCUUGGGUGAUCCUAAGGGGAUGUGUUCAUGGAAACUAUGGCCAUAAUAGUUCCUUAAGUAGAACUUGACACAGGCUCUUUGAGAGCUAAGACAUGUCAAUUGAAUAUACAAUAGGAGGAUUUGUAACUCAAGGAUAGUAGAGGUAGUCUUGAAAGGUUGAUAGCUUUCACCUUGUUAGGCUAGAACACCAGUUCAUGGGGAGAGUGAACACAAUGGAUACUAGGUCACAGACCCGAGUACAUAGUGUCUCGUUGUUAUUUACAUAGGAUAUUGGAGUUCAAUUGAUUCUUUGUAAUAAGAUGUUGAAUCAACUUCAUAAUUGGAUCCUGAGGGAGUUAGUACUCUUAUGGAUCCUAAUGGUCCCCGCUCUAAGCUUAUAUAUCUUUUUGGCAUAGUUAUGAGUGUCGAAUUGACUCUAGGUUCACUUUUGUGCAUAAGGGCAUUUCGAUAAUUAUGCAAGAUUGCAUAAGGGUAAGUGAACAAAGUCUAUAGAUUGAGCUAAUUAAUUAAUUAGUAGGCCCUAUUAGGUUAAUUAAUCCAUUAGGAUCCAUUUUGGGAUAAAUUAAGUUAUCCAAAUCCAUGUGGGCUCAAGUCACUUAAGCCUAGUUAGGAACCCUAUAAAUACCCCCUAGGGGUUAGAGUCUUCAUCACUUUUGUCUUCCACCAUUUAGACAGAAAGAGAGCAAUAGCCUCUACCUUUCGUUCUUCCCUAUUGAAAGUGUGCCAAGAAUAAAUUUGAGUCAUCAGGCAAAAGACCAUGGGUUUACGAGACUUCCAACAACUUCAAUGUCAUCUUCAACACUUGCAAUUUAAGGUUUGAAACAUCCAAACCUAAAGGUUAGCACUUUAACCAUAAAGAUCAAUUUAAAAAAAUAAAUAAAUAAAUUGGUAUUGUUUCCGUUCCUUAGAUCUACGAUGCCAACACACAGUUCGCUUGAAAAAAAUGCAAGUAUUUUCUUCAAAAUAUAUAUAUUUGUUCAGAAUGUAUGUAUUUUUGUAAAAGAUGUACCUUAGGUAGGGUUCCACCAUGCCAAAUGAGGUUUGGGAAGCUUUCAAAUACAUUUCGUAGAGUACAUAAGUCAAAUCUUAGACCCAAAUGAGUGUGAAUCUGUCAUGUUAAGUUGAAAUCAAAUGUACAUAUCUUUCUUAAGGUGUUAUAUUUUUCUAAAAAAUGAACUUAUGAGUGUUUAGCUAGGUUGGCAAUUCCGGAAAAAAUUUCUAAGUGUCCCCUAACUUGGUUUACCAAUCCCUCUUCGGACUACAUGACCUUUGAAGAUUAAGACUUUGCUAAAAGGUCGAGGUAUGUAGCCAAGUCUGUAGUGAUUAAAUGUGAGCCAACCCUAUUUUUUCAUCUUUAAAUGAGUAAAGAAAGCUGAGAGAAAUAUUGUUGGUGCAAGGCUUUUGUUCCCCUGUUUCUAGAUCGAUCCAGGUAUAGGGGCAAAUCAAUCCAACUAACCUAUUUUUAAGAUCAAUUUUCAACCUUUGGAUUAAGGUUUCACUCUCAUUUAAAAUCAAAUCUCCCCCAUUUCUGGAAAUGGUGACUGUAGUAUCCGUAAGAGAUUUUUUUUCUUUCCUCACCAUUUAGAAGGUGUUUACCUAUGAAGAAAAUCCAUCCAAGUUUUCCAAGAAUUUUUUUUAAAAAAAUGGAUUUUCUGAAAAUGAACAAGGGUUGAUUUCUAAAACAUUCAUAUUUCAUUCUCUUGGUUUUGUGCAAAAACCCAUUUUCUUCUUGUAUGAAUUCAAGAAGAAAUCGAGCUUAGUGCAAACUCCAAGUGUGUCCCGAAAGAAGAAGCUAAGAAGCUGAAAAUGAAGGUACUAGUCAAGUGGUUUGGGAAAGAUUGGUUGGCUUGAGCAAGGUAAAACCUUGUAUUCAGAUUUUAUUUUUCAUAGUGGAUGUUUUCAAUCAGUAAUAGGCCCGUGGUUUUUUAUCUCUUCGGAGAUUUUUCAUGUAAAUUUAUGGUGUCUCAUUGUCUCCCUUUCUCUUCUUAGCAUCAGUUUUCAAUUUCAACAAUUUAUUAUAAUUUUGAUUGUCUACUAUUUGAUUGAAUGAUGAAGAGAAAUGACUAUGAAUCAUCUUUGAAGUUGUUUCUAAUUGUUAAUCAUUGAUAUUUUGAGGUAUAUUGAUCUUGCUUUUAUCAAAAUUUAGUUUAAGUUGAUUUGGGUUUGGGAGUGUUAGAUCAUGUGCAUGUGAAUUACAUUUGAAUAUUGUUAGGGAGUGUUGUUGCAUUCAUAUAUGCAUGUGAUUUAUAAUUUGUGUUUUUGAGACUGUGUGAAGAGAAGAAAAAUAUUCAAAAAGUUUUAAGGUUUGCUAAUUUGAGUUGAGAUUUUGUUUAAUUGGUCAAAACACCUAUUCAACCUCCCUUAGGUGUAUUCCACUAUUGAGAUUCACCUUUUCAAUUGGUAUCAGAGAGGGUUUUUAAAGCAAAAAUCAUUUUCGAUCCUUAAAUCUCAAUCAGGGAACCUCAUUAAGAGGGAGCUUCCAUUAGAAGACCACCUUUCUUAACCAGUGAAAAUUUUUCUCAUUGAAAAGUGAGAAUGCAAUAUUUUCUCAAAAUGCAAAGUGAUAAAAUUUGGAAUGUCGUUGAAUUUGGUUAGUCUCCACCUAAGGUGUUAGAUAGAGAAGGUAAAUUAACAAAUGUUAUCAAGCCAAAAUUGAAAUGUGAUAGAAGUGAAAAUGAAGCAAGUGAGAAUAAAGCUAGAGCCAUGUUCUCCAUCUUCAAUGCCAUUAGUACGAAUGAAUUUCAUAGCAUUGCCACAUGCACUUUGGUUAAAGAAGGCUUAGGAUAUCCUCUAAGUGACUCAUGAAGGAACUAAUGUCGUGAAAAUGUCCAAGCUUCAAAUGUUGACAUCUAGGUUUGAGACCAUUAGGAUGGAUGAUCAUGAAACUUUUAGAGAAUUUCAUGCAAAAUUGAUGGAUAUUGUGAAUUCUAACUUCAAUCUAGGUGAAUCCAUCUCUAACUGAAAGAUAGUUAGAAAAAUUUUAAGAUCUCUUCCAGAUAAAUUUAGAGCUAANGUUACCGCCAUUGAAGAGUCUAAAGAUGUGGAUUCCUUGAAGAUAGAUGAACUUGUAGGUUCUCUCCAAACCUUUGAGAUGAUGCUUGUAUCACCUAGGAAAGCUAAGGGAAUUGCUUUAAAAGCUAUUAAAUAAGAGUCCCUAAGUUUCGAAAGUGAGAAUGAUGUCAAAGGGUGAGCUUACUAAGUUUACUAAAAAAAUUAAGAAGUACAUGAAAUUCAGAAAAUCCAAGAAAGAAUCAAAUGAUGGUAAAAAUGGAGGAACUCUAUUAGAAAAAAAGAAGAAUAUGGAGAAAUGUGUGAAAAAAGAGUUGGUGAUUGAGUGCUUUAAAUGUGGAGGAAAUGGGCAUUAUGCCGCCAAAUGUCCCUCAAAGAAAAAAAAAAUGAAAGAAGGUCAUGCAAGUCACUUGAAGCAACAUAGAAUCUUGUCAAUCAAGUGAAAAAGAAUCCAAUGGAAGUGAAGAAUACACUAACUUCAUAGCCUUUGCUGCAAGUGUCAAUGAGAAACCACUCAAGAAAGAGGUCUUAAGUGAGUCAUGAGUCAAGUGACUCCAAUGAUGAUGACAUGAAUUUUGACAUAGCAUAUGAGACUUUGUAUAAGGAAUGCUUGAGCCUUAAACAAGAACAAGUCAAGUGGAAGGCUUCUAAGAAUAUUCUAAUCAAUGAGAUUGAUGUCUUGAAGGGAGAAAAGAAGGCUUUGCUUGAAAAAAUUGGAUUUCUUGAAAAUGACCAUUUGGAAGUGAAAAAAAAAAUAUUAUGUAUUGAAAAGUGAAUCAAAUGUUCAAGGAUGAGUUAAGUCUUAAGAAGAAAGAAUCACAUCCUAGCUCUAAGAGGAUUAAUGAGUUGAUCAAUUUAAGGCGUAAAUCUUUUGAUAAACAAGGCUUAGGAUUUGUUGAUGCAAAUACUACUCCAAGUAGUGGUAAAACAAUUUUUGUUAAGCCUUGUGAAAAAUAAUAUCCUAAGAAAACUCAUUCUCAAAUCAAGUUUCAUUGCAAUCAUUGUGGCAAAAUGGGACACAUUUUUCAUAGAUGUUGUACAAGAUUGUUUGAUAACUUUCAAAGGAAGUUGACCAACCUAAUGAAUGAAUGUUAUGCUUUGAAGAAUAGGUUAUUGAAUGAGAAUAAGAGAGUGUCCAAGAAGUGCUCAAAGAUCCCUCAUAAUGGUGAGUUGAAAGGAAGCACUUUGAAUGAAAAGACAAGUCUCAAAUGUUAAACAAAUUUGGGUGUGAAUGAAUUAGUUGAAGUGUUUUGUUGUCCAUACCGCACUUAGAGCUAGUGAGUCACACUCAUGGCAUCUUGAUAGUAGAUGUUCACAUCAUAUGACUAGAAAUAAAUCUUUGUUCACUUCAUUCACUGAAUUUGAUGGAGGAAAUGUGACAUUUGGAGAUGGUAAUGUGGCUAGGGUGAAAGACAAAGGUACCAUUUGUGCCCCUGACAUUCCUAAUCUUGAAGAGGUCUUAUAUGAAGGUUUAAAGGCUAACUUAAUUAGCACAAGCCAAAUGUGUGGGAAUGAGUUCAAUGUAAAAUUUUCACAAACUUUUUGCAAGGUGUUUGACUUGAAUGAUGUAAGUGUGAUGAUUGGCUUGAGAACUUGUGAUAAUUGCUAUGUUGUUAGUAAAAAAUCUCCUUCAUCCUCUUCUCUCGUGUGUGGAAGUUCUAAAAUUGCAUGUGUUAAUCACUUGUUGCAACAUAGAUUGUUACAAAAUGAAAAAGAGCAUCCCAUUGUAAAAGUUAGGAUUGGUAGGGGGGAUUUGAUGAUGCCAAUGUUAUUGAUAGGCUAGAGAACCAUGUUCUUCAUUAUAGAUAAAAACAUGUGGACAUUAAGCAUCACUGCAUUCAAGACUUGGUAGAAGACAAGGUUGUUUACUAGAGGUUUUCCCUAUAGAGAGUCAAAUUGCUAACAAUGUUACUAAACCUUUGGACAUUUCUAGGUUUGAAUCACUUAGGAGCCCCAUAGGUUUAUAUAUUCUCUGUUUAACUGCCUCUAGAACUUGUCUAGGACUCCUCUUGCAUAUCCUUGAGUCCUAGUUGUCUUCCUAAGUUCCCAAAUAUCAUCAACUUGAUGUUCUUUUUGUUUUGGUUCAAUAUUUUCUCCAUUUUUCAUAAAUUUUCAACAAUUGUUGAGUUCAUGAGAGUGACAUGCUUAUUCAUUUUGUUUAAAAGUUAAAUUAACUCAUAAUGAUCUUAAAAGCUUCAAGAUGUAUUUAUCUCCAUGGCUUGUUUGAUAAACAUGAUAUUGAAUCCUUGCUAUUUUGAUUUGGUUAGAUAAACUACAAAUGAUUAGCUUCAUUUCUAUUAAGUGAGUAAGAGCUCAUUGUUGGACCUUGUGUUUGCAUAAUGGUGAAUAAUGCUCUUUAAAGUCUAAAUGAAAACUUAUACCCAUUUAAUGAGCUUUAAAGAGUGAGUAAAGACACCUGGAAUAUCCUUGAGAGGUUGAGAUGAUCAGUCUUUGAUUGUUUGUCCUCUCUUUGAAAUUAAUUUUUUUUUAAAUGAAAAAGAAAAGAAAAAGAAAAUAUGAAGUUUCCCGGAAUGGAUAUGGCUCCGUGGCAAUGUUUCAAGAAUUAAAAAGCCUCCAUUGCAAGAGUGGGACAUCCCUUAUGUUGUUAUGUUGUAAAGACAUCCUUAGAGAUCCUCAAGUCAAAAAUUGAUCUUAAGGGUAAAACUUAAAGCUUUGUAUUCCUUUCAAUGCUAAAUGUGAAAAGCAAAUAGUGUAUGAAUUUUAUUAAAGGGAUGUGAUUAGGUCAUGUUGAACAGAAAUCUGGCCAAGAGAGAUGCAAAUUGACUUUGAUUACUACUCAAAAAGUACUCUUUUAUAGCUUGAAACUAACUGUUUUAAACACUUUUGAGUAGUAGUUAAUACAUUUUAACUCAAUUGGCACAUUAAGAAACCUAGCAAGGGUUACUAAUCAAUUUUUCGCAAGUUUUGGUGUUUUUGGUAGCUAUUUGAUCAUUGAAACAAGCCAAGAAUGAGGGAGAAUUUUGUGAAAUCCAUGGCAAUGCAAGUUAAAGCUCAAAUACAUGAAGAAUCCAAGCUUUGGAGCACUUCAUAGCCCUUUUCCAAGCCAAUUAGAGAUGCAAGAAGGGAAACCAGAGGAAGAAAUCCAACAACCAGCAUUUCCGCAUGGCUGUGCGAAAUUUCGCACACCAUACGAAACCACUUGAGGCAACCAAAAAAUUUCUCACAUCAUGCGAAAUUUCCCAAGGUAUGCGAAAUCUUCCUGUGCACCAACUCCGUUAGAUUUUUAUCUCUAGAUAUUUUAUGUAAUUUCCUAUUUUCUCCUUAUAAUCAACUUAGAUAUUUUCAUAUAUAUUUUUUUAUAUAUUUAGUGUGUGUAACAUCUUUUGAUAUAGACACACAGGGAUGUAAUCAGAGAACGCUUGUAAAUUCCCCGUAGUAAGAAAUAUACAAAGCUUUUGCUCUGUCUUUUCUUUUCAUUUUGUUUUCACUCUUCUUUCUAGUCAAACAACCUCUAAGGAUGAUUUCUCAGGGGAUGAGUGGCUAGGUUUUACGUUUCUUGGAGCUAUGGAAGCUAGGUGAAGGACUCGAAUGCAAAGAUGGGAGUUGUCCUUACUCUAAAUGAAAGUAGUUGUUAACCAUUAAUGGUUUUUAUUUUAAGGUUUAGCUUUAAAUCCCUUAAAAGCACCUUGAAUGGCCAAUACUUGGUAAGCUUUUUGAAUUCUAUGGAUGCUUAGUGCUAGAUCCAUGGAUGUCUAUUAGUUAUCAUUUAUGAGCUAUUGGAAGGUGGUUCAAGGUGAGAGUCUUUAGUGUGUCAAGCCAUUAAUGGGAAGCAACUAUUAUUUUUCAUGAACCCUUUGGAUCAAAUCUUAAUUGCUAAAAAUAAAAUCGGUUCGGGAGAUAACCAUCCUUAUAUUAUUGUCCCCAACGCGAGGAAAAGAUCCGGAAUCUCCCCCUUUGUCUAAGGAACCCAAUCCUAGUGACCUAAAGCUCCAAGAGACCUUUUCUUUGUAGUCAACUUCACCUAUUAUUUUUGCUUAACUUAAAAUCAAUCUUUGCAACCACAAUUCCAUUUUCUUUAAAAGCUAAUUUUCAUAAGGAAAAACACCAUUUUAUUUCCUUCACUAAAGUCAAUUGUACGAUGAAAACCCAUCCUUGUGGACGAUCCUAGAGCCACUAUACUAUGUUAGCUAUGCUACCCUAGUGUGAGGUGAUUUAGGUUUUAUAAAUUUUGUUGAUAACACCCGUCUAAGCCAGAAUCAAAUGGCAUGACUACAAUGGGGAUGAAUCAGACUUCUUGGAACAUUAUCUUGAAUUUCUCUAGGAAGGAAGAGUAUCUUGAAAAUGAUUUUUGGCUCAUAAAUGAAUAUAGGUUUCUAAGUGGAAAUUAUUUAACAUUAUCACCAUUUUAUGGUGUCAUGAGUGAGUUUUUUUUAGCUUAAGCUUCCUUGUUAGAGUGUUGAUAAUCAUUUGUUUUUUACCUAUUCAUUUGAUAAAUUUGGAAAGUACUUCAAUCUCUAUGUUUAUUAAUUUUGUCUAUUGUUAUGUUCUUGGAAGCAUUUUUGUUCAAUGUGAAUCAAUUCUAACUCAUUAAUUGAAAGAUAAGUAUGUCAUCCUAUUGUAUCUCAUCUUUGGUCGAUCAAUUUUCAUUUUUUGGAAAGCCUAUUCGUGUAUUUCUUGUGAUUUUUCGAUAGUUUUUGCCUAAGUCAUUUUUCAAUUGGGUGUCGAUCGAUCUACUGAAUUUGUGGAUCGAUCCAUUAUGUGCACAAUGUAGUGACCGAGAGCCCUUGAAUGAAUCUUGGAUCGAUCCACCAAGAUCGAUACCACCUAGUACUUGUCUCUCACACACUUAGCCAUUUUUUUCAAAUUUGGUUUGUUCAAACCUAUGUGACUGUGUAUCAUCAAGAGCACAAUUGAAAAUUGGAUCGAUCCACCAAGGUCGAUACCACAUAUGCAUUUGUGAAAAAUUCCAUUUUUGCCCCCAACUAGUUAUACUCAUAUGGUUUAAUGGAUGAGGGGUAUUUUCAUAAUUAAAAGUAAAAAAUUGAAAAAGUCAAAAUUCCUAAAUCUGUUUUUCCCAAUUCAUUUCUUUCAAAAGCCCUAGGUCUUUUGUUUCAAAGAAGAGAACUUCUCUACUCUAAGCUUCUCUUUAGCCAUCAUCGUCGAUCCAUCAUUCUGGCCACUACCAUCAAAAGUCUCUACCACUAGAAACCUUUAUCGUCAGACUUCCUUAUCUGGUGAGCGUUUCAGGUCUGGCCAAUCCCACUAGACAGCCUCGUCAAAUAGCCUAGAAUUGUUGUGUUGCUCAACUCAUGUCAUCAGCUUGUGUGUCUCUUCUUAGUGCGUCGGUGUUUUCGAAAAUUGCCUUCUACAUAGUAUGUGUUGGCUAGGACCUCCUGUGUGCAUCACUAGAUUGUAUCUCAUUCAAUUGGGAUUCCAUUCCAGCAGUUGGAAAUUCCAAUCAGCCCUUAGGACUGUGUUUUUCACAGCACAAUCAACACAACGCAAUCUACACUUCUGGAAAUUGUGUUCUACAUAGCCCAUUUCUCUUGUUUUUUUUUCUACUAUUUUCCAAUGUCCGUGUCUUCAAUGCAACUUAUUUGCAAGAGUUCUCAUUUCCGGCAACCAUUAUUGUUUGAUUUAUCCAUUUUUUUCUCUUCUAUUAGUCUCAUUUGGAACUUCUCUGCUCUAAGCUUCUCUUUAGCCAUCAUCGUCGGUCCAUCAUUCCGGCCACUACCAUCAAAAGUCUCUACCACUGGAAACCUUUAUCGUCAGACUUCCCUAUCUGGUGAGCGUUUCAAGUCUGGCCAAUCCCACUAGACAGCCUCGUCAAAUAGCCUAGAAUUGUUGUGUUGCUCAGCUCAUGUCGUCGGCAUGUGUGUUUCUUCUUAGUGCGUCGGUGUUUUCAAAAAUUGCCUUCUACAUAGUAUGUGUUGGCUAGGACCUCCUGUGUGCAUCACUAGAUUGUAUCUCAUGCAAUUGGGAUUCUGUUCCAGCAGUUGGAAAUUCCAAUCAGCCCUUAGGACUGUGUUUUUCACAGUACAAUGAACACAACGCAAUCUACACUUCUGGAAAUUGUGUUCUACAUAACCCAUUUCUCUUAUUUUUUUCUCUACUAUUUUCCAAUGUUCGUGUUCUCAAUGCAACUUAUUUGCAAGAGUUCUCAUUUCCGAAAACCAUUAUUGUUUGAUUUAUCUAUUCUUCUCUCUUCUAUUAGUCUCAUUUGGAUUAUUUAUUUAUUUAUUUAUUUUUAUUUUUUUGUAGAGUCCUCUCACAGUAGUUUUAAUAGUUUGAGAUUUCAUUUUUGCCUUGGAGUGUUCCUAGUUUCUAGGAAUGCUAAUCCUAGGCUUUGGUUGUUCAUUUUGAGUGGUCUUCAUACAUUUUCAUGCUUGAAAUCUAUUUUCAUGGUGAUAAAGCAUUUUUUGAAAGUUUUUAAUUGAAACCAUGUGAUAGGAUUCAAGAGGAGAUUCUCAUAUCCUGUGAUGGGAGUCAAGGGAAGAUUCUUGUAUCCUAUAAUUUUUUUUUCUGGAAUGUUGAUAUGGAUACUUGGUGAUAUGUGAAUAUUUGAUUUUUGGGUAUUUGACAUUUUGUUGAAAAGUGGAUGUUUGUUGAUUUGGAUGUGAGAUAUUCUGCUAUUGAAUUCUCAUCCAUUUGUCGUUUUUCUUGGAUAGAAAAUGGGAAAUUAUAACUUUUUGUCUCCUGCUAGGACAAAAAGGAGAAAACAUUUUACAUGGAUGUUGAUAUGACAUGUAGUUGAUCAUGACGGCUUCUUUGUGUUUUGUUGCUUUGGAUAUUUGAUAUGUUGAUCAUGAUCACCUUUUUUGUAUAUUGAUGGAUAUUUGACACGUUUUUGAACUCAUGAAUGCAUAUUAAUUAUCUUUAGACAAGUUAUUUUUGUGGAUAUAUGUGGAUAUUUGUGUGUCAAUUCAUUUGAAACUUAUGGAAGUGUCUUGGUAAUAUGUGCAAGUGCUACUAAUGUUUUUUCUUGAGAUUUAUUUGCAGGAUUUGUAGUACCUUUAGUUAGGUUUUGAGUGAGUGAGUGGCCUUGUAUGAGAGUUGGGUGGGACUUACUUGUAUUCAUUUGUGUUGUAAAGGGUUUUGUCCCAGAAUUUUCAAAUGGGGAGAUUUUGAGUGUUUAGCUAGGUUGGUAAUUCCGGACAAAAUUCCUAAGUGUCCCCUAACUCGGUUUACAAAUCCCUCUUCGAACUACUUGACCUUUGAAGAUUAAAACUUUGCUAAGAGGCUGAGGUAUGUAGCCGAGUGUGUGGUGAUUGAAUGUGAAUCAACCCUGUUUUUUCAUCUUUAAAUGAGUUAAGAAAACAAGGAGAAAUAUUGUUAGUGCAAGGCUUUUGUUCCCCUUAUUAUGGAUUGAUCUAGGUGCAAGGGCAAAUUGAUCCAACUAACCUAUUUUUAAGAUCAAUUUUCAACCCUUGGAUUAAGGGUUUCUUUCUCAUUUAAAAUCAAAUAUCUCCCAUCUCUAGAAGUGGUGACUACAACAACUAUGAGAGAGUUUUUUCUUUCUUCACCAUUUUAAGGGUGUUUACCUACGAAGAAAAUCCAUCCAAGUUUUCUAAGAAAUUUUUUUAAAAUGGAUUUUCUGAAAAAAAAAAAAAAAAAAAAAAAAAACAUAGGGUGAUUUUUGAAACAUUCAUAUGUAAUUCUCUUGGUUUUGCGCAAAAACCCUUUUUUUUUCUUAUGUGAAUUCAAGAAGAGGCCGAGAUCGAGCUUGGUGUAGACUCCAAAUGUGCUCUAAAAUAAGAAUGUGAGAAAGUGAAAGUGAAGGUACUAGUCAAGUGGUCCGGGAAGGAUUGGUUGGCUUGAGCUAGGUAAAACCUUGUAUUUAGUUUUUAUUCUUCAUAGUAGAUGUUUUCAAUUGAUAAUAGGCCCAUGGUUUUUUAUCUCUUCGAAAAAUUUUCAUGUAAAUUUAUGGUGUCUCAUUGUCUCAUUUUCUCUUCUUAGCAUCAUUUUUUAGUUUCAACAAUUUAUUAUAAUUUUGAUUGUCUAGUAUUUGAUUGAAUGAUAAAGAGAAAUGGCUAUGAAUCAUCUUUGAAGUUGUUUCUAAUUGUUAAUCAUUGAUAUUUUGAGGUAUAUUGAUCUUGUUUUUAUCAUAAUUUAGUUUAAGUUGAUUUGGGUUUGGGAGUAUUAGAUCAUGUGCAUGUGAAUUUCAUUUGAAUAUUGUUGGGGAGUGUUGUUGCAUUCAUAUAUUCAUUUGAUUUAUAAUUUGUUUUUGAGACUAUGUGAAGAGAAGAAAAAUAUUCAAGAAGUUUUAAGGUUUACUAAUUUGAGUUGAGAUUUUGUUUAAUUGGUCAAAACACCUAUUCAACCCCUUUAGGUGUAUUCCACUAUUGAGAUUCGCCUUUUCAGAACCUAUACUUCUACCAUGCUACAUGAAGUUUUGGAAGGCAUAAAAUACAUUUUGAGGCAUAUAUAAGUCAAAUCUUAUAUCCAAAUUAGGUUGAAUUGGGUCAUGGUUAACCUCAAAUCAAAUAUAUGCAUUUUUCUUACGAAUGUAUAUAUAUAUAUAUAUAUAUAUAUAUAUUUAAGAAUAUAGUUAUUAUUGUAAAGGAUGUAUUUUUUCUUAAGAAUAUACUUUUUUUUGUAACAGAUGUACCUAGGGUUCUCCCAUGCCAAAUAGGGUUUGGGAAUGCAUCAUGAGGUAUAUAAAAGUUAAAAUUUAGACUCAAAAUAGGUCGAAUAAGGGAAUGAUUCAACUCAAAUCAGAUGUAAAUACUUUUCUAAACUUUUAUGCAUUUUUUUAAAGCAUGUACACAAAGUUAUAUCAUGUUGAAUAGGGUAUAAGAAGACCUCAAAUGCAUUCCAAGACCUACAUAAGUGAAAUCCCACACCCGAAUUAGGUUGAAUGAGGAUAAGAAUCCACAAUGAAAUGAAAUGUACAUGUUUUUAUACUAGAUGUACCUAUUUUUCUAAAGGAUGUACUUAUUUUUAAAAAAAAGAUAUAUGUAUUUUAAGAAAUAUAAAAUUUAAUUAAAGAAAUGUUAAUACAAUUUUUAUGAAAAUAAUUUUUUUUCUAUUUUAUGUAUAUAAAAAAGUUAAAGAUUUUAAUUAAAAAGUUAGAACCAUGAUCAAUUUUAAAUCAUAUGAAAAAUUAAAACGAAUGUUAAUAUGAAAGUUCAAAAAUUUAAAUUAAAAUGAUAUAACAAAAAUAUUUUUAGUUUAUUUAAAUGUUAUAAUUUUACAUGCCCUAUCAAUGUCUUGUCAAAUUUUUUUAGUACAAAAUGGAAUAAUAAGUGAAUACUCUUUUAUUUCUUUAAUACAAAAAAUACAAACCAAGCAUCUCUCAAAAUCUUGUUCCUUGCUCUUGAAUAUAAAGUAAGAUAAGCUCGUGAACUUAUUCACAGUAAAAGUUUUGCUAACCUACAGUCACGCAACACAUGAAGGCAUUAUUCGACUUUAUUCAGGCAUCGAACACAAUUCGGCAAAGCUGCUAUAUGUCUUUUGAAGUGAUUUUCAUUUGUCAGCAACUUGUUGUGCAAAGCCAGCCACAAAAAGGAUCUAAUCCUUUGGGAACCCCUUCAUUUCCACAAGGCCAUCCAAUUCUUAUUCAAUUCUAUCCAGCAACUCUCUUCAAUCAGUUCAUAAGUCGACUUGGUAGUUGACAACGCUGACAUGAAGGCCAAAAAUAGUGGAGGAUUGUACAAGAGCACAUAGCACUUGACCCAAAUUCUCAAAAUUUGCUGUUGAAAAGUUUUUAGCCUAUUUGGCCAUUUCAUUAAAAAAAAAAAUUUAAAUUAAAAAAAAACUAUUUUUAAAAAUUCAUAAAAUUGUUUGUUAGUUGUUUUCUAUUUGUAAUUUUUAAAAAUAAAGUGAAAUAAAAAAACAUAUUUUAUAAAACAAAUAGAAAUUGUUUUCACCAAUUUUUAAAGACAAAAGAAAAAUAUAGAGGAAUUAAAAAAACUAUAAAAACCAAAUAAGAUUGAAGAUGAUAUCAUUCUUCUUUACCUCUUUCUACUAUCUAAUACUGAUACUGAAAAUCUUCAAAUAUAAUAUUCUUUUAAAUUACAUGUGUUUUUAUGAAUUUCAUUUAAUUUAAGAAAUUUUUCAUUGAUAAAAUAAAUUCUAAAUCAAAUUAUACUUUAUACAUAAAAUUUACUAAUGUUUAAAAAUAACUUAAAAGUUAAAAACUGAUUUAGUUAGUACUAUAAAGUCAUGAAACUCACUAACAUUGGAAUGCCAUAUAGCAAAAUUCAUUUGAAUGUCUUGGCUAGUUUUUUCUUUGCAUAUAAUCAUAUUUUUACAAUUUUUUUCACUUAGUAAAUAAUCACCAAAUCAAGUAUGACUUAAUGCAUUGAAUUUAUUAACAAGUCUAAGUAAUUCUUAAAAAUAAAUUGAAACGCAAAUAGUGAUCCAAUUAAUACCAUAAAUUUAUGGACAAAAAUUGAACUUGAAUGACUUUAUUGUUUCCAAUUUUGUUUCAUUGGACAAAUAAACUUAAAAUUAAACCAAACUUAAUGUGUUGAAUUCAUUAAUAAAUUUAGUAAUUUCUAAAAAAAACUUAAAACUCAAACAAUGAUGUAAUUAAUAUUAAAAAUUUAUUGAUGAAAAUUGGUCUAAAACUACUCUAUUAUUUUUCUUCUACAUGGAAUCAUAUUUUCCCAAUUUUAUUUUACUAUAUAAAUAAACUCAAAAUUAAACAAAACUUAACAGUCUAGUAAUUUUUAAAUUAGAAUAAUAUUUGAAAUAAUUUAAUUAGAAUAAUAUUGAUUCGACUCAUGGUAGCUUAGCUUUAAAGGCGUAUCAACAAAAUUUAUACCUUGAAUACUAUUACUAAAGUAGCCAAGCUACUAUAGCAUAGUGGUUCUAGGAUCGUUCACUGGGAAGGGUUUUCGCAAACACAAGUGAUAUUCAAAUUAGGAAAAUAGGUGAUUUUCUUAUGGAUGUUAGCUUUAAAAGAAGAUGUAAAUGUUUUAGAAAGAUUUAAACUAAUCUAAGCUAACAUUAAAGACUAAAAUGAAAGGGUGUAAAAACAAGUUUCUCAAAGAUAGGAUAGCUAUGCUCUGGCUCUUAUGCAAAUUGGAAAUCUCAGGAUAGGCUCCUCGCGUUGGGGUUGCAACUAUGGUGAUGCUUGCUUCCCGAACCGGUAUGGAUUUAGCAAAUCAAGUUUUAAUCCUUUAAAAUGGCAAAACAGAUGGUAGUGAAUUUCAUCAAUGGUUAUUCACCUUAGACUUCCUUUGAAUGGCUCGUAAGAGAUAACUAAUGGUCUAAAGCCAAAAGCUUACCAAAUAUUGGCAACUCAAAGUCAUUCCAGGUGAUAAACUUACCUUUCAAUGGCCAUUGAAAUUGGUUCUAACGGAUUAAUGCAAAACUUGGAAUUGAAAACCUCACCUUCCAAUAGCUCGUAGGAGAUAACUAAUGGAUAGUAAUCCAAAAGCUUAUCAAGUAUUGGCCGUUGGAAGUUGUCCAAAGGAAAUAAAAACCAAACUUUGCAUUAAUGAACCUUUAAUGAAAAACGACUACCUUACCUUCCAGGUGCGAGAAAUUUCCAUGGGAGUGCAUCCAAGCCAUCACAUAACAUCCAUACUUUGAGAAACUAAAAGUUUUAGCCAAUCAUCCUCUGAGGAAAAGCCCUCAGAGGCUGUUUGGCUACUAAGAAAAUAGAAACAGGGAAGAACAGGAGAAAAGAGCAAAACAGAGCAAGGCUCUGUAUAUUCUAUAUAUUGAUCGAUUUAUAAUUACAACGGAUGCAAGGGAAUAUAUAUAGAGAAGUUUUUCCAAUCCUUCCUAGCUAAGAAAUCUUAUGAUUCGUGGAUUACAAGGAGAAGAAUGGAAAUUUAUACAAAAAUAUCUAAAAGAAAAGAUCUCGUGUGGAGUCGGUAGAAACAGGGGAAAAUUCGCACGUUGGAGUUCCAAUUUCGCACGUUGAUUUGAGGUGUGCGAAAUUCUCGCACAGUGGACUGAGGAAUUCGCACCUUGAACAGUGGUGUGCGAAAUUGUCCCUCAGCUUGAUGCAGUUGUCUUCCGAAGGCCAUAUCUUUCUCAAUUCAGCUCCAAAUCGUACAUGGUUUGAACCGUUGGAUUCUUGACUUUCUGAGCUUUGAAAUGGUAUAUAGCAUGUAGAAAAUGGACUUCGGGAAGUGCUCCAAAAGUGCCAAAGAAGACUGCAGUUGCUGUCCUCUGUUUUCCUCUUUGCUUCUUUUUGCUUCUCUUUCCUCUUCUCCAUUGUUCUUUCCUUGCAUACUUUGAACGAAUUUGGCAAAGGGCUAUGGAGCUCCAAAGCUUGGUUCUUCAUGAAUUUGAGCUUCCAAAAGCUUUGCCAUAACUUGUCCAAGUAGCUCCUCUAUCAUUUGGCAUGCUUGAAUUGAUUCAUAAGCUGAUAUAAACAUGUAAACUUGCCACAAAAUGGUUAAAACCAAUUACUAAGGACCUUAAUGAAUUAAUUGGGUUAAAUGAAUAUGAUUACUACGCAAAGGUGCUUAAAACCAUUAUAAUUAGGUCUACAAAAUAACACUUUUUGGUAGUAAUCAAAUAUUUUAAUUUAUUAAAAUAAAUCAUAAAUAAAUGAAUAAAAUUAUCUAACAAUAUUUUAUCAAGUUAAUAUUUGUUAAUAAAACUAUAACAAUUUAAGAUUUUGUUAGAUUUUAUCGCUAUAGGAUUAUUAUAAAUGUGGUUUAAAAAAAUGCAUGAACAUCAUGUAAUAUUAACAAAAUAAAAAUUACGAAUUGAUCGCUCUAUGGAUUAUUUUUAUCAUAACAAAAAUGUGUAAAAUUGUAUACACCUUUUAGGCUAUGAAAUAUUCAUUAUCUAACUUAUGAGUGUACAAUUUUGUUUUCUCUAACUUUUGAUUAUACAUUAUAAUUAAAAGAAAUUAGAAAUUACAUUGAAGGUUGUUUUUUAGAUUUUUUUUAACUUUAUAAUUUAUAAUAUAAACUCCAGCUAUACAAUUGUAUAUAUUUUUUAUAACUUCUAGUUGUGAUCUACAAUGACUCUAUUGUUUCUCUUCUAUAUGAAACUAUAUUUUUUAUUUAUUUAUUUCACUAGACAAAUAAAAUCCAAAUUAAACAAAACUUAAUCCCUUAAAAUAAUUAAUGAGUUUAGUAAUUUUUAAAAUAACUUAAAACUUAAAUAGUGGUUCAAUUAAUAUUAAAAAUUUAUGGAUAAAAAUUGGGUUUUAAUGAGUCUACUUUUUUUCUAUACAUACUUAUAUUUUUAUAAAUUUUUUUAUUAAAGAAUAAACUUCAAAUCAAGUAAUUGAAUUCACUAACAGGUUAAUUUUUUUAUUUUUUUUUAAGUUACAACCUAGUAAAUAGAUCUAAUCACUAUAAGAAAUAAUAUAUGAAAACCAAUUGUAGACCCCAAAAUUUGUCCUAAUUUUAUUUUUACAUUGAUAUUGAGUUCAAUUUUAUCCUUAGAUUUAAAUUUCGAUUACAUCUUAAUUGUUUAACCCACUUACACUAUUUUUUUUAUUUUUUCUCUCAUCUCUCCUCUCUCUUCAUCUUUCUCCUCAUUCUACCUACUCCACCUACUUCCCUUACCCAUUUCCUUCUCUUACACGUCUAAGCCACUCCCCAUACCCCCUCCAAGCUUUUUUUUUUUUUUUUUAUCAUCUUUCUCUACUCUCCUCUCUUCACUUUUUUUUUCUCUCCAUCAUUCCUUCUUCGGGCUCCCUUCCAACACCACAACCACUCCACAACCCACACACCAGACACGGUCAACUUCCCCAUCUCCUCUCUUCCUUCUUUCUUUUUUUUUUUUCCUUCCCCUCAACUCUCACACAUGACGGUCCCCAUUUUCUCUUUCAUUUCUUUUCUCCUUCUCACAGUCCUUCCCUCUACAUUGCCAUUUUCCAAAAACUCCCACUGUCACACGCUCCCCAUCUUCCUUCAUUUUUUUUUCCUGUUUUUUUUCUCUUCUUUCUUCUUUCCUUUUCCCCUCUCCACACUCCACGGCCACUAUUGGCCCUCCACUGCCCGCCACUACCAGUAGCCACUGCCAACAACCACCACCCGCCACUGUCUGCCAGUCAUUGCCAACUAGCAAUCCUACCAUCCAUAGUUCUAAAAAAAAUGGGUAAAUUUCUGAGAAGAAAAAGGCUAUGCUUAGUUAAGAAAAACACCCAAAAGGGAGGGUGAAUUGGGUUUUUAAAAUCUUUUCAAUCACAACAAAUUUAAACAAAAUAUAAGCAAAGCAAAGAGAUAGAGUUUAGAGAAUUCAAACUCGGGUUUAUAGUGGUUUGGCACUUCCUUGCCUACGUCCACUCUCUUCAACCUCCUAACCGAGUGAGGAUUCCACUAACUUGAAGCUUCAACCAAGCUUCCAAUCUUCUUACACUUGGAUUCCGGUUUCAAUGGGCUCUUACACAACCUCUUCAAGAUUCAACCCUUUUGAAGGCUUUAACACUUAGAUUGUUACAAGAUAUAAUCACUCAACCUAGCUUAAAGAUGGCUCAAAUACAAGACAAAGCUAGGAUGACAAACAAGAGUGCACUAAAGGAUAUGCAAGUGGUGAUUUAAUGCACUAUGAAAUAAAUGAGAGCUUUUUUUAUCAAGAACAGGUAGGUAGGCUUUGAAUGCAAGUGUUAUCUUCACAAUAAAUGAAGUGGAGCUCUCAAUUUAUAGGUUUCUAAGCUCGGGAGUCAAAAACAACAAAAGGCAACCUCGACCGGUUCACUAGCCGUUGAAGCAUUUAAUGCAUGACAGGUUACCGUUGCCUCAACCGGACCUCGAUCAAUAAGGGAAUCACCUCGACCGGGAAGAGAAGGCUACUGGGAGAGAGAGAAGGUUUUUGACCUUCCUCGACUGGACGACCUCAACCGGUUCUCGACCGGACGACCUCAACCGGUCGACCAGUUCCUCAACCGGUUGACCGGUUGGCCAUAGCCUCGACCGAUUGAGCCUUUUUGGCCCCGAAAAACCUAUUUUUUUAUUUCUUUCUUUUCUAACACUUAGGCAAGGUCUUUAGGUAAAUUAUUAAGCCAAUUUUGAAACAUUUUGCCUAAGGUAAAUUAGUUAAAAACUCGGGUUUUAAUGAAAUCGAUGUUUUAAAGAAUAAACCGAGUUUUCUAAGAUGCAUGAAACGUAUGAAAAUCCUAAGUGCACUCAUGCAUUCAUCUUACAUUAGGUUCCUAUGAUCACAAGUCUUCCAAGCGUCUCGAUCUUGUAUGCAUUUGGUCUUUUGAUGAAUUUUUGAGUUUAUACCUGAGAUUCUUAGACAUUAAACCAAUUAGUCACUUAACCAUGGUUUGUUAUCAUCAAAACCCGAUUAGGAGAACCCUUGGGCUAACAAUUUCCUUUUUACUUUAUUUUAUUUUGAUUUUUGUAUCUUUAUUUUUUUAUUUUCGUUUGCACAGUAAUUGAUUUAGACUUGGAUCUAUUGCUUAUUAGUUAUUUAUUUGGGCUUAUUGGAUUGGGUUUGAGAUAUUAUUUUCUUUGGUCAUGUGUAUUAUUAAUGUGGGUUUGUUGAUUGAUAUGAAUUUUUGACCCAUAAUGUGGGUAUGAAUUUUGGGCCCACAAUGUUGGUGGAAUUUGAUUGAUGACUUGAAUAUUUGAUAUGAGCCUGACCAAUUUAAACUAUUUAAUUUGGAUAUGGGACAAUUAUGGUGUAUAUUAAAUUAGGCUUGGAUUAUGAGAUAUUAAAUUUAGGCCUAAUUGAAUUUAUUUUAUUUUGUGAUAUUUUGGGCUUGGCUAAUUGUGUUGUAUUUUGAUUAUUAAUUUGAAAAUUUUGGAUUAAGAUUUAUAGCAUGUGAGAUGUUUUUGUUAGGUUAUAUUUGUUCAUUUGUGCCCAUUUUGAUUGACAAAAUUUAUGAGACUAAUUUGAAAUUUGAAUUUGAGUUUGAAUAUUUGUUUGGGAUUUUGUACAUCUUUGGAUAUUUACAUUUGAGCUAUUUUGUUUUUGCAUGGGCCUAUUCUACAAUUCUGUUGGCUGAGUACAAAUUUAUGAUACACGGAGCACGAAAUUUUAUGGAAGAAUAAAAAAGUUGUAUGAAGACAUUAAACUAGUUAUAAGCUUAUUUGGGUACACAUUUUAUUUCCCACUUUUAUUUGAUUUUAUUUCUAUUAGUUCUUGUAAAUAUUCGUUUGUAUAUAUUUAUUGUGUACAGAAUUGAAUAUUUAACAAAUCAAAAUUUUCAUUUAAAUAAGAGGAAUAAUUCAGUAAAUAUGUUCUAAUAAAAUAAUAAUUUUAAAAUAUUCUUCUUAAUAAAAGAAAGUUUUUUUUAUUAAUAAAAAUUCAUAAAAAUGCUUUUAGAAAAAUUCAAAAAAAUUGUUUUUAAUAGAAUUUGAAAAAUUAUUUUUAAUAAUAAUUGUCCAAAAAUGUCUUUGUUUAAUAAAAAUUGUCCAAAAAUUGUUUUGUAAAUAAAGUUGUCCCAAAAAUUAAUUUUUAAUUAAAAAUUCUUUUGCAAAUAAAGUUAUAUUCUUUUUAAUAAUUUGUACAAGUCACUUUUCUUUUACUACAAGAAAACUUAUUUUUCCUGACAAAAAUUUAGGGGCGAAUUGUAAUUUUGUCGCUAAAAAUUACUUUUACCGAUGAAAUUUUAGAUAUCGUUGCUAAUGUCAAAUUUAUGAAAACUUUUUGUAACGAAUUUGAAUUUUUCGUUGCCAAAAGAUAUUGCGGGAAAAUUUGGCGGCUUUUUUUGGCGCAAACGCUAUUGUGAUGAAAAAAAUACUAUUUGCCAACGAAAAUAUUUGUUACUAAAUACAAUUUUUUUGUGACGAAAAUAAUUUCCUUACUAAAAGUUACAAAUUUUUAUCCAUAUUUGCUUACAAAAUGGUUUCAUCAGUAAAUAUAUUAUUUUCUGACAAAAUGAGUAAUUUUGUCACUGAAUAGUGUUGCUAAAUUGUAAUAUUAAUAAGUCAUAUUGACAAAUAGAUAAAAGGUUUAUGCUAUAAAAUAAUAAUACGUAUUUUUUGAGACUUGAUAUUUAAAUUACAAUAUUUUAUUUAUAUAUAUAAUAAUAAUACUAAUUAAAGAUUCAUAAAAUUAAAUACUAGAAUAUAGAUUUAUAGAAAUUUAAAUGUUUUGUUAUGUAAUAAUAGUAUUGUUAUGAAAUAAUAAAAAGGUAAAUUAUUUAAGCAAUUAAUUUUUAUAGUGUAAUAUAUAUGUUAUAUUUUUUUUAUAUAGAUAAUAACAAAUAAUCCAAGAUAUAAUAUAAAUUUAUUUAAAUUUCAAUAUUAUUAUAUGAUGUUAACCAAACAUAAAUAAUUUUAAAUCUUUUUUAUUAUACAAUGUAAAAGUUAUUUUUGCAAGUUUAAUAUAGUAGUAUUGAACUUAAAUUAGCUAUGAAUAAGUAAUGAUCCUCUAAUUUGUUCUCAUUCAAAAUCAUGUCGUCUGAAGUAAAUUUAUACUAAUAUUUAACUACCUAGUUUAAAUUAAUAGAUUUUUAUAAUUAUUACUUGGUUUUUAAAUAGUUGUUCAGAAUUGAAAUUAUCAAAUAAAUUACCUAGUGUCUAUAAAAACAUUAUAUUUGCAUAGAAUUUCAAAUAAUACUUGUGUGUAUAAAAAAUAUCAUAUAUUAUCAAUACAUAUAUGAUUGCAAUUAAAUAUUAUAUGAUAUGAUAUAUGGCAUUAUAUGCCUCACUACUAUAAUAUUAAUAACAAAAUAAAAAAUGUGUCAUAUAUAUAUACACAUAUUAUAAUGGGUAUAUGAAGAAAUUAAUAUAUGAAUGAUAUAAAUUGUAACAUUUUAUAAUAAUCAACAGUAUUUGAAAGCAUAUUUAAUGUUAAAAUGAUAAUUUAUUUACUUUAUAAUAAGUGAAUAAUUAUUAUAUUUUUAUUUCAUUCAUGAUUUUUGUGCUUUCAAUAAUAAAUUAAAUGGAAAAUAAAAUUAAAUAUUGAAAAUUAAUAGAAUUAUUAAAACUUUAUCUUAAUAUUUUAAUAUUUAAAAUGUAUAUAAAAUUUAGGUGUAAACAUAAUUAUAUAUAAUGUAGGCACUUUAAUAACUCAAAUGAAUGACUAUCCUAGUGGUGUAUAGUUAACUUCGUAAGCUUGGGAAGUCUGAACACUUUAUUGAUCUCAUUAUAAAUUUUUAUUUUUAAUUGUUAAAUAUUAAUUUAUCAUAAAUGAUUACUUAUUAAAAAUAAAAUCAUAAAUUAUAUCACAAAAUAGUAAAUGUUGUAUACUAACUUGUAAAGAAGUUUUUAUAUUUGUAUACAAUUUUUUAAUAAAACAUGUAAAACAAAUAUAGUUAUAAAAAUAAUUGUAACAUAUAAUAAAAUAGUAUAUCAUUUACAUUUAUAGUGUUUUAUUGCAUUUGAUAUUUUUGUUUGAAAUAUAAGAGAAAGAAAAUGAAAAAUAUAAAGAUGACUUGUUGACACGAAUUGUUGCACUUAGGCUUAUUCACUUUGAAAGUAAAUUUAUACUAAUAUUUAAUUACCUAGAUUAACCUAAUAAAAAUAUUUUUUUUAAUUAUUGUUUAGUUUUUAAAUAAUUGUUAAUAUUAGAAAUUAUCAAAUAAUAACCUAAUUUUUGUCAAGAUAUUCUAUUGACGUAAAUUCCAAAUAUGGUUUAUGUUUAUAAAGAUAUCAUAUAUCAUUAAUGAAUAUAUGAUUGUAAGUUAAAUAUCAUAUGAUACAAUACAUUGUACCAUAUGCAUAACUACUAUAUUAUUAUUUUAGAAAAUAAAAAAUGCAUUAUAUAUUAGUAAUAUAUUAUAUACAUAAAAACAAAAAUUGUAAGGUAUCUAACCACUUCUUAAUUAACAAUUGAUUAGUUUAAUUUUUAAAUAAUUUUAUGAUGUAUUAAUGAUCUUUAGCUUAACUACUAAAAUAAGAUAAUAAAUUAUGCCACAAAAGUAGCAACUAUUAUAGCUACUAAUUUGUUAAGGAUUGUUUUACACUUUUAUAUGUUUUUUAAUAAAAUAUUUAAUCUAUGAUUUUUAUUCCUUGCUUUAAAUUUCAAUUUUUAUUUUACUCUAAUUUCUAAUAUAUAAAUUCUGAUUUUUAAAUUUUUAAUUUUUAAUUUCUAAAUUUUAAAUAAUACAAAACUCAUAAAUCUUACAUUUUAUUUUUAGUCAAUUUUGUAAUUUAUAAAUUCUAAUUUUUUUAUUUUCUAAAUUUUCUAAAUUUUAAAUAAUAAAUAGUCCCAAUAAUAGGCAAAUAAUAAAGUUUCAAUUUUAUUUUUAAUCUAAUUUUUAAUUUAUAUUUUAAAUUUUUAAAUUUUUAAAUUCUAAAUUUUAAAUAAUAUAAAACAUAUAACAUCAUGAAAUGCAUUAAAUGCGCCGAGUUGUAGCAGCAUGCUACUGAGAUUUGGUUGUAGAGACGGCACAAUGGAUGGUAUGGAGUAUUGGUUGGGAAAUGAAAUGAAAAGAAAGUGAAAUAAAAAAGAAAAAAACAAAUCUCCCAAGCACCCACGUAGCACUGGGACUUUGAAAAGUGAGAAGACUUUCUCACCAACUCUCCAUCAUUUGCCUACAACUUUGAAAAUGAAAAAGAGCAUUACUUCCCACCACAUCUCUAACAUCUACCAUAACCUCCUGAACCUUCCACCAUUUUCACCAUCUCAUCUACCUUCUUAAAAAAUUGUUUCCCACUUGCAAGCCAUAUUCACCAUUCUCCACCAAAGUUUACCGAGCCGGCAAAGCUUCUUAUCUACCAUUUUCAUCGGUCUGUUAUACUACAGAAAUCUACCACUNNNNNNNNNNNNNNNNNNNNNNNNNNNNNNNNNNNNNNNNNNNNNNNNNNNNNNNNNNNNNNNNNNNNNNNNNNNNNNNNNNNNNNNNNNNNNNNNNNNNNNNNNNNNNNNNNNNNNNNNNNNNNNNNNNNNNNNNNNNNNNNNNNNNNNNNNNNNNNNNNNNNNNNNNNNNNNNNNNNNNNNNNNNNNNNNNNNNNNNNNNNNNNNNNNNNNNNNNNNNNNNNNNNNNNNNNNNNNNNNNNNNNNNNNNNNNNNNNNNNNNNNNNNNNNNNNNNNNNNNNNNNNNNNNNNNNNNNNNNNNNNNNNNNNNNNNNNNNNNNNNNNNNNNNNNNNNNNNNNNNNNNNNNNNNNNNNNNNNNNNNNNNNNNNNNNNNNNNNNNNNNNNNNNNNNNNNNNNNNNNNNNNNNNNNNNNNNNNNNNNNNNNNNNNNNNNNNNNNNNNNNNNNNNNNNNNNNNNNNNNNNNNNNNNNNNNNNNNNNNNNNNNNNNNNNNNNNNNNNNNNNNNNNNNNNNNNNNNNNNNNNNNNNNNNNNNNNNNNNNNNNNNNNNNNNNNNNNNNNNNNNNNNNNNNNNNNNNNNNNNNNNNNNNNNNNNNNNNNNNNNNNNNNNNNNNNNNNNNNNNNNNNNNNNNNNNNNNNNNNNNNNNNNNNNNNNNNNNNNNNNNNNNNNNNNNNNNNNNNNNNNNNNNNNNNNNNNNNNNNNNNNNNNNNNNNNNNNNNNNNNNNNNNNNNNNNNNNNNNNNNNNNNNNNNNNNNNNNNNNNNNNNNNNNNNNNNNNNNNNNNNNNNNNNNNNNNNNNNNNNNNNNNNNNNNNNNNNNNNNNNNNNNNNNNNNNNNNNNNNNNNNNNNNNNNNNNNNNNNNNNNNNNNNNNNNNNNNNNNNNNNNNNNNNNNNNNNNNNNNNNNNNNNNNNNNNNNNNNNNNNNNNNNNNNNNNNNNNNNNNNNNNNNNNNNNNNNNNNNNNNNNNNNNNNNNNNNNNNNNNNNNNNNNNNNNNNNNNNNNNNNNNNNNNNNNNNNNNNNNNNNNNNNNNNNNNNNNNNNNNNNNNNNNNNNNNNNNNNNNNNNNNNNNNNNNNNNNNNNNNNNNNNNNNNNNNNNNNNNNNNNNNNNNNNNNNNNNNNNNNNNNNNNNNNNNNNNNNNNNNNNNNNNNNNNNNNNNNNNNNNNNNNNNNNNNNNNNNNNNNNNNNNNNNNNNNNNNNNNNNNNNNNNNNNNNNNNNNNNNNNNNNNNNNNNNNNNNNNNNNNNNNNNNNNNNNNNNNNNNNNNNNNNNNNNNNNNNNNNNNNNNNNNNNNNNNNNNNNNNNNNNNNNNNNNNNNNNNNNNNNNNNNNNNNNNNNNNNNNNNNNNNNNNNNNNNNNNNNNNNNNNNNNNNNNNNNNNNNNNNNNNNNNNNNNNNNNNNNNNNNNNNNNNNNNNNNNNNNNNNNNNNNNNNNNNNNNNNNNNNNNNNNNNNNNNNNNNNNNNNNNNNNNNNNNNNNNNNNNNNNNNNNNNNNNNNNNNNNNNNNNNNNNNNNNNNNNNNNNNNNNNNNNNNNNNNNNNNNNNNNNNNNNNNNNNNNNNNNNNNNNNNNNNNNNNNNNNNNNNNNNNNNNNNNNNNNNNNNNNNNNNNNNNNNNNNNNNNNNNNNNNNNNNNNNNNNNNNNNNNNNNNNNNNNNNNNNNNNNNNNNNNNNNNNNNNNNNNNNNNNNNNNNNNNNNNNNNNNNNNNNNNNNNNNNNNNNNNNNNNNNNNNNNNNNNNNNNNNNNNNNNNNNNNNNNNNNNNNNNNNNNNNNNNNNNNNNNNNNNNNNNNNNNNNNNNNNNNNNNNNNNNNNNNNNNNNNNNNNNNNNNNNNNNNNNNNNNNNNNNNNNNNNNNNNNNNNNNNNNNNNNNNNNNNNNNNNNNNNNNNNNNNNNNNNNNNNNNNNNNNNNNNNNNNNNNNNNNNNNNNNNNNNNNNNNNNNNNNNNNNNNNNNNNNNNNNNNNNNNNNNNNNNNNNNNNNNNNNNNNNNNNNNNNNNNNNNNNNNNNNNNNNNNNNNNNNNNNNNNNNNNNNNNNNNNNNNNNNNNNNNNNNNNNNNNNNNNNNNNNNNNNNNNNNNNNNNNNNNNNNNNNNNNNNNNNNNNNNNNNNNNNNNNNNNNNNNNNNNNNNNNNNNNNNNNNNNNNNNNNNNNNNNNNNNNNNNNNNNNNNNNNNNNNNNNNNNNNNNNNNNNNNNNNNNNNNNNNNNNNNNNNNNNNNNNNNNNNNNNNNNNNNNNNNNNNNNNNNNNNNNNNNNNNNNNNNNNNNNNNNNNNNNNNNNNNNNNNNNNNNNNNNNNNNNNNNNNNNNNNNNNNNNNNNNNNNNNNNNNNNNNNNNNNNNNNNNNNNNNNNNNNNNNNNNNNNNNNNNNNNNNNNNNNNNNNNNNNNNNNNNNNNNNNNNNNNNNNNNNNNNNNNNNNNNNNNNNNNNNNNNNNNNNNNNNNNNNNNNNNNNNNNNNNNNNNNNNNNNNNNNNNNNNNNNNNNNNNNNNNNNNNNNNNNNNNNNNNNNNNNNNNNNNNNNNNNNNNNNNNNNNNNNNNNNNNNNNNNNNNNNNNNNNNNNNNNNNNNNNNNNNNNNNNNNNNNNNNNNNNNNNNNNNNNNNNNNNNNNNNNNNNNNNNNNNNNNNNNNNNNNNNNNNNNNNNNNNNNNNNNNNNNNNNNNNNNNNNNNNNNNNNNNNNNNNNNNNNNNNNNNNNNNNNNNNNNNNNNNNNNNNNNNNNNNNNNNNNNNNNNNNNNNNNNNNNNNNNNNNNNNNNNNNNNNNNNNNNNNNNNNNNNNNNNNNNNNNNNNNNNNNNNNNNNNNNNNNNNNNNNNNNNNNNNNNNNNNNNNNNNNNNNNNNNNNNNNNNNNNNNNNNNNNNNNNNNNNNNNNNNNNNNNNNNNNNNNNNNNNNNNNNNNNNNNNNNNNNNNNNNNNNNNNNNNNNNNNNNNNNNNNNNNNNNNNNNNNNNNNNNNNNNNNNNNNNNNNNNNNNNNNNNNNNNNNNNNNNNNNNNNNNNNNNNNNNNNNNNNNNNNNNNNNNNNNNNNNNNNNNNNNNNNNNNNNNNNNNNNNNNNNNNNNNNNNNNNNNNNNNNNNNNNNNNNNNNNNNNNNNNNNNNNNNNNNNNNNNNNNNNNNNNNNNNNNNNNNNNNNNNNNNNNNNNNNNNNNNNNNNNNNNNNNNNNNNNNNNNNNNNNNNNNNNNNNNNNNNNNNNNNNNNNNNNNNNNNNNNNNNNNNNNNNNNNNNNNNNNNNNNNNNNNNNNNNNNNNNNNNNNNNNNNNNNNNNNNNNNNNNNNNNNNNNNNNNNNNNNNNNNNNNNNNNNNNNNNNNNNNNNNNNNNNNNNNNNNNNNNNNNNNNNNNNNNNNNNNNNNNNNNNNNNNNNNNNNNNNNNNNNNNNNNNNNNNNNNNNNNNNNNNNNNNNNNNNNNNNNNNNNNNNNNNNNNNNNNNNNNNNNNNNNNNNNNNNNNNNNNNNNNNNNNNNNNNNNNNNNNNNNNNNNNNNNNNNNNNNNNNNNNNNNNNNNNNNNNNNNNNNNNNNNNNNNNNNNNNNNNNNNNNNNNNNNNNNNNNNNNNNNNNNNNNNNNNNNNNNNNNNNNNNNNNNNNNNNNNNNNNNNNNNNNNNNNNNNNNNNNNNNNNNNNNNNNNNNNNNNNNNNNNNNNNNNNNNNNNNNNNNNNNNNNNNNNNNNNNNNNNNNNNNNNNNNNNNNNNNNNNNNNNNNNNNNNNNNNNNNNNNNNNNNNNNNNNNNNNNNNNNNNNNNNNNNNNNNNNNNNNNNNNNNNNNNNNNNNNNNNNNNNNNNNNNNNNNNNNNNNNNNNNNNNNNNNNNNNNNNNNNNNNNNNNNNNNNNNNNNNNNNNNNNNNNNNNNNNNNNNNNNNNNNNNNNNNNNNNNNNNNNNNNNNNNNNNNNNNNNNNNNNNNNNNNNNNNNNNNNNNNNNNNNNNNNNNNNNNNNNNNNNNNNNNNNNNNNNNNNNNNNNNNNNNNNNNNNNNNNNNNNNNNNNNNNNNNNNNNNNNNNNNNNNNNNNNNNNNNNNNNNNNNNNNNNNNNNNNNNNNNNNNNNNNNNNNNNNNNNNNNNNNNNNNNNNNNNNNNNNNNNNNNNNNNNNNNNNNNNNNNNNNNNNNNNNNNNNNNNNNNNNNNNNNNNNNNNNNNNNNNNNNNNNNNNNNNNNNNNNNNNNNNNNNNNNNNNNNNNNNNNNNNNNNNNNNNNNNNNNNNNNNNNNNNNNNNNNNNNNNNNNNNNNNNNNNNNNNNNNNNNNNNNNNNNNNNNNNNNNNNNNNNNNNNNNNNNNNNNNNNNNNNNNNNNNNNNNNNNNNNNNNNNNNNNNNNNNNNNNNNNNNNNNNNNNNNNNNGUUCUAGAAGUUAUCAAAAAUGGAUUUUCCAUGGGGAAGAACAUGAAUCUCAACCUAAUGAGCAAAAUGAUAUUGGUGUUGAUACAGAAAUUGUUGACGCUACUGAUGCUGAUAUCCUUAAUGAAGUUGCGGAUGCAUUAAAUGAUGCAUGUGGACACAUAGACAAUGAUAUUAACUUAGAGGAAUCUACUACUCAUGGAAAAUUUGAUUACUUACUUGGUGAAGCUAAUAAAGAAUUGUAUCUAGGUUGUAAAAAGUUUUCUGCUUUGACAUUCCUUGUGAAGUUAAUGCAUAUUAAAGUCCUCAAUCGUUGGAGUGACAAGUCUUUUGACAUGUUACUCCAAGUUUUAGUUGAUGUUUUUCCAGAAAGAUCAAACAUUCCAAAGACAUACUAUGAUGCUAAGAAGAUGUUAAGAGAUUUGGGCUUAGGAUAUGAUUCAAUCCAUGCAUGCAAGUAUGAUUGUGCAUUGUUUUGGAAGGAGAAUGAGACUCUUGAUAAAUGUUCAAUGUGUGAUGAGCCACGAUAUAAGUUCUGUAAUGGAAAAGGUAAAAAAAUUCCUCAAAAAGUAUUGUGUCAUUUUCCACUAAAAUCAAGGCUACAAAGGUUAUUCAUGUCAAGGCAUACAGCAUCAGCUAUGAGGUGGCAUAAAGAAAACUGAAUCAGUGAGGAGGGAGUCCUAAGGCAUCCAGCAGAUUCUGAAGCUUGGAAGGAUAUGGACACCCAAUUCCCUUGGUUUUCGCAAGAACCUCGAAAUGUUAGAUUAGGGCUUGCAACAAAUGGUUUCAAUCCAUUUGGGAGCAUGAGUAAUAGUUAUAGCAUGUGGCCAAUUGUUCUUGUGCCAUACAAUAUGGCACCAUGGAGAUGUAUGAAAGAGAUGUUUUUCAUGUUAUCAUUACUAAUUCUAGGCCCACAAGCCUUAGGGAGAGAUAUUGAUGUAUACCUACGUCCUUUGAUAGAAGAAUUAAAAGAGUUAUGGCAUGAAGGUGUUCAAACAUUUGACAUGUCAACAGGAGAAAACUUUCGCAUGCAUGCAUGUGUUUUAUGGACAAUAAAUGACAUUCCUGCUUAUGGGAACUUGGCUGGGUGGAGUACAAAAGGAUAUAAAGCAUGUCCAGUUUGUAAUGAAGACACAUCGUCACUAAGUAUUAGAAGUAAAAUAUGUUACAUGGGUCAUCGACGUUUUUUACCUCUUGAUCAUGGAUGGCGAAGGAGUAAACAACACGAUGGUAAGCCGGAGUUUCGACCACCGCCAAGAAUGUUCUCUAGUGAUGAAAUAUUGCAACAAUUGUGUUGUCUUAAACAUCAGAAGCCUAGUAAGCAUCCAAACAACGUUGAUAGAAAGCAAAAACGGGUGCCUGAAGAAUUAAAUUGGACAAAAAAAAGUAUUUUCUUUGAGUUGGAGUACUGGUCAAAGUUGAAGUUGAGACAUAAUAUUGAUGUUAUGCAUGUUGAAAAGAAUGUAUGUGAUAGUGUUGUGGGAACUUUGUUAAAUAUUGUAGGAAAAACAAAAGAUAUAAACAAAGCUCGCUUAGAUUUGGCUGAUAUGAAUAUAAGGAAAGAAUUGCAUUUGCAAAUACAAGGGAACAAAUUGGUAAAACCCCAUGCAUGCUACACAUUGACUGUAGAGGAAAGGAAAGAGUUCUGUAAGUUUCUAAAGUCUGUUAAAUUUCCAGAUGGUUAUGCUGCAAAUUUAUCUAGAAAUGUUAGCAUCAAUGAUGGGAAGAUCUCAGGGUUAAAGAGUCAUGAUUGUCAUGUUUUGCUGCAAAAAUUACUCCCUAUCGCUAUUCGUCCAUAUUUUAAUAAAGAUUUGUGUACAACACUGGUUGAGUUGUGUAGUUUUUUCCAAAAGUUAUGUGCAAAGACCUUGUACAUGAAUGAUUUGGAAAAAUUAGAAGAAGGGAUUGUCUUAAUAUUGUGUAAGCUUGAAAGGAUAUUCCCACCAGCUUUCUUUGAUGUCAUGGUUCACUUGAUGGUACAUUUACCACGUGAGGCCAAACUUGCUGGACUAGUUAGUUAUCGAUGGAUGUAUCCAUUUAAGAGGUACAUUUUUACCUUUUUUGUUUAUUAAUAUUCUCAUCUAACUAUGUUACACAAUACAUGUGUUAAGGCUUAUUUAUUAACACUAUUUCUAUUUAGGAACUUAGGAACAUUGAAAAGAUAUGUGAGAAAUAAAGCUCGACCAGAAGGUUCAAUUGCAAAGGCAUACAUCGUGAAUGAAGCUUUAAUGUUUUGUUCAAUGUAUCUUACUGGAAUUGAAACACGUUUUAAUCGAAGUGAAAGGAACGAAGAUCGAUUUGAACAUCGAGUACAAGAAUGUCUUUCCAUAUUUUCAUAGCAAGCUCAACCAUUAGGCUGUCGAUAACAUCUCCAAUUUUCGAAGGAAGAGUUAACUAAGGCACAUUGGUAUAUCAUGAAUAAUUGCCCAGAGUUGAGACCAUACUUAGAGUAAGUUUUAGAAUCAACAUUAAAGAUAUUUCUUUAAUACCUCGUUACUUAAUAUCUAUUUAAUGAUGUAGUGAACAUACAAAAGAAUUGGAGAGGACAAGUUCACAUAACUUAGAGAAACGACAAGAACAAGAGUUUCCUAAGUGGCUUGCAGAUCGUGUAAGUUUUAUUUGUGUAAUUUGCUUGCUACAAUAUAGUUGUAAUGAACUAAUAUAAUUUUAAUAAUAUUUGAUAUUAAACUAUAAAUAAUUAUGUACAUUUAUAUUGUAGAUGAAAGCUUUGCAUGUUAAACAAUCACCAGAAGCAACUGAUGAACUAUACUCAUUAGCGUGUGGACUAGAUAAUCGAGUCCACACAUACAUGGGUUGUAUUGUUAAUGGAGUUCGCUUCCAUACAAAAGAUCAUGAUGAUCGGCGUAUCACCCAAAAUAGUGGGAUAUGUGUUUCUGGGGAGCAUGAUGGUGAGGAGGUUGAUUUCUAUGGUGUUUUAUCAAAUGUGGUUGUUUUGAACUAUGUCUUGGGGUAUAAGGUUAUUCUUUUCAAGUGCACAUGGUUCGACACAAACCAAAAGAAGAAGAGAAUAAAACAUGACUAUAAUUUUACCACAAUCCAAGUUAUCUCCACCUGGUAUGACAAUGAUCCUUUUAUACUUGCUACACAAACACAACAAGUUUUCUACCUAGAUGACUACAAAAAUGGUCAUAAUUGGAAAGUAGUACAAAAAGUGAAUCAUAGACACAUGUGGGAUGUACCAGAAAGGGAUACUAAUAUAGAAAUCGAUGAAGAAGUGUGCGGGGGAAGUGAUGAAGAAGCUUACCAAGAUAAUGAAUCUCAUGAGCUUAACUGGUUUGUAGAGCAAGAUGAUGGAUUUGAAUUUCAACGAUCUGACCGCUUAAACAUUGAUCUAGAAGUUGUUAAUGAUAAUGUUUUGAUUUUAGAGAACAUGAAUGACAAUGAUGAUAACUUCAUAUGUGAUGACAUUGAGGAAGAAGAUGAAACACUAGAUGAUUAUGCUAAUGAGAAUGAAAUGUGGCUUUCAAGUGAUAGUGAAAGUGAAAGUGAUUAAAGAGACUGGUAAGCUACAUUUUAUUUACUUUAUUAUAUGUUAAAUAACAUAAUGUAAUCUAGGUCUAGUUCUUUAAAUUUNNNNNNNNNNNNNNNNNNNNNNNNNNNNNNNNNNNNNNNNNNNNNNNNNNNNNNNNNNNNNNNNNNNNNNNNNNNNNNNNNNNNNNNNNNNNNNNNNNNNNNNNNNNNNNNNNNNNNNNNNNNNNNNNNNNNNNNNNNNNNNNNNNNNNNNNNNNNNNNNNNNNNNNNNNNNNNNNNNNNNNNNNNNNNNNNNNNNNNNNNNNNNNNNNNNNNNNNNNNNNNNNNNNNNNNNNNNNNNNNNNNNNNNNNNNNNNNNNNNNNNNNNNNNNNNNNNNNNNNNNNNNNNNNNNNNNNNNNNNNNNNNNNNNNNNNNNNNNNNNNNNNNNNNNNNNNNNNNNNNNNNNNNNNNNNNNNNNNNNNNNNNNNNNNNNNNNNNNNNNNNNNNNNNNNNNNNNNNNNNNNNNNNNNNNNNNNNNNNNNNNNNNNNNNNNNNNNNNNNNNNNNNNNNNNNNNNNNNNNNNNNNNNNNNNNNNNNNNNNNNNNNNNNNNNNNNNNNNNNNNNNNNNNNNNNNNNNNNNNNNNNNNNNNNNNNNNNNNNNNNNNNNNNNNNNNNNNNNNNNNNNNNNNNNNNNNNNNNNNNNNNNNNNNNNNNNNNNNNNNNNNNNNNNNNNNNNNNNNNNNNNNNNNNNNNNNNNNNNNNNNNNNNNNNNNNNNNNNNNNNNNNNNNNNNNNNNNNNNNNNNNNNNNNNNNNNNNNNNNNNNNNNNNNNNNNNNNNNNNNNNNNNNNNNNNNNNNNNNNNNNNNNNNNNNNNNNNNNNNNNNNNNNNNNNNNNNNNNNNNNNNNNNNNNNNNNNNNNNNNNNNNNNNNNNNNNNNNNNNNNNNNNNNNNNNNNNNNNNNNNNNNNNNNNNNNNNNNNNNNNNNNNNNNNNNNNNNNNNNNNNNNNNNNNNNNNNNNNNNNNNNNNNNNNNNNNNNNNNNNNNNNNNNNNNNNNNNNNNNNNNNNNNNNNNNNNNNNNNNNNNNNNNNNNNNNNNNNNNNNNNNNNNNNNNNNNNNNNNNNNNNNNNNNNNNNNNNNNNNNNNNNNNNNNNNNNNNNNNNNNNNNNNNNNNNNNNNNNNNNNNNNNNNNNNNNNNNNNNNNNNNNNNNNNNNNNNNNNNNNNNNNNNNNNNNNNNNNNNNNNNNNNNNNNNNNNNNNNNNNNNNNNNNNNNNNNNNNNNNNNNNNNNNNNNNNNNNNNNNNNNNNNNNNNNNNNNNNNNNNNNNNNNNNNNNNNNNNNNNNNNNNNNNNNNNNNNNNNNNNNNNNNNNNNNNNNNNNNNNNNNNNNNNNNNNNNNNNNNNNNNNNNNNNNNNNNNNNNNNNNNNNNNNNNNNNNNNNNNNNNNNNNNNNNNNNNNNNNNNNNNNNNNNNNNNNNNNNNNNNNNNNNNNNNNNNNNNNNNNNNNNNNNNNNNNNNNNNNNNNNNNNNNNNNNNNNNNNNNNNNNNNNNNNNNNNNNNNNNNNNNNNNNNNNNNNNNNNNNNNNNNNNNNNNNNNNNNNNNNNNNNNNNNNNNNNNNNNNNNNNNNNNNNNNNNNNNNNNNNNNNNNNNNNNNNNNNNNNNNNNNNNNNNNNNNNNNNNNNNNNNNNNNNNNNNNNNNNNNNNNNNNNNNNNNNNNNNNNNNNNNNNNNNNNNNNNNNNNNNNNNNNNNNNNNNNNNNNNNNNNNNNNNNNNNNNNNNNNNNNNNNNNNNNNNNNNNNNNNNNNNNNNNNNNNNNNNNNNNNNNNNNNNNNNNNNNNNNNNNNNNNNNNNNNNNNNNNNNNNNNNNNNNNNNNNNNNNNNNNNNNNNNNNNNNNNNNNNNNNNNNNNNNNNNNNNNNNNNNNNNNNNNNNNNNNNNNNNNNNNNNNNNNNNNNNNNNNNNNNNNNNNNNNNNNNNNNNNNNNNNNNNNNNNNNNNNNNNNNNNNNNNNNNNNNNNNNNNNNNNNNNNNNNNNNNNNNNNNNNNNNNNNNNNNNNNNNNNNNNNNNNNNNNNNNNNNNNNNNNNNNNNNNNNNNNNNNNNNNNNNNNNNNNNNNNNNNNNNNNNNNNNNNNNNNNNNNNNNNNNNNNNNNNNNNNNNNNNNNNNNNNNNNNNNNNNNNNNNNNNNNNNNNNNNNNNNNNNNNNNNNNNNNNNNNNNNNNNNNNNNNNNNNNNNNNNNNNNNNNNNNNNNNNNNNNNNNNNNNNNNNNNNNNNNNNNNNNNNNNNNNNNNNNNNNNNNNNNNNNNNNNNNNNNNNNNNNNNNNNNNNNNNNNNNNNNNNNNNNNNNNNNNNNNNNNNNNNNNNNNNNNNNNNNNNNNNNNNNNNNNNNNNNNNNNNNNNNNNNNNNNNNNNNNNNNNNNNNNNNNNNNNNNNNNNNNNNNNNNNNNNNNNNNNNNNNNNNNNNNNNNNNNNNNNNNNNNNNNNNNNNNNNNNNNNNNNNNNNNNNNNNNNNNNNNNNNNNNNNNNNNNNNNNNNNNNNNNNNNNNNNNNNNNNNNNNNNNNNNNNNNNNNNNNNNNNNNNNNNNNNNNNNNNNNNNNNNNNNNNNNNNNNNNNNNNNNNNNNNNNNNNNNNNNNNNNNNNNNNNNNNNNNNNNNNNNNNNNNNNNNNNNNNNNNNNNNNNNNNNNNNNNNNNNNNNNNNNNNNNNNNNNNNNNNNNNNNNNNNNNNNNNNNNNNNNNNNNNNNNNNNNNNNNNNNNNNNNNNNNNNNNNNNNNNNNNNNNNNNNNNNNNNNNNNNNNNNNNNNNNNNNNNNNNNNNNNNNNNNNNNNNNNNNNNNNNNNNNNNNNNNNNNNNNNNNNNNNNNNNNNNNNNNNNNNNNNNNNNNNNNNNNNNNNNNNNNNNNNNNNNNNNNNNNNNNNNNNNNNNNNNNNNNNNNNNNNNNNNNNNNNNNNNNNNNNNNNNNNNNNNNNNNNNNNNNNNNNNNNNNNNNNNNNNNNNNNNNNNNNNNNNNNNNNNNNNNNNNNNNNNNNNNNNNNNNNNNNNNNNNNNNNNNNNNNNNNNNNNNNNNNNNNNNNNNNNNNNNNNNNNNNNNNNNNNNNNNNNNNNNNNNNNNNNNNNNNNNNNNNNNNNNNNNNNNNNNNNNNNNNNNNNNNNNNNNNNNNNNNNNNNNNNNNNNNNNNNNNNNNNNNNNNNNNNNNNNNNNNNNNNNNNNNNNNNNNNNNNNNNNNNNNNNNNNNNNNNNNNNNNNNNNNNNNNNNNNNNNNNNNNNNNNNNNNNNNNNNNNNNNNNNNNNNNNNNNNNNNNNNNNNNNNNNNNNNNNNNNNNNNNNNNNNNNNNNNNNNNNNNNNNNNNNNNNNNNNNNNNNNNNNNNNNNNNNNNNNNNNNNNNNNNNNNNNNNNNNNNNNNNNNNNNNNNNNNNNNNNNNNNNNNNNNNNNNNNNNNNNNNNNNNNNNNNNNNNNNNNNNNNNNNNNNNNNNNNNNNNNNNNNNNNNNNNNNNNNNNNNNNNNNNNNNNNNNNNNNNNNNNNNNNNNNNNNNNNNNNNNNNNNNNNNNNNNNNNNNNNNNNNNNNNNNNNNNNNNNNNNNNNNNNNNNNNNNNNNNNNNNNNNNNNNNNNNNNNNNNNNNNNNNNNNNNNNNNNNNNNNNNNNNNNNNNNNNNNNNNNNNNNNNNNNNNNNNNNNNNNNNNNNNNNNNNNNNNNNNNNNNNNNNNNNNNNNNNNNNNNNNNNNNNNNNNNNNNNNNNNNNNNNNNNNNNNNNNNNNNNNNNNNNNNNNNNNNNNNNNNNNNNNNNNNNNNNNNNNNNNNNNNNNNNNNNNNNNNNNNNNNNNNNNNNNNNNNNNNNNNNNNNNNNNNNNNNNNNNNNNNNNNNNNNNNNNNNNNNNNNNNNNNNNNNNNNNNNNNNNNNNNNNNNNNNNNNNNNNNNNNNNNNNNNNNNNNNNNNNNNNNNNNNNNNNNNNNNNNNNNNNNNNNNNNNNNNNNNNNNNNNNNNNNNNNNNNNNNNNNNNNNNNNNNNNNNNNNNNNNNNNNNNNNNNNNNNNNNNNNNNNNNNNNNNNNNNNNNNNNNNNNNNNNNNNNNNNNNNNNNNNNNNNNNNNNNNNNNNNNNNNNNNNNNNNNNNNNNNNNNNNNNNNNNNNNNNNNNNNNNNNNNNNNNNNNNNNNNNNNNNNNNNNNNNNNNNNNNNNNNNNNNNNNNNNNNNNNNNNNNNNNNNNNNNNNNNNNNNNNNNNNNNNNNNNNNNNNNNNNNNNNNNNNNNNNNNNNNNNNNNNNNNNNNNNNNNNNNNNNNNNNNNNNNNNNNNNNNNNNNNNNNNNNNNNNNNNNNNNNNNNNNNNNNNNNNNNNNNNNNNNNNNNNNNNNNNNNNNNNNNNNNNNNNNNNNNNNNNNNNNNNNNNNNNNNNNNNNNNNNNNNNNNNNNNNNNNNNNNNNNNNNNNNNNNNNNNNNNNNNNNNNNNNNNNNNNNNNNNNNNNNNNNNNNNNNNNNNNNNNNNNNNNNNNNNNNNNNNNNNNNNNNNNNNNNNNNNNNNNNNNNNNNNNNNNNNNNNNNNNNNNNNNNNNNNNNNNNNNNNNNNNNNNNNNNNNNNNNNNNNNNNNNNNNNNNNNNNNNNNNNNNNNNNNNNNNNNNNNNNNNNNNNNNNNNNNNNNNNNNNNNNNNNNNNNNNNNNNNNNNNNNNNNNNNNNNNNNNNNNNNNNNNNNNNNNNNNNNNNNNNNNNNNNNNNNNNNNNNNNNNNNNNNNNNNNNNNNNNNNNNNNNNNNNNNNNNNNNNNNNNNNNNNNNNNNNNNNNNNNNNNNNNNNNNNNNNNNNNNNNNNNNNNNNNNNNNNNNNNNNNNNNNNNNNNNNNNNNNNNNNNNNNNNNNNNNNNNNNNNNNNNNNNNNNNNNNNNNNNNNNNNNNNNNNNNNNNNNNNNNNNNNNNNNNNNNNNNNNNNNNNNNNNNNNNNNNNNNNNNNNNNNNNNNNNNNNNNNNNNNNNNNNNNNNNNNNNNNNNNNNNNNNNNNNNNNNNNNNNNNNNNNNNNNNNNNNNNNNNNNNNNNNNNNNNNNNNNNNNNNNNNNNNNNNNNNNNNNNNNNNNNNNNNNNNNNNNNNNNNNNNNNNNNNNNNNNNNNNNNNNNNNNNNNNNNNNNNNNNNNNNNNNNNNNNNNNNNNNNNNNNNNNNNNNNNNNNNNNNNNNNNNNNNNNNNNNNNNNNNNNNNNNNNNNNNNNNNNNNNNNNNNNNNNNNNNNNNNNNNNNNNNNNNNNNNNNNNNNNNNNNNNNNNNNNNNNNNNNNNNNNNNNNNNNNNNNNNNNNNNNNNNNNNNNNNNNNNNNNNNNNNNNNNNNNNNNNNNNNNNNNNNNNNNNNNNNNNNNNNNNNNNNNNNNNNNNNNNNNNNNNNNNNNNNNNNNNNNNNNNNNNNNNNNNNNNNNNNNNNNNNNNNNNNNNNNNNNNNNNNNNNNNNNNNNNNNNNNNNNNNNNNNNNNNNNNNNNNNNNNNNNNNNNNNNNNNNNNNNNNNNNNNNNNNNNNNNNNNNNNNNNNNNNNNNNNNNNNNNNNNNNNNNNNNNNNNNNNNNNNNNNNNNNNNNNNNNNNNNNNNNNNNNNNNNNNNNNNNNNNNNNNNNNNNNNNNNNNNNNNNNNNNNNNNNNNNNNNNNNNNNNNNNNNNNNNNNNNNNNNNNNNNNNNNNNNNNNNNNNNNNNNNNNNNNNNNNNNNNNNNNNNNNNNNNNNNNNNNNNNNNNNNNNNNNNNNNNNNNNNNNNNNNNNNNNNNNNNNNNNNNNNNNNNNNNNNNNNNNNNNNNNNNNNNNNNNNNNNNNNNNNNNNNNNNNNNNNNNNNNNNNNNNNNNNNNNNNNNNNNNNNNNNNNNNNNNNNNNNNNNNNNNNNNNNNNNNNNNNNNNNNNNNNNNNNNNNNNNNNNNNNNNNNNNNNNNNNNNNNNNNNNNNNNNNNNNNNNNNNNNNNNNNNNNNNNNNNNNNNNNNNNNNNNNNNNNNNNNNNNNNNNNNNNNNNNNNNNNNNNNNNNNNNNNNNNNNNNNNNNNNNNNNNNNNNNNNNNNNNNNNNNNNNNNNNNNNNNNNNNNNNNNNNNNNNNNNNNNNNNNNNNNNNNNNNNNNNNNNNNNNNNNNNNNNNNNNNNNNNNNNNNNNNNNNNNNNNNNNNNNNNNNNNNNNNNNNNNNNNNNNNNNNNNNNNNNNNNNNNNNNNNNNNNNNNNNNNNNNNNNNNNNNNNNNNNNNNNNNNNNNNNNNNNNNNNNNNNNNNNNNNNNNNNNNNNNNNNNNNNNNNNNNNNNNNNNNNNNNNNNNNNNNNNNNNNNNNNNNNNNNNNNNNNNNNNNNNNNNNNNNNNNNNNNNNNNNNNNNNNNNNNNNNNNNNNNNNNNNNNNNNNNNNNNNNNNNNNNNNNNNNNNNNNNNNNNNNNNNNNNNNNNNNNNNNNNNNNNNNNNNNNNNNNNNNNNNNNNNNNNNNNNNNNNNNNNNNNNNNNNNNNNNNNNNNNNNNNNNNNNNNNNNNNNNNNNNNNNNNNNNNNNNNNNNNNNNNNNNNNNNNNNNNNNNNNNNNNNNNNNNNNNNNNNNNNNNNNNNNNNNNNNNNNNNNNNNNNNNNNNNNNNNNNNNNNNNNNNNNNNNNNNNNNNNNNNNNNNNNNNNNNNNNNNNNNNNNNNNNNNNNNNNNNNNNNNNNNNNNNNNNNNNNNNNNNNNNNNNNNNNNNNNNNNNNNNNNNNNNNNNNNNNNNNNNNNNNNNNNNNNNNNNNNNNNNNNNNNNNNNNNNNNNNNNNNNNNNNNNNNNNNNNNNNNNNNNNNNNNNNNNNNNNNNNNNNNNNNNNNNNNNNNNNNNNNNNNNNNNNNNNNNNNNNNNNNNNNNNNNNNNNNNNNNNNNNNNNNNNNNNNNNNNNNNNNNNNNNNNNNNNNNNNNNNNNNNNNNNNNNNNNNNNNNNNCUUAGUGAACCGUCAAAACCAGGCCCUGGGAGAUUGUUUGAGACCAUACAAGGAUUUUUGGAGUCUACAAACCUUGUUGAAAUUUGAUGUUGUCUCAAGUCCAGCAGGAAUCUCCAUGUAAACUUCUUCCUCUAAGUCACCAUUGAGGAAGGCACUCUUCACAUCAAGUUGGUGAAGCGACCAAUCAAGAUUAGCUGCCAAGGAUAAAAGUAUACGAACAGUAUUGAGGUUGGCAACUGGAGCAAAAGUUUCUUGAUAGUCAAUGCCAUAGGAUUGGGUGAAUCCUUUGGCGACCAACCGAGCCUUAUACCUGUCCAUAUUACCAUCUACCUUGUAUUUUACUGUGAAAAUCCACUUACACCCAACUGGUUUCUUACCUCUUGGGAGGUCAGUAAUUUCCCACGUACCAUUCUUUUCUAGCGCCCGAACUUCCUCAUCGACUGCCGCCUUCCACUUAGGAUACUUGAAAGCUUCCUGAAUAUUCCGAGGAACUUGUAUCUCUGUGAUGCUAGAAGUGAAUGCACGAAACGUAGGUGAUAGCUUAUCAUAAGAAAUAAAAUUUCCAAUGGGAUGCUGAGUGCAUGAUCUAACUCCUUUCCUCCAAGCUAUGGGCAUAUUAAGAAUAUCAUUUUCUAACUCGAAAUCAACAGUACCAUCAAGAGCGUUGUUACCUGGAAGUUUGCUUGGAUUAGGACCCGGUUCAGCCUCAUGGGUUUGUUGAGAAAGUGCUCCUUCCUCCGUUUCCUCUUGGAUGUGCUCCUUAUCCCACAAGUCAACAAUGGACUCAGGCUUAUUAAAUGACUCUGGAGGAAUGUGAUUUUCAGUGGUGAUGGGUGACUCACUGAAUGACUCAAGAUCCCAAAAUUGAUAUUCCUGAGUUGAAUUCUCCCCCUGAAUAUCGUUUUUGGGAUAGUAAGGCUGGGUUUCAAAAAAUGUGAUAUCCAUUGAAUUGUAGAAUUUUCUUGUGACUGGAGAGUAACACUUAUACCCUUUUUGAUUUGAAGAAUACCCAAGAAAGAUGCACUUGAGUGACCUAGGAUCAAGUUUACUUCUUUUUUGUUGAUUGAUAUGAACAAAGACAGAGCACCCGAAAAUUUUGGGUGGGACGGUGGAGAUGAGACGAGUAGUCGGAAAGGAUUUUAGGAGUGUUUGACAAGGUGUUUGGAAUUUUAGUACCCUAGACGGCAUCCUAUUGAUGAGGUAGGCUGCCGUAAGGACAGCUUGCCCCCAGAAUAAUUUUGGAACAUUCAUGGAGAACAUUAGUGAUCUAGCCACCUCUAACAAAUGCCUAUUUUUCCUUUCAGCGAUUUCGUUUUGUUGUGGGGUAUCAACACAUGAACUUAAGUGAACUAUCCCUUCUUGUGCUAGAAAUUCUCCUAGAAUGGAGUUGAAAUAAUCCCUAGCAUUAUCAGACUUUAGAAUUUGUAUUUUUGACUGGAAUUGGGUCUGAAUCAUAUUUUUAAAAUUUUUGAAAAUUUGACUCGUUUCAGAUUUUUCUUUCAUGAGGAAUACCCAAGUUAAUCUAGUGUGAUCAUCUAUGAAUGAGACAAACCACCUAGUACCAGUUACAUUUUUUAUUCUUGACGGACCCCAGAUAUCGCUAUGAUCAUGAGAUGGACUAGACUCUUNNNNNNNNNNNNNNNNNNNNNNNNNNNNNNNNNNNNNNNNNNNNNNNNNNNNNNNNNNNNNNNNNNNNNNNNNNNNNNNNNNNNNNNNNNNNNNNNNNNNGGGAAGUGAUGAAGAAGCUUACCAAGAUAAUGAAUCUCAUGAGCUUAACUGGUUUGUAGAGCAAGAUGAUGGAUUUGAAUUUCAACGAUCUGACCGCUUAAACAUUGAUCUAGAAGUUGUUAAUGAUAAUGUUUUGAUUUUAGAGAACAUGAAUGACAAUGAUGAUAACUUCAUAUGUGAUGACAUUGAGGAAGAAGAUGAAACACUAGAUGAUUAUGCUAAUGAGAAUGAAAUGUGGCUUUCAAGUGAUAGUGAAAGUGAAAGUGAUUAAAGAGACUGGUAAGCUACAUUUUAUUUACUUUAUUAUAUGUUAAAUAACAUAAUGUAAUCUAGGUCUAGUUCUUUAAAUUUAUGUUAUGUGUUGUGAUAUUCCUUUUUUAUUAUUAUUUAUUUGUCUUUAUUGUUAUUUUAUUAUAGAUGACUCCUGGACGAAAGCGGUCACCUUCUGAGUUAACUCAACCACCCACAACAACACCCAUGACUCCUUUUUAUGUCGAUGUUCCAAUGCACACAUCCAAUGAGGGCACUAGUAGUUGUAAGAAACUUCUUACAUUUAUAUAUUUUACUUAUUAUAAUUUUGUAAGAUAUUUUUUUUUUAAAUUUUAAAUUAUAAUGAGUUGUAAUUUAAUUUUAGUCUUUUUAUUAACUCUUAUUAAUUGUUAAAGUUUAAUCAAUAAUUUCAUGGUAGCACCUAAUAAAGAAAUUUAAGAGGCAAAACUAGAGGUGUCAUUCUUGACAAACUUAUUGAAGCUAAUGGGGGCAAACCUCUUCCGAUCACAAUCAAGCCAUCUAAUGGGAAGCAAACAGGAAAAUAUUGUGAGAAAUUGUCAAAUGAGAUUGGGUUAAUAGUGAGACAACAUGCACCUGUUAGAGUGGAAAAAUGGAACCAAAUGCCUCGAGCUGAGAUCAAUACAAUGCUUGAUCGAAUCAAGGUAAAGUUGCUUGAAAUAUAUAUAUAUUUUUUAGCUUGUAAUUAUAACUAAUUGUUGGUUAUCUCUAAACUUACUUUAUCUCAUAUUAGUUCUUCCCUUGUUUGACUAUGAAGGAAAAGUUUGCCCUAGAUUUGACACAAGAGCAUGUGAAGAAAAGUUUAGAAAAACAAUUAUCUGACCGCUUUAGAAAUUGGAGAUGUGAUUUGCACAAGCACUUCAAAAAGUUCCCAACUGUGGUGGAGGCUAAGCGAAAUCCUCAUGAAUCUGUGUCAAAUCAGGAAGAUUGGGACUACUUUUGUGAUAGAUUUUCAAGUGAAGAAUUUAAGGUAAAGUUUUCAAUGAAUAAUCAUUCAAACCUAUUUCUUAUUGAAUAUUCUACUAACUAUAUUUAUAUUAUUUUCAAUAAUAACUAUUAUUACAGCGUCGUUCAGCAAUCAAUUCAGUAAAUAGAUCAAAGAUGCCUUUUCAUCAUCGAGGAGGCUCUCGUUCAUUUAUCCAACAUGGUCUACAAGUGGUAAAAUAUAAAACUAAGGUUCUUUAGUUAUUCAUAUAACUUAUAAUUCUUAAUAUUAAUGCAUAAUACUUGACAGCCAACAGAGAAUGGAGAGAUGGUUGGCCAAAUUGAACUAUUCAAACUAGUUCAUUGGAAAAGUCAAGAUGGAUGGAUAAAUCAAGAGGCUAGAUAUUAUUAUGUAAGAUUAUUUUGAUAGCUUUCUAUGUUUAAAUCAUGUUUGGGAUUAUGAAUCUUUGUGGAAGUGUCAUCGUGAUAGUUUAUUUACCAUGUUUUGAUAAAUAAGGCACUUCCUUGGUAGUUUUCAUAAAUCUAUAAAUUUUGAUUUGGUUAUUGAUUGCUUGGGUGUUCAAUGUUGUUAAAUUGAUUAAUAGCAGGGAAAAUUUGGCAAAGUCUAAAAAUUAGGAGAGACUAUGCCAAAAUUUCUAUUGAAAUUUUAUCUUACCAACUUAUUAUUAUAACUUUUCUUACUCAAAAUUACAUUUAAGAUUAUUAGUACUUGUAAAGUAUUAUUAUAUCAACUUGUAUACUAGAUUCUUAUUUCAAUUUUUAUAUUAUUUAGUGUGUGAUUACAAGCUAAUUAGGUUCUUCUUAGGUAGAAUCCUUGAAGUAAACUUUUGUUUGGGCAUUAACUAAUCAUAAAUCUUUAUUGUUAAAUAUUUGAUUAUGUGGUUGGUAAAAAUUUGUGGAAAUAGUAAAGAAUUAAAGAGGGAUUAGUAUAUUAUUAACUUGAAUAUAUAAUAGGUCAAAUUUUGGAAAAAAAACUAAGAAAUAUAAGAGAAUAUGCCAAAAUUUAAAUAGGAUUUUUAACUUGUUAACUUCUUGUUAUAAUUUUCUUUGCUUAAAAUUAAGUUGAGAUUCUAUGUACUUUUCAAUUUUUACCAUUUUAUUAUGUAUAUAAGAAUCUUGUUUAUGUGAUAACAAGUUUAGAUACUUUUUUUAGCCAUUUCUUUGCUUAAAAUGAAGUUUAGGAUUAUAUGUGCUUGUGGGGUGUUACAAUAUUUGUAUAAAAAAUAUCAUAUCCUUAUUUGAAAUCUAAUAUUAAGGGACUAUUCCAAAAUUUAAUUAGGAUUUUUAACUUAUUAACUUCUUGUUGUAAUUUUCUUUACUUAUAAUUAAGUUGAGAUUCUAACUACUUUUCAAUUUUUAUCAUUUUAGUAUGUAUAUAAGAAUCUUGUUUAUGUGAUAACAAGUUUAGAUACUUUUUUAGGCAUUUAUUUGCUUAAAAUGAAUUUUAGGAUUAUAUGUGCUUGUGGGGUGUUAUAAUAUUUGUAUAAAAAUAUCAUAUCCUUAUUUGAAAUCUAAUAUUAAGGGACUAUUCCAAAAUUUAAUUAGGAUUUUUAACUUGUGAACUUCUUGUUAUAAUUUUCUUUACUUAUAAUUAAGUUGAGAUUCUAACUACUUUUCAAUUUUUAUCAUUUUAGUAUGUAUAUAAGAAUCUUGUUUAUGUGAUAACAAGUUUAGAUAUUUUUUUAGGCAUUUCUUUGCUUAAAAUUAAGUUUAGGAUUAUGUGUGCUUGUAGGGUGUUACAAUGUUUGUAUAAAAAUACCAUAUUCUUAUUUGAAAUCUAAUAUUAAGGGACUAUGCCAAAAUUUAAAUAGGAUUUUUAACUUUAUAACUACUUGUUAUAAUUUUCUUUACUUAUAAUUAAGUUGAGAUUCUAACUAAUUUUCAAUUUUUAUCAUUUUAGUAUGUAUAUAGGAAUCUUGUUUAUGUGAUAACAAGUUUAGAUCAUUUUUUAGGUAUUUCUUUGCUUAAAAUUAAGUUUAGGAUUAUGUGUGUUUGUGGGGUGCUACAAUGUUUGUAUAAAAAUACCAUAUUCUUGUUUGAAAUAUAAUAUUAAGGGACUAUGCUGAAAUUUAAAUAGGAUUUUUAACUUACUAUCUUCUUGUUAUAAUUUUCUUUACUUAAAAUUAAGUUAAGAUUCUAACUACUUUUGAAUUUUCACCAUUUUAGUAUGUAUAUAUUAUUCUUGUUUAUGUGAUAACAUGUUUAUAAACACUUUUUUAGGCAUUUCUUAGCUUAAAAUUAAGUUUAGGAUUAUGUGUGCUUAUGGGAUGUUACAAUGUUUGUAUAAAAAUACUAUAUUCUUGUUUGAAAUCUACUAUUAUUUACCAUAUAAUAACAAAUUAAGGCACUUGGAUGUUUUGUUGUGCUAAAAAUCAAUUUGAUUAUUAACUAAUUUGAAAUUCCAAUGCUUAUAUUUAUUAUAUAUAGUAGGUAUAAUUUAAAAAAUAUCUACUAAAUAUGGGAGAUCAUGCCCAAAUUUAAUGGAAAUUUUAAUUUACUAACUUAUUAAUUAUGUUUUGGUUCUUUUUUUUUUGUUUUAUUUUUUAUUUUGCAUAUAUAGGAGAAGAUGUUGGAGCUUUAACGCCAGCCUAUUGCAGAAGGAGCUGUGGCUAUGACUGAGGUAGAAAUUUGUGAGAAAGUUUUGGGACAAAAAUCAGGAUAUGUCAAGGGCCUUGGUUUUGGCCCUAAACCAAUCUCAUUUUCUAAAUCUAAACCAUCAUCUUCUGAGCGUGAAAAUGAGUUGGAGCAUAGACUUAUUGAGACUCAACUACUUGUGGAGACUCAACAACAAUAACUUGAGACUCAACAAGAUCGAAUUGACCAAUUGGAGGCCUUCGUACAAAAACAAAAUCAACAACAUCAUCAACAAUUUGAAGAAAUAUUGCGUCAUCUAUGAUCAAGCCAAGGGUCCUCAUGAUCCCUUUUUUUAUGAUGUGCAUAUGAUGGACGUUCAUUUCUUUUUUUUGCCUAUGCUAAUAUAGUUGUUUUGUGAUAGACAUUUUGUUAAACUAAUACUUUAUUUUGUUUUGUAGUUAUAUUAGCGUAGAUAUUAUACUACUAUGAUCACAUGUUAUGGUUACAUAUAUUAAUUACCAAUGAAGUUAUGUGAUAUAUAUUUUGAUUUUUGUAAGCAGGUUUCAGAAUUAACCUUUCUAUUAUAAUUAAUGUUUUAAAUACCAAAUGCCAUACAUUUGUAAUAUGAAAAAUAAAAAAUGUAAAUACAUUUCCUGACAAAAAAAAAAAAUUGUUACUAAAGAUAUUUCCUGAUGAAAUAUUUUUGUUGCUGAAGAUUGUUGUAUCAUCCACAACUAAUUUAUAAUUCACUGGCAUACGUUUUAGGGACAAAAUCAUUUUGUAAAUAAAAGGAUUUAGCAACGAAAUGAAUUUGUCAGUAUUAAUGAUAAAUAUUUUAGUUCAAAAAAAUCCUUUAGCAAUGAAAUAUCUAUUUCAUCAAGAAAAACUUUUAGUGACAAAAUGGAACUUUCGUUGGGAUUGCAAAGCAUAGGGAGACGAAAUUAAAUUGUUACAAAAAAUAUUUGGCAGCAAAAUAAAUUUGUUAGCACUAAGUAUUGACGACUUUGAGGACAAAAAUUUAUAUUUUUUAGUGGCAAAAAUUCUUAUUUUUGUUAAUGAAAAAUUUCGUUGGGGAAAAUAUUUAGUAACAAAAUUUUUAUUUCAUCAGGGAAAAUAUUGGGCGACGAAAUAGGAUUUUUGUCGGGAAACUUUUAGCGACGGGUCUAAGGCAACGAAUGUGACACGAAACAUUUUUCGUUGGGAAAUAUUUUUGCAGACGAAAUUUCGACUUUUAGUGACAAAAUAUUUUAUCAUUGAAAGUUAAUUUUCUUGUAGUUAAAUGAAAACAAAUUGAAAUACUUUUGUAAAUAAAAUUGUAAUUUUUUUUUGUAAAAGCAAGUAAAAAUCAUUUUUGUUGCCAAAUUGAAAUUUUGCAAUAAAUUAUUUUGAUAUAAUAAGUGAAAAUAAAUUUUUUUGAAAAUUAAAUACAAAUGAAAUUGAAUUAAAUCAUUAAUUAAAAAUAAAUUGAAACUUCUUUUUUGGCAAUAAAAAAAAAUUAAAAUCAUUAAUUUAAAAUCAUUUUUAAUAAAUACUUUGAAAUUUCUUGAAAAUUAUUUUUUUAAUAUUUUUUUUUAGUUCAAUAAAUCAUUUUGCAUAAUUCUCUUAUUAUUUAUUUUGUGUAUUCUUGUAAUUAGAUUUCAUCAUUAUUUUUGUGUAUAUUAAUUUUCACCAUGACUUGUACAUACUCAUUUACAUGAUUAUUUUUCUUGGUAUCCAUAAUUAAUUAAUUAAUCAUCACAAUUUCCUUAAUUCAUUUAGUAGAGGGCAUACGUAUACAAGCUUAGAGGGGUGUUACAGCUCAUUACAAUACCUUCCCGAUAUGUAACGGGGGACUCAAACUCAAUUUUUCACAAACUUGUUUUUACUUCGAGAGUCACAUUUAAGGUUUUUCUUUUUUAUUUUGUUUUUCCCUUAAAAAAAUAAAACAAAAAUCAGUAACGACUUUAAGUCUUUUUUAAAAAAUCAUAUUUUUUACCAAAUAAAUAAAAAACGAGUCUCGUUGUCGAGUGGAGACGCACAUGAAAAACGUAGGUCCACACCGAUAUAUUAUAUUAUUUUUUAAUUUAUUUAUAAUUUAAAACUAAUUUCAUUUUUUAUAAGACCUCAAUUAAAUUUCUAUUAAUUAAAUUUAGAAUAUUUUUACAAAAUCAAUAUAGAAAAAUUAUUUAAAAAAAAAAAAAAAAAAACCAACUUGUAGACUCCUUCUCUUGAGCUCUAUUUUUUUUAUGGUCUGAAACAAGGGGGCAUGGCAUGACCCAAGGGAGAAAUUUUCGAUUUUUUAGUGAAGGAGGGGACACCUCCCAAGAAGGUAGCUGCCUUGGACGUGUGGCAAGGGAGAUUGGCUGCCCAUGAAAGUGGUUGCAAGCCCAUGCUUGCUGUGAGGUGAAUAGGAGAGUGGGUGGUGGCUUGCCAAGGAAGGGAAAAAGAGAGAGAAAAAAGGGGAGUUAGAGCUGAGGGCAAGGGUGGAGCCAGAGAGAAAGGAGAAGCCCGAAUGAGAAGAAGGGAGAGGUACGACAUUUACCAUGACUCUUUGGACUCACUUGAUGUAUAUAAUCUCCUUAUUUUUCUCUUAAUAGUUUCGAGUAGAUUAUUCGAACAUAUGUUUCGUUUUAUGGUUCAUAGUUAUGGUUUGGAUGCUACUAUCUCUUUCAUAUUUUUGGUUUGUUUUGAGAGCAAUGAAGCUCUGUUUUAACCUCCUCCUCAUGGCCAUUACCGUGCUCAUCAUCCACCCCCAAUACCCACAUCGUCACGCACCAAUAUACCAGCUCCAUUUCAUCACCAUCCCACGUUCCAUGCAUGGCUGUCACCCUCACCCAUCCUCCCAAUCACCUUUUCUCUCUCUACCCGCCAUACCCAUCCUUCACCCGCAUGCGCGGAACCUGGUAUAUUUGGCUGCCCACCAUGCCCGCGUUCAGCUCAUCUCCACAGGAACCCCCAAAGCCGCCCGUCUACACGCGUGUGUCCCAUGCAUGCAAGCCGCCCCAUCCCUCAUUUUUUUUUGCUGCAUGCACCGCGUCGACAAGGCGUCUGCUCCUCACCAGCCACCAUCACCCGCUCCAGCCAUGCGGGCAUUUGCACCAGCCACCAUGGCGGCAGCAUCUCUUGGAUGCCAUGGGACUACCACCAUUGCUCCUUGAAGACUUUGAAGACUAAAAUAUGAAGAAUUUGAAGACAAACUAUGGAGGAACACAGACUCAAUUCAUUCUGUGAUUCUUUUUUUUUUUUUUACAAUGAAAGAAAGCAUAAAUAAAUAGCCUACAGAUAUGAGAUAAUUCCGGAAUGGUACACUAUCACUGGACGGAAUUUCCCUUACAUGGAAAGUGUUACAUGGAAAGUGAAUAAACUACCUUGCUAGAAUUACUCCUAAAUCAAUUAUAAUAAAGGUUGUACAUUACACUAAUUCAGGGAAGUAAACAGAGGAUGCUAAAUAUGGGGAGGAACAUGCACAGGCAGGAAGGCGACGUGGGCUUGAUUUCCAACACUCCCCCUCAAGCCGCGUUGUAGAUGUUGAUCAUUCCAAGUUUUUCUGUCAGAUCUUCGAAGUUAACUCGAGCAAGAGCUUUUGUGAGAAUGUCAGCCGUUUGAUAGUUUGUCGGAGUGUAGCUGACUUUGAAAACUCCUUCUUCAAUCUUUUCCUUGAUAAAGUGUCGAUCUAUCUCCACGUGCUUAGUUCGAUCAUGAUGAACCGGAUUCUUAGCGAUACUGAUGGCAGCUUGAUUGUCGCAGUAUAACACCAUGGGAUGCUUCAAUGGAACCCAUAAUUCUUCUAGCAGCCUGUUCAACCAGAUUUCCUCGCAGAUACCUUGUUCCAUAGCACGAAAUUCUGCCUCAGCACUGCUACGGGCUACCACUGACUGUUUCUUGCUUCGCCAUGUAACCAAGUUCCCCUAGACAAAUGAACAAUAGCCUGAAGUUGAUCUCCGAUCAGUCACUGAACCUGCCCAAUCUGCAUUUGAAAAAAUCUCAAUCUCUUUCUUUGUUGUUCUUUGAAAGAAAAGACCCUUUCCCGGUGUCAUCUUGAGGCACCUCAAUAUUCUGAUCACAGUAGUCAUGUGUUUUUCGGUUGGAUUAUUCAUGAAUUGACUUACCACACUAACGGAGAAGCCGAUGUCUGGCCUUGUAUGAGAAAGAUAGAUGAGUUUCCCCACAAGACGUUGAUAUCUUCCUUUAUCAACUGGCGCACUUCCAUCACUUUCUUCCAGUUUGACAGUUGUAUCCAUAGGUGUUUCUGCUGGCUUGCAUCCUAGCAUUCCUGUUUCAUUCAAUAAGUCCAGAACGUAUUUGCGUUGUGAGACUGCUAUACCUUUCUUUGACCUAGCAAUCUCCAUUCCGAGAAAGUACUUGAGGUUUCCAAGAUCCUUGAUCUCAAAUUCCUUUGUCAGUAAUUUUUUAAGUAAGUCAAUUUUCUCUUCAUGAUCACCUGUCACNNNNNNNNNNNNNNNNNNNNNNNNNNNNNNNNNNNNNNNNNNNNNNNNNNNNNNNNNNNNNNNNNNNNNNNNNNNNNNNNNNNNNNNNNNNNNNNNNNNNGAUAGUGCCACAACAUAAUUGCACUAUUGUUAUUUUGACAUGAAACCGAAAAAGAAUUACUACCAACUGCCAUUUGAGGUUGUUCUUGUGGAUCGUGGCGCUCCUUAAGGAUGUAGAGUCCAGAGCAUUCCUCAGCAUUGCCAAUCGUCUUCCCCGAAUCCAAAUCCUGAAAUUCACAGUGAGUGGAGGAAAAAUUAGUAAUACACCUCUUUUCCUUAGUGAGUUUACUAAUUGACAAUAGAUUACAGUCCAAGUUAGGAACAAGGAGAACAGAGUUGAGAGUAAGAUCCCUUGAUAGCACAACUGAACCUGUUCCGGCAACCUUUGAUAGUGAACCAUCUACUAUUCGGACUGUUAAAUUAUUUGGACAUGAGCUAUAUGUAUCAAAAAUUGUCGCAUCUCCCGUCAUAUGAUCAGAUGCUCUUGAAUCCACGAUCCAAGGUUUUUUACGUUUCUUACCAGCAGUGAAGGCACUCAAAAAAUUACCUUUGUGAGCCAAGGUUCCGGAACCAAUGACCUGGUUGGAAGAUGAGCCAGUUUGUGACUGUACUGACAAAAGAGGAGACAGUAGUUUCUGAAGCAUCUCCAUUUGCUCCUUAUUAAAAGGGCUAGCUUCAGGUUGUGGCGAUUGUUCAUCGGUAGCCACAUGAUUGCCUCGUCCUUCUUUCUCAGGUGGUUGACGUGGCUUCCAAUCUACUGGCUUUCCAUGAAUCUUCCAACAAGUUUCUCUUGAGUGUCCCGGCUUUCUGCAAUGAUCACACCAAGGUCUACCUCCUUUAAUUUUUUGACGGUUGUCAAAAGGAGCGAAUUGAGUCUUAAGAGCCGAGCUUUCUGCCAUAUUCAAUUGUUGAUGGGAUCCCAUCAUGAGAUUUUUCCGACUUUCUUAGCAACGGACUUCAGAGAAUGCCUCUCUGAGGCUAGGUAGAGGUUUUACUCCCAUGAUUCUUCCUCUAAUUUCAUCAAGAUUUUUGUUCAAGCCUAACAAAAAUUUAAACACACGUUUCCCUUCGACAAUCUUUUUAUACAACAAACCAUCUGUAACACAAUUCCAGUUAUGAACCUCAAACGUAUCAAGUUGACGCUGAUUCGUCCCUAGCAGUGGAAGUGGCAAUGACACCAUUUGAUUCGAGGUUCGAUCCCCGGCAACGGCGCCAUUUGAUUCGUCCCUAGCAGCGGAAGUGGCAAUGGCACCAUCUGAUUCGGGGUUCGAUCCCCGGCAACGGCGCCAUUUGAUUCGUGCCUAAUUGGUGUCUCAGCUGAUUCGUGUCCAGCUGGUGCUCCUUGAUUGAGGGAUUAAUCAACAAAAUUUAUAACCUAUUACACCAUAUACUAGGGUAGCAAAGACAAAGCUACUAUAGCAUAGUGGCUCUAGGAUCGUUCACUAGGAUGGGUUUUCACUUCACAAAUGAUGUUAAUUCAAAGUUGAAUUGGUGCCUUUUCAUUUCAAGGUUAGCUUUAAAAGAAAACAUAAAGAUGCUUGAAUGAAAAAAAUUUGGUUUUAAACUAACCAAAAAUAGUAACUGAUUUUACUUAUAAAGAAAAGUGUUUCUUGGAGUUCAGAUCACUAGGCUCGUUCCUCAUACAAAAUGGAGAGUUCCGGUCACUUGUUUAUUUUCCUCGCAUUAGAGAAUUAACAUAUAGUUCCUUCUCCAACCGGUGUUGUACAGAUGCUUCCCAUUAAUGGGUUCAAACACUAAAUCUCUCUCACUGAUGCAUCUUGCAAUGGUUCAUGCCUCUCACGAGCACUUACCAUUCAAGAUGAUCUUUAACCUUGGAUUUCCCUUCUCAAACUCGCAAGAGAUAACUAAUGGAUGUCUCCUUGGAGUCCAAAAGCUUACCAAGUGUUGGCUAUUCUAGAAAAUCCUACCUACAAGUCACCUCCCAAAGGCUCGCAAGGGGUAAACUAGUGCAUUUCCAUGGUUGGAAAUCACUUGCCUUACCAAGUGUUAGCCCAGGUGACUCUAAGGUGUUUUAAGUUAACUAAAAACAUAGAAAUCACUAACGGGUUACACUUUCUCUUCAUUAAAAACUAAAACAACAAAACUUCCAAAUUAUGCAUGUGGAAACUUACCCGGCUUUCCUCACUCCAAGAGACAAAAAGCUUAGCCUCUCAUCCUCUGUGGAAAAAUCCUCAGAGUUUGGUUGGCUAGAAAAUGAAAAUGAAAGAGAAGACAAGAAUAUAUAUCAAAAACAGAGCAAGUGCUCUGUUCGUUGAUUCUAUAUAUUGGAUUACAUGAUAUAUCUGAUUACAUGCCCCUCUUACAGUGGAUGCAAGAGAGUUUAUAUAGGAAUGUUUUUCCAACCUUCCCAACUAAGAAAUCUUAUGGUUGGUGGAUUACAAGGAGAGGAAUGGAAAUUUAUACAAAAAUAUCUUAAGAAAAGAUCUAAAAGAGUCGGUGGCAAAUAUCGGGAAGCAUUAAGGACCAUUUCGCAGGUGAAAAUGGUGUCUGCGAGAUUUCGCAGACACUCAAGAGGGCUGCGAAAUAUUUUCGCAUCAACAAGCUGAACUCGCAGGACUGCGAAAUUGGCUUCCACCUUGAGGUUCUCAGAGUUCCAGCUUGUGGCAUGUAUCGGGUAGCUUCAGGAGGAAUUCCAUAGCACUGUACAAAAAGGCUGCGAAAUUCUCGCAACAAAAGGCUGAAUUCGCAACACUUUGGAGUGAUCUGCUUGCAAUGGCUGUAACUCCUUCGUUUCAACUCCAAAUCGUGCACCGUUUGAAGCAUUGGAUUCUUGACUUCCUGAGCUUUGAAAUGGUAUAUAGAAUAUAUAAAAUGGACUUCGUGAAGUGUUCCAAAAGUGCGCAAGAAGACUGCAGUUGGCUUUCCUCUGUUUUCUUCACUCUGUUUUCCUCUUCUCCUUGCUUCUCUCCUUGCAUACUUUGAACGACUUUGGCAAAGGGCUAUGGAGCUCCAAAGCUUGGUUCUUCAUGAAUUUGAGCUCUUCAUUGCUUUGCCAUGGAUUCCAAAUAACUCUCCUCAAUCUUGGAUUGUUUUGGUGAUCAAAUUACUAACAAAAACACCAAAACUUACACAAUUUGAUUAGAAAUGAUUGCAAGGGUCCUUAACAUGUUAAUUGAGUUAAAAGGCAAUAACUACUACUCAAAAGUGUUUAAAAGGAUUAAUUACAAGCUACAAAAUAGCACUUUUUGAGUAGUAAUCACUCCCCCCAACCGACAUAUUGCUAGUCCCUUAGCAAUGAAGGUGAUAAAAACUAAGUAAACUAUAAUAAUAUACAUAAAAUGGAUCAUGCAAAUCACUCCAAAAAAUGAUAUGAGUGGCAUGAUGGACAUCCAUGGAUCAAUAAAGAUGUGAAACUCAACCUAUAAUAAGAGUUGUCAAAGCAUUCACUUGAUCAUAGAGUACAAAGAAUGGAUAUUAUGCAGGUUUAAGCAUCAAAAGAAUUUCCACUCUCAAAAGAUCCAAAUCAAAUUCUUCCACUAAAAGCUAAGUGUUAAUGUGAUUAGCUUCCGAGUAUAGUAUGGAUAACUAUCAUCUCCCCCCAACCUAAGUCUUUCUUUAAGCUUAGCAAAAUUAACCAUCUCUUGAUAGGCUAGGAACGCACCUCUUAUUCACAAUUCUUUUCACUUACUAAACUUAACCAAUUCACCCAUGUAACAAGCAGAGGAUCGGUGACUCCCAACCAAUAAAGGCUUAGGGCACCAGGCUUUAAAGGCUUUCGCCACCCCUUCGGACCAUGCUCAGGUUUCAAGGCAAGUAAAGAAGUUUAUUCUUUUUUUUUUUUUUCUUUUUCUUUUUUCUUUUUUCUUUUUCUUUUUCUUUUUCUACAAAGACUCAUUGGUCUUUAUGAGGUGUCCCAACACUAUUAAAGAGAGGUUAAGGGUGUCAAAUUAUGAUUUCUCAAGCUUAGAGGGUGAGAUAGUUUCACAUCUUAUAACCGGAAUCUAAUGUAUGUGUGUGCGAAUAGCUUAAGGUGGAAGAGAUAAGUUUGCAUGCAAUGGGAGUUUCAACAAUUCAUCAACUUUUAGAAGAGCAUAAUACAAACUCUAAGACUCAUGUAAUCAAGUUGAAACUCGACUUCUCUCAUUUAAUUUUGAGAGUUAAUCCUUAAUAUCCAUGGAGUUUAAAGCAAAAAUUUUAAAAAUUAAGCAAAAAACAACUAAAUUACCAAAAUAACUUAGCAUUAUUAACAAUACUUACUUCCUCAACUCUCCCCCCAACCAAGCUGAACAUUGUCCUCAAUGUGACAAAAGCGAUUAAAAAAUAGGGAGGAAGUGGUACCUCCUUAGUGACAUGGAGUCUGAGUCGUAUAGGAGAAACCACAUGUUUCAAAGAAAACAUAAAAGAGUUAGUGAGUAGAGGAAAUAAAAAAAUGCCAAGUUUAAACAAAAAAUGAUGUCUAUGUAUGAUGCAUCAUCAGUAAUACAUCCAAUCCCAGAAUAUAAGACAUCAAAACAUGGAAUUAUCUAUACUAAUAUAAUAUGUAAAGACAAAAAGUAAAGAGAUGAUCAUGUAAUGGUAAGGUCCUGUGGAGCUGAUGUGUCUGUGGUGGCCUCUUGAAUGGGUUGGAUCAGGAUUUUGGCCUCUGUUCUGGUAGUCUCCUUAAGUGGCAUGGUCUCCUCAGCUGGAGCUCUCAGUUAGAGCUAUGAGCUUUGAUGGUUUAAGGAGGUCAGAAAUGGAGUGAGAGGCUUGGUGUGUGUGAUCUCAAGGUGUGCGGGGCUCUCCUCUUCAGAUGCAUGGUUGCAGAGCUCUAUUGGCAUUUUAGCAACUUCCCUUGGCUUUGCAAAGUGUUUUUGCAAAUCACCCUCCAUUUUGCAAGUCAAUUUCGCAAUUUGAAGGCCCUUUCUAAGCUUGGAGGUGAUUUCAUAGCCAUUUCGAAGCUUGGAGAUCAUUUCGCAGAAAAGUGGCAUGUUCACAGACCAUUUUUUAAGCUUGGAGCAUUUUCGCAGCUCAUAGGUGAUUUCGCAGCCAUAUCGAAGCUUGGAGAUCAUUUCAUAGCCAUUUCAAAGCUCAAAAGUGAUUUCGCAGGUGUAUCGCAGCUUCAAAAUGAGGGGAAUUGUGCUGCAAAUGGCACUCGUGUGCCAAAAAGUGGUUUCGCAGCUGCGAAACACCCUUCCAAAUGGCGUCUCGGCUGCGAAAUUCCCGUUUAGCUUUGCGCGCUUGUCUUCAAACGGCCAUAACUUCUUCAUUUCAAAUCCAAAUCGAGUACCGUUUGAAGCUAUGGACUCCUGACUUCUCAAGAUUUGAAACGAGAUAUCAUGUGCAUAAUUUGAGCUCCAGAAAGUGCUUCAAAAAUGUGUCCAACAGUAGCGAAAUUGAGGUGCGACAUUUCCGUUCAUAGUUUGCACAGUCAUCUUCAAAUGGCCAUAACUUUUCUGUUUCAAAUCCAAAUCAAGUACCGUUUGAAGCUGUGGACUCUUGACUUCCCAAGCUUUCAAAUGAGAUAUUGUAUGAAUAAUUUGAACUUCGGGAAGUGAUCGAAAUGUGUCCAACAAUUGCCAAAAUGGGGGUGCGGCUGUGAAAUUGGGAUUUUUCAUGUUUUGGAACUUCGCAGCCGUUUCGUAGCUGCGAAAUGAGGGUUACUGUGCUGCGAAAUGGCACUCGUGUACCAAAACCGGCUUCGCAAUUGCGAAAUACCCUGCGGAAUGGAGCUUUGGCUGCGAAAUUGAGAAUUUUCACGCUUUGGAGCUUCGCAGCCGUUUCGCAGCUGCGAAAUGAGGGUCACUGUGCUGCGGAAUGGCACUCGUGUGCCAAAAGUGCUUUCGCAGCCGCGAAAUCCUUUGCGAAAUGGGACUUUUGUUGCGAAAUCAGCCUUUUUCACUUCGCAAUGCGUUUCGCAGCUGCGAAACAUAUGCUCCUGUGCUGCGAAGUGGCACUCGUGUGCCAAAAUGGGUUUCGCAGCUGCGAAAAUUUUCGCAGAGACUUCUACAGUGUUGCGGAAUGGUUUGGCAACAAAAUGCCGAUUUCGCAGAGGCUGCGAAAUCUCGCAGACCCUUGUUUUUCCCCUGUUUUCGCUCCGUUUGACUCCGAUUUUGCUCUGAUUUUUUUUCUUCAAUUUCUUUGCAAUUCCUCUUGAUUUUGAUCAUUCAAAAACCUAUAUUACAUCAAAACAAAUUAGAAUUAAAGCAUUGAAAUCAAAAUUAAAGCAUUGAAAUCCAAAUUAAAACAUUGAAAUCAAAAUUAAAACAAGAAAUUAACAAAACAAAAAGAUAUGGACUAGCUAGUCUUUAAAAAGACUAAGUCCAUCAAAAAAUUUGCUCAUGAUUUAGCUUGCCCGGAUCCCAUAUGAAGCUUACAUCCCUCACUUGAGACUUGGUUUGUAUGAUUUUGCCAUACAAAGCUUGGAGAAAAGGUGGAGGCAUGCGUUUCAUCAUUUCUUCCUUGAUGACUAUCCUCUGUGGUUCUCUUUGUACAUUAAUAUCAUAGCCAUCAUUCUCUAUGCUUUCCCCCUUUUUCUUUCCUUUGAUUUCCUCCCUAUUUUCUUUCUCUGUUUCACUCUCUUCCUUAUGCUCUAGCUUGCAUGUGGGCAGAUCAACCUCUUUACCACUCCUCAGAGUGAUCACUUCUUCAAUUUCCUUCACCAUUGAAGAUUCUCCCUCUUGAGCCUCCACUUCAUGGAUGCCCUUGGAAUUUUGACAAGGUUGAGAAGGAGAGUUUUCUUUCUCUUGCACUAUGUUGAGGUUGGCAAGCCUUGAGAUUGAAUCUUGGAGAAUAUCUAACUUUUGAGAUAGAUCAUUUUGCAUUUCAUCCAUCCUUUUAUUCAAAGUACUCUCCACUCUAUCAAUUCUUUGAUCGACUCGAGCAUUGGUGGCUUCUUGCUUUUCAAUAAAAUCUCCCAUGACCUUGCAAAGAUUCACCAUAGCUUGUUCAAGGUUUGAGGCUUGCUGUGGUGCUUGAGCAGGUUGCUGAUACUGAGGUGGCUGUGGUUUCCAAGAGAAAUUUGGAUGGUCCCUCCAAUUGGAAUUGUAGGUGUUGCAAUCACCAAACAUUUCCCUCUCGGCUGGAAUGGUAGGACACUCAUCCACCAAGUGCUCAUAUGAUAGACAAAUGGCACAAGGCAUAGCUUGCAAUGAUGACUGAGAGAUGGCUUGCACUUGUUGCAUAUUCGUCAUUUCUAGCUUUUCCAAUCUCCUUUCCAUAGCUGCAAUCUCUGCCUUCAUGUUCAUACCAUCAUUCAAAAUAUACAUCUCACCCUUAGCUUUAGGUUGAGAUGUCAUUCUUCCCAUAUCUCUAGCAUUUGGUUCAUUCCAUCCUCUUGAGACUUCAGCCACAUAACUCAUGAAGUUCAUGGCUUCCUCUGCUAUGGUAUUCAAUAUGGCAUGCACAACUAGCAAUUUAUGAAUUAAAAACAGAGAACACAAAAGAAAAUAAAAGAAAAACAAUUCAAAGAAAGAAAAUUAAGGUAAACUAAAAACUAAAUAAAAGGUAUACUAAAAUAUGAACAAUAAAGAAAUAAAAAGAGUUAGUAAAAGGAAAAGAAAAGUCACCAAACUUGUGAUGAAGAUCACAAGUACUCUAGAAAGGUGAUAUCACUGUAAAGUGGCACCAUCCCCGGCAACGGCGCCAUUUGAUUCGUCCCUAGCAGUGGAAGUGGCAAUGGCACCAUUUGAUUCGAGGUUCGAUCCCCGGCAACGGCGCCAUUUGAUUCGUCCCUAGCAGCGGAAGUGGCAAUGGCACCAUCUGAUUCAGGGUUCGAUCCCCGGCAACGGCGCCAUUUGAUUCGUGCCUAAUUGGUGUCUCAGCUGAUUCGUGUCCAGCUGGUGCUCCUUGAUUGAGGGAUUAAUCAACAAAAUUUAUAACCUAUUACACCAUAUACUAGGGUAGCAAAGACAAAGCUACUAUAGCAUAGUGGCUCUAGGAUCGUUCACUAGGAUGGGUUUUCACUUCACAAAUGAUGUUAAUUCAAAGUUGAAUUGGUGCCUUUUCAUUUCAAGGUUAGCUUUAAAAGAAAACAUAAAGAUGCUUGAAUGAAAAAAAUUUGGUUUUAAACUAACCAAAAAUAGUAACUGAUUUUACUUAUAAAGAAAAGUGUUUCUUGGAGUUCAGAUCACUAGGCUCGUUCCUCAUACAAAAUGGAGAGUUCCGGUCACUUGUUUAUUUUCCUCGCAUUAGAGAAUUAACAUAUAGUUCCUUCUCCAACCGGUGUUGUACAGAUGCUUCCCAUUAAUGGGUUCAAACACUAAAUCUCUCUCACUGAUGCAUCUUGCAAUGGUUCAUGCCUCUCACGAGCACUUACCAUUCAAGAUGAUCUUUAACCUUGGAUUUCCCUUCUCAAACUCGCAAGAGAUAACUAAUGGAUGUCUCCUUGGAGUCCAAAAGCUUACCAAGUGUUGGCUAUUCUAGAAAAUCCUACCUACAAGUCACCUCCCAAAGGCUCGCAAGGGGUAAACUAGUGCAUUUCCAUGGUUGGAAAUCACUUGCCUUACCAAGUGUUAGCCCAGGUGACUCUAAGGUGUUUUAAGUUAACUAAAAACAUAGAAAUCACUAACGGGUUACACUUUCUCUUCAUUAAAAACUAAAACAACAAAACUUCCAAAUUAUGCAUGUGGAAACUUACCCGGCUUUCCUCACUCCAAGAGACAAAAAGCUUAGCCUCUCAUCCUCUGUGGAAAAAUCCUCAGAGUUUGGUUGGCUAGAAAAUGAAAAUGAAAGAGAAGACAAGAAUAUAUAUCAAAAACAGAGCAAGUGCUCUGUUCGUUGAUUCUAUAUAUUGGAUUACAUUAUAUAUCUGAUUACAUGCCCCUCUUACAGUGGAUGCAAGAGAGUUUAUAUAGGAAUGUUUUUCCAACCUUCCCAACUAAGAAAUCUUAUGGUUGGUGGAUUACAAGGAGAGGAAUGGAAAUUUAUACAAAAAUAUCUUAAGAAAAGAUCUAAAAGAGUCGGUGGCAAAUAUCGGGAAGCAUUAAGGACCAUUUCGCAGGUGAAAAUGGUGUCUGCGAGAUUUCGCAGACACUCAAGAGGGCUGCGAAAUAUUUUCGCAUCAACAAGCUGAACUCGCAGGGCUGCGAAAUUGGCUUCCACCUUGAGGUUCUCAGAGUUCCAGCUUGUGGCAUGUAUCGGGUAGCUUCAGGAGGAAUUCCAUAGCACUGUACAAAAAGGCUACGAAAUUCUCGCAACAAAAGGCUGAUUUCGCAACACUUUGGAGUGAUCUGCUUGCAAUGGCUGUAACUCCUUCGUUUCAACUCCAAAUCGUGCACCGUUUGAAGCAUUGGAUUCUUGACUUCCUGAGCUUUGAAAUGUUAUAUAGAAUAUAGAAAAUGGACUUCGGUAAGUGUUCCAAAAGUGCGCAAGAAGACUGUAGCUGGCUUUCCUCUGUUUUCUUCACUCUGUUUUCCUCUUCUCCUUGCUUCUCUCCUUGCAUACUUUGAACGACUUUGGCAAAGGGCUAUGGAGCUCCAAAGCUUGGUUAUUCAUGAAUUUGAGCUCUUCAUUGCUUUGCCAUGGAUUCCAAAUAACUCUCCUCAAUCUUGGAUUGUUUUGGUAAUCAAAUUACUAACAAAAACACCAAAACUUACACAAUUUGAUUAGAAAUGAUUGCAAGGGUCCUUAACAUGUUAAUUGAGUUAAAAGGCAAUAACUACUACUCAAAAGUGUUUAAAAGGAUUAAUUACAAGCUACAAAAUAGCACUUUUUGAGUAGUAAUCAGACGCCAUAGACGAGUAAGAGUAUUGAAAUAUUCAGUUAACGUAAGGUUUCCUUGACGCAAAUCGUGGAGGAUGCCUUCAAUCUGGAUGAUUUCAGAUGUGUUUUCCUUGUCUGAGAAAGUUUCUUUUGCAGUGUCCCAGAUUUCUUUGGCAGUAUCAAAUGAUAGAAAAUUUUCACCAAUAUCAGUGGUCAUAGAGUUGACUAGCCAGGACAUGACCAUAUUAUUUUCUGCUAUCCACUUUUUGUAGGUUGAUGCUGUGGUUUUUGGUGCCACCGAAGCUCCGGUGAUGUAGUCAUCUUUCUCCUUUCCCUGUAUAAACAUUAAUAUGGACUGAGACCAUUGCAAAUAAUUUUGCUCAUUCAGUUUAUGGGCUGUGAUUGGAAGAUGAGAGGUUUCCAUCUGAUGAGAGGAUGAAGACGAUGAGAUGAUGAUAUCAGAAGUAGAGGAUGAUGAGUUGGUAGCCAUUCCAAAGGCUGGACCGUAUUUAGGCAUAAACUAGAAGAAUAGAAUUGAGUAGGAAAAAAAAAUACUGACUAAAGAUGAAGACGAUGAGACAGGAUUAAACCUGCUCUGAUACCAUGAAGAAUUUGAAGACAAACUAUGGAGGAACACAGACUCAAUUCAUUCUGUGAUUCUUUUUUUUUUUUUUUACAAUGAAAGAAAGCAUAAAUAAAUAGCCUACAGAUAUGAGAUAAUUCCGAAAUGGUACACUAUCACCGGACGGAAUUUCCCUUACAUGGAAAGUGUUACAUGGAAAGUGAAUAAACUACCUUGCUAGAAUUACUCCUAAAUCAAUUAUAAUAAAGGAUGUACAUUACACUAAUUCAGGGAAGUAAACAGAGGAUGCUAAAUAUGGGGAGGAGCAUGCACAGGCAGGAAGGCGACGUGGGCUUGAUUUCCAACACUCCUCUCUCCAUGGUGUCGCCGGUGGUGGGAGCUUCCUCUAAGGAUGAUAUCCAGGCGGAGAGGCAAGCUAUGAAGGAGAUGAAGUCUUGGGCUUGAGAAGAAGCCCAACCCAAGCAUGUUGAUGGAGCCAUGCCAUCUCAAAUAAGUGGGAUGUGAGGGGAAAUGAUGCCUUGGGCUUGCCCAUGGUGGGAAUGGAUUUGGGCUUAAGUUGAGGCACCAGGCCCAAGCUAUGAUGAUGAUGGUGCCUUGGGAAGAGAAUGUGUGAAGAAGAACCCAGCAUUUUGGACAAAUCCCUCAUCAUUAUCAAAAUCUGAGCCAAUCGCCAUGAAUCAAUGGAAAAAAAAUGCUUUAAAUCAACAGCAAAGACAUACCUUCUUGUCUACGUAGUCCGCCCAGAACCUGGCCUGAGCUCUCUGGUAUGGGUCACUAGGCAAAAGCGGAGAUUUAUCGUGCCAAACCUCAUCAAUAUACUGAACUAUUAUCAGAGACUCACAAAUGGGCUUUCCAUUGUGGAUCAGAACCGGGAUUUUCUUAUGAACUGGAUUCAUCUCAAGAAGCAGAGGGCUCUUAUUCCUAAGGUCCUCCUCUUUAUAUUCAUACUUGAGGCCCUUCUCUGCCAGGGCAAGUCUGACCCUAAUACCAAACAUGCUAGGCCAAAAAUCCAACAAGAUAAUCUCGUCUGUCAUUGCUCCUACUGUGAUCAAGUAUUGAUGAACAACCCAAGGGAUAUUGUCAAGUAUUUAUAGCAAAUCUCAGAGAGUGAGUCAAAACCUUGGACAUUUCUAGGAGGUGGUGAUGGCGUGAUGCUCAUUCCUUAUCUCAGCAUACACUUUCCUUCCAUAUUAUAUCCUUAUCUCGGUUUUCUUUCUCUCUCCAGAAUUCCAAAAUUUUAAGUUUUUCUAUAUUUUUUUAUCAGUCUAGAAUUUUUUUUUAUCAAAUCUCAGUUUAAUGUAUUCACUUUUUUUAUUAAAAAAAAUUAAAAAUGUCAGUUGAGAUAUUCUUAUAUUUUUAUCAUUUGUACAAAAAUAAUUUAAUUUUAAAAUUAAUAUCAUAUUUAAAUCCAAAAAUAUUAUCAGAUAGAAAGCAAUUUAGCGUUUUUUUAUAUAUAUAAUAUCUGCAUUCAAAAAAAAAAAAUCAGCACAUUUAUUUAUUUUUAAAAACUUAUUAAAUUUUAAUUUUACUAGUAAAUAAUAGAAAUUAAAAUAAUGAACUUGUGCCAUAAGUUUGUGAGAGAAGUAAACUUUGGUUAUGGAGCAUCCAAUGCUCUGGUUGCUUCCACGAGAGGUCAUUGCUGUCGUCAGCCCUGGUCAACUAAGUACACUUGUCCACUCCAUGAAAUAUAUUUAUGUUAUUUUUUAUUUUAAAUUUUUGGUAGGAGAACUCUUCGCUAUGAGAAAAAAACACACUCUCAAAUGUGGGAGAUUGUCAUAAAAAAAAAAUUAAUAAUAAAUAAUAAUAAAUACGGGGUGAUCUCACCACUUACAUAUCUCCUCCGUCAUAAAACCAGAAUCAUUGAAUAUGGUUCUAGUUUACUAUGGUUCUAGCUUUAUGGCUUGAUUAAAAUUUACAAUUUUUUGUUUGUAUUAAAAUAAAAUAGAUAUAUAUUUUUUCAUAAAAAAAUCAUAUUAAAUAUUUUAUUUUAAUUUUAAAAUAUUUUUAUAGUUCUUUGCUCUUAAUAGAUAAAGACAAAAGAUUUAUACUCUAUUUAGUAAUUAUUUUUUGAAAUAAUUUUCUGUUUUUGAAAACCAAAAAAGAAAAAAAAAAAACAAGAAAACAAGAAAACAAAUUUGACAAUUUUAAAAAAAAAAAAUUGAUCUUAAAAGCAAAAAUAUGGUAUUUUUGAAAACAUAUUUUAUUGGUUUUCACUUGAUUUUUUUAUGGUUAUUUAAAAAGUAAACAUGCAACAUAAAGAGUGAUUAAAAAUAAAACAUUACACAUAAAAUUUAUUAUUAAAAUAUAUUUAAAAAUAUAGAAAACAACUUAAAAAUAUUUCUAUUCCAAAACAAAUUUUUUGUCUAUAAAAUAUCAAAAAAGAAAUUUCAAAAACUAUUUUUAAAAAUUUAUUUUUCAGAAUUGUUUUAAAAAUAAGUACACCAUAUAUAUAUAUAUAUAUAUAUAUAUAUAUUAUGUAUGUGACUCAUUUGCUCUAAUUGGACAUGAUCUUCCAUUUUUGUAGGCCUAGGCUGACAUAAAGGGCUUUCACUUUUUUUAUGGGCUUGAGGCUUUCACAUAUCCCAUUCUACAUCCUAGAACCCUACGUACAUCAAUUGAAAAAAUAGAUACGUCGUAUUAAAAAAUAAGCACAUCUUAAAAAAUAAGUACAUCUAUACUUGACUCAUUUGUCCUAUUUUGGACAUGAGCUUUCAUUUUUAUAACUGACUCAUUUGGCCAAUUUUUUGAGGUCUUUGCAUAUCCCAUUUUGCAUAGAAGAACUUUGGGUAUAUCCUUCAGAAAAAAUAAAUACAUCAUAUUGUAAAAAUAAGUACAUUCCCUUAAAAAAUAAUUGGUACAUAUUAUUUUCAUUGUAUAGGUGACUUGUUUGGCUUAUUCUUGUUUGGCAUGUCUUAUCCAACUUGUUUUAAUACUUGUUUAUGUGACAUGAAACGAUGGAAUGGACUAGAAUCUCCCCUGUGACAUUUAGUCAACUUCAAAUAUCUUAGUAACUCUAGUUAGAAUUGUUGAUUAGGUCAUCUAUUUGAACUUUUAUGCACCCUAAUAUCUUGUGAAACACCCUCUAGGCUCUAUUAUAUGGUAGAUAGCUUUAGAAAAUGUCCCUUUUCUUUUUCAUAUGUAAAUUUUUGUCCUCAUCUGGAACCUCCUACAAACCCUUUCCAAUCCUUUACCACUUGGGCAAGCCUCAAGUGGUACCAUUAAAGUGAUAAGCUUUAGAAGAUGUUCUUAUCACUCUUUACUUCAAUUUUUCCUAGGUUUUUGCCAUAUCUAAGGAUGAAGCAACCAAAAUCCCUAAAACUUUUAAAAUUAGCUAGGCUUCUUUUAUUGUAAAGAGUUUGAGUAGCAUCAAUUUUAUAGUAAAUCUAUUAAUUAUGUAAUAAGUUGUAUUAACUUCCUCUACUCAAAACUGUUAAACUAAGCCAUUUCCAUUAAGCAUCUGGAUGCCAUAUGUUGAAGAGUUAUACUUUCUCUUUGUAAAUCUAUUUUGUUAUUAGUUUCUUGUAGGUUUUUAAAGGCAUAUGUACAUUAGAAGUUACUCAUUCAUUCAAUCCGUCCAUCUCCAAAGAACAUGAUGCUUCCUUCAUAUUCAAGAAGGCUUGUAAAUUUUGUUUCAUCACUGUGUUAAGCAACUAUGAUAAAUAAAUAAAUAAAAAACAGUAUGAGUUUUCUUCUAUUACCCAAAUUCUAUGAAAUUAUUUAGAAGCUCUUUUUGGGGUAAUUCAAUUUUCUGCUUUGUUCAAGGGGCUUUUUAUUUUCUUUCAUUUUAUUUUGAAAAUCAUUAGGUUUUCUUUUCUUGAUUCCCUUUUCCACUGUCCUGUUAAUCUGCAUUGAUAUUAUUUAUCUUAAUUAAAUUAGCAUCACAAAAAAUACUUUUAUUUACGUACGAUCUUUAUUAGAGAAUAUGAUAUAUAUUAUGAGUCCAAAUCUUAAUGAUACAAGCUUUUAGAAAAAUUGGUUUUGUCAAUAAGAUAUUAAAAUGUCAUUUAGUGAAAGAUCAUGAGUUUGAAUAUGUUUAUUUCUCUAAUUAAGCUUUUAAUUUUUUUUUUAAUAUAUAGGUUUAUGAGUUUGUUUUAAUACUUGUUUAUGUGACAUGAAACGAUGGAAUGGUAGUUAAAAACUCUUUUAUUUCUUUAAUACAAGAACACAGCUCAGCAAACCCACCAACCCUCAGAAAGGGAUUUCAACCGGAAAGAUUAACGAUACAAUUUCAAAGAAAAAACUUAAGCAAACAGCCAAACACUCAUAUAUAUUAUCUAAUAUUAACUAAACAACACUACUCAAUAGCCCAUGAUGUUUCCCUUUUACUCUAUACCAAGCUUCUUUCUUAUCCUCACAACAAAUCCAUGUGCCCCUUCUACUCUAUACCAAACCUCUUUCUCAUCCCCAUGAUAAAGCCAUGGACCUUGUGUGGGUCUUCCAGAGAAGACGACACGCUCUCCUUUUCCAUGCACCUCUUGGUCCAAGCUACCAACUUGGGGCACUCCGCCUCUAUGCUGAAGUUGCCAAAGGUCUCGUAUGCAUAAAACCAGCAAGAGAAGGUCACCAGGGCCACAUCCACAAACCCAAUUUUUUCACCCCCGAAGUAAGGCUUCUCUCCAAGCUCUCCUUCCAAAAGCUUGAGGCACUCUAUGAAUUCCUUCUUGCCUGUUUCCUGCUCUUCUCCUUUGGUUGACCAUAUCUUCCCUCCAAGUUCAUAGAGCUGUGGAAAACAAUAAAGUCAAAAGAGAGAAAAGGGUUAUUUUUUUGGAGCAUUUCAUCAAGUUUCAACUUUCCGUAUAGUUGGACAAGUUUAUUAAGGACCCUUCAGCAUAGAAAUCUCANNNNNNNNNNNNNNNNNNNNNNNNNNNNNNNNNNNNNNNNNNNNNNNNNNNNNNNNNNNNNNNNNNNNNNNNNNNNNNNNNNNNNNNNNNNNNNNNNNNNAAAAAAAAAAAAACAAAAAACAAAAAACAAAAAAACAAAAGAAAAUGCUUUAAAUCAACAGCAAAGACAUACCUUCUUGUCUACGUAGUCCGCCCAGAACCUGGCCUGAGCUCUCUGGUAUGGGUCACUAGGCAACAAUGGAGAUUUAUCCUUCCAAACCUCAUCAAUAUACUGAACUAUUAUCAGAGACUCACAAAUGGGCUUUCCAUUGUGGAUCAGAACCGGGAUUUUCUUAUGAACUGGGUUCAUCUCAAGCAGCAGAGGGCUCUUGUUCCUCAAGUCCUCCUGUCUAUAUUCAUACUUGAGGCCCUUCUCUGCCAGGGCAAGUCUGACCCUCAUACCAAACAUGCUAGGCCAGAAAUCCAACAAGAUAAUCUCGUCUGCCAUUGCUACUACUGUGAUCGAUAAGAUUCAAACUCAGUUAUUCAAGUAUUGAUGAACAACACAAGGGAAAUUGUCAGGUAUUUAUAGCAAAUCCCAGGGAGUGGGUUAAAACCUUGGAACUUCUAGGAGGUGGUGGUGCUCAUUGCUUAUCUCAGCAUUCAUUUUCCUUCCAUAUUAUGUUCUCAUCUCAGUUUCGUUUCUCACUCCAGAAUUCCCAUAUGUAUUUUUUUAUUAAAUAUAAUGCUUCCAGAGAGGUCAUUGCUUUGAUCAUUCCACGUCGUUGCUGUCGUCAGCCCAAGUCCAUUAAGUACACUGGUCCAUUCUUGCAUCCUUUUGGGCGGACAAGUCAAACUAUUUUAAACUUUGUGUUUAUUAUAACUCCUUAAAAUUUCUGUGAUGUUUGUAUUUUUAUCUAAGCUCUAAACUUGUUUUUAAAUUCCAAAUCUACUUUAUUUUUACGUAUGAAAAAUAUCUAUAAAAUUAAUUAUUUUAUUUCUUUUUAAAUUAAUUUGCAAUCUAAUAUAUUUUUUUAAACAUUUAAUUAUUAUAAUUUAUCAACAUAAUAAAAUUUUUAUAACAAUUAAUUAUAUAAUCAAUAAAAAAAAUAGUAAUAGGAUAGUAAGUACAAUUUCUAAUUAUAUGUUUAAAAAAUUUUUAAACAUCUUGAAAGUUGUGUGGUUUGAUGACAGUCAAAUACUUGUAAGUGUUUGUAUAAUAUUAAUAAGCAGUUGAUAUGGCUUAAUUUUCUUACAUCAUUAUAUUAUAGCUUCCUAUUAGCGCUNNNNNNNNNNNNNNNNNNNNNNNNNNNNNNNNNNNNNNNNNNNNNNNNNNNNNNNNNNNNNNNNNNNNNNNNNNNNNNNNNNNNNNNNNNNNNNNNNNNNGAAUCUUGUUUGACCUAAACUUCACCACCACAUCCAGGCAGCUUGCUUGGGCUGAGAUUUGGUGCAGGGAUGGGAGCCGAAGUGCUCCUGGAGAUGCAUCUGCAUAGACUGUCUUAUUUAGCUGUGAAUUUGUAAUAUGUAACUCUACUGGCAGCAAAGAUAAACAAUAAUGAUGAUGAUAACAAUGAUAUAAGGAAAAGGGUUCAAACUUCAACUCCCCCUCCAAACACUAAUCCCAUAAAUAUUACUAUACUCAGAUGGUUACAACUUAUUUUCGACACAAUAACAAAAUUAACUGAAAUAAAAUUAUUCUGGGACAUAUUCCUAAAUAAUAGAAAACGUUUACUUCUAGACUUCUUAGUUGAAAGCAAUACAAAAACCCAAAAACAACAAAUCAAUCUUUCAUGUUCUUAACAGUUACUGUUCAAACACUUUUUGUGAUCAAUAAAAUAACAAAAAACAAACAAAAAACAAAUAUGGAAAAUAAAAUAACUGAUUCUACAUCUCCACUGGUUUUAGCUACUAGUCAAACACCUUCUGGACUUGGUUCUGGUUGACAUUGGCAUGUUCCAUUGAGAAAACAGAGUCAGGAACCAGGAAUUUUAAUGCUUACAUCUUCUCAAUUAUAAAACAUGGUGAGUGAAUGAAAGUGAUGUGUCCUGGGCUUGUUCUGAGGGGUAGAUGGUUUGUGAUUAUCACACAGGGACCUUGUUUUAAAUUUGUGACUUAGAGUUUGGUUAUUUGCUAAUAUUUACUUGUGGGGUUGAAGCAAGGAGAAGGUUUGUGCAAAAAUAGGAUUAUCUUCAGUGAUUUUUAUGGGGCUCCAUACUAAUGGAUGGACCUUUUAAUGGACACCUGCACAUGUUCUUUGUUUCAAGAUUGUCAAUGAGAGCUAGCACAUACAUCAUGAAUAUUUAGCAUGGACAAGGUAUCCCUAUAGUAGUAAAGAGCAUACAAUCAAUGCUUGAAAUGUCCAGAUCACGUGCCUAAAAGGAUGGGGCUUACUUGUUGAAUAGGCAGAACUACAAAAAAUCAUGGUCUGAUAAAGAGUUAAGACUGAAUUCAUGAUAGUUGACACUGUUAACGAAAGCAAUAUUUCUAGCAGUCAUUGAUCAGUCAUGACAGUAAAGAUUGCACUAAUAAACUCACACAUUGUUUACAAGGGAACACCUACCUGGGGACAUACCACUUGGAGAGAUAAAACAGCUAGAGUAUGAAAUUUAAACCACACAAAUCCCAAGGUAACAUUUUUUUGACAAACCAUAUGUAUUUUUAAACAAGGAAAAAGGCAAAAUAUUCUACAAAAUUUCCUGCACAAACAAUGGGAAGGGGGCUCCAAAAUGAGUCAAAAAGAUGGUUUUAAUUUCACCAUACACACAUAAAGCAGUUUGUACUUGGCUUGAUACUCAACCUAUAAAAUAAGAUAUAUUUUUUUUAGUCUUCUCUUUUGGAGAAUAUUAAAAAUAGACAGAAAGAUUCAGAUGAAUUAGAUGUCUUCUGCUCCAAGCGUCCAACUAUCUUGGACUUGUUCAACUCUGGAUUCUGUUUCUUUUAUGGAACUCGGUUUCCUCAGAAAGAGGACACUGGGAAAAGACAAGCAAUUAAGAAAUGCAGUAUAUAUCAGAAAAUAUCCAAAGGCAACUGAUAUUAUAUUGUUGUUUUUCAGUAAAUAUCAUUUGUCAACCAAGAAAUGCACCAUCAGUGUAGUGCUACCAGUGCAACCAAGAGGACUGAACUGACACUUAGAUAAGAUUAUCGGAUUAAAUCAAAGAAUAAGCCUAUAUUAAGGUUAAGCAAAACCAUAUCCAAAAUGAGAUUUCAAAAUUUUAUUCCAAGGGCAGAUCGUACAACCGUUCUACUUCCAGAAACACAAACUAAAAGAACAUUAUAGAAUUCAGCAUAUAUGUGGAAUUCAAAAUCAAAUCCAACUUCUUAUAAUAAAAUAAAAUCAGCUAUUGAACAUAAAAAUUUGCAACAGAACAUUAUACCAUAAUAAUAUCAGAAACCAAAUAUUAUCUUUGUUGGCCUUCAACAAUUUGAAACUUUUCCCCAUUCUUAUUUGCAUGAUUUCUAAAACCCACAAUGAUUGGUUUUAUUUUGAAUGUAUUUUACUUAGUUUUAAAGCUGAAGGUAUGUUUUAUUCAUCAUUGGUGUGUUUAAGUGCAAGUGAAGUUCCAAGUUGGUCACUUGUCUUCUUCAUCUUCAAUAUUUGCUUUACAGCAUCUUAUUAGUUUCAUCCUCACCUCUUGCUACCAGAGAUGAAAAAUAAGAUACAAAGGCAUGCCUUACCUCUUGCCUUCAAAAUUACUCAUGUCUCUGUUCCCUCAGGAAGAGCCACCAUCAUCUCAAUCUCUCGUCCAGGCCAUGCCUAUGAAAAAAUGUGAAACUGUAAAAAGAAUUCCAUAAGAUGAAUUUUUAAGGCACAAAAUUUGGAGCUGUUAGUGUAAAGAAUCUAACCAUUGUCACAAACAUGGAAUAAUUCAUUCAAUCAAACACCAGCUUCAACAACUAUGCAUACCUUAGAGUGUAACUACUGAAAACGGAAUGGUAAAAUUAAAAUUUCUGCCCAAACAAAACUAGGGGAAAGAGUAAUAAAAACCAGUUCAAACUUCCAUGACAAACAUAUUGAAGAACAACUAAUAGAUCAAUUUCAUAAUUCUUUGAUCAAUUUGAGCAUUAAGAAUCAGGAGCAACUUAACAAUAUGAAAAGGUCAUAACACACUCAGUUACAAAUAACACCCAGAUAGAAUUUUGGAAAACCAAAUACAAUAUGUAAAAAAGGUUAGAUCAAAUGUCUGCAAUAGCUGGACAUCAAAUCAUACAAAGAUUUAGAUCAGAUAUUUGGAUCAUUGCAGGUAGCACAAUUCCGACUGGCCCCGUUGCAAUGAGAGCAAUGUACAAUUAUCUGUUCUCUAAAUUUGGCCUGAUUCGUUGCCGUCGAGGUCUUCCAAGACAACGUUUUGUAACAGGAGGAUCAAGAGAAACAUGCACAUAACCAUUUGGAUCAUGCACAUUUCCAUUUGAAUGAACUGUUGGCAGAUUCUGAAACUCAAGUGGAUGCAAAGUGCCAGAAUAAACCAUUUCCUGCUUGAACAAAUGAUACCAAUCAUCAACAAAUUCAUAAAUAUCUUGGUUCAUCUUCUGUAUCAUUGCGCAUGCAUGCUCACAUGGGAUGCCCGACAUCUGCCAAGCCAAACAAGUGCAAGUAUGCUGCCUCAAGUCAACACUUAUCUUUGCCUUCCCAUCUGAAAAUGUUUCGCUUUUGGCAAUGUUAUGCAAGAGUUUAUCCUCAGUUUUUGGGCCAAUGGAUCUUUCCCAACUCUGCAUUGUGGUUUUAUGCUCAACUAACAAAGAGGCUAGCAUAUCCAUGUGCUUCUCAAUGAAACUAAAUAUUGUGUGAUGUUGUUCUUCUUUGACCCAAGCACUAAAUGACCCAAAGAUAUUAGUAUUCAUUUUGUCCCAACGCUUUUUAGGGAACUUUGACAUCGCCCAGUGUUCAGGAUUGUUAUCUUCAACCCAUUUGGCCAAGUUAGCAUCAAAUCUCCUUAAGUUCUCCAUUGCACUGUUGUAACCAAUUUCUAACCUUGCAUAUGCAACAGCAUCAAGUAGUUUAAGAGCGUUAUCUUUACCUUCCCUUCCCAUCAUCAACUGGUGGCUAAAGUCCUCCUUUAGAUGACAAUAACAAUAUGCAUGGUUUUCAACUCCAAAAACCUCUGCAACACUACGAAUAAUCGCAUGAUGCCUUCCAGAAAUGAUGACCACCUCCAUUUCACCAACUAACUGCUUUAGCCUCUGUAAGAACCAAAACCAGUUAUAAUAAUUUUCCGAACUCACAAUGGCAUAUGCUAAUGGAAACAUGUCAUCAUCAGCAUCAUAUGCCAAGGCUGAAAACAAAGCACCUUUGUGUGGCCCACUCAAGUUGGAUGAGUUAAUGGAUAUGAUAGGUCGGCAUCCCAUUAAAAACCCAUGCACAAAAUCCAUGUGCAAUGAACAAUUGCAUGAAAUUACCUUCGUCUGAGGAAGUCCAUUCAGCAAUUGUCCCAGAAUUAGUUUCCAUUAACUGCUUACAUAACCAGGGCAGCAACUUAUAUGAAUUGUGUAGAAGACCAAAUAUUCUCUCCUUCGCCUUCUCUUUACAUUUCCAAGCUUGAUUGUAGGUCAAUUUCACUCCAUGCUGCCUUUCAAAAUCUUCACAGAUUUGACGGGGCAGGUAAUCAGGGUUAGCCCUUAUCAUAUCAUCAAUUAGAAGAGCCGCUUUAUUUGGUCGUAAUGCAGGCACUGAUGAAGACUCCUCCUGUGCAGAAUGAUUAUGUUAGUUUUCAAAUGUGUGCACUCUCACAAUUUUGGUAGCCCCAACACCACGAGCAGUUAUCUUCCAAGGACAUCCACCAGCUGUGCAACAUGCAGUCAUGUGCUUUAAAGAAUUCCUCUUGAACUUGUAGUUGAAUCGUCCAGCUAAGGAGGUAAGGUAUAGUGCAUUCCGGAAUUCAUCAGCAUUUGUAAAAAUUUCCCACUACCUGAUAUAGCCUUUCCAAGAGUACUUGAAACUGGAGGAAUUGCUUCUAACUCUAUGCAUCUUGAUGCAACUUCAUGUCUCUGAAUGAUGUUAUCAUCAUUUACACCUUGAGAUGAUGAUGAUGGCGAUGAAAAAUGAUUGUUGUCCACAUUAACACUGCACGAUUAACAUAUUCAUGUAAAGUUAGAAUAAAAAAGGAGGAUAAAAUUUAAUCAUGCUGAUAAGCAAGAUAAUAUGCAGGUGUGACUUACAAAGUGCUUUGUUCAUCUAUUACUCCUUGCUUUACUCCUCCAUUAUGAGCUUCAAAUGCAUAGACUCUUGAGAAACCGUCAUUGAAGAGGACCAUGCUAUAUAUGUCAUCAUCAUCAUCCAAUGGCUGGAGUAAAGAUUUAUCAAACUUCAAGGUGCACUUAAAUGACAGACUAGAUGGGUCAAUUUGGACUUUCUUACUUGCUUUAAAAACAAAUUCAGCAUGUGAGAUUCCUUGAUUAAUACAUAUGCCAUUAGUACAUCCACCUUUAUAAUUGAUGGACCCAUUGUCAGCCUUUAUGAUCUCCCCUCCAAAAUAAAGAUAGCAAUAUAUUGAUAUUACUUUCCAUUUACCUACUAUAAAAUAAUGCAACCAAUCCAUUAGUAUGUGCUAUACUUGUUCAAGCCUUCAAGGUAAAAACUACACUUAAUUUUGGUUCCAACGGUGAAAACUAAGUUCAAAUCAUGUAUAUAAGAAGGUUUAAAACAACACAACAUCCCAAAAAGUCUAAUAUAUGAUAACACUACACCCCAUAAUUUAUACCUUGUGCCUUUUUAGGAACUAAAGUUCCCUAGAAUUGAGGUAAGACGGUACGAAAAUCAAUUGGAAAUGAAAGCAAAGAGAUAGCAUAGAAUUUAAGAGUAGCAUAAAUCAUAAGUAAAUAUUAUUUAUAAUUUUGUUUUUUUUUCGAUAACUGAGGAACCUUCUAUGGCCAAGCCCUUAAGACUCUCCAUGGGGACCCAAACCUUGGGGUGUUGACCACACUCUAACAACCAGCACCAAGUAAAUCAAGGUAUCAUCAGUAGCAAGAUUCAGGGACCACACCUCCCAACAUUCGCCCUGACCAACUGGGCUACUCUGGCAGACUAAAUAUUAUUCAUAAUUUAAAAAGGAAAAAAGAAUCCGAAAGAGAAAACAGUACAAAGUGCCUAUUCUGAUUUGAAGCAGAGAAAAAAAAUGGAAGUUUGACCUUUUUGUUUUCUUAAGAUGUAUAAUAGCGGUUUGACUUCUAAUUCAAAAGUGUUACAAUAGUUAAGAAAGCCUUAAAAUUGCUAAUUGAAGUAGGUUCAUUAUUGUUAUUCAUUUCAAUACAAACAAAAGGUGGUUAAAGGGAUAUUGUAACCAAGUUUUGAACAAGAUAAGAACAAAAGUAAAAUUGUCAUUCUGAAACCAGCCUAGUUUCAACACAGCCAUAUUCCUGCUCUGGUUCACUCUAAUAAAUAAAAUUUCUUGUACAAUGGAACCACAUCUCAUGAGCUAGGGAACAUCUGGUUUGAAGGAAAGAGCUGCAAAUGCUACUUGGUCAUAGCUCUAUUUUAACUAGGUAUCCCUAUUUUUGACUAAUAUAAGGGAUAAAGUAAAAGAGCAUGCACAUGUGGACAAGCGCACACACACAGAGACAGAAAUUUAUAGGAAACUGCAUCAAUUCUACUAGAUUAUUCAUAUUUGAAGAAGGGGAAUGAAGUGUGGUACCAAAGCAAUUCAAUAUGUAAAAGUUUCACAUAUUUCAAUCACAAAAAUAUUUCUACUUCAAUGCAAUUUUUAAGAUGCUAAUAAACUUUCAGAAACCUUAGCAAGUAAUUUGCCAGGCCAAAAGAAGUAAUGAAUUGCAUUUACAUCCAUAUAAUAACAAAACAUCUAAAAAUCAAAGCAACAUCCUAUCUCCAUACAAACUCAUCCAGCUUGUAAUAGCAAUGACGAAGGAAGUUAAAGGAAUUAAAUCAAAUUUAUUAAUUCCGUUGAGAACAUAUAACAAAUGCAUGAGAGAGAGAGAGAGAGUAAAAAAACUUAUUUAAUAAAUGAAACUUUUUAAGGCCAUUAUUUAUUUUUCCCUGAGUAAACAAAAAUUUAGUAGCAUAAAUCAUGGACGGAUGCAUAUGUAUCUAUGUGUAUACAACCAUCAACUAAUAUUUAUCACUUAUCAGCACAAACAAUAAAAAUCUAGAACCAUGAUUCAUACACUCAAAACCCCAAAUCUGCAGGGGAAAAUGAUAGCAAAGCCUGCCAACUUUGUCUCCGGAUGAAACUCCUGAUAGAUUGCAACUUUUAGCAUACAUCUGUAUGAAGGCCCAAAAGAAAUAAUAUAAAAUCGAGUCCAUCGAUAAGGUAACAUGUCACAUAUGAAUCAAUCCCUUGAAAGUUAUACAUGGGACAAAUUUCAAAAUUCAUUCAUUUCUUGUAGCUACAAUUUGAACAAAAACUCGGGUUUCAUCUACUUGAUUCAGUAAAUACAACAAUAUUUAUAUCUCACAUGGGUCAAUGCAGUUUAAAACAUAUUUCUUAACCAUUAAAUUGCUUUGGGGUUCUGUUAUACAUACUUCAACAAAACUUUGUCUUAAAAAAUUUCUAACUCGUACUUUGUACACAGAAUAUAUGGUUACUUCAUUCUUUAUAUAGCCAAGAAGUAUUGUAGACAAACUAUAGCAGAUACAGCAUUAUUUUUAUGCAAUUAACUAGAUACAAUAAUUUAUAUUAAGCAGAAAGCCAUGGUCACCAAAAAGAGGGGACCAAAGAAAGAAUUAGGUCUCUAAAAUUACAGGCGAAAUUGCAUAAAACUUAAUGAAGUUCCUGAAAGGACGAAAUCGUGGCGAAAUUGUUACUGUGAUAAAUCACAUAAAUUAGGAAAUCAAACACCUCACAGGAACAACAAAUCUACCAAAAAGAGCAGAGCCAAAUAGUGAAAUUGAUAAUCUUUAUCAUUCAUUUUUUCAGUAGAAUUGAAGCUCUCACUACAAAAUUUUCCCUGAAGUUUGAUGGAAUUAAAGUCCCUGAAACUGGCAACAUUUUAGCAAAUGAAGCCUCCUCACGAAGACAAAAUGCACAACGAGGGUGUCUUUGAACUCGAAACAAAUUGAAGGCUAAAAAGAACAUAAAAAAUUACAGGGCCCUUCAAAAUCAUUAAAAAAAAAUUAUAUUAAAAUAGAAUCCAGUCCACAGCUGAUAAUGUACGAUAUUGGGCUGUUUGGAUGGUGAGAAGGUUAAAUAAAUAGGUGUUGGAACAUUUACCUAUAAGAGAAAGAAAAUGGGUAAACUUGGGUGACGGGCCUAGAGCCUCCUUUCAUUCAUGGUGUUUGAGUUAAGAAAUUUCUGAGGACUGUCGGAGAUUUUCCGAAAUUUUCCCGCCUUUAGGGUUCUGCUUUACAUGCAGGAGAGGUGAGAGGGUGCACGGAUGUCUAGUGUGGUGCAAAAUCCAGCAGCACUAUGCGUGUGUUGCGUUUUUGCUAAUUAAUAUAAUUAUUUUUUAUUCAAUAUUCAUAAAAAGUAAUAAAGGAAAAAAAUAUCAAUCCAAAACUACCCUACUCGCUCUUAUUUUAACCCAAAGUUUGAAAUCCAACAAAAUUGAUGUCAAAGUAUAAUUUGAAUACAAAAGUCAUUUUUACUAAAAUUAUUAUUAUUAUUUUAAAUAAUGUUAGAUUAGGUUUGACAGUGAUUUUAUAAAAUAUUUAUAAUCUUUUUAAUACUUUAAAAGAUAAAAUUUUUUUAAGUGUUACAAAGUUCAGAAACACUUCCUAAGAUUACUAUCAAACGCAUUUUUAAUAUCUAUGCUUGUUCCAUAUGGUAUAAGUGUCACAUUUUUUUUUUCUUUUUUAUAAAUUAUAAUUAAAAUAGUAAAAAGAAAAUCUUUGUUACUUCUAAUAGAGAUUAGAUAUUGAAAUAUUAAGUAUGUUUGUUAAUCUCUCAAUUUAUUUAGAACACAAAAAAAAAACAUGUUUAAUAAUAUAAAAUAGAAAACAUCAUGGUAUUUUUUGAGAAUAUCUUUUGGUUAUAUUCAAUUUUUUUCAUUAUUUGAUGAGAAUUGUUUUAAAAAAUAAUUAUACAAAUAUAAAAAAAAUGACUAAAGAUAAAAUAUUAUAAAUAAAAAUUAUUUUAAAACAUUUGAAGUUUUCAAAUAAAUUUUUAUUUUACAAAAUAUCAAAAAAUUAUUUUCAAAUUAUUUUCGAAAACACCUUGUAGAUAGUUUUUAUAACAAAGCUUUUUUUUUUUAUGCCUAAUGAAUACAGACAUUUGAAAAGGAAAAAAAAAAACUAUACAGUACUCAAUUUUUGUGAGAGUAGAGUUUGAGGUUAAAAUACCAUUUAAUUUAUUUAUUAAAACUAGUAAAAUCAAUUAUUAUUUUUAAAAAAAAAUUAAAAAAAUAUUUAUUUGAUAAUAUUAUAAUAAUUAAUUAAAAAAAAUUGUAAGAUAUUUAUUUUAAACAAAAUAUUUAUUUAACAUACAUGGUCACUAAUGUUGGACACCUUCCCACUUAGUAGAGUAACCUAGAAUAUUAAUACAUUAUAAUGAGAGUAGAUGAUAAAAAAAUUUGCAAAAGGAACUCAAAAUAAGUGACUUUCUACUACAAAGGGUGCUCAACAACAAGAGAAACCCAAAAGAUGGAAAACUAGGGCUAAAUUAUGAAGACUCUAUCAAAUCUACCAUGAAGCUGGAAUUUGCCUUUUCAAAAUUCAAUCCAUUCAAGGGCAACAACUCAAUUGCUCAUGAAAUGUUAUUGAAUUCAAAGACAUUAUUCAUUGAAGUAGUGAAAAAUACAUUGUUGAUCUAUGUAUCCCAAAUAUUAAGUGAUGGGAAGUAGUGAAAGUGCAUUGUUGAUCUAUGUUACCCCCAAAAAAUAAGUUGACCAUCACCUAGGAACUUUGGAGUCCUUAAUAAGAGCAUUAUGUCACAGACUUAGUCUUUUCCUAAGCUUGUGCAACACUUAGACAAGUCAAGACACUUGAUCUUGCUAAGUCAGCCUAUCUCCUAAUGUUUAGCUUGCUAGGCUAAGAUGCUCACGACUCGGAAGCUUGAGAAGGCGUAGUAGGCAACUCUUAAAGAAUGGAAGUUGUUAUUACUCAAGGAAACCUUUACAAGUGCUUUUGGGAACUCACUUGCUUGGUUAGGAAGUGAUUUGGGUGGUCCAUUGGCCAAAUGAGGCCCUCACCUAUUUAUAGGCACCAAUGGAACUCUCUGGAACCUUGGAGGGUUCCUUACAAAUUAAGAAGAUUCUAGAAUACCCUACACAAUUCUAUGUACAACCCUAUGUACAAGAGAUCUCUAGAAUUCUUUAGAAAGCCUUGGACUCCUCUCAUGCCUUCCACCAUAGUGUAGAGAUGUGUGGACAUCUAUAGGCAUCUCUAGAACCUUCCACACUCUUCCCUCUAAUAGCUUAGUGUAGAUGGCUCCAAGAGUCUCUAGAAGCUUCUUGGGCUCUAUAUAAAUCCAUGAGGAGGCUCAUUUGAAGCAUCCUAUGACACUCUCCCCAUCCUAUUCCGUUGACGUCUUUUUUGUUGCCUCUUUCUGAAACCUCUCGAUGUGUUUCCAGAACCUUCUCAAGGCAUCCGCAUAUUCCCAGCUUACAUGCCUCCUAGGUAGUCCUUUCCAUCGGACUAGAUACUCUAUCACAGGAGGGACCCUUAUUCUCCUGGUGACCCAUUCAACCAGGAUAUUUUUCACCUCCUUUUCUUGUGAGGCCUCGGAUGGAUGCAGAUCCUUGCACUUUCGAUGCUUGGAGUGCUGCUUCCUCUUACCCAUCAAGUUCACCUUUCCCUUGGUGACCUUGUCGAUGUAUGUGCGGGCUACCUUAGCUUGCUCCCCUUUUGCCUCCUUUACUUGCACCCUUGAUAGUAAGGAGGUCUUAGGCGUACUAGACUUUGGGUUGAAUUGGAGGGCACCUAGUAACUGCAUCAAGCCCAUAUGUGCUUCGUCCUCCUGUUCCCUCUCCUUGAUCAUGGCAUUGAGCGCCUUUCUCUUUGGACAAUCCCGUGCCCAAUGUGGAUCGUCACAUAGGAAGCAUUUGAUUUUAGGCGUAAACUCCUUCCUUUCCACCUUACCCCUUCCUUCUCGAACAUUAAGCGUCUUGCCUAAUCCCAUUCUAAGAGCAUUGUGGUCCCUUGAGACCUCAUCUCCCCCACCCGUGGCGUGGCUAUCCUCCAAAGACUCAACCUUGGAGGAGUCUCCCCUUUUGUAGUCCGUUAAAGACUCUGCUACUGCCAUAGUAGUGGCUAAGUCUUGAACACCUCGACGCCUUAAUUCCUGCUCGGCCCAUUCUUGUAGGUUAUCCAUGAAGUUGAAUAGCAACUCCUUCUUAGUCAUAUUAGGAAUCUCAAGCAUGAGUGAAGAGAAUUCCUUAACAUAGUCUCAUAUCGAGCCUAUAUGCUUGAGACGCCUCAUGUUUUUCCUAGCCAAGUAGGCCACGUCCUCAGGGUAGAAUUGCCUUUUGAUUUCCCUCUUGAAGUCUUCCCACGUCUCUAUGGUGCAAAUGUCUUUCUCCAUAUCGGCAAACCUCUAAUGCCACCAUAGAGUAGUUGUGUUAGUGAGGUAGAGGGUUGCAAUCCUUACCUUAGCCGCCUUAUUAUUUAGUGCGAUAGCCUUGAAGUAUUGCUCCAUAUGCCAUAAGAAGUUGUCCAACUCCUUAGCAUCCCGCUUGCCACUAAACCAUUGUGGCUUCAACACCUCCACCCUAGAUGCCUCUUAGGUGGCCAUGACUUGUGCCAACACAACAGCCUUAUAGAUGGCCAACUCCUGCCUAACCUCAUGGUCUUGGGACUCCAUUCAAGUGGCCAAGGCCUUUAUCCUUGACUCCAUGUUAGCAAGCAUGCUAAAGACCUUUUCUUGGAAAGACAUGAACUCCUCAUGUGACACCGGUUGAACUUGUGAGCCUAGCACCCCCUCACGAAGGUCUUAGAUAUGCUCCCUUAGAUCCUCAAUACCCUUCUCCAUGCCUUGCUCGAUCAAGUCCACCCCUUCCCGGGUGUCUGCCAUGGCUAGCUCCACCUUGGCUAGCCUUGCCUCCAUGUUGGCUAUGGCAUCACGAGACUUAUCCUUCCUGCCCUUGCCCCGUGCAGUAGGCUCGAUCUCCCUUCCACGGGUUUGCUCGCUAGUCUCCUCCAUGUUAGAGCCCAACAUGCUUUCUUUACUAUGCUCGUUUCAUAGCCGCGCUCUAGUAUCACUUGUCACAGACUUAGUCUUUUCCUAAGCUUGUGCAACACUUAGACAAGUCAAGACACUUGAUCUUGCCAAGUCAGCCUGUCUCCUAAUGUUUAGCUUGCUAAGCUAAGAUGCUCACGACUCGGAAGCUUGAGAAGGCGUAGUAGGCAACUCUUAAAGAAUGGAAGUUGUUAUUACUCAAGGAAGCCUUUACAAGUGCUUUUGGGAACUCACUUGCUUGGUUAGGAAGUGAUUUGGGUGGUCCCUUGGCCAAAUGAGGCCCUCACCUAUUUAUAGGCACCAAUGGAACUCUCUGGAACCUUGGAGGGUUCCUUACAAAUUAAGAAGAUUCUAGAAUACCCUACACAAUUCUAUGUACAACCCUAUGUACAAGAGAUCUCUAGAAUUCUCUAGAAAGCCUUGGACUCCUCUCAUGCCUUCCACCAUAGUGUAGAGAUGUGUGGACAUCUAUAGGCAUCUCUAGAACCUUCCACACUCUUCCCUCCAAUAGCUUAGUGUAGAUGGCUCCAAGAGUCUCCAGAAGCUUCUUGGGCUCUAUAUAAAUCCAUGAGAAGGCUCAUUUGAAGCAUCCUAUGACAAAUAGCUCAAAAUAAAAGAGGAAAUCCAAGUAUUGAAAAAAAGGUUAGUUUUCUAAAUGUAGUUGACAUCAUUUGAUAAGGUAGUGCCUUAAAAUUAUGCUAGUUCUAAAUAAUUUGAGAGGGCAUAUGCUCUAAAAAUGCAAAUGAUCUAAAUAUAGGAAGAGAAAUCCAAUGAGAAAAAGAAAAAGAAAGAAGACCGUUAUCAAAAGGAAUUUUGGAAUUCAUGAUAAAAAAAAAAGAAGGAAAGUGGCCUACUCACGUAAUCCAUUAUGCAACUCUACUAUGCCUACCUAUGGUCCACUAUAUUUGAUGCUAUUAUAGUUAAGUUAACCCUUGACACUACUAUAAUUGAGUUUGCUAUUGACAUUGUUGCAACUAAGUUCACUAUAUUACAACCAUACUCACUAUUAUAGUCUUCUUACAAACAUACUCAUUAUCCGUACAUCUUUCGAAGGAACCCUUCAAGAUCUCAACUCUUUUACCUAUUAAGUGUAUCUUAAAUGAGCCUUCUAACUAUUGAAUUUUGAAGGUAAGACAUUAAUUCUCUACAACAUCAUCGAGAUUCAUCUCCAAUAAGGGUGGAUCUACCUUAAGAAUAGUGUUUUCAUCAUGGAUCUACUUUAAGAAUAGUAUUUUCAUCAGACCUUAAUAAUUCUAAUAUGAUAAGUACCUAAAUUCCCUUUUGUUAUUUCAUUAUUUGUUGAUGUUUUGUGUUCAACUUAGUUUAGACUUAGUUUCAACCUUCUAGAAUAUUUAAAAACAACCACGGUUGAAAAUUUCUCUUUUUUUGUUGAAAUUUCGAUGAAAUAUCGGUUUCGGCGAUCGGCGAUACGAAAGAAGGGAGCGAAAUGUCGAUGGAGAAAUUUCAGCAAAUUUUGGUUAAAAUCGUCGAAAAAUUGGCUCAUAGCGAAAUUUCGACGAUUUUUCUUAACUUUUUCGAUUGGUCAACACGGGUUAACAUGCUACAGUGCUUCUGUUACAGUGAAAUGCUACAAUAUGCCAUUACAGUGAAAGCUUGAUAAAAAUCCAAAAUGCUAUAGUGUGCUACUAUAGUGAAAGCUUGAUAAAAAUCCCUUUUAGUUUGUUGUUGGGGAGACAAAAGCUUCAAUUGAGGUGUGGUGAACCAUUAGGGCAAGUAUGCCCUUUGUUAAAUAUGUUGCACCAAACAUAUUUAUAUUAAAAGUCAUCAAAUAAACAAAAUAUUAAAAGAACAUUUUAAAUAACAAAUUAAUUAUAAUUAUUUGGGAAAAUUGUGUUUUGGGCCUAGCUAGGCCCAAAAAUUAAUGUAUGGUCCAUAUAAGUUUCAUAUUUAAGCCCAACACCCAAUAAAAGAGUGGAAAUUGAGAGUAAGGAUAUUGUCUUUAAAAAAUCCCUAAAAUACCCUUGACUAUUAAAUGAAAAAACUAACCAAUCACCUCACCUUUCUCAUUCUCUCUUUGACUUUUUUGCCCUUCUCUCACCUAUUUAAUAGUGGAACCAACUUGAAUAAUUUUUCUUCAUCAAAUAUGAAAGAUGGUUAAAAAUUAUUAUUACCAAAUGUAUUUUUGAAGUGAAUAACUUUUAAAUACCUUAUCAAAUAUUAUUCUUUUUUUCAAACUUACAUAAUAUAUAAUAAAUAUCAUUCUUUAUUUCAAACCUAUAUUAUUUCUUUAUGUAUAUUAAAUAAUUUUUAAACACCUAAAAUAUUAGUAUUAUUUGUUUACUCUAACUUGUAAAUUAGAUAUUAUCAAAUAUUAUAUUUUUUCAAAUUUAUAGAACAUAUAAUAAAUACUUUUUAAAUACCUCAUAGAAUAUUAUUAAUUUUUUUUUCUAACUUGCAAAUUAGACACAUGGUGUUUAUUAUUAUUUUGAAUAUAAUGUAAAUACUCACAUGCAUAUAUAUAUAUAUUAAUCAAGAAGACAAUAUUUAUAAGACUAAUUUACCAACCUUCCAAUAAUUUUGAAAAUGUAAAUAGAGUAAUUGUCCGAAUUAAAGUCUUCAAAAAUAUUCAAAAUUUCUCCAUUCCAAAAUUACCUAAUUGCUCUCCACACUAAUCCUAAAUAUUUUUGAAUAAAGAUUUAAAUAUUUAAAACCAUUAAAAUAAAUACUUUCUUAUUAAAGCAAUUUUUUCAAAGUAAUAAGAUAAAAAUCAUGAAAUCUUCAAAACUAUAAUUACAACAAAUAUUUUUAACUUUAAAACUAAUUUCAUAAUUUAAAUUAAUGAUUUUAAAAAAUAAAAAUGUUAUAAAAAUAAUUUUUUUAUUUUUAAUGCCAUUUAAAUAUGAUUUUUUUAAUCUCUAUUGAUAACAAUGAAAUUAUAUUUACAAAGGCAAAAUAGUAAAAAUAUAUAUUUCAUUUAGUUUACUUAUAAUGAACAAUUCAAACAUGAAUGAUUUUAAUUUUAUUUCCUAAGUGUUAAUUUUUGUAGAGAAUGUCUUAAUGACAUAGUUUGGUAAAAAAAGAAAAACAAAAUUAUCAAUAAUCGUCUUAAUGUCAAAUUCAAGUUAUUUAAAAAUCGUAUAAAACCUAUUAGAAGUCUUGUACACCCUUGUACACUUAGCACAUUUCCCUUGUACAGUUAGUGUAAUAUCCUUGUACAGUUAGUGUAAUACCCUUGUACAAUGACACAAAUUUCAUAUAUCUCCUAAUUUAUAUAUCCAUGUAGGUGUAUUAAUCAUAUUUUCAAUGGUUUGGUUGAGAAAAUGGUGGAUGACUUAGGGUCAAAUUUUUUCCCCAAAUAUCAUUAUUGGGAAAAAUAUUAGAAUUUUCAUGUAAGAAUUAAAUAAAGUGCAUGACAUAGGUGUACAAUCAUUGGGUGACAAGGAAAAUAAAAAAGUAGUUUAGAGUCAAUUAAAAUCAUUCACAAAGGGUAAUAUUGUACACUUUUGUACAAUUAGUACAUUUCCCUUGUACAGUUAGUGUAAUACCCUUGUAUAAUGACACAAAUUUUAUAUCCCUCCUAAGUUAUGUGUCCACGUAGGAGUGUUUAACCAUAUUUUCAAUGAUUUAGUUGAGAAGAUGGUAGAUGAUUUAAGGUCAAAAUUUUUUUUCUCCAAAUAUUAUUAUUAUGGAAAAUAUUGGAAUUUCCAUGCGGGAAUUAAAUAAAGUGCAUGACAUAUAUGUACAAUUCAUGAGUGAUAAAAAAAUAAAAAUAAAGGAAUGACUCAUAAUCGAUUAUAAUAUUUCACAAAGGGUACCCUUGUACACCUUUGUACAGUUAGCACAUUUCUCUUAUACAGUUAGUGUAAUACAAUUGUACAGUGACGCAAUAAAUAAAUAAAUAAAAUUUAUUACUUUUUUAUUUUCAUAUAAAAAAAAUAGUACUAAACAAGGUUUUCAAUUUCAUUUUAAAAAAUAGUUUUCAUUUUUUAAUUAAAAAUAUUUUCAAAAGGAGACAAUAUAGAAAAUAAAAAUUAUUUUUAAAAAUAAAAAAUAAAAACUAGAAAAAUAUUUUAAAACCAAACUCAAAUAUAAUCUAUAUAAUAAUAAACAAAUUUGUAACAUUUCAUAUAACUUAUUACUAAAAAUCAUGUUCAAAAAGUUAUUAAAAUAAGGAAGAAAGAAGAUUAAAAAAAAAAUAAACAUUUUAUUUUAUAAUAGUAAAAAAAAACUUUAAAAUACAUUUUAAUAUAAAAAAAAUUAAAAUAGUGAAUAUAUUUAUUUUAAAUAGUUUUUUAUUCAUUAAAUUAUUUACUUCUAAAAUAUAAAAGACAAAAAUAAAUGUAAAAUGUAAUUUUUAUUUAUUUAAAUUAAUAUUUUUUUAGAAAGUAUUUUUCAAAAUAGUCUUUGAAUCAUUAAUAUAAUUUUUUUAUUUAUAAUUUAAAAAUAAAAAAAUAAUUUUGAUUUUUCAAUUAUUUAUAAAAGAGUUUAAAAAAAUAAUGAAAAAUCCAAAAAUGAUUAAAUAAGAAAGAAUAGUGGCAUGUGAAGAGUGGUAGAAUAAAGACAAAAAUGAGUCAAGUGGGUAUUUUUGUCUAUUCCUAUCUCAUAUCCUUGAAAUCAAUUAUAGGUGUUUGAAGGACUCUUUAUUAAUUACCAAAGCCAAAUGGGUCUAAAGCCCAAUUCUCCCUAAUUAUUUUAUAAUUAAAUAAAAUUUUUUCAUUUAAUUGAUUACCAAAAAUAUAAAAUUAUUAUGAUAAUUUUCUUCAUAGUGUUUUUAAUAUCAUUAAUAAAUUAAUUAAAUAUUAAAAAGUUAUACAUAUAUCACAAUUCAUUUUAUAUAAUUUAAUACAAUUGAAUUAAAUGAAUCAUAAUUUUAAUAUUAAAUAUAUUUUAAAAUUAGGCAUAUUAUAAUCAAAUAUCACAAUAUUAUUAUGAAAUAAUAUUUGAUAUAAUUUAAUAAUAAAUGUACACUUAUCAAAUUCUUCAGCAAAACAAUUUUGAAAUGUCUAUUAUAUUUCUAAUUACAUUUUUAUAAGGUUUUUCUUACAUUCCUAUGAAUUUUGAUUAAUUUUAGGUCUAUCGAUAUUUUUUUUUCCAAAAUAUCUGUCGAUAUAUCUCUGAUAUAUCCGUAAUUACCAAUAUUUUUAUCCUUAAAAACAACACAACACCACUUGUACCAAAGGCAUAACACCCACUAAAUUUAGUUAAGUCAUUGAGGGACCCCCAAUUACUUUGAAAGAUUGGAAUGACACGUGGAACCACUUAUAUUCCAUGGAUUUCUUAUGUUAAUGGGAUUUUUUAAAAUUUUUAUUUGGUAAUUGUUGUGAGUAUUAAGUGGUAAGGUAUGACAAAUUUGAUGAGGACAUUCUUUACAUUUAGAGAUCCUAGCAUAUGGGUUCAAUUUGUCUUACUCUUCAUUAAGAAUUAACUUUCAAGGAAAUGUAGUUAAGGAUAUCAAAUGGAGGUAUUCUACAUCAAUUUUGAUCUAAAAAUUUAAGGUUCUAGUCAGGCUGAGCUUUUACCUAAAAUUAUUUAAAAACGUUUUAGGAUCAUGAAAUUAUCAAAAAGUUUAAGCUUUACUUUGAUUAUGACCAUCAUUACAAGUAAUUAUAUAGUACAUGUCUUUCAAAAUUUGUGAUAAAUCAAUAUUUCUUGAAUAUGUUUAUUAUAUUUGCUUCUUAUUAAAAUGCAUUAUAUAUAUAUAUAUAUAUAUAUUAUUUGAAUGUUUUGCUCAAAACUAGAUUUUUCUUUGGAUAUUGGUACUUAGGUAGUUAAUUAACUUCUUGUUAAAUCUUGUAAAUGGCAUGAUUAUGAAUGAUGAAUGUAUUUACUUUUAACGUUAUAAUACACCCUAGACCAAAUUUUUAUGAGACGAGGUACAAUUGGCAUCCAAAUAACCUAGUUAAUGUGCCAUGUGAAAAAAGGGUUGCAACACUAGCAAGUAGCUAAUAUAUAAUGUGAAUGUGCUUAGUAUCAUGUGAGGAAGGACACUCUUAUUGAAUUGCCAUGUGAUCAAUUAUGUUGAUGGCUAUGAUGAUGGGCACAUAUCAUUAUGUGUAUGAUAAUUUUUUUUAAUGUAACUAUGAUUUUUGAAGAUUUGAUUAGGCUAAUUAAUUUGAGAAGUUAAGGACACAAGUCCAUGAAAACCAAAAACUCACUAUUCACCUUAGCACUAUUUAUCAAGCUUAGAUUUACAAUUACAAGAGAAUUAUACAUUAUUAAUACGAUAAUGAUAUUUAAUGUCAUCAAUCUUCACUUAAUUAGAAUGAUUAAAGGUUGUUUACAUAGACUUCUUGUUUUUUAUUUUAAAAUUUGAGAUGGUACACUUUUUCUAUAUCUUAAUUUUUAAAAAUUCAUUAUCCUUUUAAGCUAAAUUUUUAAAAAUUCUUUGAUUUUAUAUUUCAUUUGUUUUAUGAAAGUAAAAAACAAGAAAUGCAUCCAAAUAACAUAUUUAUUAUUCACUCAUAACUGUUCUUUCCCAAAGUAUUAAAAAAAUUUGGAUUCACUAGAAUCAAUAAAUAUGGUAUUUUAAUCGUAAAUUUCAUAGGUCUUGAAUCAAUUUUUAAAGUAAUCAAUGAAUUAAAAUAACAAUGAAUUCAUUGCAAACUCAAGUCAAUGCUUAAUUAACCUCAAUUUGAAUAAUUAUUUUGAAUAUAUUUAAAUGAGUCACAAAAUUCUAAUAGCAAGUACAAACAGACCAUCAUCAAGUUGAAUGUAUUCAAGCCAAACAACCUCCAAACUUCCUUUCUCUUCUUAAUCUAUUUUAGAAUCUAAGGAAGAUAACAUUUCAUUAAUCUAUUUCAGGAACCCCAAAAUAUUGAAGAGUGAAAAUAUGCUUGCUUUCUUAGCAAAUACUGAAUCCUAAAUCUAUGCAUAUCUUAACUACAAAAGAUUUUAUUAGUGCUUUAAAUAAUCUUAAUUGCCAUAUAUUUAGAUUGUGAUGUUAUAUCAUUCAUCUUUUGUUUAUUAUCUUCCUCUCUGAUUUAAAUUACUUAUUAUUUUUAGCAAUUUUUUUUACAAUUAAUUUUCAUUUUUAUUAUCGAAAAAAUAAAGUAUUUUUAUUUUAAUACAAUGAGAGUAAAGUUCCCAUACUAAAAAAGUCUACAUAAACUUUAGGUAUACUGGACUCUUAGAAAGGCCUCUAUAUAAAUGCUUAGCCCAUCACUCUUAUUUUCUUGCCUCUAAAUUGCCAUGGAUGUAGGGCAUAGGAAGCCACAAGAAGCUAUUGGAGAUGGAGAAAACAAGACUUCUUCCUAGAAGAGUCUUUUUAGGACAUGACUUCAUACAUAAAUAUAGUAUCCUAGGCAUUUUUAGACUUAAGGACUGCCUUUUGGAUUGAUCAAUCGAGACAAGUGAGAUUCACCUUCUCCAAGAGAAGAGCGAGACCACCAUGAAAAGGCAUCUCACUUGGUGGGACUUGGUGUGGAUAAGGUUUAGAUCAGUCGUAGGGUUUUGCAUAUUCAUCAUCACUUGUUAGGAAGCUUGUAAUAGUGUAAGACUCGCCAUAUAUAGUAUUAUCUUAUGUCGCUUUGGGUCUCUCAUAUCGCUUUCCCUACUUUAUUACACAUAAUUCACAGUUGAAAUACCAGUCGUAAGAGAUCCUUUCUUUUAUCUUGAGUAGAAUUAAGUGAUUUUGUUACUGUAGAGAACCUUAAAUUACUUCAUUCCCUGUCCUAGUAUUAGGUUAGGUGCAUAUUCCUAAUACUCUAGAUCUAAGCACAAUGGAAACAUGGCAUUAAAAAACAAUAAUAAAUAUAGAUCUAAAGAUAGUGAAUCUUUACCUAAGAUUUAGAUAUUCCCAGACUGAUUCCUGUUGAUGUGAAAAACUCUAAAUCCAUAGAAGAUCCUGUAAACCCCCAAUCUCCCACCCUACUACUCUUCCUUGAAGCUUGAUACUCAGAUGGUAGAAGUCUCUAGAAAGAAGAAUGGUGGUAGAAGAUUGAAGCCUUAACCUAUAAGGGGUAUUUACAUGGUUCAUAUUGGGUUUAAGUAAUUUGAACCCAUUUUAAGCUUGAGUCACUUAAUCUAACCCAAAAAGGUCUUAAUUGAUUAAUUAAACCAUUAAAUAUUUAAUUAAUCAAUUAGCCCAUUUCAAAUAUGUCGUCUACUUAUUCCUAUGCAACCUUAUGUAAUUACCAAUAUGCCCUUAUGCACAUAGGUGAACUAAGAGCUGAUCCAACCCUCAUAAGUUGUGUUAUCAAGGUUAUGAACUUAAAUUAGGGACUAUUGGAACCCAUAGAAUAGUAUUUUCAUGGCUCUCUUAGAAUCAUACUUUAAAGUUGACUCAACAUCUCACUACAAUGAGUCAACUGCAAUCCUAUACCCCAUGUAUAGUAUAAUGAGAUACUAUAUGCUUGGGUUCGUGACCUACCAUCCACUAUAUAUGGUUUCCCCAUUAAUUGAUAUCUGUAAUCUAACAAGGUGAAAGUUAUUAACUUCUCAAAAUUACCUCUACUAUCCUUCAUUUAGAAGUCCUCAUAUUAUGUGAUCAACUAACAUGUCUUAACUCAUAAAGAGCUCAAGUUCCAAUUAAAGAACUACUAUGGUCAUAGUUGAUCUAAACGCAUGUCCUUAGGAUAACCCAAGGCAACACACUAUCUCAAUCCUAUGAGAUAUCAUGGUGCCUUAUUGAGAAUAUUGGUCGCUAUUGACUUAUAUCAAUUGUGACCUAAUCCCUAAGGAAUGUAUGAUUAUUUUAGGAUCUCAUCUAUAGGUUCAAGCAUAUGCUAACAGUGAUACCGACUCAAUAUUCUUUUCAAGUUGAGAUAAAUACAAUACAAUACAACAACUUAAUGAAAUUAUAACUACUAGAUAGCCUUAUGUUAUAACUCAUCGUAGGCUCUGUCCAAUAUAUAAUCUAUACACACUAAUGCACUCGUCAUAGGAACCACAUCCCGUUGACUAAGACUAAUCAUCCCUUUAAUUAGGAGGUAGUACACUACAACUUCAAAUAGAUUGCCUAAGUUCACAAAUUGAUUGUGAACAAAUCAUUUACUUGCAACAAGCUCAUGACUUGGAUCUUCUGUACAACUUUUAAUGCACCUAAGUCAUGUACAAUAUAUGAGAUGCAAGUCAAAACACUUAUAAAGAAUAAUGAAUGGAAUAAGGAUAGAUGAAAGUGCAACUGAAAUAUAAUAUAAAUAAAUAGUCAAUUCUAAAGUUUGUUACAUCAUGUAAUGCUUUGAAGGGCUCUAUCUUAAUAGUUGGGUUCAUUAUAGCUAGGAACAUUCUCUUAGACGCCAUUCUUGGGGCAACUAGGUGGGUGAUUAUUAAUCAUUUGUUGCUCACAUGCAGUAACCUUUAUAUUAUCAUGUAUUGCUUUAUUUUUUACUAUUGAUAAUGAUGUUAGUUGAUUGAGGUUUGUAAACCUCAAGUCAGUUGUGUGAGGCUUUACCUUUUAUUUGGAUCAUGAUCUUAUAUUGAGCAUGCUUAUUUUUUAAUACAAGGUUAUAAUAGUUUUAGGUUAUGUUUGGAAACUGUCUUUGGUUAGUGCAUUGAUAUUGAUGGGAGUGUUGAAAGUGGAAGUAGGCUAGAAGGUUGAACCACAAUAAAUCUUAGUGUUAUGUAAUUAAUUUUGUUGAAAUUGUUUUAAUUGCAUUUGGGAGCUUUCUUCAUAUUAUACUUUAGAUUAGCCCUAGGCUCUGGCUUCAAGAGAAAAAGACCUCUUCUUUUGUACUCUAUCUACCAAUGUGGCUUAUUGCACAUCUACUUCAAAAAACUCUAACCAUAGUUCAAAUUCAUAAUCAUAUAUAGAACAUAAUAGAUGAAUAUUAUUUAUUGGUAUUGCUAUUAUUAUUCCUUCCACAUUAUUAUUAUUAUUAUUAUUAAGCAUUUACAAUAUCAAUUCAUAAGCAUGUCCAUGGUUUUGCAUUUUCAUUCCAUGCAUUGGAAAUGAUAAAUCAACUUUCCUUAAUCUUUCAUUUUGUUUCACAUUUUAUUGGAUUGAAAAAUAUGUUAAUUUGAGCAUGGACUUAUUUAUUUAUUUAUUUAUUUUUUUUGCAUUUCUUAUUAAAAAUCUUGUAAAGAUAAAUAGCUAUCUGAAGUAAUAUUUAAGAAAAAAAAAAGAGAAAAAAAAAAAGCAUUCUUCCUUAUGAAUAUUAUAUACCUCUUUAACUUCUUCUCAAGAUUAUAUUCAUAUCUUUUUUAACUCAAUCAUAAAGGAAAAGUUGACUCCACUCUAAAUAUCUAUCAAUCAUAUGAGGAAAAAUUGACUAUGAUGAUGAAAAUCAUAGCUAAAUAUCCAAAAAUUACAUUAUUAACUUGCAAAAUUUAUCGUGCACUCACUAAAUUUUUUAAACAUUGAAAAUGUUAAUUUCAUGGUGUUAUCCUAUUUAAUUAAUUAACUAUUUCAUCAUAUAAACUUCUUAAAUAUAGAAAGAAGAUCAUUUCCUACCAUUAUCCUACUUAAGUACCAUAAUUUUUUAUCCUAUAAUCUUUUUUAAACAUAAUAAUCGCAUGGCGCUGUCCUAUUUAAUUAGACCACCAUUAAGCUGCCCAACAUCUCAUUCCUUUCAUUUCUAUCUUCUGAAAUAUUUUUUGUUCAUAAAGAUUUUUGGCCAUGUAGAAGAAGCGAGCCAAAAGCCAUGAAAAGGUUGAGAUGAGAAAGAUGAAUAAUGAAGAAGAUCGCCUUGUUUCCUUCUUGAAGCAUAGAUCUGGGAUCUACAGAAAGGCAAGUGAGCUUUUUACCCUUUGUGGUACAGAAGUUGGUAUUUUAGCUUUCUCCCCAAAUGGGGAGCCAUUCUCAUUUGGUCAUUGAUGCGACUCAUGGUAGCUUAGCUUUAAAGGCGUAUCAACAAAAUUUAUACCUUGAAUACUAUUACUAAAGUAGCCAAGCUACUAUAGCAUAGUGGUUCUAGGAUCAUUCACUGGGAAGGGUUUUCGCAAACACAAGUGAUAUUCAAAUUAGGAAAAUAGGUGAUUUUCUUAUGGAUGUUAGCUUAAAAAGAAGAUGUAAAUGUUUUAGAAAGAUUUAAACUAAUCUAAGCUAACAUUAAAGACUAAAAUGAAAGGGUGUAAAAACAAGUUUCUCAAAGAUAGGAUAGCUAUGCUCUGGCUCUUAUGCAAAUUGGAAAUCUCAGGAUAGGCUCCUCGCGUUGGGGUUGCAACUAUGGUGAUGCUUGCUUCCCGAACCGGUAUGGAUUUAGCAAAUCAAGUUUUAAUCCUUUAAAAUGACAAAACAGAUGGUAGUGAAUUUCAUCCAUGGUUAUUCACCUUAGACUUCCUUUGAAUGGCUCGUAAGAGAUAACUAAUGGUCUAAAGCCAAAAGCUUAUCAAAUAUUGGCAACUCAAAGUCAUUCCAGGUGAUAAACUCACCUUUCAAUGGCCAUUGAAAUUGGUUCUAACGGAUUAAUACAAAACUUGGAAUUGAAAACCUCACCUUCCAAUAGCUCGUAGGAGAUAACUAAUGGAUAGAAAUCCAAAAGCUUAUCAAGUAUUGGCCGUUGGAAGUUGUCCAAAGGAAAUAAAAACCAAACUUUGCAUUAAUGAACCUUUAAUGAAAAAGGACUACCUUACCUUCCGGGUGCGAGAAAUUUCCAUGGGAUUGCAUUCAAGUCAUCACAUAACAUCCAUACUUUGAGAAACUAAAAGUUUUAGCCAAUCAUCCUCUGAGGAAAAGCCCUCAGAGGCUGUUUGGCUUCCAAGAAAAUAGAAAUGGGGAAGAGAAAAGAGAAAUGAGAGAGCUCUGUAUAUAUUCUCUAAGUGUUAAACGUAAUAUCUAUUCUAUAUGAUCCAAGAGGUGAUUUCCACCCCUUAUAUAGUCUUUACAAAAGCAAAAGCUUGUGAUUGGUUAGUUACAAGGAUAAGAAAGGAAAUUACAUCACAAAAUACAAAGGAAAAUAUCUAAAGUGGAGUCGGCAAAAGCAGAGGAAAAUUCGCAACACGCAUGGGUUAUGCGAAUUUUGAAGGUGUUAUGCGAAAUUUUCGCAUAACCUGGAGCAGUUGGCUUCCGAAGGCCAUAUCUUCCUCAUUUCAGCUCCAAAUCGUACACGGUUAGAAGUGUUGGAUUCUUUACUUCCAGAGCUUUGAAAUGGUAUAUAGCAUAUAAAAAAUGGACUUCGGAAAGUGCUCCAAAAGUGUGAAAGAAGACUGCAGCUGCUGUCCUCUGUUUUCCUCUUCUCCAUUGUUCUUUCCUUGCAUACUUUGAACGACUUUGGCAAAGGGAUAUGGAGCUCCAAAGCUUGGUUCUUCAUGAAUUUGAGCUUCCAAAAGCUUUGCCAUAACUUGUCCAAGUAUCUCCUCCAUCAUUUGGCAUGCUUGAAUUGAUUCAUAAGCUGAUAAAAACAUGUAAACUUGCCACAAAAUGGUUAAAACCAAUUACUAAGGACCUUAAUGAAUUAAUUGGGUUAAAUGAAUAUGAUUACUACUCAAAGGUGCUUAAAACCAUUAUAAUUAGGUCUACAAAAUAGCACUUUUUGGUAGUAAUCAGUCAUCCAUGUAUCAAGUCAGUUACUAAUAAGCUUUUAAGUGAAAUACCAUACACCAUGUGAUGGAACCCAAAAUCUUCUUGAGCCUUACCAUCGUGUUAGGCUUAAUGAGCUUCACCAUAACUAUAAAGAAGCUUGCAAGCAAAAGAAAGCAGCCAAGGAGCAAGAAAAAAAAAAUCAAGAAAAAAAGCCUGAUCAAAGGCUGGUGGGAAGAACCUAUUAUUGAGCUUGAUAUGGAUGGUCUCAGGCGAAGGUCAGAUCUAAUUCAAAAGCUUCAUAAGCAUGUGCAACUCCAAAUCAAGGAGCUAUAGACCAUGGAAUCAUGUUCAACUUUACCAUCUAAUACCCAAACAGUUGGCCAUGGCCAUGCUAAAUAAAUGUGCUUUGUAUUAUUGAGAGUCUUGAACAUUUCAGUAUCAAACGAUAAUGGUUCAAUGCUUUUAUUUUUGAGUAAUGGGUUUUGUGUUGGAGUAGCCAAAAAUGUGAUAUUGAUUGAUUAAGCUUCCUUUUUCCCCACCGAAAAGAAGUCUUUUAAUAGUUGAUGUGGGUGACAUAUCAUGUGAUUCUUGUGUAGAUUCCUUAUCUUCAUAAUAGUAGGGUCGUUUUAUAUUUGUCUGGUUUUUGACCCUUGACUCUUGUGUGAUUUCCAUCUUAAUGAUCCUAGUAGAAACAGAUGAGCAUGAUGCUCUUGAGGGUUCAUAUUUUGAAAUUUUAGGAAUUCGAGAAUGACUGAAUGAAUUUGUUAAGCCCCAAAUUCUAAAAUUAAAGUUUAAUUAAAUUAACAUAGGCCAACUCAGACUUUUUGCACUUGAGAUGUGAAUUAAGGAAGAAUUUGGUGAAGUUUAAAGUUUGAGGGCAAACCUAAUUCACCUGUGUUAUUUAAGUUUUUGAACAAAGAAGUUCCCUAUAUUUGGAAGAAUUCAUGUUUUUCCUAUUCAUGGACUUUGUGUAUCGGAAAACUUACACAUUUUAACUCCAUGGCCAACCUUUGUAAAAAGAGUAUGCUUGUAUGGGUAUUUUUUUAAAUCUCUCAGAAAAAUAAGCAUCCAUAUGACUAUACUAAGCUCUCAGAGCUUGUUUUAGUCUAUAUAGUGCCUUUUUAUUUUUAUUUUUAUAAUUUAUGAACUUUAUGCUCACUUUUAGGCUUCGCAUACUCAAGAGGUUUAUCGAUAAAAACCUGUUCUUAUAGAUCACCAAGCAAAAAUACUGAUUUUACAUCUAGUUGGAAGAUAGACCAUGAGUUUUAAGAAGUCAAUGUAAUAAAUAGCUCGAUUGCAUCAUGUCUUGCAAUAGGAGUAAAAACUUCUUUAUAAUCCACACUAAACUCUUGUUUAUAGCCUUUAGCUACUAAGUGCACCUUAUUCUUGCCAUCUUUGUCAUUCUCCUUCAAUGUUGUCUUGUAUACCCAUUUGACACCAAUUUUUUGUGGUCUCUUGGAAGAUCAAUUUACUCCCAAGUGCUAUUUUGGUUAAUAAUUUCAGUUUGUCUUUCAUAGCCUUCCUCCACUUUGAAAGUUGUAGGAUUGAAAUAUGAAAAUAGAGCAAAAUGUGUAAGCAGGUUCUCAAUGGGUCAAUUUCUAUUUCCUUGUAAUCAAUCAUCCACAUAGGUCUUCUUCAACCAUGUUUUGUCCUUUGUUUAUCACCUCUUUAGCUGCAAUUGGGCUUUGAGCAUCAACAAGGACAUUUUUGGGUAACUUCGAGUUAUUGAACAUUUCCCAUAGGUUGUUGCCUUAUGCCAUCAUCAUCAAAAUCUAUUGGAAUACGUUUUUCAACACCAUUCUUGUUCCAAAACCAAGUUCAUUCUUAAUAAAAAAAAUAUCGUGACUAAUAAUGAUUUUCUUUAUGCUAAGAUUAUAUAGCUUAUAAGCCUUUGACUGAUCAUUAAUACCAAGACAAAUGCAUAUUUCUCCCUUGUCAUCUAGCUUUUUCCUCUUCUCAUCUAGAACAUGGACAUGGGUAUAGGCUAUGCAACUAAAAAUUCUAAAGUGUUAGGGUCUUCAUCUGUUCCAUGUUUCCUAUAGUGUUAUAUUUUGAACAAUAAAUGUUGUACUUCUCUUCAAAAUAUGAAUGCUCCAGUUGAUAAUGUUAGGCUAGAAACUCUUCAAAACUCUAAUCCUUGCCAAAAGACUUCACACCUCGUUAAGAAUCGUGCAAUUAUUCCUCUCGCAUACAUCAUUUUAUUGAGGCUAAUAGGCCUCUAUAAGUUGUCUUUUGAUGCCAUGAGUCUCAUAAAAAUUUGCAAAUUCAUAUGAGUUAUAAUCUCCCCCAUAAUUAGUGUACAAUAUUUUUAUUAAGCUAUUGACUUCUUUCUCAACAAGUGCUUUAUAAAGUUUAGAUGCUGCAGACACCUCAAAUUUUUCCUACAAAAAAUACACCUAAAAUUUUCGAUUAAAAUUAUCAAUGAAGGUAAUUAUGUAUCUUUUACCUCCAUUAUUUGGAAGAUGGAUUUAUUUGUCCAUAAAAGUUAGAAUAAGCCAACUCUAACGUCUUCUUUGUUCUCCAUGACUUUCCUUAUGGAGAUUGAUUGUGGUGUUGUUGGCUAACAACACAUAUUCAACAAAAACUUGUUGAGAGCAUUCAAUUUGAGAAAGCUUAAUCACCAUAUUUUUUUGCUGCAAUGUCUUGAGACCAACAAAGUUUAGACGCCCAUAACAAAAAUGCCAAAGCCAUGCUACAUCCUUCAAUUGAGUAGACACUACAAGAAAUUUCACCCUCUACCACAAAAUUUUUGGCCAUCAAUAUAAUUUCAUCUCUAAAGAUGAUAUUGGGAGACAAAAUUCAAGUUUGUUAUGAAAAUUUGUGUCUAAAGUUUUAAUUGAAUGUGACAUGAGGCCAAAUUAUUUGUGACGACAUCAUAAAUUUUAACAACAAAAUAUUUCAUGGUGAAAAAUAUAUUGGGAGACAAAAACCUAGUGUUGUCCCAAAAGGUAAAUAAUGGGUAACAAAAUUAUGUUGUUGUAAAAUAGUUUUGGAGAGAAAAAUCUUAACAAUGGGAGACAAAAAUAUUGUCCUAAUAUCACUAGAUGAAGGAACAAAGAAAAUUAUUGGGGAGGAAAUUGUUUUAUUGUAAAAACUCAAUAUUGGAGACAAAACUAUUUCAUCCCCAUUAAAAUGCAUUUUCCUUUUUCAAAAUGAAUUUAUCAUUUUUAAAUUUAUUUAUACUAUUGAAUACUUAACAUGAUUUAUUUGUUUUUUGAGAAAGUUUCAUAAUACUUUAAUAUUUAUGAAACAACACAAUUAUUAUUAAAGAAAGUAAAUAUUAUUUAGAAAUAAUGUGAUAUUGUCAUAUUAUAAUAUUAAUAUAAAUAUAAAUAUAAAUAUAUAUAUAGUAUUAAAAUUUAAAUAUAAUGACAAUUUUUAUUAUAUUUAAAUUUUAAUAUAUAUAUAUAUAUAUAUAUAUAUAUAUAUAUCAAUAUGUAAUAAUAUUUAAAUUUUAAUACUAUGUGUAAUAAAGUAAGAAUUUAAAAUUUUUUUAGCUAAUGUUGAAUCUUCAAUUCUGGAUAUCAUACUCAUGAUAUGUGAAAUGUAAUAUUUGUUUAAUAAAAAUAUUAUUUUAUUUAGUAUAUAACUUGAAAUUAUAUAUAAAAGAAUUUAAUAUGGAUUAAAUUAAUUACCUAAAAAAAAAAAGGGUUACAAUGUUUGGACCAUAAUAUUAUUAGUCUUCUUCUUGUUCUUGAGUACAAAAACACAAAGAUUAAUCUAGAAUGUAUAAUAUGGUAAAAUUCUAAUCAUAAUAUAUUUUAUUUUUAUAAUAUUUUAUUUUAUUAAUGAAUUUAUAAGAUAAUAACAUUUUUUUUGUAAAUUCUAUUAUAAUAUAACCAUCUAUUAUUCUUCUAAUCUUAUACUUCCUAUAAAAUAACUUUUUUUCUUUUUCUCUAAAUAAUAAUUUCAUUUUCAUGUAAAUACUUUGAACAAUCCUUAAUAAUAUAUAAUAAAAUAAAACAAAAAUAGAUUGAGAUUCAUUUCCAUGUUUAUAACUUGAUAUUUUAUAUAUCUAAAAAUGUUCAAUUAGGAAUUAGGAUUAAAUUGAUUAUAUUAUGCAAAAAUAAAAAAAUUAGUUACCAUGUGAGAACCCUAAUUUUAUUAAUCUUCCUUAUGUUAUUUACAGAUAAAAAUCAAUCCAAAUUGCGAAUGUACAAAUAAAAUAAUUUUAGUUAAUAGUAUAAACAUUUAUUACUUACCUACUUUUGUUGUUCCCAUAAAAUCAUCUCAUGUCUUUAUUUGUAAGUAAUUGAUUUCAAUGUCAAUAUUCUAAAUUAAAGUAUAAAAUAAAUUAAAAAAUAUUACAUUAAAAUAACUUAUUUUGUAUAUAAAUUUUUAUUUUAUAUAUCUAUAAAAGUCAAAUUUGGAUUAAAUUGAUUAUACAAAAAUAUAAAAAGGGGUUUGACAACCAUAACACUAUUAGUCUUCUUCGUAUUAAAGUAGAAAAAUGAAUCCAAACUCUAAAUGUAAAAGAUAAUGAAAUUUUAAUAGUAAGUUACAUUGGCUUUUUCAUAAUAUUAUAUUUUAUUAUAAUUCAUAUAUGAAUUUAUAAGAUAAUGACAUUUUAAUAAUGAUUUAUUUCAAUUCUUCUUUUUUUUUUCUUCUUAAUUUUCUAAUUGAUUUUUUUUUAAAAGAAAUAUAAAAAUUUAUAUAUGACUUAAAGUUGAUAAAAAAAAUUCAUUUCUCUUUUAAUAAUUUAACAAUAUAAUGUUUUACCAAUCUCAUCUUUUCUAUAAAAUCAUCUCAUUUCCUUAAUUUUUUUAUAGAUAUUUCUUAUGGUUAUUCUUUAGAAAAAAAAAUUCUAAUGUUAACUAUAUAAGACAAUAAACUUAUAUUUUUAAAAAUUAAUCCUUUAUAAAAAAAGACUUUUAUAAAAGUUUUAGUUAAUUCUAUAAUAGUAUAAGUAUCUAUUAUUUACGCAAUCUUGUUGUAGACCCCCUUUGGUGGUAAAAGGCUCGGGGGGAGGUGAUUUCGAAAGACUUCUCAUUAUAUUUAGAAGGGGUAGGGGACCCCUAGCGGCUGAAGGAUGGACCCCUUCUCUAGGCACGGACGUGCAGCUGCAGGGGGGCGGUUGCAAGCCCAUGCUUGCUGAUGCAUGAACAGGGGAGGUGGGUGAUGGUUGGCUGAAGAGAGAAAACAGAGAAGAAGACGUCUACGAGGGGGGUGGUUUUUGCAGGAGAGACGACUAGUGAAGGAGGAGGAAGGAUCUUUCUGCUGAUAGCUUGUAAGUAUUGCUCUGUUUCAACUCCCUUUCACAUUUCCUUAUUCUUUUGUUGCAAAAUGAUUCAUGUUUGGUCCCAAGGUGGUGAUUGAUAGUCAUGCAUUAGUUUAUUUUCCGUUCGUUCUAUUGGUUUUUCAAUCUGUUGAUGAUGCAUGAAGUGAGGUUACAACAAUUAAAUCCUCAGACCUCUCAUCCUUGCUCGGUUUCUUAGCGAUCUCUUUCUCCAUACUUCUUAUGCUACCAACCCCCUGCUCAUGCACACGUGGACUGCACACCCACUCCUACCCUCCAUUUUCCCUUCUCAUUUUCCUCUCGUUCUUCUCACUCCUCAAAACACCAGAAGUAGACGUCUACCAGGAUAGCAGCCGAAGAUGCUCAAAACUUCAAUCCCCAUUUCGAGCCUACCGCCAAAGCUCCAAAAAUCCUAGCAAAUGGAGAGCCUCCGAUGCAGUUCUGAGAGCACGAGGCUCUCUUGCGGCGCUCCGGCGAGUCCCAUGCAUCUCGCGUUCCACGUGAAGGCGUCGCCAUCAACUCUCCCCUCACCGUCGCCGCCCUUUGAAAACACUCUACCCAGCCCGCCCGCUACACACUACAAGGAAAAUGUCAAAAGAUGACGCUUUUUAAGUGUCAAGAUAGAUAUAAGAUGACGCUUUUUAAAAGCGUCAUAUAUUAGACUGUCAUCUUUUUAAAUCGCAUACGUUGACACUUUUUAGAAGCGUCAUCUUCUUUGCACGUCAACCAUGACGCUCAUAGUAAGUGUCAUUAUUUGAAAUAUUGACGCUUUAUAAGUGUCAUCAUAUGUUAAUAAUUUCAUUCAUGUCAAUAUUGACACUCAAUGAAGUGUCAUUGUAUAGGUAGAAGCAACAUUGACACUCAAUAUAAGUGUCAUCUUAUAACUUUUUAUUUGUAGGAGCAACGUUGACACUUAAUAAAGCGUCAUUGUAUAAGUAGAAGCAACAUUGACACUCAAUAUAAGUGUCAUCUUAUAGCUUUUUUAUUUGUAGGAGCAACAUUGACACUCAUAAUAAGUGUCAUCGUAUAGCAUUUUAUACCUUGACACUAAAAAAAAUGCCAUGUUUUUUUAACAUCAACCUUGACGCUUUUGAGAGGUGUCAUCUUCUGUUUAUUCAAGUAAAGCAUGAUGCUUUAAAAAAGCGUCAUCUUAUCUCAUAUAAAAUUUUAAUAGCCCAGAAAUUAAAAUGUCCUAAUUAUGCCCUGUUUUAUAAUUUUCUAUCAACAAUUAAAUUAAUAAUAAAAACUUAAUUUAAGAAUCUCCAUUGACAAAAAGGAUCAAAUAUGGUCUUCCUUUUUCACUAUUACAAUUUAUCCAUAAACAUCAUAUAUAAUCAACAACUAAAACCAACAAUUUUACAACUUCUUCUUCUCAACUUUGAAUUGUUCAUAACCUUCACUACAUCUAGUUUUACAUCAUUUUUCUUCCAAGUGCAAAAGGAUGGUUGUAACUCACUUUCUAGAUGCUCAAUCUGCAAAAUAAUUGAGAGGGUUACAUAUUUAUUAGUAUUAACAAAUAGUUAAGAAGCAACUUUGUAAAUGAAAUGUGUAUAUGCCAAUUUUUAAAUUUCCAAAAUAUCUUUCUUCCAUUGCAAUAAAUUUCAAAAUAUCAAAAGAACUCAACAAACUCCAAUAAUUUUAUUACACCAAAUUUCUAAAUAUUUUAGAACUCUCAUUCUAUUUUUUUUUUUUAAAAAAAAGUUUUUAUCUCAUUGACUAUUUUGGUAUGAUUUUUAUCUUAUUUAUGAAACUUCAACCAUUAACAUCUUCUCAUUCUUCUUAUAGGUUGUACAAGACAUUAGAUGUUUUGCAUGAGAAGAAACUAAGGAAUGAAAAAAAAAAACAAAAAAAACUAGAAGUCCGAAAAAUUGUAAAAUUGUAAAUUAACAUAUUUAUGUAAAAUUAUAAAAUUGUGUUAAAAUAUCUAUGUUCUUCUUAUUGUAUUAGUAUAUCAACAUUUAAUAACAUGAGGAUAUCUAUUAUCUAAAUAUGGAACUUGCAUGAAAUGAUCUCUAAACAUGGAAUUGAUUCAUAAAACUUACAAUAACCACAUGUUACCUCAAAAUUCUUUUGAUGAUAUAUUUUGAAUUGUUUGUGGGUGUCCUUCAUCAAGAGUAGAAGUGAUGUUGUUAAUAGAAUGACCUAUGCCUUUUUGUACAACCUGAAGAAUAUAUAAUAAACAAUUUAACAACCAAUUAGUAAGAGGUGCUAUUUCCUUCCAUAGGCUUAUUUGUAAGAAGUCUUAAACUAACUUCCUAUUUUUUAAGUAAAAGAAAAUGGAAGUACAAGAUAUUAUAGACUUUAAGCCCAUUAGUAUAGUAGGAGACCUUUAUAAAUUUAGAUUAAAGAAGUUUAUAAAGCUAGUAAUCUUAAAGACCAAAAAUGCUUUUGUAGAGAAUAGACAAAUUCCUAAUUCAUGCACAUGUAAUGAAACUAAAGGCUCUACGAAAAUGAGCUUGGACAUGUAGGAAUUUUUGUAGCUAUGCUAUUGUAGGAUUUCUCCAAAUCUAACUGAUAAUAAUUUGUAGAGGAAAUAUACAAAAGUUGUUACACCUACCAUGUCUACUUGGCUUCACCUCUCAAUAUGCCAACUAUACAUCAAUCAUAAUAGAGCAACCCCCAAAAUGAUCCAUAUUGAAAACACUGCCAACUAGAAGUACAAAGAUAUACAUUAACAAAUUAUCAUUGUGAAUAAAUCCAUUAUAAAAUUAACAUUAACAAAAUAUUGACUACAUCUUUAAAAGAAUAUGAAGUUGUAUUAGACUAUAAGUUAUAAGAGGUACCUUCAAACAUGAGUAAUGAUUAACUGAGUCACUAACAUAACCCAAUCUGAUUGAACUUCAUUAAUUUCCAUUUCACUAUAUGAUUUCUUCCCGCAAAACUGAAUUGGAGUGACAUAUACAAUUCACUAAGUUCAAUUGACCAAAAAAAAAAAAAAAAUGCUAUAGUAAAAUGACCAACCAUAUGAAUUGAAUUGAGUGCAAACCUUUGAUGUUAGUUGGUUUGGAUUAGCAAUGAUUUCCUUCAUAUAUCUCAUCACGUAAUACCCACAUUCCACACUACCUGGUUGUCUUGGGCACUAUGGGAAAAGUAUCAACAAUUGCAAUAAACACUAGAAUGAUGUUCUUACUUCUUUAGCAUCUUAUUGAUGAUCAUAUUAAUAACCAUCCAUUUUCUAAUUUUGUCAUAAAUUAAGUGGUGAAGCAAUAUAUUUUAAUCUAAACAAAUAAGUACUUACAACCACUUUCACCCAAGUUGGCUCCCUCUUUGAUGUUUUCUGUUUUUCCGGUGGGUUGAUUCUCAUUGCCCUACAAAAAGAAUUAAAAAGAUGUUAUAUAGACACUAUCAAUUGUAUUAAAAUAGGAGAAAAUAUAUACUUACAUGUUAACUAUGUCCUUAAGAUCAUCACAUGGUUGACAGGCCAUUGGAUUAAGGUAAUAUGCAAUCAUUUUCUUCAUCUCCAAUGCCACUAACACCCAAUGGAAACUAAAGAAAAGAAAUGAAAAUUGUAAUAUAGUAUCCACAAAUUCAAACAUCACAAACUAACUUACAAACACCAUAUUGAUAUUUAGGAUAAAAGGUUACUCUGGGUUGUAUGGAAUAAGCAUAUAUUCAGCAUGCUUUGUAUUCUUUAGUCGAUCUGCAAUAACCCUUGACCUGUUUUCCUUGCUUCCCUCUCCCAUUCCAGCUUUUGAGACCAAUACUGGAUUGACAAAAACAUAUCGUUCGGCCUGCUAUGCAUCAAUCAACUUUCUAUGCAAAUGCUUGAUUAUAACCCACAUGACAAGUUAUCAACAAUCAUUAUAGGUCAUUAGAAAAUAACCUUCUAUCUCAUAAUCUUGUGAAAAGUCAUUCAAAAAUUAUAAAAUCCCUUACCAAAUGUAGUAUAAAAUACAAUUGGAUGACACUUCUUUUGAUGAUAUUAUCAUUUCCAUAUCUUCUUUCAUCAUGAAGGUCUUGAAACUCUCACCAAAAACAUCAUCUGGGAAGUUUAUAGGGUAUGUUCUUGAUGUACUCAGAAUGAGGCCAACCAAUGUCUCAAAAUUUUUCAUAUCUUGUGGUUUUUCACCCUUGGAUUUGACUUCAACUUCAUUUACUUUUUGUUUCUUUGCUUUCUUAGAUGCUUGUACAAUUAAGAACCAUGGUACAAAUCAAAUUAACUAGUUUAUAUAUAUAUAAAGUCACUAUAAACUUUGGUAAUUAAAUUUACUUACUAAGAUGGGAGUACGGAUGAUGACCAAAUUAGUUGGCCACAAAACUUGGUAACCAAUUGCAGCCCCAACAGUAGUAGUUUGUCCAGGAAUAGGAAUGGGAAGGGGUGCACUUGAAUCAUAAGGAGCAUCAACAACUACUAAAUAGUUGGGACCACAUUCAAGUAUAAUUGUUCCACCUGCCACUAUAUUUUCCUUGGUGCCUAUGGCUGUAGACCCCCAUUUUGGGAACCUCACUUUUGUGCAUAUUUUGCAGCUCUUUUUGCCAGGUGUCGCAGCUGUGAGCAGCCACGUGUCGACUCCCGUCUGGUUGCUAUGGCAUCAGAUGGUGGAAUCAAGGAGCAAAUAAGAGGUUGACACGUGUAAAGGAGAUUUUGCAGGCGGUUAGGAGGAGCGUAUGAGAGAGGGGAUAUUCUGCAGAAAGUGAGGUUGCUUUUGGGAGGUUGGUUAGGAGAUAUAUUCUAGGAGGGCAUAUCCGGGAGAGAACAAAAAUAAGAGAAAAGGGGAUUGGUUGGUGGAAAGGGGCUGCAGAGUGUAGUGGUGCUGGUGGCUGUUGCUGCAAAGAUGGUUGGAGGGGCAAAUCCGGGAGAGAAAAGAGAUAUCGCCUAGAAGAGGAAGGCAGCUAGGAAGGGAUGCAGGGGGGUGGAGAGUCUGUUAGAGGGGGAGCGUCUCUUGCAAGUGGGCAGGAUUUUCAUGCUGGUCUGAGAGAUUUUUCAGGCAGGGUGAGUGGAGAUAUUGAUUUUUGAGGGGAAGAGGAGAAGAUCUUUUGAGCUGAGGAAGGUAGCAGGCUGCUAAGGAUUUGGAGAGGGGAGAGCUUUUGUUUGGGUGUUUUUUUUGGGAGAAAGGAUUCUGGAGAGGAAGCAGUAAAGCUUCUUUUGUGAGAGAGAACGAGGGAGAGAGAACAGAGAAGGUGGGGGCAAAGAGCGAGAGGGGGAGCUUGGGAGAGUAUUCGUUUGGUGUGGAGCAGCAAACUGUGAGGGAGAAGUUGGAAGCUGCAAGAAAUGUGAGUUUUUGGAGAGCUUAGAGAGUGAUAUUUCUUUAGGGCAUUGCUUGACAAGCAAGCCGGACAGGAGAAGAAGUUUUCUUAGAGCUUGAGGAGAGCUCAGAGAGAAAACCAGAGGGAACUUGCUGGUGAGAAUAGGAGGGGAUAUCUUUUUCUUUUCUAGAGGUAGCAGAGUGGAGAGGAAACAAGUUUGAAGGUAAGCAUCUCGGGAGUAAAAGGACUUCCUCAGGUAUGAUUGCUAUAGGCUUAUUGAUUGUUUUUGGCUGUUUAUCACUCUCAUAUGUCUCUUGUUGAUAUUUGAAUAUUUGUUGAUUUGCUUGGGGUGGAUAAUGGAGGCCACUUAUUGCUUGUUGAAAUAUAAUCCUGCCUACAUGUUUACCACUGUUAACCUUAGUGUGUUUUGCUCCUAUUAUGAAAAUGCCCAUAGUUGCCUUUGAAAUGUUGUUUCUCACCUAAUCAGAGGGUUCACGGAUGACUCAUGAAGUGAAACCUCUGAAAAUCACCUUUACUCAUUUUCUUUUGCGUUCUUUUCAAUGGCCUUUUUCUUUGUUGUGACCAAUACUUUGCUUCUGGGCCUCGUUCAAUGUAAUGGUUGUAAAAAAAAGUAGAUCUGGGUCUGGCUGUGUACUCAUUCAGAGAUCAAAUAUGUUGGGAAGAGACUAUGAUUGGGUGAUGAGAUUCUACUAUGAGGUUCAAGGGAGGUUCAAUCGGUUCAAUGAUGCCACUCUGAAUUUGUUGAUAUCCUAUGUGUGUAGAAGAGAUGCUCAGUGGGACUCCUUUGGGUAUCAAAACUCUGUUUCUCCCAGAUAUCAGUGGCAUGCUUAAAGGUAUAUUAUCAAGUCCUGGCCUGGUUGUAAGUAUAUCUAUUUCAUCUGCUGGAUUCUUGCGAAGAAAUCUCCCUCUAGUAGUUCUGGGAAAUGGGAAGACGUCAAUGGGAAUGUGUCUGUGGUUUCUGCUCAUGAGAAUAUAUUGAGUGAUCAGCCUGAGUUGCUGCAGCGACUUGGAAAGGACCUUUCUUUUGUUCCAAUACUGAUCUAUGACCCAUUGAUAGAAGUCUACUUGGCAGAUUUUUGAAGAUGGAGAGGCUCGAAAACCAUCUAUGCAUACUGAUGUAGGUCCCGUGUCUGAGACAAGAGGUGCAGAAAAUACCGAUUAUGCUGAUUUUAAUAAUAAAAACGGUGGGAUUUCUUGGGUCUUUAUUGUGAUGGUUGCCCUAUGUCACUCCCUCAUGAGGAAGAAGACACCAAAACAGAAUAUCUCGGUGAAAUGAAUUAUGGUAUCAGCAGGGAAUGUCUCAAUGUCGUUACUGAUGAGUAAACUGACAUGGUUGCUGAGAAAGGCGUUUGUUUCGACAAGUCAACAACAGUUGAAAUCCUGGAAGCUGUUCAUAAUCCCUGUCCCGUGGCAUUUGAAUACCCAAGGCACCUGUCACUAAGCCAACCUCAUGACUCCCCAUCCGUAGUCCUACAGCCGCAAGUGUUGUUCCAUUCUUGCAUGGUCACUCACCAAAGUUUCCCUCUCCAUUGAAUCCAAAUAUCCUCACACCAAUCAAGCCCACCCACUAAUCCAAUCCAUCUUUCAUCCAUCCCACUCUCUACCCUACACGCAUGGCAAACCCAUUUUUUUCUUAAUAUCCAUCUAAACCCAUCUCUCACUCAUGUUCGUGUCUUACCCACGUUCCAGCUCACUACAUUUCUUCAUACCCAUUGCCUAUAGCCAUACCCAUAUUUCAUAAUCUCCCAUGCAUGUUCAUUUCUUGAAAACCCAUUAAACCCUCUGAACCCAUAUUUGUUUGGCCAUGUAUGGCCAUACAAGACGUUUCCACCAAGCUCAUUAUCCCUGGAUAUUCAUAUCCGUUUCCUGUAGUUGGGCACUUGUCCCAAUUCACGUGACUUCAAUGGAGGCUGUGUUGAUGGAAGAUGUCAUUGCUUUCUUGGAUUUCAUGGUCAUGAUUGCAGUGUAUACGAAUGGAUGCUUGGGCAUGAUAACUGCCUAUAGAAGGUCUAAGCCAUAUGCAGAUCCUGAUGCAAAGAAGAUUGAUGAUCAGGGUGAUGAGGAAGUGCCCAACAAGAUGCCGAGGAAUCCAAGAAGCUGCUACCAUACCCAUGUCACCAUGCCUUACAAAUCCACUCCGUUUCUCCACCACCUUUAUGGAUUCUACACCAUCACCUAUCUAUACUCAAACCGUUGCCCCAUUUCUCUCACUAAAUCCCGCCACCCAGUCCACUCAUUGAUUGAGGAGACCAUACCCAUAUGCAUGAUCGUUUUAACGCAUGCAUGACCUUCUUGAAAGACACGAAGAUGUUUGGCGCGCCUAGAGCUUGACUGGCCACAUGUGAUGAGAUUCUUCUUUGCUGCCUUCGUCACGAUGAAGCUGUGAGCAUGAUGAGAAACCUCUUUGAUCAGCGCGAAUUAGUUAGAUAUGAUGACGAGUGUAGUCUAUCACACAGAGCAACUUGUUAUUCUAGUUUGUACAAAUCGUAACAUCAAUAUGGGAAGGUAUUUAUGUGAAAGGAAGCUGCAGGUUGUGAAAUAUUAACAUUGGUCCAAAUGUAAGUGAUCCUGGCUAUUUAGAUUUGGUAAGAAUCCGCUUGCUUCAAAAGAUACAGGUGAGGGAAUGUGCUGAGUUACUUGGGAUAAGUCUAUCAUUUAGAGUCCCAUUUGAGAUUGUGGGUGAUGUCAUGCUUAUGCAACUCUCCUGCAUUCAGCAAAGAGACAAAUCAAUUGUGGAAACUCCAAGGUAGACGUCACGUGGCGCAUUGAUAGAUAUUUGUGGAGUUUUUCAACUAGUUCAAAGGUGUCAUUGCAUGAAGAAUAACUGUAGCCAAGGAAAGGGCUGAUCUGGACGUUCUCUAUAUCAGAGCAUCAAAAUGGGAAUAUCAAGGUGCCGCUAACACACUCAUCACUAUCAUGUUUGCACAAUCAAAAGAGGAUGGAGUCGACCUAAUCGAACACGGACAGACCCAGACUGAAGACUUGCUGAGAACAGAGGCUCAGGCUUUGGGGUUAAGGUAAUUUCAAUAUGCCUAGGGAUUCUCAUUUGUGCCACUCAGACUCAAAAUAACCUCUGUAAGAAAGGAAGAGGGAUGAGAAAGCUGGCUACAGAGAUUCAAAGGAGAGUCACUACGAUUCAAGCUUCUUGGAUAACAUGCUGUUCAGAGAGUUUGCCAUAGAGUUUUGAGUUUUUGUUGUGAAAAGAUGGAUGAGAAUAUGUCGGUUGGUUGUGAGUAAGAAUUUCUAUGCUCGGCAUGCCAAGUCAGUAAUAGUUGAAGAUGGGAUCUAAAGGGCAAGCAAGGCUCAUAGCAUCGUGGCCUGAUUCAGUGACUAUUCUGGCAUCCAGUCAAACCUUCAGGGCAUGUAUCGCAUGGUCACCUUCAGGCAUACUACUUUGCCCAUGUGUCCUUCUCACUUCCUCCUUUCAUCUAUUUUAAAAAAAUAAUUUCCCACACUCUCAUUCCUCAAAAAUAAUUUUUCAAUUUCCAUUUUGUAAAUAACUCUUCAAAUUUUGAUUUUCAGAUAAAUUUCAACUCUCCUCCUUCAUCCUUAGAACCCCUUUGGUUCCAAAGUCUCUUUUUCCAAUAAAUCUUUGUUGCCAUAUUUCCUUUCGGCAUACAAUUUUCACAAUUCUUUUGUUUUUUAAAAUGUUUUAAAAUAAGCUAAAAUCAAAUUCCAUAAUUCUAAGUGAUAGAGUUUGCGGAAUUGAUUUAUGCAAAAAUGAAUCGGGCUUUGAUGGAGGCCCCACAUAUUUGACUUCAUGAUUGAUUGACUGAUUGAUAGAUUUAUUUGCCAUGCUUGAUUGGUUUACUCUAUUCCUUGAUAUGCGCUUAAUUAUAUCUGUUCAUUGUUCACUAAUCAUGUUUCAUGAUAGCGCGUUCGUGAUUGCCGCCCAGGUGCGCAUCUAUUCAUAUUUCGCCUAUUCUUUAUACAUGCUUUACUUCUCAUAUUGUGCAUGAUCAAUUUGAGUAUUCAUCAAUUUUCUCAUUGAUUGCCAUGUUAGCUUCAUUCUAUUAGUAGAGACCCGACUUUAGGGACUUAGAGGGGUGCUACGGUUUUUACCGUACCUUCCCGAUAAGUAACCUGACCCCCGAACCCGAUCCGGUUUUUCACAGACCGCCUUUUCCAAAAUAAGGAGUCACACUUAGGGUUUUUCUUUCUUAUUUUGUUUACCCUUUAAAAAUAAAACAAAAAUAAGUGGCGACUCCAAGUCAUUUUUCUUAAUCAAAUAAAAUCAAUUUUUCAAAUAAAAAUCGAGCUCGCCAUCGAGUGGGAAACGCAUUGAGCCGAAAAUGCGGGGUCCACAAUGGCCAGCUCACAUUUUCUAACCUACAAAACUCAAUUCACAAUAAUCACUUCAAUAUUAGUGGGUUUAUACAAAACUAACAUAAAUGCAUUAUCAUCAUCAAUCACCUUAUAGCUCCUAUUACAAUGAUAAAUGCAAUUUCAUUUACAUUCAAUUGCAACAAACUUGCAUGAUAACAUUUCAGUCCAUUGCAUAUAACUCAACCCAUAAUUUAGACAUAUCCUAUUAUAUGUUGCCACAUCAAAGAAGACCAUAUAUGUUGCCACCAACAUUUGAAGUCAAUUCAAACAACAAAAUUAAAUUAAAUUAUUUCUCGUAUUAGAGGAAACUUUGUCAUCAAAUUAGCUUAAUUGAAUAAAUACCUUCUUCUGUGGUUCUAUUGCUUCUGGUGGGGUCACAUCUUCAACUUUACGGAUUGCCUUAUCCACUGCUUCUGGUAGGAGAAGUUGUUUUUGCUUCAUGUUUGAACUACUAACAUCAGAUUGGGGAGUAACAACUCCUACUUGAGUCAGUUUUGCUAGCACUUCUGCCUGAAAUAUUCUUUGUUCUUCUUUAGAUGCUGCUAUGAAAUCCCUGACAGCACGAUCUACAGCACUAUUGAAAUAUUGGCGAGGUGUGUAGUGCUUCCCUUUGGCCCUAACUCGACCACUAUACUCAGGAGUACCCAAUGCUUCCACAAGUAUAUCAUUACUUCCACUAACACUUCUACCAUUCUCUUGAGACACUUUCAAUAGCUUGUCCUUAAAAAAUAUUAAUUAUAAAGUUAAAUUGCAAAUUUGUUAUUGUAAAUAACUUAUUAUAAAUAUAUGUAAUUAAAAUUGAAAAAUAUUCACUUACUAUUUUCUCAAUUACUGGUAUGGCCACUUCAUCAAAGGUGUCGUCCUUUUUUUCCCUUGCUUUCUUCCAUAAUAUGCUUCGAUCAAUAGUUUCAGUUGAUCCACUUGCAACCAUCUUUCAAAAUAGGACAAUGUAUAAUAUAAUUAUCAUAUAACCCUAUUAUGUAUUAUGCAUAAAAUAAAUAAAAAACAAUUAAUAGGCUUAUACUUACCAUCUCUUCCUCAAGACCGGCAUAUCCUUUCCUACUUAGAUGGUGAUUAUAAAUGUUUCUCUUUCUUCUUUCUUUUUGAAUUUCUCGAUAUUCCUAUAAAUUAAAAUUUUAUAAUUAAUGAAUGUGAAUAAGAGGUAUGUAAAGAGUCUUAAUUAUACCUUAAAGUUGUCAGACAAUCUAUCUUUGACAAAUAUUGUCCAAUCUUCAUCCUCAAUAAAAGUAUAUUGAAUUGGUGGUCUUUUGAGGAGCUCCGGUUGGUCUUCGAAAGGAAGAAUGUACUUCACUGUUAGCAAGUUCUUAAAGGACCAAAAGCAUUUUCCCAUUGUUACCAUACAAUUCCUCCUGCUUUUAUGAUUUAAUGAAAAAGCAGUUUGCACAUUAAUACCAAACUUUAGUAAUUUCAAGAGGUUAAGAAUGAUAGACAUUUUGCAUCAAAGUGAUUUAAAUAAGAAAUGGUUACCUCAAUGUUGUCCCAUAACUUAUCCUUCAACUGUUUAGGUACAACAUGCCAAUUUUUAUAUCUUAUUGGCACCAUAGUGCGUGCUAACACGCCUAAGUAGCUUGUUAGAUGAACUGCUGAUUCUCCUAUGAAAAUGCCAUCAAGAUUGUACUUAACCGGCAACUUAACCCCCUUGCUUCUGUUUUUUAUAAUCAUAUGCUUCUGUGUCAUCCCUCUGUACUUCCUUUUUAUGGGUUUUUCUCCUUUCUUUGUCUCCAUUCUUGUAACAAAAAAAAAAUAAAAAAUGAUAAAGAUUAGUUAAAAUUAUAUUGCAUAUAACCUAGUCAAAGAAUAAUUGUAAAACAUAACUUUUCAAAGAAACAAAUCCAUAAUCAUUGUACAAUGAAAUGCAAUAGAUCAUGAAUUCAAUAGAUCUUUUUAGAAUUGUUCAUCAUAUAACAAGGAUAACACUUCAUUUAAACUUUUUUUUGUCCCGUUUUGUUUAACAUUUCAUUUAUUUUAAGCAACCCAAGGGCCUUUGUAUAAGAAAGCUAAAUUUGCAGUAGGAAUUUCCUAUAAGAAUCAACAUGGAAGGAGCACGUGGUUUCAACAAGUUCAUCAAGUCCAUAAGAACUUAUGAAAGCUUUUGGACUAUCGGUUUGCGUUACAUUAAGUUUGGAAAACACAACAUGCAUAUUGAUAAUAAAAAAUUUCAUAAUUUUUUUACUCACAAACAUAACUAAUUUAGUAUCUUCCAUGCACAAUUUAGGGAAAAGGUUUUAGUAAAUAUGUUAUUGGGAGAUGUUAAAGAAUGGUCAAUAUUUUGUGCAAAAAAAUAAAGAAAGGAUAAAAAUUACCUAUUUUGUGGCUGUUGCAACCCAUUCCAUGGCCUUUAUUCAUACAUUAGCAUUAAAAUACAGCUACAUAGAGGAUUUGUUCUCAAUCCAAAUCCCCUCACAAUCGCCUCGCAUACAUGUUGCAUCUGAGUCAUCCAUUACAUCAAGCGCUUCAAUUUGUGGCAAUGCCCCUAUAAAGGGAUGGUGUUUAAUCGAAUUGUCAACAAAGUCUUCACCUCCUUCCAUAUCCAAGAAAUCUUUUUGAGGAGUUGACAAAACAACUGACCAUCUUGGAUCAAGUUGGUCUUGCACAUAAAAUACUUGCUUAGCUUGGGAUGCCAAAAUGAAAGGAUCUGAUUUAUGAGCAAUUUUGCUAAAGUCAACUAAUGUAAAGCCAAGAUCAUCAACUUUUAUGCCAUUUUUAUUAUCAACCCUAUCACACUUGAAAACUGGUAUCCUAAACAUGGUAUAAUCAAGGUCCCAGAUCUCGGUAAUAAUGCCAUAGAAACAAAGCUCACCAAACACUGGAUUUUGAUCAUUUGCACUUGCGAUUUGCAUUGUUGAAGCUACAAUACUAACUCCACUAUUUUGGGUAGUUCGUAAGUCAUCUCGUUCCUUGGUAUGGUAUCGACACCCAUUAAUGACAUAUCCAUGAUAUUUAGAGACAUAAUAGCUAGGACCAUGAGCUAUCCACUUAAGGGUUUCAGAUAUAGGUUCAUUAUUACCAAUUGCAGCUUCAAUAUGUAAUUAUAAAUAAUAGUUAUUAUGUAUGUUAAACAUUAGUAAAAAGAAUACUUCACAUUUUAACACCAUUCCAAUACCUUUUUUCUCAACCAAUAAGUAAAAGUCCGCAGGUGUUCAUCCUGGAGCCACUUUUGUCUUUUUGAUUGACGAGGAUUUUUCAAUUUCAACCAUUCCAUGUGCUCUCUAUGUAAUUAUUUAUAAGAAAUUCAAAGUUAAUGUCUUAAAGUUAUUUUAAGUAUCAGACACAAAUAUUAAGUGUUAGUGGUUCUUACUCAAUAUAAGGUUGAACAAUAGUUGUAUUCUUUAAAACAUAAUGAUGUGCAUGUAACCACAAAUUGGAAUCAAUUGUCACAACUUGACCUCCAAGUAUUGGUGCCCCAACUUUUUGGUCAAUGUUUGCACUAAUAGGAAUCCCAAUCGCAUCCACAUUUGACAAAUACUCUAUACAAAAUUCAACAGCUUUCUCUGCAAUAUAGCAUUUAGCGAUACAACCUUCGGGCCGAUUACGGUUUCGUACAUACCCUUUCAAAACUUUCAUGAAUCUUUCAAAUGGGUACAUCCACCUUAGGUAAACUGGUCCACAAAGUCUCACCUCCCUUACAAGAUGUACAGUAAAAUGAAGCAUGAUAUCAAAGAAGGAAGGUGGAAAGUACUUCUCAAGCAAGCAUAAUGUCACCACCAAAUCAUUUUGUAACUUAUCCAGUGCAGACACAUCAACCACUUUGCUACAUAGAGCAUUGAAAAAAAACUCAAUCUACAAAUAGCAUGCCUUACAUGCUUUGGAAAAAGGGAUCGUAAUGACAUUGGCAAUAACUGUUGCAUUAAUGUAUGAUAGUCAUGCGAUUUAAGACCAUAAAGCUUCAAGUCUUCCAUUGACACAAGGUUUCUCAUGUUAGAGCAAUAACCUUCAGGAACCUUUAAUUGUGAUAAAGUUUGGCAAAAAACCUUUUUCUCCACUUUAGAUAACGUAUAACAUGCAGGUGGGAGAUAAGUUCGAUUUGAUUCAAACCUUGGCCCUAAUUCACACCUUAAGCCCAUCUCUAGCAAGUCUAGGCGAGAAUUAAGUCCAUCUUUCGUCUUACCUGGAAUGUUGAGUAAGGUACCAAUGAUGCUUUCACAAACAUUCUUCUCUAUGUGCAUUACAUCCAAGCUAUGACGAACAUGUAGGUAUUUCCAAUACUCAAGAUCAAAGAAUAUGGACUUUUUUUUCCAACAAUUUGUAGUAUUGACAUUCAACUUGCCUCGGGAGUUUUUAUUUUUUCCCCAUGAAUUAGAAAUGACAUCAAUUUUCCUUAGGAUUUCCUUUCCACUCAAUGGUUGCGGAGGUGAGCUAAACUCUUGUUUACCAUUAAAUGCCUUCUUUUGUUUCCUAAAAGAAUGGUUGCAAGGAAGAAAUCUUCUGUGACCUGUAUAUGAGUUCUUUUUCCCAUGCUUCAAUAUGUGAGAGAAUGUAUCUUGCCCACAUAUGGGACAUGCAAAAUAUCCUUUAACUACACAACCAGAUAAGUUUCCAUAUGCAGGAAAAUCAUUGAUUGUCCAUAGUAGAACAACUCUUAAUGUAAAGACCUUUUGCUGAUGCACAUCAUAACAUUCAACCCCUACAUUCCACAACAUUUUUAAGUCAUCCAAUAAUGGUGCUAAAUAAACAUCAAUGUCAUUUCCAGGUUGUCGUGGACCUGAUAUUAAUAAAGAUAGCAUCAUAAACUUCCUUUUCAUGCACAACCAAGGAGGAAGGUUGUAAAUGACCAUUAUAAUAGGCCAACAACUAUGUCUACUGCUCAUUGAACUAUGAGGAUUUAUACCAUCUGCUGAAAUGGCAAGUCUAAGGUUUCUAGGUUCUGAAGCAAAAUCAGGCCAUCUGUGAUCAACUAGCUUCCAUGAUGGGGAGUCAGAUGGAUGACGUAUUUUACCAUCAAAUUCUCUUUCUUGAGCAUGCCAUAUGAGGUCUUUUGCAAUUUUUGGGGACUGAAACAAUCUUCUAAAUCUUGGAAUAGGAGGAAAAUACCACAUUACUUUUGCAGGGACUCCCUUCCUCUUUUUAGUACCUGUUCCAUCUAACUUCCACCUUGAAGUUCCACAAGUAGGACAAGAAGUUGCAUCAUUCAACUCAUUUCUAUACAAUAUGCAAUCAUUGGGACAUGCAUGUAUUUUCUCAUAUUCCAUUCCCAAUGUAUUCAAUGUUUUUUUUGCUUCAUACAUAGAUAGAGGCAACUCAUUAUUUAGAGGCAACAUAUCUCCAAGAAUACUUAAAAGCUCUGAAAAGCUUUUAUCAGACCAUCCAUAUCGUGCUUUUAGGUUGUAUAAUUUGACCAAUGCAGAUAACUUUGUAAAGUUUCUACAACCAGGAUAUAAAGGUUUUUGAGCAUCUUCAAGUAAUGUUUCAAACAAUUUUGGGUCAUUCUUACGAUCAUCAUAUGCAACUUGAACUGUUUCUAUUGUACUAUCCACAUCGUUAAAUUCAACUGUAUGAUGCCAUUCUGCCCUACUAGUUGGUGGUCCACUUGGAGCAGCGUCUCCAUGCCAAUACCAUGUAUGGUAACUCUAAUCAAUUCCAUAGAAGAAUAAAUGUUCUCUAAUUUUUUGAGGAGUGUGGAAUAUCGUAUUACCACACUGAAGGCAUGGACAUUUCAUGGAGUUUUUAUAUGUGGAAUAUUGUAAUGCAAAUGCGAUAAAGCUUUCUACCCCAUCUGCAUAAUCCUUUGAUCUCCUAUCCUUUGACAUCCAAGAACGAUCCAUUUGAUGUACAAGAGAUAAACACAACUCCUAGAUACCACCAACAACUAAAGUUAUUAAUAAAAUCCUAUUAACAGGCUUAAAAUAUAUAAUCUACCAAAUUAAAAUUUCCCACAUUGUCACAAAACUUAGACCAAUCCAAAAAACGACAAUGUGCAAGUCAUCUAACAAUAAGCAAUAUGACAAGAAACAUAAUUAGUAUAUUAGGUUAUUCAAUAUUAGCAUAAAAAAUGGAUCUUAGUUCAUUCAUGAUGUUUGCUUUAUUCAUGAAUAGGAAUGAAAAGCAAGAUCUAACUUUUAGUCUUCUCUUAUAUUAUUGAAUACACUAAGUUUGAAAAUUUUAAAAACACAUAACCACAUGAGACAAUGAUACCAUGAACUAAAACAAUUAACGAAUGGAACUAAGAUUCGAAUGAAUAGAAGCAAGUGAUUUAUACAUGAUUUAGGCAUUCUAACAUCUCCAACAUCCUUAAUUAGGUGGUGGUUCCUAUCCCAUAUAGGAAUACAUAAUCCCUGUGUCAAUUGCCAAUAUACUUAAAUUCAUUUUAAAGAAAUUUCGGCAACAUUUCCCUAUAGUUCUCCAAGUACACAAAAUGGAUAAGGCACAAUAUGUGACCUUGUCCAAAUAUGCACCCAAAGAACAAGAAGAAAGACUACCAAAUUUUCUAAAAAUUGAAUUAAGAACAAGCAAUUAACUUCAUAGAUAUCAUGUUUUCCUAUACUGUCCAACUGGACAAUUCAAACAUCAUUUGCAGAGAAAAGAUCUUUAUCACAUGGAAGACAAAUUUAGUAGUUGUCAACUUGAAACUGGCUUAAAUAUACCCACAUUUCACAUUUUGACAACUUAUUGUCUUAGUAUGUAAUAAGAGAAACUUCUGUCUCACAAUGAUACUUGAAUGGGAAUUCUAAGGUUUCAUGCAUGCAUAGUUGAUUAAAACUAAAACAUAAAUACUUAUUAAAAUAUUACAUCUAGUUAUGUAUUAUAAAUUAUUCAUAUCAAUUGCAAUGGUGAGAAUAGGAAAAUAUUGUUUGUAAGCAUCACAUUUUAGGCCUAAGUUCACAAACUUUGCUAAAUCCAUUAAAGACCCACUACAUAAAGUUCAUGUUAAAAUUGGUUCAUCUCCAACCCCCAAAAUGAUUUAUCAAAGUUACUCAUUUUUUAGAGUCUUGAUUAAUUAGAUAAUCAAUAUAGAUACAUAUAAUUUGUAUUAAUAUAAUAUCAUGAUAUUUUUUUCAUUUUGUUAUUAGGCUUAGACUUGGGUAGAUUUCCCAAGUAAGGCUAAAGUAGAGCUAAGCUGCACCUUGACAUGUGUUCUACUUAUGUUGGGGGUGACCAUUCUAGUUUGGUGGAACAUCCAUGAAUGUUAUCGGUGGAACAUCCAUGAAUGUUAUCUUCUUGAUUUGGAGUAAGAACUUCAUUUUCUCAAUCGAAAUUGGCUGGAGCUUGCUGGUUCAGUUAGAGACAGAUUUGGUAAUGAAACUUGAGUGUGGGCAUCGGGUGAGGAAAAGGCUUUAUUACAUUUAUCUCUUUUUUUUAAUUGAAAAAUGUGAGUAAUUAUAAAAUGAACAGAAAAUGUCGCUUUUAAAAGCACCAAGGUUGAGGUUCUCCUACAAUGGCACUUAAAAAAGCGUCAUUAUUUGAAAUGCAUUGUACAAUGACGCUUUUAAAAGCGCCAAGGUUGAGGUUCUCCUACAAUGACACUUAAAAAAGCGUCAUUAUUUGAAAUUCAUUGUACAAUGACGCUUAAAAAAGUGCCAUUAUUUAAAAACGUCAUUAUUUCUCCCAUUAAAGCGCCAAGAUAAUGCAAGCGUCAUUAAUACCCAUUUUUGAGAAUAAAUAAUAGCACUUUAUAUAAGCGUCAAGAAAAAAAGCGUCAUAAAUUACAUUUUUUGUAGUAGUGACAAGAACUUGAUGGUCGCGGCAUUGUCGGCGACGCACGUGGCGGAAAGUCGACAGCCUGGACUAACUUUGAGAACCUUCGGCGAUGCCUCUCUCACCUCCGCUUUCUCCGUCAUAGUCUUCCUGAGGUGAAGAAGAAGAGCACAUGGCUGAAAGGCCCAAAGAGAAUGAGAAUGGAUUUGGGUUUUAGUAAGUUGGACCCAAAAGAGAAGCCCAAGUUUGUGAAGGCUUUAAUUGCCUUGGGCUUGCCCAUUGAUAUCUUUGGACCUGAGCUUGAAUUGGGGCACUAGGCCCAACUUGGUGAUGGAUUAUUGUAUUAGGUUUGCCCAAUGAAGACAUUGGACUUGGGCUUGAGUUGGAGCCCAAGCCCAGUUCGUGUGGAUGAUAGGCUCCAUGCCAAUCCUUCAAAUCAUUAUCCCAUAUUUAUUAUUUAUUCAAAGUCCAAUCUAUAAAAAAAGGUCACAUGUUUUAAUUUAAUUCUUCGAAUACUCUUUUAAAUCUCAUAUUUAUCAAUUAGAACUACUACCCUAUAUUCUCCUAUCUAUCUAUGUCAAUCCUUCAAAAAUCCUAAGAUUUAAUUUAAUUCUUGUUUAAAUCAUAUUUUCAUAAAUCAAAUCAUUAUCCCGUAUUUAUUAUUUAUUCAAAGUCCAAUCUAUAAAAAGGGUCACAUGUUUUAAUUUAAUUCUUUGAAUACUCUUUUAAAUCUCAUAUUUAUCAAUUAGAACUACUACCCUAUAUUCUCCUAUCCAUCUAUGUCAAUCCUUCAAAAAUCCAAAGUUUUAAUUUAAUUCUUGUUUAAAUCAUAUUCUCAUAAGUCAAAUCAUUAUCCUGUAUUUAUUAUUUAUUCAAAGUCCAAUCUAUAGAAAAAAGGUCACAUGUUUUAAUCUAAUUCUUCGAAUACUCUUUUAAAUCUCAUAUUUAUCAACUAGAAUUAUUAUCCUAUAUUCUCCUAUCUAUCUAUGCCUAUUCUUCAAAAACCUCACACUUUAAUUUAAUUCUUCAAGUACUUGUUUAAAUCUUAAUCUCAUAAAUCGAAUCAUCAUCCCGUAUUAUUAGUUGUUCAAAGUCUAAUCCAUUAAGAAAAUCCCAUGCCAUAAUUUAAUUCUUCAAAUACUCGUUUAAAUCUUAUGUCCAUCAAUGGGAAUUAUUAUCUUAUACAUUCAUUUAUUAUCUAGCCUAACCCUUCAAAAAUCCCAUGUUUUUUAAUUUACUUCUUCAAAUACUUGUUUAAAUCAUAUUUUCAUAAAUCGAAUUAUUAUCCCAUGUUUAUUUAGUUAUUCAAAGUCUAAUCCCUCAAAAAUCCCCUGUCUUAAUUUAGUUUCUCAGUAAUUCGUUGGAAUCUUGUUUUCAUCAAUUAUGAUUAUUAUCUCAUAUUCGUCUAUUUAUUUAAAAACUAGUUCUUCAAAAAUCUCAUGUCUUAAUUUAAUUUUUCAAUCCUAAAAAUUCUGCAAUUCAUCUAAAUUUUAUCCUCACUCAUUAGAAUCGUUAUUCCAUAUCUAUUCAAAGUCCAAUCUUUUGAAAACCCCCUGUCUUAAUUCAACUUUUGAUCCCAGAAAUGCCAUUAUUCGUCAAAAUUUUAUUCUUGUUAAUUAGGAUUCUUGUUCCGCAUCUAUUUAUUUAUAUAAGGUCCAAUUCUUGAAAAAUCUAAUUUCUGAAUUAAAACUUCAAUCCCAAAAAUUCUACUACCCAUCUUUAUUCGCCUAAAUAUUAUUCUCGUUAAUUAGUAUUAUAAUCUCAUACCUACCCAUUUAUUCAAAGCCUAAUCCUUUAAAAAUCCAAUGCCUUAAUUCAAAUUUUCAAUUAGAAAACUUCCACUAUUUUAUUCGUUCAAACAUUAUUUUUGUUAAUAAAUAUCAUUAUUCCAUAUUUGUUUAUUUAUUUAUUUCAAUCAUUAAAAUUCAACUCUUCAAAACCGGAUUUCCAAAUUUAACCUUUAGACUAAAAAACAAAAAAAUUCCACCAUUCACUUUUAUUAAUUUAAAUAUCAUCUUUGUUAUCGUUAUCAUAAAUUCCACGUUUACUUAUUUCUUUCUUCUAAAAAUUCCAAUAAUUAGAGUUUAAUUAUUCAGAGGUCCGACUUUCAAACUUAAUUCUCAAAAUCCCACUAUUCACUAUUCAUCCGUCCAAAUAUCGUUUUGAUUAAUUAGUAACAUUACUCCAUACUUACCCAUUUGUUUCUCUUAAAAAUCUCAAUCAUUAAAGUCUAAUUCUUCAAAUUCCGAUUUUUAAAUUUAGCUAUUUGAAAUUCCAAUUGUCCUAUCUCCGAACUUAAUUUUCAGUUUCCCAUGCUCCAAUUCCCGUAUUUAUCCCGCUACUUAUUAUUAUCAUUAUCACUAUCAUCUUAUUCAUUAUUUCUAUAAAUCCUACCUUCGAAUGAUUUCCAAGACCUCUAAUUUUUAUACAUCAACUUUCAUAAUUUCUACUUCUCAAAUAACUUACGAUUCUGAUCCCUUUCAAAAUUUAACUCCCAUAAUCCCAAUUUUUGUAACUUAGUUUUUCUUAAAAAUCCCGAACUUUCAAAUAAUUCUUCAAAAUCCCAAUUUUAUUUCAAAUUUAAUUUCUAAAAGUUCUCAUUCUUACAUCUAAUUCCUAAGAAUCCAAUUUUCAAAUAAUCUCUAAGAUUCCGAUUCUCAAAUGAAUUUCAAAAACCCAGUUUUCCUUCGAACAAUUUUAAUCCCUGUUUAGUGAUGCAUGUGAUAUGUUUUGUGCUCUAUAUGGUGUACUAACCCUCUCUAUUGAUAGCGCAUGGUGACUCGUUGCCCAGGUAUGUACCCAUUUUCCCUCUAAUCGUUGUCUAUGCAUGUCUCGAUUUUUAUGUGUGCAUGAUCAUUCAGAAUAUUCAUUGAUUUACUUAUCAAUUGCCACGUUAGCUUCAUUUUAUUAGUAGAGCCCCACUUUAGGGACUUAGAGGGGUGCUAUGGUCUUCACCGUACCUUCCCGAUAAGUAACCUGACCCCUAGCCCGAUCCGGUUUUUUAUAGAUCACCUUUUCCAAAAUAAGGAGUCGCACUUAGGGUUUUCUUUCUUAUUUUGUUUACCCUUUUUUUAAAAAUAAAACAAAAAUAAGUGGUGACUCCAAGUCAUUUUCUUAAUCAAUUAAAUUCUUUUGUUCAAAUUAAAAUCGAGCUCGCCAUCGAGUGGGAAACGCAUGAGCCGAAAUGUGGGGUCCACACUUGUACAUCCCAUAAAAUGACAUUAUGCUUUUAUCUAGAAGUAUUUGAUUUUAAUGUCAAUAAUUUAAAACCAUCCUUAAUAAUUAAUAAUAAAAUAAUAUAUAAUUAUAAAAAAAAUAAAUUUUUUAAAUUAAAAUCAUUUAUUUUGUUUUUAACUUUUACUUUAUAUAUAAAAGAAAUAAAAAAAAUUGAAUUUGGUUUGUAUUGAUUAUACAAAAUAUAAAAAUAGAUUUAUCAUGUACAACCAUAACAUUGUUAGUCUUCUUAUGAAAGCCUAAAAAUAAAUCCAAAUUCUAAAUGCAUAAGAUUAAAAGAAAAAAAACAAAAAAACAAAAAAAAAGCAUGAAAACAUUUGAGAACCAUAGUAUAAGUCUUCAUCAUACAAAAACAUAAAAUUUAAUCCUAAUUGUAAAUGUAUAAGAUAAAAAAAAUAAAAAUCAUACUUUUUUAAUAAUAUUAUAUUUUACUUUUAAUAUGUAUAUGAAUUUAUAAUAUAAUAAUUAACAUUUUAAUAAUAAUUUUCUUCGAUUCUUCUUCUUUUUUCUUUUUGUUAAUUUUCUUCUUAAUAUUUUUUAGAGAUAUACAAAGGCUAUGGAUCACUUCAAAGAAAAUAUAUAUUUUCAUAAAUUAUAUUAGUAAUUAUUAUAAUUCUAAAUAUAAUCUAUUAUAACAUUUUUUUCUUUUUAAAACACCAUAUAUUUAUAAGACCAAAAGAGAUUGGUUUCUUUAUAUUUAUCUUAUUUAAAAUAUAAAAUAUUUAAUCAAGUAUUUUUUAAGUAAUCUUGAAAUUUUUUUAAAAGAAUAAAAUCUCAAAAUAAAAACUUGUCCUAAAACUUGUUGUUUUAUACUUGGAAACUUUAAACCAAUUAUCAAAGUUUUAAAUAAUUAAUCUUUUAUAACAUUUUUACUUCUUAUAUAAAACACUAGAUAUCUAUAAAACUAGAAGAAAUUGAUUUCUUUAUAUUUAUCUUAUUUAAAAUUAAAUAAUAUUUAAUUAAGCAUUUAUGAAGUAAUCUUCAAAAUUUUGAAAAUAAUAAAAAUUAAAAAUAAAAAACUAUCCCAAAAUUUUUUACUUCAGAAUUGGAAAAUAUUUAAAGAAUUGGUAAGUAAUAUUGUAAAAUAUUAAAUGGAAACAAAAAUAAAAAAAGAAAUCAAAAUAAAAAGUUUUCCUAAACUCUCCACAAAAAUCCUCUAUUCUGUUUCUCCUUAAAUAGCAUCUCCAUUAUUUCAAGCCCAUCACCAUAUUCAUUGUCCAUCACCACAGACUGCCAUCAACUACUGUUGUUGAGCAUGGACUACUGUUGUUGCUGACCAUGGACUGUUAUGGAAUACUACUAUUGCUGAUUGUGGACUGUUGUUGUUGCUGACCUUGGACUGCUUCUAUUGAUCGCUUGUUAUCGUGGUCCCAUGGUGCUUUACAACAUUGCAAAAAAAGCAAAUCAGGUAUGUUAUCACCACUUUAUAUUUUUAUUUUAUUUAUUUUUAGAAUUUCUUGCUUAUUAAUUAAUUAGAUACAGAAAAAUAUUCUAUGAGCUUUUGAUUUUUACCUUUUCUUGAAUAAAUACUUUGUUGUGUUUUGAGUUAUGUAAUAGGAGUUGUUUGUGGCCUAUUAUUAAUGAAUUCAUCAAUGCUGUUAUCAACUUACCACCAAUUAUUCAGCCCUAACCAAUAUUUAAGAGAGUGAGAUCUUGAUUAUACAUCAUAAUAUCUAUCAUUAAAGUUGUUACAUACACACAAAUUUAUAUAUUAUUCUUUUAAGGGAAUUCAAUUAGCGAAAAUGAAAUAAAGAAAAUUAAAUUAAUAUCAUGUGUGAAAUAUUUUUUUUUUAUAUGGUUAUAGAUGAAAUGAAAAAUAUAAAGUUUUGUUAUUUUAUUAUUGUAGUUAUAGUUCAAUAUAUAAGCUCAUAGAAAAAUAUUCUAUGAGCUUUUGAUUUUACCUUUUCUUGAACGAAUACUUUGUUGUGUUUUGAGUUAUGUAAUAAAAGUUGUUUGUGGCCUAUUAUAAAAGAAUUCAUAAAUGCUGUUAUCAACUUACCACCAAUUAUUCAACCCUAACCAAUAUUUAAGAGAGUGAGAUCUUGAUUAUACAUCAUAAUAUCUAUCAUUAAAGUUGUUACAUACACACAAAUUUAUAUAUUAUUCUUUUAAGGGAAUUCAAUUAGCGAAAAUGAAAUAAAGAAAAUUAAAUUAAUAUCAUUUGUGUGAUAUAUUUUUUUUAUAUGGUUAUAGAUGAAAUGAAAAAUAUAAAGUUUUGUUAUUUUAUUAUUGUAGUUACAGUUCAAUAUAUAAGUAUAUUUAGAAACCCACUUUAUAAGUUAUUUAAAACAUUAAACCAAUUUUCCAUUAGAAUUGGUAAUAAGCGUAAAGAAUGAAUAAAGUAAAAAGUGUAAAUAAGGAAUAGGGUUGUUCGAAAUAUGCAUAUAAAAACAUUAGUAGGUCAAAAUAUAUGACCAACCAUGACUAGCUAUCCUUUUAUGUAAGUUAAUUUAUUUAUCUUGGAUAUUGAGCCAAUUGUCAAGGAAAAUAUAAAAUAUUUAUAUUUAGUUAUAAAGUAGUAAAUAAUGAAAUUCAUAUUUUAAGAUUGGAGUAAAAUGAAAUUUGUAUCAUUUUUACCUCAACUAUAUUGUUUUGAUAUUUAUAUUAAAUAUUGACACUAAUUUUGAAAAUUGUGGAUUUGAGAAAAAAAACUUCACUUUUUCAAAGAGGUUAUUUGUAUCAAAUUACAAUAAAAAACUAUUUAAUUAUUAUUUAUAGGCAUAAAAAAAAAUAUUUAUUGAAUAAAAAUUAAUUUAUCACCAGCUUGUUUGGCAUUUUAAUGCUCCUAUAAUUUGGGCUUGACAAAAAUUUACCUUUUAUUCCUUGUUUUAUAUAUACGUUUUUUUAUUUAUGUAUUGAUUUUUAUGAGAAAAUAAUUCAUAGACAUAUUUCCUACUUAUAAAUUCAAGAUAUAUAACAUAGAUUCAUAGUAUAGUUUAGACAUUUCAAAAGUUAAGAUUGGGGUAAAAUAAAGUUUUGUAUCAUUUGUACCUCAACUAUAUUAUUUUGACAUUUAUAUUAAAUAUUGACACUAAUUUUGAAAAUUAUAGAUUUGAGGAAAAAACUUCACUUUUUCAAAUAGGUUAUUUGUAUCAAAUUACAAUAAGAAACUAUUUAAUUAUUAUUUAUUGGCAUAAAAAAAAUAUAUUUAUUGAAUAAAAAUUAAUUUAUCACUAGCUUGUUUGGCAUUUUAACACUCCUUUAAUUUGGGCUUGACAAAAAUUUACGUUUUACUCCUUAUUAUAUAUAUAUAUUUAUGUAUAUAUAUUUAUUUAUGUAUUGAUUUCUAUGAGAAAAUAAUUCAUAAAUAUAUUUAUUUAUUUAUGAUUUUAAUUUAAAAUUUUUAUUUCUUUUAUAAUUAUAUAUUAUUUUAUUAUUAAUUAUUAAGGAUAGUUUAAAAUAUUGACAUUAAAAUCAAAUACUUCUAGAUAAAAGCAUAAUGUCAUUUUAUGGGAUGUACAAGAUUACGUAAAUAAUAGAUGCUUAUACUAUUAUAGAAUUAACUAAAACUUUUAUAAAAAUCUUUAUAAAGGAUUAAUUUUAAAAAAUAUAAAUUUAUUGUCUUAUAUAGUUAACAUUAGAAUUUUCUCUCUCUAAAGAAUAACCAUAAGAAAUAUCUAUAAAAAAUUAAGUAAAUGAGAUGAUUUUAUAGAAAAGAUGAGAUUGGUAAAACAUUAUAUUGUUAAAUUAUUAAAAGAGAAAUGAGUUUUUUUUUUUAUUUUUAUUUUUAUCAACUUUAAGUCAUAUAUAAAUUUUUAUAUUUCUUUUAAAAAAAUCAAUUAGAAAAUUAAGAAAAAAGAAGAAGAAUUGAAAUAAAUUAUUAUUAAAAUGUCACUAUCUUAUAAAUUCAUAUAUGAAUUAUAAUAAAAAUAUAAUAUUAUGAAAAAAUCAAUGUAAGUUACUAUUAAAAUUUUAUUAUCUUUUACAUUUAGAGUUUGGAUUCAUUUUUUCACUUUAAUACGAAGAAGACUAAUAGAGUUAUGGUUGUCAAACCCCUUUUUAUAUUUUUGUAUAAUCAAUUUAAUCCAAAUUUGACUUUUAUAGAUAUAUAAAAUAAAAAUUUAUAUACAAAAUAAGUUAUUUUAAUGUAAUAUUUUUUUAAUUUUUUUUAUACUUUAAUUUAGAAUAUUGACAUUGAAAUAAAUUACUUACAAAUAAAGACAUGAGAUGAUUUUAUGGGAACAACAAAAGUAGGUAAGUAAUAAAUGUUUAUACUAUUAACUAAAAUUAUUUUAUUUGUACAUUCGCAAUUUGGAUUGAUUUUUAUCCUUAAAUAACAUAAGGAGGAAGACUAAUAAAACUAGGGUUAUCACGGUAACUAAAUUUUUUAUUUUUGCAUCAUAUAAUCAAUUUAACAUCGAUGGUAAGAGUGGUAGGAAUGAUGGCUUCAGCAUCAGCAUCAAUCCAGAAGUCUAAAUCUCAGUAAGAGUGACAGCGAUGAUGGCUUCAACAUCAAUAGUGGCAAUCUACCCUCCUACUAAAACUCCACCAUGACUCGAUUAGUAACACCAUCAAGAGUAGUAACAUGAUCUUCAGUAGCUAGCUACACAAGCAAUUUCCAUUGAUUGAGCCUUUUCACCCUUCAUCACUUCUGUCUUAUCAACUACCUGAUGAUCUUUAGGUCCAAGCAUUGACUCCCAAUGAGAAGAAUCUGAGUCUACCUCAAUAAUAAUAACUGAGUCAACUUCCUUUGCAUGCUGCUCUUGCUCUCUAGUCUAAUUAGUACCUUCUUGAUGCUCUUCCUCUUCUCAUCUUCUUCUUCAGCUUCUUCCUUAGCUUGCACCUCAUUAACAUCAGCAGUAACAACAUCUGGAAUUCCCCCCACCUGAAGGUCUAUAUCAAAUGAAGGAACCUCAUGUCCUUUCCUUUAGCGAUAAGAGCUUCACACAGUCAGUUAACAGCUCUAUGGCCUGUCCAUCCUUUGCAUAAAUUGGAGCUUUACUUACAUAAAAUAUGGAAUAUCUCCUGAAGAUAAAGUGGGGACAGUAGAAAUAGUCGAAGGACCUUGUGUAGAACUUGUGACUAAAGGUACAUGAGCAACUGCCUCUUCAACUAUUCUGACCAUCUGCCUCAUCCUUUUCUUUGUACUUCUUUCCAUGAAAAUUCUGUAAAAUUUCCAAGCUUCCACUUUGUAAAAUUUUGUAGCGUCAUAUUUUUCCUCAUUCCCACUGAAUUUAAAACUCUUUCUAAUUGAAUAGCCAGUGAAAAACUUGGACAAUGCCAAUGCAUACUUCUUGCUGUGAGAAGUCUUGUUUUCAUUCACUUUUUCCACAAUAUAUAAAAACGUAUCCACCAUCAAUACAUGAGAUCACCAUCCCCCCUUACAUAAACAAUACAAUUCCUCUAAAGGAAAACCUCUCCUUUCUGUGACAUGUCUAUAAGGAGAGAAAUUGGUUCUAUACACCUGAUCCACAAACCAUAGCUCCUGUGAUGCCUCUAGUCUUCUGGCAGUUGUGGGAGAGCUAAAACCACAAGGCACUGAAGUGGCCACCAUCCUCUGGGAAGUAGGGUUAGUGUAAGGUAGAAAAUUUCCUCCUUAAGAUGGCAUUGUAGGCAACCCAAAAGCCUAUGCCAAAGAUUUUUCAGUGAUCAUCCCCUCUCUUUCAUUAAUGGAAAAAUGUAACACAGAUUUUCCAGGGGCUCUCCUCUCAAAGAUAGCAUAAAAAUCUCUCACCACAAUAGGAUAAACAUAAUCUAUGGAAUACACCAUAGGCUCUAUCCCAUAUCUCCUCAUUAGCUCCAUUGAACUCAUUGUCUCUGGAAAAGUAAUGUAUUCAUCAGGCACCAAAUAAUCACUGUCUGCCAAUAAGAAUGCAUUCCGGUUUCCUUUAGACUGGUAACUACAGCUUUUCCCUUCUUUUUUUCUGUCAAUUUCUUUGGCUAAACUUUUUCUAUUUCUUUAUCCUUCUUCUCAUCUCUUUUAGCUUUCUUUAUAGCUUCCUCUGGAGUCAUUUCAGUUCCAGGCUCUUUCUUCUGUCUGUUCAUAGUCUCUUUAUUUGGCUUCUUACUUGGUGUGGUUACUGCCACAUUCUUCUCCAUAGGAGACUUCCCUUUCAAAGGAGAUUUAUCCUCAGAUUGCACCUCUUUUUCUUUCCACUUUUUAUUCUUCACAGCUUGUAGUGAUUGUUCACUAGCUAUCAUCAGUCUAGGUGAUCCAUCAAUAAUGAUUCUUCCUAUCUGCUCAAUGACAGGUUGUACAUCAAUCCUUUUCAUAGUUGGGGCAUCUAAAUCUGAAUCAGUGGAUUCAGAUUCGUAGACCAUUAGUGCCUAACCCUUAUCUUUAUCCUUUUUUUCAUUCUGCAUUUUCAGAGUGCAAACAAAAAUCCGAAAACAUAUUACAAACAAGCUUGACAUUUCCAAAAACAGUAUAUAUUCAUUCAGAGUCAACAGAUAUUCAUAGAAAAUAAUUAAGGCAUAUUAAUGAAGAAAGGAUACAAAUGGCAGAGUUCAUCCAAACAUUCAUUCAAAGACGCAAAAUCUAUCCAGAAGGAUCAUUGCACAUGCAUAUGUUAACUUUGAUAUAUCCAUGUACAGAUUCUCAAACAAACAUCUGUUAUAGUAAAUAUAAGGGGUGCAAGUUAAAAACACUCCAAAAUUCAAUUUUAAGCACUGCAAGAUGACAAGUAGGAAAAAGCGCGACUAUAAUAUUUAGGUACAAAUCAAGUAGACAGCAGCACAUAGUAACUAUAAGGGGUGCAAAUAAAUCCUAUAGUUGCAGCCACGUGUAAACAUGGGACUAGAGGGUGUGAAACUGUAGCUGCGACCAUGUAUUUUCUUCUACUAAAGGUUCUAUUAGCUGCAGCUUCUCGUGGCCAUGACUACAAGGGUGUGAUGAAUAGGAAACUUAAAAAUAUAUUGUUUAUACACACGUGAUUUGAAAUUCAUUUCUAUGGUGAAAAAAUUUAUUAAAAUAUAAUUAUGUGAAGAAAAGAAACAAUAGUAAUUGUGAACCCAUUUUUAUUUAUAAAUUUCUGUUAUUAAUUAGUUCACUAUUUGAGUUUCAAACUAUUAUUUAAAGAAUACUAGACUCGUUAAUAAAUUCAAUGCAUGAAGUUUUGUUUUAUUUAAAGUUUAUUUAUCUAGUGAAAAAAAAAAAUUUUAAAUUGGUUUUAUGUAUAAGAAAAAAAAUAGUCAUUUUUGACAAUUUUUUGUCAAAAAAUUUCUAAUAUUAAUUUGAUCACUAUUUGAGUUUCAAGUUAUUUAUAAAAAUUAUUAGUUAUUAGCAAAUCUAAGCAUCAAGUCUUGCUUGAUUUGGACUUUAUUUGGGUAGUGAAUUUUUUUUUUUUUGCAAAAAUAUGAUUAUAUGUAAAGAAGAAACUAGUCCAAGUCAUUCAAAAUAAAUCCUAAUUUAUGACUUUAUAAUGUUAUUGGGUUCCAUGAUUAGUAAUUAAAUUGGGUUUUAACUUUCAAAUUAUUUUUACAAAUUAAUAAAUUUUAUAUAUAAAGUGUAAUUUGAUUUUGAAUUUAUUUAUUUAAUGGAAAGUUUUUAUUAAGGUAAAGGAAAUGUUGAAGGAGUCAAUGUUUUUGUUAUGGAUCUGUUGGGUUGUCCUAGUCUCAAGGUUAUCUAUUUUUUUGUUCUUUUGAUUUGUUGCAAAACAUGGUUGAAUUUACGUAGUUUAUAGGAGUUAGUCUUUACAUGGUUCAUGGUCUUAGCUAGUGGUUAAAAGUAGUGGAUUAGAGGUCUUUAUUUUCUUAGCAAUUUCCCAUUGGUGUACUGCCUCUUUAAAAGGCUAUUUGGUUGAUGAGAGAAGAUCAUCAAAAGUAAUUUUCUCUUCCAACUUUUCUAUACAUUUUUUAGCUUAAUCAAUUUUUUGUACUCUUCCAAGAUUUUUCCUCUACUUGUAAUAGUGGUAUCAGAGCUGGUUGAAAAUUGAGAAAGUGAGAAAAGUUAAGAGCCAAAAUAAAAAGAAAGGACGUGAGAUAAAGAGAAUUUUAGUAGCAGUUCUUAUUUCACUUUAUUUUGUUUUUGCAACAGCAACAGUAAGGGAUAGCCUCUAAAAACUUUGUCUAACUUAUAAUCCCAUACUUUGAUGGUCACUAUAUAUGACCAUUGGAGCAUGUUGAUGGAGAAAUCCUUUAAGGUCUAAGGAGUAUUGGCAGGUUGUCUUUGACAGAGUAGCAGAAUCGACAAAUAAUUUGUAGAUAGAGUACACGGACUUUUCAAGGCUUGAGCACUUGUCCUAAGGGGGUCAUGGUAUGUUUGUCUUCAAACCCUAGUGCCCAUGACCAACUAAUUGGUACUCAUAUAUUGACAUUGUGCUUGUUAUAAAAGCUAAGAACCAGUUAGCACUCUGAGGAAAUAAAAAUCUAAGAAAUUGUACCUUGUUCUAAAGAGAUUGGGGAGAAACCUUAAAGGGUAAGUGGCCUUUCAUCAUCCUCAAUACCUAGUGUCUUGGGAAGAAUCUUAGGAGUUGUCAAUUGAUCUUUACUAAGCUACAUAGAAGGAGCUUUCCUAGGAUGGACAUGUGAAAUAAAAAAAGAAAAAAGAAAAUAGAUAUGAAAAACAAUGGAAUGAAAAAGCAGAAAAUGAGAUAAAAUGGCGCUCUUCCAAAACUAGUCAUGAACAGUUUAUCUUAGGUAGAGGAAGGAAAUUCUUAAAAUAGGUGCUCCAUGAGGAUGCUCUUAAGCUAACAUUUGAGUUUUGUUAGGAAAUCACUUGUGAAGUUGAUGUCGAAGAGACUAAUGGAUUCUAAACAUUGAGGCAUGCUUUUGUAUACAUUUAUAUGGUGAGUGAAUCUUUUUGGAGUUAUGCUAUUUGACUAUGAGCUUAUUCUUGAAGGGAUAAUAUGUUUUCAGUAACUGAAUUUAUUGAAGCUAAUUCAUGCUAUUUAGUAGUUGUUGUCUUAAUUGCUUAGGAGUUUUACUCUUUAUUUAUUUCUAGAGACCAACAAAAUUUAGGUUGGGGAGGAAAUGAUUUGUGCUUUAAGUCAUGGGUUUUUUCUAUUCCCUAAAUGGUAGAUUCUAUAAUGAAAAAGAACGUAAACUACUCUCUUCAGUUUAUAUAUAUGCUAGUACCUAACUGGUCUGAGUUCUUCAAUUUCAUGUCCAAUGGAGAAAUUAAAGUUAAGGUCAAUCUCAGGAGAUUAAUAAUUGGCUCUGGUUUCAGAGAUAUGAAUAUGCUCUAGCUUGACAUUCUUGAAGUGGAUUAGCAGAGUGGGAUUCUCUACUCAGCUGAUUGCCUUUUCACUGAGUUCCAAGGAUCAAUAGGAGAUCGUGGAUUUGUUGACAUUCUCAUUCUGAGAGCAACUGCAUCAGUAUCAUACAUGUUUGCCAGUUGGCAAUAUAAAAUUGGUAUUUUGGUUCAUAUUUUCUACAACCUGAAAGCCACUAUCACUACCACCAACUAUAUGAAUAGGCAUCAAUUCUUCAGGACGAUGAAGAAGGUAGAGCAUAUCACUAGCUCAAAUGGAGGAAUGUGGUCCCAUAAUUCUUUAGGAAAUAAGUAUCUAGAAACAGGUAAAAAGAACCAAGAAUCUUGAAAGACUUCUUUCAUCUUGUUCAUGUUGCCUAAAGGACAACCUGUGGGCCUUUGAAUUAUGUAUUGAAACUAUCAAGUCAACUGGAAUAGAUUCAUUUCUGAAGCUGCAGGGUUUAUGGUCAACCAUAUACCAAACCCAAAGUUCUUCAGUAGUCUAUUGAGAAAAUCCCAUUUGGAACCUAACCAUGAGAAAGUCCCAGGUUUGUUUAAGGCUGGGCUGAACCUAUGUGCAACCUUCUGUCUUCUGGGACCUUCUCUAACUAUAGUUUCAUCAACACAACACAGCUAGCCUUGUCCCAGCUACUAAGGCUGGGUAAAACUAUUCUGAAUUAUUGUUCCAUGCAUAUCUUGUUUGUGAAUGAUCUCCACUAGGAUCGACUCUUAAGUAUGUACCGAUCAAGAAUCAAAUCUUGUUUGUGAAUUAUUGCUCCAUACAUUCGCCUGACCGUUGGAUGGGUGAAGAGGCAAUGCAGAUACUUGUCCUAUAUUCCCAUAGGUAUCAAACUUCAGUGCAGUAGUUGACACAUUGACUACCUUUCUGAGGUUAGGACAAGAUAAACUCAUUAGUGGAUGGAGAAUAGAAGACCAUAUACUAAUUUAUGUGGUUCAGAAUUUGAAUAAAGAUCAUGAUAAUAAGUGCGAGAUUCGCGCAUCUUUGGAGUGUUUCAAGUUGCAGCUAGAUUGCCUAUAUAAAGAGCAUGGAGGUUUAUAAUUUCCAGUAUCAGCAACAAAGAGCAGGUGUGAAUUAUAGAGAGUAAAUAGGGAAGUUGUCAACCUCCCUCAAAGGCUUCCAAUUUUCCUGGCUAAUUAUCAAGGUAAGAAAGUUGGAAGCCGGUGGGGGACCUUGAAAGCUUACCCCAGAAUCAAUAUUACUCAUCUGGUUAUUUGGUAUCAGUUUCCCUGAUCAUUAGGAAGACAGUAAGAUUGAUUUCAGGUGAGAUGUUUCCCCUUCUUCUCAAAAAAACUGCAAACUUUUUAGAGAUUUAUGCUUAUGGUAUUUUAAGAUCCCGUUUGAUAGUAAUUUUAAGAAGUGUUUAUAAUAUUUUUAACACUUAAAAAUUAGUAUCAUUCAAGUGUGAGAAAGGUUAAAAACGUUUUCUAAAAUCACUAUCAAACGCAAUUAAUCUAAAUCAUUUAUUAGAAAAUAGAUUUGGGAUAAGGUGGAAAACUCUUAGUACCACAUUAUUACCAAUCUUAUUUCAUUGCUCCUUUCACCCACACCCUCAAGAGUGUCAUCACUAGUUAUAGGGCAUUUUUAUCCUAUCAACUAAUGAUCAGGGUUUAUGAAGCAUUUUAAACACUGCCUUAUUAUGCAAUUAUUUAGAACCAUACCUUCUAUGGAUGAUCCCACAAUUUUGAUAGGGUGUUGUUUGGUUUUUGGGGUAAGUGAGGAGAGAAAAAAAUAAAUUAAAUUUUGGAGUUUAUGUUCUUACAUUUGGCAUUAUGUUUUAAUUGGUAUUAUUAAUAGAAAAAUAUUUAAGGACAUAUAGUGGAAUUUGAUUAGUUGUUUGUUUGAUCUAUGGGAGAAACGAGGAGAUAAGAAAAUAAAAUUAGAUUUUGGGGUAUAUUCUUAUUCUUACAUUUCGCAUGAAAGUAUAAUUUUUUUUCUUCUCUAGUUUCUCCAUGUUUGAAAUUGGUGUUUUAUUAGAAAAAAUGAAUUUAAGUUGAGUUUUGACCAAUUGUUGUUUGAUUUCUAGGAAAGGGAGGGAGACUAGAAGAAAGAAGGAUUUUGAAGCUUUCAUUUUAAGUAAUGCUAAUUUUACAUUUUUUAGGCAAACAAAGAAUUUCUAUAGGUGAUAUAAAUUCCUUAUUUGGUUGCUGAGAAAACAGAGGGAAGGAAGAAACAACAUAUAUACAUUUUGGAGCUUAUUUUCUUGUCCUAUUCUUGUUCUUACAUUUUCCAAGCAAGCAAAAAGGGUGUAUUUUUAUCUGGGCAAUAGAAGUUCAUCCUUUUUGUUUUUUUUUUAAUGUUUAUUUUGUUGUAACAAGUUCAACUGGAGUUAAAAAGGAGGUGUUUUGUGUGCAAUCCUGCACAUGUUUUGAGCUCUCUAAGAAUUUUGUGGCCUCUUUGUGCGAUUAGUAUUGGAAAUGAGUUAAUUAUAUUAUGCUUUGUUUGGAUGGGGAAAACUACAAGAGAAACAAAGCAAAUAUUUUCCUGAGUUCUAGGGCUUGUUUGUUGUCUUAGUUUUCAAAAGAUGAGAAGUUUUUCCUUCCUUGACUAAGGUGUUUGUUUUGAUAAUCAUAAGUGUUGAACUUUUUUUCUUUUGUUUUUUUAUCAGGUUUUGCAAGUUGAGGGAUUUCUCAUUCUUUUCUUGUAAUCUCUUAUUUUUAAAGAAUAUGUUUUUGUUUUUGAUAAAAAGUUCAUAAUUGUUGAAAAAAAAUGUGAAAAUCCCUACAAUCCAUUUAGUGCAUUUGAUCUAUGUAAAUAGAUUUAAUAGCUCCUUUUUCCUUUGAAAGCUCAAACUCUAGUGUCUCUUCUUAAGAUUUUUCCUUUUUAUUAUUUAAACUUCUCUUUUUUAAAUUAUUUAUACAUUUACAAUAUCAAGUUAGUUGAACAAAACAUUCAAUUUUUCUAUAACUCAACCAAACAUGUUUUUGUUGUUUUCGAGAACAAAAACUAUUUUCCAUAAUUUAGUUCCUAAACACAACUUUUUUUUUUUUUUUUUUUCUGAAAACACAAAAAACUGUUCUUAAAAACUAUUUUUCAUAAUAGUUUUCAAAGACACCAAUCAAACAAACCCUAAUAUUUUGACUUUAAGCAAGAAGAGUACCAAUCUCCACAUUUUGUAAUUUAAUAUCUAGGAGUUGCUAGAAACUUUUGCUCUGAUAUUUACAAUCAACCCUUGAGAAAUUGAGAUCUAUUUGGUUACCACAUGACUCAGGAGGUUUAUUAGGAUUUGGAUUAAGGUUGUUAUGGUUGAUAGCAUUGACUUAUCCUCAUGCAUAAUUGGCUUUGCUUGCAUCUAUUGACUUAUUGUCAUACAUAAUUGCCUUUGUUUGCUAGAAAAUUUUGCUGUAAUAUUUAUAAUCAACCAGUGAGAAAUUGAGAUCUAUUUGGUUACAUGUCUCUGGAAGUUUAUUAGGAAUGGGAUUAAAGUUGCUAUAGUUAAUAACAUUGACUUAUCCUCAUGCAUAAUUGGCUUUGCUUGCUAAACACUUUUGCUCUGAUAUUUAUAAUUAAUCCUUGAGAAAUUGAGAUCUAUUUGGUUACCACAUGGCUCAGGAGGUUUAUUUGGAAUUGGAUUAAAGUUGCUAUAACUGAUAACAUUGACUUAUCCUCAUGCAUAAUUAGCUUUGCUUGCAUCUAAUUUUUGUAAGUUAAAUAUUUUUUCAUGUUGAAAAGUUGGGUGCAUAGUUGCCUUUCAAAUAUAUUUGAAUAAAUAAAAAAUUUGAUAAAGCUAGAAAGGGUAGGCAAAAGGAAAUAAGAGGUUAUAUAAUACACCAUGGAAUAAUUAAAAUAUUCAAUAAAAUAUUUUUUUAAAUCCCCAAAUUUAGGUUUCAUAUCCACAUGGAAAGUUGUCAGAAACAACUUUAAUGUAAAAAAAAUUUAAGAAAAAUUACAAAAAAUUAUGUAAAUGUGAAAUGGAAUAGUUAUUUUAAAAAUAUGUUUACUACAAAUGGAGUUAGAAAGAAAAAUUAUUGUAGUUACAACAAUAAAUUGCUAUCAGGUUUUUAAAAAACUCAAAUUAUUAGGAUAUAAAUCAAACAAAAACAUAGUGAAUGAGGACAAAAAUUACAUAUUUAGUUAUAUUCAUUAUACUCAAAUAUAUCAAUAAAUUGUUUAAUAUUAAAAAUUUCUAUUUAUUAUUUAAGAAUACAAAAUAAUAUUUGAGUUGAAAGAAGAUUUUUGUAUUUCUUUUCUUUUUAUCUCAUUUAUGUAGAAUAAAAAUGGUAAACCUUACAGUGGGGGCUACUUGUGGCAUGUCUCAUAAAGUUGUUAUCUAUAUUUUUUUUCUCUCUUGGUUUGUUGAGGAGAAAGGACUAUAUCUAGUAUUGCAUCCCUAUCUAAUAGGAAUAAUAAACUUCCUUUACCCAUAUUGAAAAUCAAUCAAAUUUGAUGACUGUUUGAGAAUCAUAUAUAUAUUAAACAAUAUGAAAAACCAUAAAUGUAGGUGAAAGUAGGCCAAGAAGGUGAUGACCUAUAUAUGACCACAAAGACAAUAUAAUUAUUUUGCAAUUUUUAAUAAUAACACAAUUCCACCACAACUUGAAAUUAUUAUACAAGAGAGACCAACUUUACUAUAAAAUUAUAGAGAAGCAAAUUGGAAAAUGUGUACACAGCCACAUCUAAUCAACAUGAAGCAUUUUUUUUAUUGGAAACUAAUAGUCAAUUAUGAGUAGAAAUUUUAAUUUAUUAACUUACUAGUUGUAACUACUUUUCUUGUUAAAAUUUAAGUUUGGGAUUAUGAGUGCUUGUGGGUUGUUAUAAUGUUGGCAUAUAAAUGCUAGAUUCUUGUUUGAAACUUAAUAUUAUUUGUUGUGUUGUGACAAAUUUGCAGAUGAAAGUUUCCUUACACUAAAACUAAAUUUGGUUAAAUUUGAAAUUCAAAAUUUAAAUUACUUAUAUAUUACAUUUAUAAUUUGAAAAAUGUCUUAAAAAUGUAAGAUAUCUUACGAAAAUGUUGAUAGAAAUUUUGAUUUACUAACUUAUUAGGUUUUAUUUAUUUUUUUUAAAAAAUGGUUUUGUUUUAUUGUUCUUUUUCAUUCAUAUAUAGAAGAAGAUACUAGAGCACCAACACAAACCAAUAGAAAAGGAAGUUGUGAUCAUGACUGAGUUAGAAAUUUGUGAGAAAAGUGACCAAUUGGAGACCGUCCGUACUACAACAGUAAGAUCUACAACAUCAACAACCUUGCAUCAUCUAUGAUUAGACUAAGGGCCUUGAUUAUGCAUAUAAUGGAUCUUCCUUACCUUUUCUGUCUAUGUUGAUAUGGUUAUUUUGGGAUGGCAUUUUAUUAACCUAAUAUUUUAUUUUAUUAACAUACACAUUCUAAUCUUAUAAUCAUUUAAUAUUGUUACAUAUAUUAUCAACGAAGGUAUACAAUACAUAUUUUGAUUUUUGUAAGCAUAUUUUUUAAUGAAAAUUUUCAUUACAAUGUAUUAAUUGGGUACAAAUAGUACUAAAAAUAUAUAUAAUUACACUAUUGAAAUGAAGUAAUCCAAGUAUUCCAACAACUCCCCACUAACUUGCAAGGGCAUGAUAUGAGAUUUUAUUGAAUCCUAUUUAAACCUAUUACUUGUGGCCUUAAAGUUUUCUCAUUAAUUGUUCUUCUAAUUUUUUUAAUUUCCUUUUAUCACAAGGAUAUUGUUUGAAUGCUGCCAAAGCGGGAUAUGAUGUCUUGUUUCCUUUUGUAUGGUGUUGACCUAAUGUGAUCUCUAUUUCACAAGAUUAGAAGAAUGAUUAAAAUGUAUGCUGUUUUUCUCUUGCUUCACUUUUAAUGUGUAGCCUAUAUUGUACUCAAUCUUAGGUGGUGUUUGUUUUUUUACUUAAUUCUAAAUAGAACCUUAAUGCUUAAUAGUGUUAAAUAUUAGGUUGUUUGUUUUUAUAGUAUUUUAUUUCUAUUAAGUAUUAAAAAGUAAAAAAAAAACCAAUAUGUUAUUUUUUCUAUUUAGAAAAAACUACAUAUUUUGGCUUUUUCUAUUUAGUAAAAAGUUUAUAUUAAGUCAUGAAAAAGUAGAAAAACAAAUAAUCUAAAUUCUGAAAACAAAUUGCUUUCAGCAAAAAGCCAAAAAAACAAACACCACCUUAAUGUAAAUCUCAACCAUCAAUACAUCAUUUUAAUUUGUUAGAUAGGUUCAUGAAAAUUUCAUACGAGUUGCUAAUACUAUCGAUAUCUCUUGUACUCAUUUCAAUAUUCUUCAAUUUCUUUAUAAUUGGAUUCCAUUAAUAUACUCAGUAAGUCAUCAUUGACAGUUUCACCCACCUUCAUAGCUUUCUCUCUUUGGUCAAUAAUACCCCUUAACAAUUCUUGUAUCUCUUCGUCAGCUUUCUUUAUUCUUUUGUUUCCUUUCUUUUCGUAAAAAUCUACAUGUAAACAGUCUUGGUUGUAAAUGUCAUGACAUUAAAUAAUAAGAAAAGAUAACUGGAAAGAAAAUUUAUGGUAGUUGUUUAUCCAUUGCUUUAAUUUCUUCUUUUUUUUUCCUCAAUUUUCUUGGAAAUUUCAGGAAGCUUUAAAUUUGUUGAAACAUUUUAUGCUCACCACAACCCUGGGAUGUAAACUAUCAAAAAAAUCUUGAUGGUAAGCUAUGCUAGUUCUUCUUGGAGUAGUAAUAUCCUUCUUCCUUCUUCAUAGCUACUACCAAAUGUUGUUCAAGAAAUGAUAUGACCUUCCAAAUUUUGAAUAUGGAGCCAUACAUUCAAUUAACUUACCUGAACCUUUUGUGGAGACAAUCUCCCAUUUUCUUAUCGUAUUGCUAAAGCUUAAAAGAAAUGUAGGUAAAUAACAGUAAAAAAAAUAUUUAGCACCCAUAUUUUCAUGGUUGGAGGACCAGUCACUGCACAUUUGAAAUAAACAUCUUUAUCUAUGCAAUAUAACUUCCAAACAAUUUUCUUUUUAAAUAGCAUAAAAUAUAAUGUAUAUGAUUAAAAUUAAGAUGGAUAAGAAAACUAAAGAUGAAACUAAAAAGAUUAUAUAAUUUGAACUCUAUCUAUUAGGAUCUCCUUACAAGUAGGCUAAAAGGAAAAAAAAAAAGAAAGAAUACUUCAGUGAUCUUAGGAUGAUUCACAAGCUAAGGUUAGCUAGACGAUCAUUGCAAAGAAAGGAGCAUAAAAAAGAAAAUCCCUAAAACACAUUUUGAAUACAAUUUCAAACACUAUAGAGAACAAAGGCAAAAAAAAAAAAAGUUAGGAUUUCAGAUCCAAAGCAAGGAAAGGAAGAAAAGAAGUUAUUUUUUUCUUUUUUCAGGGAAAACUUCAAGUUGAGAGUUUUAUUUCAACUUAUUUUCCUUUUCCUUAGAGUAUAAUCGUUAGUUUCAUUUCCCAAAGAAUAAAAAAGAAAUAAUUAAUAGAAAAGUAUAUAGAUAGAUAAAUCGGCGUUUUAAUAAAUAUAGAAUUCAUAAAUCUUAAACCUGGAGUUUUUUUGAGGUUUUGAUAAUAAGAAAUUAACACUAUGGUGAAAAUAUCCUAUGGAUUUGUAUUUUUUAUUUUAGAGUGUUUUAAAAAAAGUGUUAGCAAUAAAAGCAAAUCCCACAUUCAUUGAUGUUUUGUUAUUGUGAUUAAAGCCAUAAGGCACUACAAGUGGAGACUAAGAUCAAAUCUCAUACUCAUUGAUGUUUUGUCAUUGUAAAGAAAUCCAUAGGAACUGUAUAUGAAGAUUAUAGGGUUAUUGUGGGGAAACUUUGAGAAUAGUACAAUAUGGUUACGAAAAUUUUUGAAAGUAUAUUUUUGAGGUUGGAAAAUAAUAAGAUGUUUCUUGGGAAUAAUAUGUAUUUGUAAGCCUAGUAGGUUGCACAAGUGUUUUUGGUGUGGUUUUAAGGUAUAGAAGAAUUAAUCUUAAUAAAACGUUAAAUAAAUGAUUUGGAUAGUUGGAUGCAAAAAAAAUUAGGAAAGCAAGUUAAGUCAACCUAAGUACAUGAAAUUGGAUAUUUCCCUAGAUGAAUUAGGGUUAAUUAAUAAAUAAAUAUACACUUAGAGCAGUAUUUAUCAAAACUUUAAUUUGAAUUAUUCCUUUAAAUCUCUCAAUUGAUUCAUAAGAAUUUUCCACAACUCUAUUCCUUUGGAUUUAUCUAUCUUGAGUAUAGGGAUUUUUUGUAAAUAUGUUUUUUUUUGUUAUAAAUAUUCAAAUGUAUUUUUUUUUGUAAAUUCUGAAACUGUUUAAAUACGCUUGAAAUACUAAACUUGAGAAUUAUUUUUAUUUGACUAUAUUUUUUUUCCUUAUAUGUGCAUUCUAGUUAUCUAGCCUAGUUAACAAGGGAAAAAAUGUUGACCUUUGUUACCCUUGGUGGGGCUAAAGAUGAUGUUAAAACCAAGUCAAUAGGGUGUUUAUCAACUUAUGAUAUACCAUUAGAUUGGUUCUGGUUCCAUUCACCAACAUGUAAGGAAUGUCUGAGGUUAGCCACUUCUAUAAGUCCCACUAUGAUGGGCUUUGUUAGGAAAUCGAGUCUUGUUUAUAUGUUGACAAUUUUGUUCCUUUUUAAUUUUGACCAUAGAAGUCUCUUUAGAUAGUGACUUGCUCUCCAUUGAAGAUCAAGAGUUGUUGUUUGUCCAACUGGGAAGUCACAGAUACAUUUAAAAAGGUUUGACUUGUGACAAUUUAGGCUCCUUCGAGGUAGCUACUUGGAGUGAAACGGACUUUGAUGAUAGUGCUUCCAUAGCUUUUGAAGAUGCAAGGUACGAUCUUAAUGACUUCUUAGCUUUUAUUGCAUCUGUGGAAUCUGUGCAUGAUAGUGAUUAUAAUAGUGAUAGUGAUGAUGAGUUUAAUGAUGAACAAAAGGCUGAAUUCUUGAGCAAUCUUGUUAUUGAGCAUGAAAAACUAAUUAAGAAUUAUUUAAAAGAUCAUGAUAUUCUUGAAGCUCAUAAAAACAAGACUGACAUUCUUAAUCUAGAAAAAAUUAAUUUACUUGAGAAAAUUAGAUUUCUUAAGUCUAAGGAUCAUUCUCUUCUUAUGAAGAACAAUACUCUCACUCUAAAGAUCAAGAGUAAUAAGCCUUCUUCAUUUGUAAAUGAAAUAUUUCACCCUAGAACUAAAGUGCUUAAUGAAAUUCUUGAUAAAUGUAAAACCCAUGGUGAUAAAAGAGGUUUUGGGGUAUAUUAACAAAGAUGAAACUCCCUCUAGUGGAGAAACUAUGUUUGUCAAAGGUAAAGAUGAAACCCUUAACCAAACAACAUCUCCUAAAAAGCCAUCACUAUGCAUACACUGUAACAAAACUAGACACUCUCAGUUUAGAUGCUACACUAGGUUCCUAGAAAGGUUUGAAUCUCAAAUGAGUAUGCUAAUGAAUGAUUUUAACUCCCUUAAAAAUAAUAUAUUGAAUAAUGGGAAAGGGAAUAAAACUAAUCAAAAGCUUAGAAGUCAACCUAAUUCCUUUAAGCCACCACCUAGGACUAAACAAGUUUGAUCGAGAAAUGAUAGGGUUAAAUGUCAAGUUGUGUUCAAUGCUCUUAAAGCUAAAUCUUCUUAUGACUGGUACUUUAAUAGCGGCUACUCAAGACACAUGAUUAGAGAUAAAACCUUUUCACAUCUCUUGAGGAUUAUAAUGGUGGGACAGUUACUUUUGGAGAUGGGCACUUAUCAUGUGUGAAAGGCAAGGGAAGUUUAUCUAUCCUUGGUUGUCCUAAGUUAGAUGAAGUUCUCUAUGUUAAUGGACUUAAGGCAAAACUACUAAGCAUUAGUCAAAUUUGUGACAAGGAGCAUAAGGUGAAUUUUUUCCAAGACUUAUGCAAGAUAGUUAGCAAAGAGGGAAAGGUCAUUGUCACAAGACAUAGGAUAGUUGACAACUACUAUGCAAUAAAUCCUAUAUUUAGAACACCUCUUAUGUGCAGUAGGACAAAGGUAGAUCCUAUUGAACUUUGGCAUAGAAGGUUAGGUUGCAUAAACAAUAGGGACCUUGUGCACUUAGUGAACAGUGAAAAAGUUAGAGGCAUCCUUAGACUUAGUGAUGAACGUAAACCCAUUUGUGGUGAGUGUAUGAAAGGUAAACAAACUAAGAGUUCACAUAAAAAGGUUAACCAAAUUAGGAUCGGUAGGCCUUUAUACCUUCUAUAUAUGGAUCUUAUGGGUUUAAUGCGGACUAAGUAGAGGUGGUAAGAAAUAUGUCCUGGUUGUUGUGGAUGAUUUUUCAAGAUACUCCUUUGUGAGUUUUCCUAGGGAAAAGUCAGAGACCGUUGAACAUUUGAAGUCACUAUUCAAUAGAAUACAACGAAAAAUAGGUCAUCCAAUUAUAAGGAUUAGGAGUGAUAGGGGGAAGGAGUUUGACAAUGUGGAUGGCCUCUUUUGCGAGUCUAAAGGAAUUAAACAUGAGUUUUCAACCCCUAAAACUCCUCAAUAGAAUGGAGUGGUUAAAAGAAAGAAUAGAUUGUUACAAGAAAUGGCUAGGGUGAUGAUUCAUAUGCAUAACACCCCUAUGCAAUUUUGGGUAAAGGCAAUUAAUGAAUCCUGUUAUACUACUUAUAUGGUUUUUCUUAUAAUUAUGGACUAGGAGAAAACAUAACCUUAAGUAUUUUAGGACUUUUGGCAGUGAGUGUUAUAUACUCAUGGAUGGGAGAACCUUGGAAAGUUUGAUGCUAAAUCUGAUGUAGGUAUCUUCUUAGGCUAUUCUAUUACUAGUAAAGCCUAAAAGUUUAUAAUCAAAAUUCAUAGAUUAUCUAUGAAUCCUCUAAUGUGGUUAUAAAUAAUGCUAGGUAUGAUCAGGAUAUAAUUGAGAGUCAAAUUUUAACCUAGGAUUUAAUUGAGUAACCCUAAAUAUGUGAAGAUCACGAAAGACAACCCUAAUGAUAUCCCUAAAAGAGACAUUGAUCCUAAUAAGGAUGAAUAUGUACCUCUAAAUGACACGUCUAAUGAAAUGAGGAAUAAGCAUAGAUCUAAAGUACUCAAGAACCACCUAAUUUAAAAUGUUAUAAGUAAUGUAAAUGAACGUGUGACAAUUGAUUAGGUACACAUUUGAUGAACGUGUACCUCUAAAUGAACAUGUACCCAAGAGCUACAUAGGUCUAGCUCGUAUACCUACGGUCUCUACUAAGCGAAUGGAGGAAAUCAUGACAAUUGAUUAAUUAAUCAAGGAUACCAAUAAUAGGACAACAAGACACAUAUAAGUCUUGAGGUGAAAAAAGUGUACAUAAGAAUGUACACAAUUAAUGAAUGUGAAAUGCACAAAAUAGAAUUUAAUUAUUUGUUAAAGUUGCAACAUUUCAAAGGAAGUUCAAAAGAAAUUUAUUUAUAUUGGGAACAAUUUUGAAUUAAAUUUUUCAAACUUAUUUAUUCACAAAGUUUCAAUUUAUUUACAAAAGAUUAUAUUUUUAUUCACAUCCAAAAUUAAUUAAAAAAAAACUUUUCUUGAUUUUAUUAAAAGAAUUUUGAUUGAAUUUGAAUUUAUUAAAGGGAAAAGCUCAAUUUGACCUUCUAUUUAUAAAGAAAUGAUUUUGGCUUACACUUUAUUUAAAAAAAAAAGAAAAAGAUGCCAUAAUUAUAACGAAACAUCAAUUCUAUUUUUGGAAAAGUGAUUUUUACAAGGAAAAGGGGGUUUACUUAUUUUAAUUAUAAGAACCAAAUUUCAAUUUACUAAGAAAAUAAAUUUUUAUAACUUUUAUUUACGAAAAAUAUUUCCAAAUUAAAUUUAUUCAAAAAGAGAUAUUUUUACAACUUUUAUUUUCUUUAGAUUUUUAUUAAAACAAUUUUCAGGAUUUUUUAUUAAAUCAAAAUUUGGAACUUUAUUAAAACUAUUUUGGAAUUCUUUAUUAAAAGAAAAUUUUGAAACUCUUAUUAAGCAAACUUUUGGAAAAUUUUAUCAGACACAAACUUAGAGAACUUUAACUUAAAAUUUUAAGAACUUCAAUUUAAAACACAUUUUAGGGAUUUUGAUUAAAAAACCAACUUUUAGAAAAUUUAUUAAAACACUGAGGAUUUUGGAAACUAACUUUGGGGGUUUUUAUUAAACAACUUUUAGAAGUUAAUAAGACAAACUUUGGGAGUUUAUUAAAAACAAAUUUUGUGAAUUUUUAAGAUUUAUUUUGAGAGUUUAUUAAGACAUGUAUUAAAACUUUUAAGACUUUUAUGGAAACAAACUUUAAGUAAAUUUAAAAGACAUACUUUGAGAACAACUAUUAAAAUAUUUAUUUUGAAAUCUUUAAUUAAGCCGAAUUUGAGAACUUUUAUGAUUUUUACGACUUUUAUGAAAACAAACUUUAAGAAUAUUUGUUUAAACACUUAUUUUGAGAAUUUGCAUUAAACAAACUUAUGAAAAAAAAUGACUUCCUAAAGAACAUUUAUCAACAAAUAAUUUUCAAUUAACAAACUUAUUAAAAUAAAAUGACUUUCUAAAGAAAAUUUAUUAAAACACACUUUUCAAAUAACAAACUUAUUCAAAAAAAAAAAAAAAAAACAACUUUCUAAAGAACAUUUAUAAAAACACAAUUUUCAAUUAACAAACUUAUUAAAAAAAAUGAUUUUUUAAAGAACAUUUAUUAAAACACAAUUUUUAGAAUUUUCAUUAAACAAACUUUUUAAGGGAAUUUCUCAAAUUUUAUGCCUCUUUGUCUUUCAAAGAAGAAUGUUUGAAAUUUUAUGCUUCAUUGGCUUUCAAAGAAUACUUUCACAGUGAGAAAAAUUGUAGAUAUCUAACUUUAAAUUUUGAAAGAUUUGAAAAACAAAUUUAAAAGUUAAAAAAAGAAAAGAAUUUCCCAAAUUUUAUGCCUCUAUCGCUUUCAAAAAAUAGUUUCAGACUUUGUUACAUAAGAAAAUUAGAGUGUGUUCGGCAAUAUUUUCAUUUUUUUUAGUGAAAAUAUUUUAUCUAAAAGUGUUUUCAAGGGAAUUAUUUAUAAAAUACUACAAGUGACUUUUCAAUACUAUAAGUAAUUUGUCAAUGCUACAAAACUGUUUCUUAACUUUUGUCAAACACCUUAAUUUUUUAUUUUUUUAUAAACACUUCUUAGGUUAGAAGUGUUUUUCAAAAACACUGUUAAACAAACUAUCUAACUUUAAAUUUUCAAAUAUUUGAAAAGAAAAAAGUUCAAAGAAUAAAAUUUAAAAGUUUGGCAAACAAGUUAGAAAUGUAAUCAAUUUGAGAUCAAGUAUUAAAGUGCUUCUUGCUCAAGCAAAGGACUAAGUCCUAGAUCAAGGCUUAGGUCCAAAGGUAAGCUAAUGUCACAGACUUAGUCUUUUCCUAAGCCCAUGUGGCACUUAGACAAGUCAAGACACUUUAUCUUGCUAAGUCAGCCUUACUCCCAAUGCUUAGCUUGCUAGGCUAAGAUGCUCACGACUCAGAAGCGUUAGAAGGUGUAGUAGGCAACUCUUAAAGAAUGGAGCUUUUAUUGCUCAAAUGAAGCUUUACAAGUGCUUUUGGGAACUCACUUGCUUGGUUGGUUAAAUUCUUGGGUGGUGCCUUGGCCAAAUGAGGGUCUCACCCAUUUAUAAGCACCAAUGGUACUCUCUAGAACCUUGUAGGGUUCUUUACAACUCAAGAAUAAUCUAGAACUUCCUACACUAGUCUUAUGUAAGGGUAUGUACAAGAUGACUUUGGAAUAUUCUAGAACACCCUACACAAUUCCAAUUCUCUCUUAGCCAAGUGUAGAGAUGUGUGGACAUCUCUAGCCCUCUCCAGAAGCUUCCAUACUCUUCCACUUUGUAGCUAAGUGUAGAUGUCUCCAAGGGUCUCUAGAAGCUUCCCACCUCCUAUAUAAGACCAUGGGAAGGGUCAUUUGAAGCAUCUUGUGACACUCUCCCCCACCUAUUAUUGUGCGAGCAAAAGCUUUGAUGCCAACAAUCACACAUAUGGUACACAAGGUUUUAACGUGGUUCGGCCAACCAUGCCUACGUCCAUGGAUGAGAGAGAAUGAUUCCACUAUACAAUAGAGAAUAUUAUAGAGGACAGAAUCAGAUACAACUUUUGGGUUCCCGCAACAUCCCAUGUUUCCCCACUCCUUGUAUCCAUACCCUACUACGAGCUCUCUCGCUCUACCGAGUACCUCCCGUUCUUUCUCACAUCUCUAUCCAACUCGUAUAGUCUCUACAUGUCCAUCUCCAUCUCAUGACUUUUUCCCCUUAUGACCUAGAAUAUUUAUAAAGAUAUUUUCAACAACCUUCCUUAUUCUAUAUGGAAGUCUAAUAUUACAAUAAUAUAUCAACCUAGAAAUAUUCUAUAUAAUAUUCUUUACAAAAAAAGGAAUCUAUACUAAUUAGGAAUUUGGGACACUUCCUAACAAUCUCCACCUUGGACCAAAUUCCAUGAAGUUAAUCUUCAAUCUCUCCAUGAUACAAACCUUUUUGUAUCAUAUCACCACAAAAGAGCAAUUGACUCCACCUUCAGUGAAAAUUCCUUUUGUUUUCAUUUUGUGUGCUUUGUGAUCUUUUACUCUUCUAGAAAUCUUCAACCCAAGACCAUACUAAAAAACCCUAAUUACAAAAAGCGGUUCCACAAUGGGUUAAACGAGUCUAUCGGCCCAAGCCUUUGCUCCAUGGACUAAGCCUCAAUAAAUCUCCCAUUAAAAAACCAUGCAAUAUUAUUCGGGUCAGGUCGUCAAACCAGAUCAAACAAAACUAAGCUCCACAAAGCCUAACAAAUCUCCCACUUGGAGACUAGUUCAAUCACCAACAUCAAACCGCUAUCCUCCAAGAGACAAUCCCUCAUCCCUGCAACUCAUCCUCCUAUCCUCAAGCUAGAAGACCAAUUGAAGUUGUGCACAACUUCAACUUCUCAAUAGUGACACCCUUAGUCAACAUGUCUGUCGGGUUCUUAAAUCCACAAAUCUUCUCAAGUAUUACUAGUUUAUCUUCAACAAGGUAACGGAUAAAGUGGUAUUUUUUUGUAUAUGCUUCAACUUUGAAUGAAAAGUCGAAUUUUUGGCAAGAAAAAUUGCACUAUGACAGUCACUAUGUAGAAUGUCCAUCUUCUACUUCUUACCCAAUUCAUCUAAGAAACCAUGUAGUCAAAUCAUCUCCUUUCCAGCUUCAGUUGUUGCAACAUACUCAACUUCUGUAGUAGACAAAGUAACAAUCUUCUGUAGAUUUGAAGCUCAUAAUAUAGUUGUACCACUUAGAGUAAAAACAAAACCAGUAGUACUCUUUCUACUAUUAAUAUCACCAGCAAAAUCAACAUCUACAUAACCCUGCAGUUUCAAACUUGCACCUGUGAAGCGAAGACAUGUAUCCAAUGAACCCUUCAGAUAUCUUAAUAUCCACUUGACUGCCUCCCAAUGCUGCUUUCCAGGCUUACUUAUGAAUUUGCUCACAACUCCUACUGCAUGUGCAAUGUCUGGCCUUGUACACACCAUAACAUACAUCAAGCUGCCAAUAGCUGAGGCAUAGGGCACCUUGCUCAUAUGACCCCUUUCUUCUUCCGUCUUCGGUGACUAUUCUUUGCUUAGUUUGAAAUGACUCCUCAAGGGUGUGCUCACUGGUUUAGCUUCAUUCAUGUUGAACAUGCUGAGAACUUUCUUCACAUACUCUGACUGUGAAAGCUUCAAUGUACCAUUAGCCUUGUCUCUAAUGAUUCUCAUACCAAGGAUUUGCUUUGCAACUCCCAAAUCCUUCAUUGCAAACUGUUUGGACAAUUGCUUCUUCAGAUUAUUAAUCUUCUCAAUGCCAGACCCUGCAAUAAGCAUAUCAUCCACAUACAAUAGUAAUAUGAUGUAAGAGUUAUCAAAAAACUUAACAUAGCAACAGUGAUCAGCUUCACAUCUCUUGAACCCAAUUCUAUGCAUAAAACUGUCAAACUUCUUGUACCACUAUCUAGGAGCUUGUUUAAGGCCAUACAAGCUCUUUCUCAGUUUGCAAACUAGAUUCUCUUGUCCUUGAACAAUGAACCCUUCUGGUUGAAUCAUGUAAAGGCCUUCCUCCAAGUCACCAUGAAGGAAUGUUGUCUUCACAUCUAAUUGCUCAAGAUGUAAGUUUUCUGCAACCACCAUUCCCAGUACAAGUCUGAUUGUUGACAUCUUCACAACUGGAGAAAAUAUCUCUGUGUAAUCAAUGCCCUCAUUCUGCUGAAACCCUUUAACAACUAAUCUGGCCUUAUAACGUUUGCUACCAUCAUGCUCAUUCUUUAUUCUGUAUACCCACUUGUUAUGCAAAGCCUUCUUUCCUACUGACAAUUCAGUCAGUUCCCAUGUCUGAUUCCCCAACAAGGAAUCCAUCUCAUCCUUCAUGGCUAACUCCCACUUGCUUGAAUUCUCAUCUUGUAAAUCUUCAUCAUAACACUUUGGCUCACUACCAUCACUCAACAGGAGAUAAUUUAAAACAGGUGAAUAACGCUGUGGAGGUCUAAUGUUCCUGGAAAAUCUGCGAACUUCAGCUACAGGUGUACUCAAAUCUACCUGAGAAUUUACAUUCUCCUUAUCUUCUUCACCCCCUUUUUGGACAGUACUUUCAGUCAAUUCAUCUAAGUUGAUAAACUCAGAUUUCUUUUGAUCUAUCUCUGUAACAUCUGACACUACAAUUGACAUGUCCUUGUACAUAACCUGUUCAUUAAAUAUCACAUUUCUACUUCUGAUGAUUUUCCUGUUUUGUUCAUCCCAAAACCUAUAGCCAAAUUUCUCAUCACCAUAACCAAUGAAAAAGCAUAUUUUAGACUUUGCAUCAAGUUUACUACGAGCAUCAGAAUCAAUAUGAACAUAAGAAACACAACCAAAAACUUUUAAAUGUGAAAACUUUACCUCUUUAUCGCUCUAAACCUCCUUAAGAAGUCUGAACUCCAUGGGAACUGAUGGUCCUUGGUUUAUCAGGUAGGCUACAGUGCUAACAGCAUCAGCCCAAAAAGUUUUUGGUAGUCCAACAUGCAACCUCAUACUUCUAGCAAGCUCAUUGAGAGUUCUGUUCAUGCGCUCAGCCACACCAUUUUGCUGUGGUGUCCCAAGAAUGGUCUUCUCCAUCCUAAUUCCCUGUGCAACACAAUACUCACCGAACCCUCCAUCUAUGUACUCUCCUCCAUUAUUUGACCUCAAACAUUUUACUUUCAAACCUAUUUCUGUCUCAACCAUGGCCUUCCAUUUCUUAAAAUUUUCAAAUACAUUAGAUUUAUUUUUCAGAAAAUAAACUCAUACCUUUCUGCUUGAGUCAUCAAUAAAACUGAUGUAGUACCUUGAACCUCCAAGGGAUGCAACCGGAGAAGGCCCCCACAAAUCAAUGUGUACUAGUUCUAAUUUUUUAGCCUUCAGUGUCCUGCCAGUUUUCAAGAAGCUCACAUUUUUUUUGCUUUCCUAAGAUGCAACUUUCACACAUGUCAAAAUCAAUGGACUUUAAUUCUGGUAGUUUUCCUUUUGACAACAACAUCUUCAUCCAUUUCUCACUCAUGUGACCAAGUUUGCGGUGCCAUAGGCUUAUAUCAGUACUUGCAUUAGCAACUGCAAUUGUGUCUCUUGGACAUGAGGUCAUAUACAGAGUACAAGUCUUCUUUCCACAAGCCAAUACCCUAGCUUCCUUUGUAACCUUCUAAGUACCACCAACAAAUAGUAUUGCAUGUCCUUCAUCAUCAAGUUGUCCAACAGAAAUCGGAUUCCUCUUCAGGUUAGGAAUAUCUCAAACCUUCUCCAGUAACCAAAUAAACCUAUUGGGCAACAAUAUUCGGACGUUUCCCAGACCCACAACAUCCAAGGCUGAACCAUCAGCCAAAUACACCUUACCAAAAUCACCCGCAACAUAAUUCUGUAUGAUUUCUCGAUGUGGAGUGGUAUGAAAUGAAGCUUCUGAAUCCAAAACCCAAUAAUCAAGUAGACUGUCUACUGCAAGAAGUAAUGCAUCUUGUACCUCUUCUGUUACAGCAUUAGUAGAAUCAUCUUCAUUCUUCUUCUUAAGACUUUUGUAUUGCCUUCUAAAGUGACAUGUUUUCCCACAGUUCUAUCAUAGUACUUGUUGGCCUGAUCUAGAUUUGCUUUUAUUUCGAUUAGAAUUUUUGGAUUUUGAUCUACCCCGGUUUGAAUUUUUUUCAUUACCUCUGUCUCUUGUCUCAAGGUUUAGGACAUAACUAGAUCCUGAGGUUUCGCUUGCAUCUCUUCGACGAAUCUCCUCAACUAGAAUUAAAUCUCAUAUAUCAUUGUACUUGAGUUUUUCCUUUCCCGUAGAAUUGCUUACUGCCAUCCUCAUUGCCUCCCAACUGUUUGGCAAAGAAGCCAAGAUGAUCAGAGCACGAAUCUCAUCAUCAAAAUCAAUUUCUACAGACGACAAUUGAUUUGUGAUUGUAUUAAAUUCAUUUAGAUGUUGUGCUACUGAGAUAUUUUCUACCAUCUUCAAAUUGAAUAAUUUCUUCAUCAGAUGCACCUUAUUGUUUGUGGACAGCUUUUCAUACAUACCAGACAAAGCCUUCAUCAGAUCUACUGUGGUCUUCUCUUUUACAACGUUGUGUGCAAUAGACCUAGACAGAGUUAACCUAAUAACUCUUGGAACCUGUCUGUCAAGAAACGCCCAUUCCUCAACCUUCAUACUCUCAGGUUUUGUCCCCAAAAGAGGCAGAUGCAAUUUCCUCCCAUAGAGAUAAUCUUCAAUCUACAUCCUCCAAUAUGCAAAAUCUGUGCCAUCAAAAUUUCUAUUAUAGACGCCUUUCCUGCUUCCUCUGCCAUUGCUCCCACUCAAACCUAACCCUAGGCUCUGAUACCAGUUGUUGUGCCAGUGAAAGCUUUGAUGCCAACAAUGUUAGUUCAAGAACACAAAGAUAAAACAAUCACACAUAUGGUACACGAGGUUUUAACAUGGUUCGGCCAACCAUGUCUUGAUUCAUGCCCAGUCGAUGUAUCAGUUGACUUAUGUCCAGCUGGUGCUCCUUGAUUGACGUAGUAAUCAACAAAAUUUAUAACCUAUUACACCAUGAACUAGGGUAGCAGAGACAAAGCUACUAUAGUAUAGUGGCUCUAGGAUCGUUCACUGGGAAGGGUUUUCAACUCAUAACUGAUACCAAUUCAAAGCUGAGUUGGUGCUUUUUCAUUUCAAGGUUAGCUUUAAAAGAAAACAUAAAGUUGUUUGAGUGAAAAGGGUUUGGUUUUAAACUAACCAAAAAGAAAGUAAUGGAAAUUACUUAUGAAGAAAAACAUUCCUUGAAGGUUUAGGUUCACAGGGGAGAUUCCUUAUACAAAACAGAGCUCCGGUCAUUUGGUUUGUUUCCUCGCAUUAGAGAAUUAACAUAUAGUCAAUUCUCUAACCGGUGUUGUACAGAUGUAACCUUUAAAUAGAUUCCAGCUCUAAUUCCCUCUCACUGAUGCAACUUGCAAUAACUCGUGCCUCUCAUCUAGCAUUUGCCAUCAAGGUGAUCUUUAACUUUGGAUUUCCCUUCUCAAGCUCGCAAGAGAUAACUAAUGGAAGUCUCCUCGGAGUCCAAAAGCUUACUAAAUGUUGGCAAUUCUAGAAAAUCCUACCUCCAAGUCACUUCCCAAAAGCUUGCAAGAGAUAAACAAGUGCAUCUCCAUGGACGAAGAUCACGUGUCUUACCAAGUACUGGCUCAAGUGAUUUGAAGGUGUUUUAAGUUAACUAAAAACAUAGAAAUCAUUAAAGGAUCAUACUUUCUCUUCAUUAAUCACUGAAACCACAAAGCUACUAAUUCUUGCACUUAGAACCUUUCCCUACAACCUUAACUCCAAGGAAUUAAAAGUCUAGCCACUCAUUCUUUGAGGAAAUUUCCUCAGAGCUUGUUUGGCUAGUAAGAAAACUAACAAGAAAACAAAUAUAUGAUAGAAAACCAGAGCAAGUGCUCUGGAAAUAUAUUUCUUGCUUUUCUUGAUUACAAUAUAGAUCGAUACUCUUUCGAUUCGAUAUCCUCUGUAAAGGAAAUUACAAACUAUUUAUAUGGGUUUAUUCACCCUUUUUAUUUACUUAAAAACUAAGGAAUCCCAUGAUAGGUGGAUUACAAGGAGAGUUUGGGAAUUUAGACAACAAAUAUCUAAAGCAAAAUAUCCCAAAAUAUCGCUCGAAAAUGUCAGGAAGGUUCAGGAGAACACCAUUGCACUAUACUGAGAGAAAAACUUUGCAGGUAAGCGUUAUCAGAAGGUCCGGAUAUGUAUAUCCGGAGAAGUCGAAGCGUCCUCCUCUCCCAUCCGGCUAUAGGAUAUUCGGAUGUAAAAUGUUGGCGCACGGAACGUCCUCCUUUCCCAUCCGGAUGUGAGAUAUCCGGAUGAAAAAUGUCGGCGCACAGAACUCGUGAAAAUCACACCCGGCUGAUAGCAUAUCUUAUUUGAAUAUGUUGUCCGGAUGCCCUUCGAUGGUAUAUCCGGACGCCCUGUCCGGGUAUACUCCUUGUAUGGAUUCCAAAGAACUCUCCUCAAUCUCAGAUUUGCUUUGGUGAUAAAAAAGCUAUCAAAACACCAAAACUUAACACAAUUUGAUUAGAAUUGAUUGCAAGGGUCCUUACUAUGUUAAUUGGGUUAAAAGGUGAUAACUACUACUCAAAAGUAUUUAAAAGAGUUAAUUACUGGUUAUCAAAUAGCACUUUUUGAGUAGUAAUCACUCCCCCCAACCGACAUAUUGCUAGUCCCUUAGCAAUGAAGGAGAGAAAAAAAAACAGUACUAUAAUUUACAACAUCAUGCUGAACAAAAAACAAUUUCCUAGCGGCAUGAUGAUCUAACUCUCACAUGGAACAUUAAAGAAAUAAAACUCAAACUUCAACAAGAGUUAUCAAAUAACUUGUCUAAUCACAAUUCUUAAAGAGAAGGCUUUAUGCAAAUUUAAGCUUUAAAAGAGUUUCCACUCCCAAAGGGUCAAACCUUACUCUUCCACAAAAAUCUAAGUGUUAUUUAUUAGCUUCCGAAUAUAGUAUGUAGAACUAAUCUCUCCUCCCAAUCUAGUUUUUUUUUUUCAAAGCUUAGCAAACUGGUCAACCUCCAAUAUGCUAAGAACGCACCUCAUUUUUUUCACAACAAUUUUUUUUUCAUUGUAGGAGUACAAGGCUUAAAGGUAUUAUUUUCUAACUUGUCCAUGUAACGGGGGUCCAUCGAUGACUCCCAACCAAUUAAGGUUUAGGGCAUCAAGCUUUAAGGAUAUUUCAACCACUAGCUCCUCGGAUUUUACCCCGGACUUUUGAGAAUGAAUUUUAAUACCCCAGCACCUACAGUAUGUUAGACUCCACCUAUCCACCCUUGUUACGAGCAUUGAGGUCGGUGACUCCCAACCAAUGAAGGCUUAGGGCACCUGGUUUUAAAGAUUUUCACCAUAUAUCCCUCAGACCUUGCUCGGGUUUCAAGGCAAGCAAACAUUUUUUCUUUCUUUUUCCAAAGGCUCAUUGGCCUUUUACAAGGUGUCCCAACACUAUUAAAUGAGGUCAAAGGUACCAAGUCUAAAAUUUUCCUAAGUCAAGAGGGAAAUAGUUUUUCAUCUUAUACUCGGAACCUAUUGUGCACAGUGUGUGAAUAGCUUAAAGUGGAAGACAUAAGCUUGACUUCAAUAGAAGUUUCAACAAUUCAUCAACUUUAAUAAGCAUAAUACAAACUCUAAGUCAAGUGAAAAGAUAAAAAUUCAAUUUCUCCCAUUCCAUUUUGAAAAUUUUUCCUUAAUAACCAUGGAGAGUAGAAUAAAAACUUUUAAAAAUUUUAAAAUUUAAGCAAAAAGCAACUAAAUUACCAAAAUAACUUAGCAUUAUUAAUAAAAACUUCCUUCCUCAACUCUCCCCCCAACCAAGCUCAACAUUGUCCUUAAUGUGACAACAGCGAUUGAAAAAUAGGGAGGAAGUGGUACCUCCUAAGUGACGUGGAAUGAUGGCUCAGCGGCUUCUCCUGUACUCCCAUUCCAUUUUGAAAAUUUUUCCUUAAUAAUCAUGGAGAGUAGAAUAAAAACUUUUUAAAAUUUUAAAAUUUAAGCAAAAAGCAACUAAAUUACCAAAAUAACUUAGCAUUAUUAAUAAAAACUUCCUUCCUUAACUCUCCCCCCAACCAAGCUCAACAUUGUCCUCAAUGUGACAACAGUGAUUGAAAAAUAGGGAGGAAGUGGUACCUCUUGAGUGACGUGGAAUGAUGGCUCAGCGGCUUCUCCUGUAGGAGGCUCCGGAUGAGGUGGGAAUGGUAUGCUCAGGAGCUGAUGUACUGUCAAGAUGAUGCUGAAUCUGCCUCAGGACGGCAGUGUGCUGGGCCUGAGUGGCAAGAAUCUGCUCCUGCUGAUUCUAAUCAUUCAAAAAGCUAGUUACAAUUAACAUAAUUUAAAACCAAAAUUACAAUCCAAUAAUUUACAAAACUUAAAAAUUAACAUAUUUAACAAAAUUAUGGACUUUGGUGAAACCAAGUCCAUCUAACCCUUCUCUGUUCAGGAUUUCUAUGGCUCAAGGAGGUUGAUUUCCUCCUUUUCUGGCUUGAACGGCUCAAUGUAUGGCUUGAGACGAUGCCCAUUCACUUUGAAAGUUUGAGUGCUCUUGAAGUUGAGUAGUUCCACUACUCCAUUUGAUUGCACGUCAUGAAUUAUGAAAGGACCCGUCCAUCUUGAUUUCAAUUUUCCCGGAAAAAGAUGGAGUUUAGAGUCAUAAAGCAAGACUCUUUGUCUCUUGAUAAAAUUCUUCUGAUUUACCAACUGAUCAUGCCAUUUCUUCAACCUCUCUUUUGCAAUUUUUGAAUUGAGGUAAGCAUCAUUCCUCAUUUCCUCCAAUUCGUUCAAAUGCAAAUAUCUCUUUAACCCGGCACUUGUCAAAUCCAUGUUGAGCUUCUUGAUCGCCCACCAUGCUUUAUAUUCAACCUCCACUGGGAGAUGGCACGCUUUGCCAUAAACAAGGCGGUAAGGAGACAUUCCAAGAAUGGUCUUAUAAGCAGUCUAUAAGCCCAUAAUGAAUCCAGGAGCUUAGUAGACCAAUCCUUCCUAUUCACAUUCACCACCUUCAUCAGGAUAUUCUUGAUUUCCCGGUUGGCUAACUCAACUUGGCCACUUGUUUGAGGGUGAUAAGGUGUAGCUACCUUGUGCUUGACCCCAUAUUUGGCUAGAAGAGUCUCAAACGACUUAUUGCAAAAGUGGGUUCCUCCAUCACUGAUAAUGGCCUUAGGCACUCCAAACCUUGAAAAUAUGUUCUCCUUGAGAAAUUUGAGAACCACCUUAUGAUCAUUGCUCCUACAUGGGAUUGCAUCUACCCACUUAGAGACAUAAUCCACUCCCACCAAAAUGUAGGAGUGUCCAAAUGACAUUGGAAAUGGUCCCAUGAAGUCUAUCCCCCAAACAUCAAAGACAUCCACUAUCAAGAUGGGGUUCAAGGGCAUCAUAUUCCAGCGUGUUAGCUUCCCAAGCCUUUGACACCAAUCACAUCCCUUGCACAUAGAGUGGGCAUCCUUGAAAAGAAAGGGCCACCAAAAACCUGAUUAGACCACUCUCAUGGCUGUUUUCUGGGAGGCAAAAUGACCUCCACAUGCACUAUCAUGACAAUGGGAUAGAAUUCCUGAUUGCUCUUGUUCAGGAACACAUUUCCUUAUGAUUUGAUCCGCACAAUAUUUGAAGAGAAAAGGCUCCUCCCAAUAAUAGGCAUGGAUCUUAGCAAAGAAAUGCUUCUUGUCUUGGGCACUCCACUCACUUGGAACUUCUCCAGUAACCAAGUAAUUUACAAUGUGAGAAUACCAUGGAGUUACCUCUAUUGACAUGAGAGACUCCUCAGGGAAGUCAUCAUUAAUAGGUAGACCAUGUGAGUCAUGUGCUAUCACAAGUCUGGACAAGUGGUCAGCUACCACAUUUUCUACUCUCUUCUUAUCCCGGAUUUGGAUAUUGAAUUCUUGAAGCAGAAGGAUCCAUCUUUUCAAUCUUGCCUUGGCAUCUUGCUUGGUUAGCAAGUACUUUAGAGCAGAAUGGUCAGUGAACACCACUAUAAAGGACCCUACCAAAUAGGCACGAAACUUAUCCAAGGUAAAAACUACUGCCAACAACUCCUUCUCAGUAGUUGUGUAGUUCCUUUGAGCCUCAUUCAAAGUUUUGCUUGCAUAAUAAAUCACAUAGGGCUUUCCAUCUUCUCUUUGCCCCAAAACAGCCCCCAUAGCAAAAUCACUUGCAUCACACAUUACCUCAAAAGGUAAUUUCCAAUUUGGGGCUCUCACUAUUGGUGCAGUUGUAAGGAAUUGCUUCAGUUCCUCAAAACUCUUCUGGUAUUUCUCAUCCUACACAAACUUGACAUCCUUUACCAAUAGUUCACAAAGAGGUUUUAAGAUUUUUGAGAAAUCCUUAAUGAACCUCCUAUAGAACCCGACAUGUCCUAGGAAUUGCCUAAUUCCUUUAACAUUUGUGGGAGGUGGCAACUUAACAAUUAGCUCCACCUUUGCCUUAUCUACCUUAAUGUCAUUCUUGGAGAUUAUAUGUCCUAAGACAAUUCCUUUUUGUACCAUAAAAUGGCACUUCUCCCAAAUUAGCACUAGGUCUUUCUCAAUACAUCUUUGGAGAACAGCUUCUAAAUGCAACAAACACUCCUUAUAAGAACAUCCAUAAACAGUGAUGUCAUCCAUAAAGACUUCCAUGAUGCGUUCUACCAUAUCACUGAAGAUGCUUAGCAUACAUCUUUGGAAAGUUGCAGGUGCAUUACAUAGACCAAAGGGCAUCCUCCUAUAGGCAAAAGUACCAAAGGGGCAAGUGAAGGUUGUCUUUUCCUGAUCUUCCAAAUCAAUUUCUAUUUGGAAGUACCCCGAGUAACCAUCUAGAAAACAGUAGAAAGGAUGCCCUGAGAUUCUCUCAAGGACUUGGUCCAUGAAAGGCAAUGGGAAAUGGUCCUUCCUAGUCGCUGAAUUUAACCUCCUGUAGUCUAUACACACCCUCCAUCCGGAGGUAAGACGUGUAGAGACUUCCUCCCCUUUUUCAUUCUGGAUCACAGUAAUUCCAGAUUUCUUUGGAACUACUUGGGUUGGGCUCACCCACAAGCUGUCUGUAAUGGGAUAUAUGAUCCCUGCUUGAAGUAGCUUCAAAACUUCACCUCUUACUACCCCUUGCAUGUGAGGAUUCAACCUCCUCUGGGGCUGCCUCACUGGUUUUGCAUCUUCCUCCAUGUAGAUAUGGUGGGUGCAUACCAAAGGGCUAAUCCCUUUCAGAUCAGAAAUUUGCUAUCCAAUGGCCUUUUUGCAUUUUAUGAGGACUCCCAAAAGGCUAUCCUCUUGAUCAGUGGUGAGCUUUGAAGAAACCACCACUGCACAUUUCUCAUCUUUCUCCAGAUAUGCAUACUUCAAAUCAACAGGAAGUGGCUUCAAAACUGGUUUUGGAGGGUCCUCCGUAGCUGCUCCUUGUGAGUCCUCCUUAUUGAACAAGGGCAAGAUCUCUUCCCUUCUCCUCCAAGGAGACAUGAUGGCUAAUGGUUCAAAGGGUUCAGGUAACCCUGCUUCAAGCACUCCAAUGCUUUCAUUCAAGCUUUCUUCUAAAUUCUUGUCACAAUGCUCUUCAACCAACGUGUUGAUCAAGCACACCUUCUCCAAUCCUUCCUCCUCUUCGGGUUGAAGAUGCCUCUUGCAUAGGUGGAAUAUGUUUAGUUCCAAGGUCAUGUUCCCAAAUGUGAGCUGCAUAACCCCAUUCCUAUAAUUGAUGAUGGCAUUGGAGGUAGCUAGGAAAGGUCUCCCAAGGAUGAUUGGCACAUAAUUUGGUUCCUUAAUAGUGAGAUCAGUAUCAAGCACCAAAAAAUCCACGAGAUAGUAGAAUUUGUCCACUUGAACUAGAACAUUCUCAAUCACCCCCCUUGGGAUUUUGACCGACCUAUCAGCUAAGGAGAGAGUGAUGGCUGUGGGCUUCAAUUCUCCAAGUCCCAGUUGCUUAUACACAGAGUAUGGGAGCAAAUUCACACUUGCCCCCAAGUCUAAUAGAGCCUUCUCCACAUGUGUCCCUCCAAUGUUGGUUGAAAUGGUGGGACAUCCCGGAUCUUUACACUUAACUGGAGACUUACUCUGAAUGAUGGCACUUACUUGCUCAGUGAGGAAUGCCUUCUUUGUCACAUUUAACCCUCUCUUAACCGUGCACAAGUCCUUUAAAAUUUUUACAUAUGUGGGGACUUGCUUGAUCAUAUCAAGUAAGGGUAUAUUCACCUUCACUUGUCUCAAAACUUCAAGAAUUUCUGAUGAAUUCUUGAUUCCCUUCUUUCCAUGUAAAGCUUGAGGAAAAGGGGGAGGCAUAUGUUUCUUCAUCAUAUCCUCUUUAAUCACUAUCCUUGGCUCUUCUUCAAUGCUUGAUUUAGAUGCAUUUUUCUUCCCACUCUCCUCUUCUUGGUUAUUGCUCUCUUUAACCAAGGUUUUCCUUGACAUGAAUUCUUCGUCUUGUCUCACCUUAGGCAAGGGUUGAUCAACCUCCUUCCCACUUCUCAAGGUGAUCACAACUUUGACCUUCCUCAACUUUGAAGACUCUCCAUCUUGGGUUUCAACUUCAUGAACACCCUUAGGAUUUUGGCUUGGUUGAGAGGGGAACUUUCCCUUCUCAUUCACUGUGUUGAGGUUGGUAAGCCUAGAGAUGGAGUAUUGACUAUUAUCUAUCUUCUGAGAUAGAUCAUUCUGCAUCCCAUCCAUUCUCUUAAUUUGAGAACUCUCAACAUUUUCAAUCUUUUGGUGCAAUUGGGAGUUGAUUGCCUUUUGUUCACCCACAAAGUCACCCAUGACUUUACUUAGGUUUACAAUGGCUUGCUCCACUGAAGAGGUUUGUUGAGGUGCUUGGGUUUGGGCUUGUGGUUGGUAUGGAGGUGGCCUUGGUUUCCAAGAAAAAUUUGGAUGGUUUCUCCAGCUUGAAUUAUAGGUGUUUCCAUAAGGUGCAUUGUUGUUGGGCUUAAAUUGCCCCACAACAUUGGCUUGAUCACCUAAGAUCUCCCUCACAGCUGGGAUGGUUGGGUACUCAUCUACCACAUGAUCACAUGAUUGGCAAAUGGUGUAUGGCAUGACAUGGACUUGUGUCUUUGAAAUGGCUUGGACUUCAUGCAUUUUUUUCAACUCAAGUUCUUCCAACCUCCUUGCCAUUGUUGCCACCUUAGUUUUCAUGUCCACGUCUUCACUUAACAUGUACAUUCCACCCUUUGGAUUUACAGGAGCUUUCAUCCUUCCCACUUCUCCUCUAUGCGGUUCAUCCCAUCCCCUUGAGACUUCAGCUACAUAACUCAAGAAAUCCAUAGCUUCCUCAGGAUUCUUACUCAUGAAAUCCCCUCCACACAUUGUUUCGAGGAGCUGCUUCAUUGAGGAAGACAUCCCAUCAUAGAAAUAACUUACCAACAGCCAUGUAUCAAAGCCAUGGUGAGGACAAGCAUUAAUGGCUUCUAUGUAUCUUUCCCAACACUCAUAGAAUUUCUCAUUCUCUUUAGCUAAGAAGUUUGAAAUUUGUCUUUUCAAGCUGUUUGUUCUGUGAGUAGGAAAAAAUUUCUUGAGGAAUUCUACUUGUAAAUCAGUCCAAGUACGGAUACUCCUUGGCCUUAAAGAAUUAAGCCAAAUCUUGGCCUUAUCCUUUAAAGUAAAAGGAAAUAGUUUAAGCCUCAUCAGGUCAAUAGAAGCUCCUCCCUCUCGGAAUAUAUUACAAACAUCUUCAAAUUCCUUGAUAUGGGAAUAAGGAUUCUCACUUUCCAUUCCGUGGAAAGUUGGCAGAAGUGGCACAAUAUAGGGUCUGAUUACUAGCUGUUCUGUAGGAGGCACUAUACAUGACGGUGCACUCAUACGAGGUGGAUGCAUAUGGUCCCUCAUUGAUCUGAAUUCAUUGGGAUUGUCCUGAUGAUCAUGGUGACUAUGCUGAUCCUCAGGUGUAGUUUCCAUGAUGUUCAAGAUUACUUCCAACUCCUUGUUAUGAGGUGUUUCAAUUUUAACAAGCCUUCCUCCACAAUCUCGUAUCCACUUGGGCAUACACAACUAGUAUCAACUGUAACAAAGAAAGAAAAAGAAAAACAGAGGAAAACAAAAAAACAAAACUACCAAAAAGAGUUCAAUUAACUAAAACUAAAUUCAAAACUAUGCUAGAAUAUAUAAACUAGUAAAAGAGAAAAAAAAAAAACUAAAAGAGUUAGUAAAAUGAGAGAAAACUCACCAAACUUGUGAUGAAAACCACAAGUUCCAUGAAAUAAUAUCAAUAUGAAGUUGGCACCUUCCCCGACAACGAAGCCAUUUGAUUUGUGCCCAGUCGGUGUAUCAGCUGACUUAUGUCCAGCUGGUGCUCCUUGAUUGAGGUAGUAAUCAACAAAAUUUAUAACCUAUUACACCAUGAACUAGGGUAGCAGAGACAAAGCUACUAUAGUAUAGUGGCUCUAGGAUCAUUCACUGGGAAGGGUUUUCAACUCAUAAUUGAUACCAAUUCAAAGCUGAGUUGGUGCUUUUUCAUUUCAAGGUUAGCUUUAAAAGAAAACAUAAAGUUGUUUGAGUGAAAAGGGUUUGGUUUUAAACUAACCAAAAAGAAAGUAAUGGAAAUUACUUAUGAAGAAAAACAUUCCUUGAAGGUUUAGGUUCACAGGGGAGAUUCCUUAUACAAAAACAGAGCUCCGGUCAUUUGGUUUGUUUCCUCGCAUUAGAGAAUUAACAUAUAGUCAAUUCUCUAACCGGUGUUGUAUAGAUGUAACCUUUAAAUAGAUUCCAGCUCUAAUUCCCUCUCACUGAUGCAACUUGCAAUAACUCGUGCCUCUCAUCUAGCAUUUGCCAUUCAAGGUGAUCUUUAACUUUGGAUUUCCCUUCUCAAGCUCGCAAGAGAUAACUAAUGGAAGUCUCCUCGGAGUCCAAAAGCUUACUAAAUGUUGGUAAUUCUAGAAAAUCCUACCUCCAAGUCACUUCCCAAAAGCUUGCAAGAGAUAAACAAGUGCAUCUCCAUGGACGAAGAUCACGUGUCUUACCAAGUACUGGCUCAAGUGACUUGAAGGUGUUUUAAGUUAACUAAAAACAUAGAAAUCAUUAAAGGAUCAUACUUUCUCUUCAUUAAUCACUGAAACCACAAAGCUACUAAUUCUUGCACUUAGAACCUUUCCCUGCAACCUUAACUCCAAGGAAUUAAAAGUCUAGCCACUCAUUCUCUGAGGAAAUUUCCUCAGAGCUUGUUUGGCUAGUAAGAAAACUAACAAGAAAACAAAUAUAUGACAGAAAACCAAAGCAAGUGCUCUGGAAAUAUAUUUCUUGCUUUUCUUGAUUACAAUAUAGAUCGAUACUCUUUCGAUUCGAUAUCCUCUGUAAAGGAAAUUACAAACUAUUUAUAUGGGUUUAUUCACCCUUUUUACUUACUUAAAAACUAAGGAAUCCCAUGAUAGGUGGAUUACAAGGAGAGUUUGGGAAUUUAGACAACAAAUAUAUAAAGCAAAAUAUCCCAAAAUAUCUCAAAAAUAUCGGUCGAAAAUAUCAGGAAGGUUCAGGAGAACACCGCUGCACUGUACUGAGAUAAAAACUCUACAGGUAAGUGUUAUUAGAAGGUCCGAAUAUGUAUAUCCGGAGAAGUCGAAGCGUCCUCCUCUCCCAUCCGGCUAUAGGAUAUCCGGAUGUAAAAUUUCGGCGCACGGAACGUCCUCCUUUCCCAUCCGGAUGUGAGAUAUCCGGAUGAAAAAUGUCGGCGCACAGAACUCGUGAAAAUCACACUCGGCUGAUAGCAUGUCUUAUCCGAAUAUGUUGUCCGGAUGCCCUUCGAUGGUAUAUCCGGAUGCCCUUCGAUGGUAUAUCCGGACGCCCUGUCCGGGUAUACUCCUUGUAUGGAUUCCAAAGAACUCUCCUCAAUCUCAGAUUUGCUUUGGUGAUCAAAAAGCUAUCAAAACACCAAAACUUAACACAAUUUGAUUAGAAUUGAUUGCAAUGGUCCUUACUAUGUUAAUUGGGUUAAAAGGUGAUAACUACUACUCAAAAUUAUUUAAAAGAGUUAAUUACUGGCUAUCAAAUAACACUUUUUGAGUAGUAAUCAUGUCUACAUCCACGACUGAGAGAGAACGAUUCCACUAUACAAUAGAGAAUAUUAUAGAGGACAGAACUAGAUACAACUAUUGGGUUCCCGAAACAUCCCAUGUUUCCCCACUCCUUGUAUCCAUACCCUACUACGAGGUCUCUCGCUCCACCGAGUACCUCCCGUUCUUCCUCACAUCUCUAUCCACCUCGUAUAGUCUCUACAGGUCCAUCUCCAUCUCAUGACUUUUUCCUUUUCAUGACCUAGAAUACUUAUAGAGAUAUUUCCAACAACCUUCCUUAUUCUAUAAGGAAGUCUAAUAUUACAAUAAUAUAUCAACCUAGAAUUAUUCUAUAUAAUAUUCUUUAUAAAAAAAAGAAUCUAUACUAAUUAGGAAUUUGGGAUGCUUCCUAAUACCUAUGCCAUCGACGUCCCCAUUGUGGCCUCUUCUUGAAACUUCUUGAUGUGUUUCCAAAACCUUCUCAAGGCAUCUGCAUGUUCCCAGCUUACUUGCCUCUUAGGUAGUCUUUUCCAUCGAACUAGAUACUCUAUCACAGGAAGGACCCCUUAUCUCUUGGUAACUUGUUCAAAUAGGAUAUUCUUCACCUCUUUCUCUUGUGAGGCCUGAGAUGAAUGCAAACACUUGCAUUUUCGAUGCUUGGAGUGCUGCUUCCUAUUGCUUAUUGAGUUCACCUUUUCCUUAGUGACCUUGUCCAUGUGUGUGUGGGCUACCACAACUCGCUCCUCUUUUGCCUCUUUUACUUGCACCCUUGAUAGUAAGAAGGUCUUAGGAAUACUAGGCUUUGGGUUGGAGGGUACCUAGUAGCUGCAUCAAGCCCAUAUGUGCUUCGCCUUCCUAUUUCCUCUCUUCGAUCAUGGCCUGAGCGCCUUCCUCUUUGGGCAAUCCUAUGCCCAAUGUGGAUCGUCACACAGGAAGCAUUUGAUUCUAGGCGUAAACUCCUUCCUUUUCGCCUUACGUCUUCCUUCCCGGAUGCUAGGCAUCUUGCCUGAUCCCAUUUUAGGAGCAUUAUAGUCUCUUGAAACCCCGUCUCCCCCACCCGUGGCGUGGCUAUUCUCUAAAGACUCAACCUUGGAGGAGUCUUCCCUCUUGUAAUGCGUUAAAGACUCUGCUACUACCAUAGCAGUGGCUAAGUCUUGAACACCUUGGCACCUUAAUUCUUACUCGGCCCACCCUUGUAGGUUAUCCAUGAAGUUGAAUAGUAGAUCCUCUUUAGUCAUGUUAGGAAUCUCAAGCAUAAGCGAAGAGAAUUCCUUGGCAUAGUCGCGUAUCGAACCUGUGUGCUUGAGACACCUCAUGUUUUUCCUAGUCAAGUAAGCCACGACCUUGGGGUAGAAUUGCCUCUUGAUCUCCCUCUUAAAGUCCUCCCACGUCUCUAUGGUGCAAAUGUCUUUUUCCAUAUCGGCGAACCUCCGACUCUACCAUAGAGUAGCUGUGUUAGUAAGGUAGGGGGGUUACAGUCCUUACCUUAGUCGCCUCAUCAGAUAGUGCGAUGGCCUCGAAGUAUCGCUCCAUAUGCCAUAAGAAGUUGUCCAACUCCUUGACAUCCCGCUUGCCACUAAACCCUUGUGGCUUCGGCACCUCCACCCUAGAUGCCUCUUGGGUGGGCAUGACCCAUGCCGACACAACAGUCUUGUAGAUGGCCAACUCCUACCUAACCUCCUGGUCUUGGGACUCCAUUCGAGUGGCCAAAGCCUCCAUCCUUGACUCUAUACUAGCAAGCAUGCUCAAGACAUUUUCUUGGAAGGACACAAACUCCUCGUGCGACACUGUCUAAACCUAUGAGACUAGCAUCUCCUCACGAAGGUCUUGGAUCUGUUCCCUAAGAUCUUUCAUACCCUUCUCCAUGCCUUGCUCAAUCAAGUCCAACCCCUCCCGAGUGUCUGCCAUGGCUAGCUCCACCUUAGCUAACCUUGCCUCCAUGUUAGCAACGACAUCAUGAGAUUUAUCCUUCCUACCCCUGCCCCGUGCAGUAGGCUCGGUCUCCCUCCCACGGGUUUGUUCACUAGUCUCAUCCACGUUGGAGCCCGACAUGCUUCCUUUACUAUGCCCACUUCAUAGCUACGCUUUGAUACCACUUGUCACGGACUUAAUCUUUUCCUAAGCUCGUGUGGCACUUAGACAAGUCAAGACACUUUAUCUUGCUAAGUCAGCCUUACUCCCAAUGCUUAGCUUGCUAGGCUAAGAUGCUCACGACUCGGAACCUAUUUAUAGGCACCAAUGGAACUCUCUGGAACCUUGCAAGGUUCCUUAAAACUAAAGAAUAAUCUAGAAAUUCCUACACUAGUCUUAUGUACAAGGGUAUGUACAAGAUGACUUUGAAGUAUUCUAGAACACCCUACACAAUCCCAAUUCUCUCUUAGCCAAGUGUAGAGAUGUGUGGGCAUCUCUAGCCCUCUCCAAAAGCUUCCAUACUCUUCCACUUUGUAGCCAAGUGUAGUGUCUCCAAGGGUCUUUAGAAGCUUCCCACCUCCUAUAUAAGCCUAUGGGAAGGGUCAUUUGAAACAUCUUGUGACACUAAGCUCAACUUAUGUUGGGCCUAAGUCCAAGCCUAAUAGCAUGUUUUAUAAAACUUAAUAUUUAAUACUUAUUACUUAAUGACUUAUGUUGACUUUAAGUUAAAUUGUUUGAUAAAAUUAUUUUAAGUUAUUAAAUUAACAUAUUUACCCCAUUGGUUGUAAUUAAUAUUUAUUAUUAAAAUUUUAACUAAUAUUUAUUUUUAUUAAUUUUAAGUAAUAAAUUUUUUUAUUAAACAUCCAUACUUGAAAGUAUUGUAGAUUUAUGUAAUAACUUUAAAAUAUUUAUUAGAAAAAAUGUGUCAUGGAUUUGGUUGUUAAAUAUAUUUUCAUUAGAUAUGAGCAAAUAAGACAAUAAAAAUUUAGGAUUAAGAAUAAGUUAACUAUUUUAACUUAAUAUUUAAAUUUAUUUUUAAUUUUAGGUUGUGAUAUGAAGUUGUAUUUAAAAGACAUGUUUAAUCUACUUAAUAACUUAAAUUAAAUUAUUAUGUCACUUUAAGGCAUUAAGUUAAAUUACCAAUUAAACAUCCUAUAAGACCAAAAUAAGACUCUAAUCAAAUAUAUAUAUAUAUAUAUAUAUAUAUAUAUAUAGAGAGAGAGAGAGAGAGAGAGAGAGAGAUUAUCAUUUAUAUUUGAUUACUAUAUAUACAAUAAAAAAUCAAUUUAGUUAUAAUUUUGAGAAAUUCAUGCAUAGAUUAAGGUGAUGUUUGGUAAAACUUAAUACCUAUUACUUAAUCAUUUAAGUUGACUUUAACUUAAAUUAUACUUAAAUUGUUAACUUAAAACUUAUUAUUUAAGUUUUACUUUAAGUAUUAAGGUUAUUUGAUCAAAUUAACUUAAAACUUAUUCUAAAUUAUAAAAUUGACAUAUUUGUACUCAUAAAUUAAAACUAGGGCAAAAAAGAUCGAAUAAUAGCGGAUGUUGUAGAGUAGCAAAAGAGAUGGUCUAGUUAAUUAGGAUAAAUAAGAGUAAAAAAGCAAAAUAAAUAUACGAACUUAAUUAUUUUUACUUAUUACUUAAAGUUAUUUUUAACUUUAUAUCACACCAUUAAAUUAUUUUACUAAUAAAUAAGAGCAAAAAAGCAAAAUAAAGAUAUGAACUUAAGAAUAAGUUAAUUAUUUUUACUUAUUAUCUAAAACUGUUUUUUACUUUAUGUCACAUUAUUAAAUUAUUUUUCCAAAUAUAAUUAAUGUAGUUAAUGAAUUAAAUUAAGUUAUCAAGUUAUUUUAAGUUAUUAAAUUGAUUUAUGAAACACACACUAAAUAAAAAACUUAAAUUUAUUUAUUUAUUUUUUUGUUGUCUCUCAUGAAUAAUUAAAAGAAAAGAAAAAGUAAAAUAUCACAUUUCCCAAAAUAAAGAAAUAAACAUACACUCCAAUAUUUUUCUUUUCACUUCAAUAGGCCCUCAAUAUAUCUUAAUCAUAUUGUCCAUUGUCUACUCUCUUCAACCCUUUUGGGAUAAUAUGUGAUGUCGGACAAUUACAUGAGUUGGGUUUUCACCGGGCAAUCAACUAUUUUAUAAUGGCAAUAGACCUCUGUCUUAAUUGAGGACAAAGCCUUGCACUUGGGAUCUUUUCCAAGGGAUCCUUCUAAGAAUCCAAUGAUUUCUAAACCAUUAACUUUUAUUAUAAGGAUAACCCAGUUCAUGACAAUGGGAUAUGGGCUACUUGGAUGUCUAUUUUUUUUCCUAAUUUCCACAUGCAAACUGACAAAUAGAAUGUGAACAAAAUAAGGAUAACCCAGUCCACGACAAUGGGAUAUGGACCACAUGGAUGUCUAUUUUUUCCUAAUUUCCACAUGCAAACUGACAAAUAGAAUGUGAACAAAAUAAGGACAGCAUGGUAAUAAUGAUUGAAGAAUAACAAAUUUAGUAUUCGAUGGAAUAUAUUUUCUUUUUUUUUAAAAAAAUACAAUAAUUUCUAUGUAAAAUAUAAUAAUUUUUUUAUUUAUAAAAAGGUUUAAAUUGAAAAUGUAAUGAUUUUUAAAAAUUAAUUUAAAAAAGUGAAGUGUUAAAAGCUUUUUACUACUUUAAAUUUUGAAAAAAAUCAAGGAUAUAAAAGUUAAUAUUUUUUUAUUAGAGUUUUUAUUUUUUAAAAUAAAAAAUAAAAAAUUAUAUUUAAAGAAAGCUUUGCUUUAUAAAUUAUUAUAAAAAGCCUCAUUUUUUAAAUAAUAAGAUCAUCUGGUCAUUCCAAAGUGUAUAUGGAUUGUACGUUCUUGAUGGUUAUUCUUCUUGGAAGAUAUCAUCCAUACAAACCACUGCCAAUUUUUACAAUGGCUUCGAGUGAUAAAUGACAAAUACAAGAAUGACGAAUAAAACUAUGUUAUAUAUAUAUAUAUUAUUAUCAAAAUUUUGUUUUGUCAUUGCCAGCAUUUAUCUGCUGGUGGUAGAAACUAAGUAUACAAGUGCCUCUUUUCUUUGUCACGGCUUAAAAAUUUUUAAAAAUAUUUAAUUUUUUUUCGAAAACAUUUUUUUAAGUUAAAAACCUUUUCUAGAAUUACUAUUAAAUGACUCUUAAAGUCCAUUUAGUAAUGAUUUAAACAUUUGUAAUUAAAAAAUAAAAAUUUUCAAAUGUUAAAGGUAAUAAAAAUACUUUUUAAAAUUACUACUAAACGUAUUUUUGGAGUCUGUUUAACAGUAAUUUUAAAAAGUUUUUUUAUUUUAAAAAACAUUUUUGAAAAGAAAUUAAGUAUUUGAGAAAAUUUAGGAAACAAUUUUAAAAAUCUAAAAAAUUACUUAUAUUUCUAAUUUUAUAUUUACGGUUUCAAGAGAGCCUUAGGCAUCGUUUGUAGUAACCAAUGACAUAAGCAAAGAUGGUGGUGAUACUACGAAAUUUUUGGAAUACUGAGAAGUUGAAAAGCUAAUAUUGAUAGAGACCAUUUAAGACAUAGUGUACAGGCUUUGAAAUGAUAACACGUGUUCCUAUCGUGAGGCAAUAAAAAAGUGGUGUAUAUUUGCCGGCCAUUCCUCGCCAGUGCAUAGGAUAAGAAGUGAUGGGGCUACUCGUAUAAAUUGGUUCUCUCAACUAUGAAGUAAUUCAGAGGUCGCUCCUUGAAGUCUCUUCCAAAGCGGAAAUGAAGCUUAGCUCAGUUGCAAUCUCCUUUGUUUUUAUUACUCUCUUGAUAUAUGCAUGGAGGUUAUUGAAUUGGGUGUGGUUGAGACCAAAGAAGCUAGAGAGAUGCCUCAGGCAGCAAGGUCUGACUGGGAAUUCCUACAGCUGCUUGUAUGGGGACUUUAAAGAGAUGUCGAGAAUGAUUAACGAAGCAAAUUCCAGACCCAUCAGCUUCUCUGAUGAUAUUGUGCAGCGAGUUCUACCAUUUCACGAUCAUUCCAUCCAGAAAUAUGGUAUGAAAAUGAGCUACUCUUUAUCAUUGCACUAAAAUAUAUUUAUUUGUGGAAUUUUCCCCAAGGGAUUGUUGGUCUUUGGUUUUUUUUUUAUUAGUUAUUUUUCCUAUCCAUUUUUUUUCUUCUCUAAGAAGUUAUAGCCCAAUGGAAUUUCAAUGGUAUUUCAAAUUUCUUUUUUCUACGUCGGAGUGUAAUUUUUAAGGUUUAUUUGAUUAAAAAGAAUAAAAUAAUCCCAAGUUUAGAAAAAUAUCGUUAUGAUAAAAAAAAAAACUCAUUUUCUAAAAAUAAAAAUAAAAAUACUUAUUGUUUUUCUUUUCAACCUAAAAAAUGACCUUUUUUUUUUAAUAAAAUCAUACCCCAAAAAAAUGUGUUUUCAUAUGGUAAAAAAAAAAAAUUACAAAAUAGGAACUCAAAUUUAUAAAAUACAAAUUUCAAACAACUAUCUAAAAAUAAUUACCAUUUUAUGAACUUUUUUAUCUAAUGUGCUACCUUUGAUCAUCCUUAGUACUAUCUUUGAUAGGUAUAGAGGAUUCCUAUUUUAUAAUCAUUUUUGCCUGAGUGUGUAAAAACUCAUUUGUUCGAAUAUACUUAUUGUUUUUCUUAUAAAAAUAACAAUUUUUUUUUUAAAAAAAUGUACAAAUAAAUUAUCAAAAUAUUAAGAGAUGUUUAUAUAAAAAAUGAACUAAUUUUUAAGUUGAAAUAUGAGAGGUGUUAGAUUUACAAAUUUAGGAUUAUUUUAUCCCUUUUAAUUGUGUAAUUCAAUUUUUUUAUAAGCUAUAUGUAGGUAUAUAUAGAUGUCAACUUUGAUAAAUUGUUUAAUCAUUGGGAAAUGUGAAUAGUCUUUAAAUUUUUAUGCUAAUUGUUUCUCAUCUUUUCAAAUUUUGCAUGAACUUCUGACUUUUGAUAAUUAAUCACAUCAGUAUACUUUUCUUUAGAUAUUUGAGCUUCUUCAAUCAGAGAGCCUUGCAUUUGACUCCUUGAGUAUUCAGGUCCUUUAGAUCCUUUCUGACAUUUAUCCAACAAUGGGCAUUAAAAAUGCAGGUAAAAAUAGUUUUACAUGGUUGGGCCCAAAACCAGUGGUAAACAUUAUGGAGCCUGAGCUGAUAAGGGAUGUUUUCUUAAAGCACAAUGCCUUCCAAAAAGUACCGCCACACCCUCUCGGCAAGCUGCUGGCCACUGGUGUUGUUGCAUUGGAAGGUGAACAAUGGACUAAACGUAGAAAGAUCAUAAACCCAGCUUUCCAUCUAGAGAAGUUGAAGGUAGUUUUAAACUUUUGAGGCACUAUUUUUUUGGUUAUGCAGCCAGACCCCAACUUGUUGCCUGGUUUCUCUGCAUAGCCCUCUUCUUAUAGGAAAGAAAAUAAAUUUCUGAAUGUUCCAUAAUUUAGUAGACAUAUUCACAAUUUUACUGCCUCUUGUAAUCUUUUUUCUUAUGCAUGAUAAAUUUUUUCUAAAUUUAUUAUUUGUGUUUGAAUUUGUAUAGCACAUGGUAUCGGCAUUCCAAUUGAGUUGUAGUGAUAUGGUCAAUAAAUGGGAGAAGAAGCUCUCCCUGGACGGCUCAUGUGAAUUGGACGUUUGGCCCUAUCUUGAAAAUUUGGCGGGAGAUGUGAUUUCUAGAACUGCAUUUGGUAGUAGCUAUGAGGAAGGAAGAAGGAUAUUCCAACUUCAGAGAGAGCAAGCACAUCUUGCAAUCCAGGUUACUCGGUCAAUCUAUGUUCCCGGAUGGAGGUAGGCAUAAAAUAUUUCAAGGGAUUAAUCUGAACCUCAGUACUAAUACCCAAAUGCUAUAACUUUCACAGUAUCAUCAACAACAACAGUAAUAAUAAAAAUAAAAAUAAAAAAGAAGAAGAAGGAGGGUUUGAUCCAGCAUGGGACAAAAGCAAGAAUAAAAUUAAUAACUGUUAUAGCAUUUAAGAACUGUAUGAUGUUUCAUUUAUUUUGUUAAUAUGGCUCUCGACUAAUUUUUGUUUUCCUUUAAGAGCUUUCUUUUUGUACAAAUUAAAGAAUAUAGCUGUGUCUUCAAAACAAAAAUCAAGUUCAAGUAUCCCCUUUUCUUUUAUUGGCAGAACAUCUUAGCAAGAUGCAUGGUGAAAUACUACUAUAAAAUAUAUGUAGACUCAAUGAAGUCAUGGAUGAAAAUGCAUUAGUUGUUUCCUGUAUUUCAUUGAUCUUCAUUUACUUGGAUUACUUCCAAGCAGGUUUUUCCCAACAAAGACAAACAGGAGAAUGAGGCAAAUUAGCAAUGAAGUCAAUGCAUUGUUGAAGGGUAUCAUUGAGAAAAGAGAGAAGGCAAUGAAAGUUGGCGAAACUGCUAAUCAUGAUUUAUUAGGUCUACUAAUGGAAUCCAACUACAGAGAUAUGCAAGAAAAUGAUGAGAGGAAGAAUGUUGGAAUGAGCAUCAAAGAUGUCAUUGAGGAGUGUAAGCUAUUCUACCUUGCUGGCCAAGAGACUACCUCGGUUUUACUUCUGUGGACGAUGGUUCUAUUAAGCAAGCAUUCAAACUGGCAAACUCGCGCAAGGGAAGAGGUUUUACGGGUUUUUGGUAAUAAAAAACCAGAUGGUGAUGGCUUAAAUCACCUCAAAAUUGUGAGUAUCAAUCCAAAAUAUAUUCAAUUUAGUAACUCUUCUUGAAAAUAAUAUAUUACUCUUUUCUUUUUUUUUUCUUUUUUUUUCAAUCUUGAGGCAAAAUAUGUUUUGUUUCUGUAUCCUUUUUACUUUAAUUGAAAACUAUAUGCAGAUACUUGGUAUCCCCAAUGGAAUUUUUCUUUCCUUAUCUACGCGCACAAUGCAUCAGCACUGGCCAAUUGACUUUACUGAAGAAGGGGCGGACUAUUCUUUUCUUUGCGUGAAUUUUUUAUUUGCUUGUUAGGUUGUUUUGAGUGUGGUGAAAACUUUAUGCAAAUACUUAGUAUCAAUCAUUUACAAUACUUUAUGAUAAUCUUGAUAUUUCCUCUUGCCAAGCGUGUUUUCUUGAAAUUGGAACUCUGGGCUAUAAUAAAUUUUCCGGGGGUUCUUAGUUUGUAUUCACCAGUUACUGUAUGGCCCUAUAUGUACAUGAAAGUAUGUCAUGCAAAAAUUUAAACAAUCUCUCUCAUUACUAUAUUCGAAAAGUUCUUUCAUGGUUUGAUGUAUGCUUCUUAGUAAUCAUUUAGUGUAUUUCAGUAAUGAAUUUUCAUGAUAAAAAUAUUUUCUAUAUUGCAGGUUACUAUGAUUUUUCAUGAGGUCCUUAGGUUAUAUCCACCAGUGUCCAUGCUUCUUCGAACUGUUUUUGCCGACAGCCAAGUGGGAGGAUUGUAUUUACCAGAUGGAGUGCAGAUUGCUUUGCCAAUCCUCCUACUUCACCACGAUCAUGAAAUUUGGGGAGAGGAUGCAAAGGAAUUCAACCCGGGGAGAUUUUCAGAAGGAGUUUCUAAGGCAGCAAAGACCCAAGUUUCAUUUUUUCCAUUUGGUUAUGGUCCUCGGAUAUGCGUUGGACAAAAUUUUGCAAUGAUGGAAGCAAAAAUGGCUUUGGCAAUGAUCUUACAACGUUUCUCAUUUGAACUUUCCCCAUCCUAUGCUCAUGCACCUAUUAGUCUUAUAACUAUGCAACCCCAGUAUGGUGCACACCUGAUUUUACAUGGACUUUAGCAUCAGAGUUCUUGUUAUCAGUGAGAGUUAGCAAGACCUUUAAACCUAGAUAGUGUUGAAUUUAAAAUGCCCACACUUCCUUUCACUUGAAAUGAGUGCUCUUUAAAGCCAUUAUAUUAAUAAAAUUCUCUUUUGUAUGUUUGUAAGAGAUCAUAUAUAAAAAUGAUCACUUUACAAGGAGAUGCAUUUUUCUCUAUUCUUGUCCCCCCAAAAUGAAAAGAAAAGAAGAACUGCUGACAAUCUAUAUUUGGAGAAUGGACAUACAUUGAAAUUAUUUCUGAUGGGUGACCAUGCAUGUUGUGAUAUCUACAAGGAAACUACCAUUCCAAUAAUAGGAGAAAUAUUCUCAUUUGUUCUUAUCGUUAUAGAGUGGUGUCUCAUUCACUAUAAUUGGGUAGUAGACUCUUACGGAAUUUUAUGGCUAGGUAUCUGUAAAGAAGUUCGUACUAAAUUGGGUAGCAAGAUAAUACAAUUUUGGAGUUACUACCUCUAAGAAGUUGUCUGCGUACACUUGAUUCCAAUCCAUGUAAUGACAAAUUAUAAACCUCAGGGGCCCGGUCCACCCCCUAUUUUUAUUGGAUCUACAAUUUUGCCAUUCUCCAAGAGUUUUAGACAACUUCACAAUGUUCCACAACCUUAACGAACCUUUUGGAUGAGCUUGAUGUGGUUGCAGUAGCUUUACAUGAUUGCUAUAAUCCCAUAUUGGAAGCUUAAGAAAGAGGAACCUCUCCUAGUACCUAUAAAAAGAGGACCUUGUAAUUUAUUGUUGAUAAGAGAUCGUAUAGAGAAGUUUCUUAUUGUUAUUUCACUUGAUUUCUUCAAGUGUAGUAUUCUUAUUUUCUUCUAGUUUCACUUCUGCAGCAAGCCAAACUCACUGGGAUGCUCAGAGUUUUUAGGUGCUCAAACACUACAUGGAUUUUUAGGAGAGAUCUUGGUCUACCAAAAGUGGUGGACUUGUUAGAAAGCACUAGCAAAAUAAAAAUAAAAAUAGAAAGAAAGAAAGAAAAGCGAAGAAAUCAUUGAUAAUAAAAUAUUCACAACUGAUCUUGACAUGUGGAUAAAUGAUUUCAUAAUCAAGAAGUAUUCACAAUUGCAAAACCAUCCACAAGCUUACAUGCAUGCCCUUUUAGCUUUGUGCUAUAUAUUUAGAAUUUUGGGAGAAGCAAAGAAAGAAAAAUGAAGAAUAUUUUUUAACAAUUGAAUUUAAAAUCAUGAUGCACUUUCAUCUAUUUAUAGCUAGGCAUAACAAUAAAUUAUAACAUUUUAUAUAUUUUAACUUUACAAAGUCUACCAAUGACUUUACACCUAUUCUAACAUUACAAUUUAUUUGUGAAUUUAUAAUGUAACUUCACAAUUAAUUUGUAACUUUAGAACUUUUGUUUCUAACUUCAUAAUCGAUUAUAAAUUUACAACUUUUGCAACUUCACAAGUUAUUGGUGUCUAUCUACUACCUUUUGUAACUUUAUAAUUCAUUGUACAUUACAAUAUUUUAAUUUAUAAAGUAAAUGUCUAUGAUUAAUUAACUUAUUUGUAUGUUAUGAACCCUUUAUAUUUCAAAGUUAAUUGUCUCUUAUCAAUAAGUUAAGGUGAGGACAUAUGGUAUGGGACCUUUGUGGGAUCUUUAAUUACAUCCUUAGUAAGUUUGUUAUGUUUGUUCCAAAUAAAUUUAUUAAUUAUAAUUAUAUUUAAAACAUAUUAUAAUUUCACCCCAAGAAUAGGAGAUAUAUAAGUCAACUUCCCACUUAUAUAUAUACAUAUUAAUCCUUCCAUUAAUUAAUAUUCAUAACAAGUUUAUUAGGUUGAACCAAGAUGACUGUCAUUACCCAAAUUACAAGUGCAUCACCUCUUAUAAUUGGAUCUUUAAGAAAAACAAUUUAAAAAUUCCUAAUAAACAAUAUACUAUAUUAUAGAUAUGUACACUUGAUAGAAUACUUAUUCUAAAUUGACCAACUGAUAUUUUAAUAUAUUUUGUAAGUGACACAAUAUUGAAUAUUCUCUCAUAAUAUAGUCUAUUAUUAGACAUCAACAACUAACAACAUCAAAGCUAUAUUUACAUAACUUGAUGACAUCCUUAAGCCAAAGGACUUUAUGCAACACUAAACAAAACAAGUUUUUGUUGGAAUAUCUAGAUUACUCCAUUCCAAGCAUCGUCUCAUGGAGUGCAUACUACUACAAUCCUAAGGAUACUAGAUUUAAUGCAAUGGAAGCAACAAAAACAAAAAUGUUAGAUUUAGGUGCUCCAGAAAACAAUACUUAUGAUUUGAACAGUCCUAAAUCAACUCUAGUUGGUCAAUAGUAUGAUUUAGAUCUUGAAAACAUUGCAAUUUUUUUUCUAAUGGCUCUCUCCUAAACCUUACAUGUGAGAAUGGUGGAAUCCUUUCUAUGGAGAUGAAGGCUAAGGCUCUAUCUUGUUUAAAGGUUGAAUAAUUGAAGUUAUAAGCCUUAAACCCUCAAUAGGAUUUAUAUAGUCUUUGUCUAUGGGCUUAAGUGGCUUGUGCCCAUCUUGGGUUUAGGUCGGUUAAUCUAGCCUAUUGGUUCCUAAUUAAUUAAUUAGUCAUAUUGGGAUACAAUUAUGCAACCUUGUGUAUUUAUCAAAAUACCCUUAUACACACAUAUGAACAAAAAACACCCUAAUAUCCUUCAAAUAAUUAAUGUGCCACCAAGGAAUAUGAACUUGAGUAGGGACUAUAAGGACCUAUAGGAAAAUAAUGGCCUUUUCAUAAUCUAAUUAUGAAGUUAACUCAACACUGUCAUGCUUCCUUGCACCCUUCUAUACACAUAAGGUUCAUUCUUGUUUUGACCAAAAUCAAGGGUCUUAAUUUCAUGUUCUAAACAUUUGUUCCAUGAGCAAGAAGCUUGAAUUAAUCCAAAAAUAGACUUAUGCAAUUUGCAUACUAGAUGCUCUCUGCCCUUUGCUAUGAAAACAUCUGGUUGUAUCAUAUAAAUGCUCUCAUCAAGGUAGUCAUUUAAGAAUAUUGUCUUGACAUCCAUAUGACAUAUCUCAUAAUUGAGAUAAACUGCAAUGUAUAUGAGUACUUCGAUGGAUUUGAGUAUGGCUACCAUAGAAAAAGUUUCCCAUAGUCAAAACUAGGUUUCAAACUAUAAACCUUUAGCUAUAAGCUUAGCCACAAAAGUCUCAAUUGUUAGGAUAAAGCCUCAAAAGCAUGAGAAGAUGUCAUAAAAAAAGUUUCCAUUUCUAUCAUUGAUUGCAUUAAUUUUUACCCGAGCAUUCAAAGCUCGUAUGAUUACUAGUCAAAAAGUGUUAUUUCAUAGCUUGUAAUUAACUCUUUUAAACACUUUUGAGUAGUAGUUAUCACCUUUUAACCCAAUUAACAUAUUAAGGACCCUUGCAAUCAAUUCUAAUCAAAUUGUGUUAAGUUUUGGUGUUUUGAUAGCCUUUUGAUCACCAAAGCAAUCCAAGAUUGAGGAGAGUUCUUUAGGAAUCCAUGGCAAAAGAUGUCCGGACAGGGUGUCCGGACACACCAUUAGAGAGCGGCAGAACAUGGGCUGUAGCAAGGCUUGCUCACUUUAGUCAAUGUUUUCCAUCCGGACAACAUAUCCGGAUAGGAUAUGCUGUCAUCCGGGAGAGGGGUCCCUAUACCUUGCACACGCAGACGGUCCCCCUUGCGCAGCAUAGCUCAGUCCACCCGGGGAGGAAUUCCGUCCGUCGACAUUUCACAUUCGGAAUUCCAUGCGCCAACAUUUUACAUCCGGAUAUCUCACAGCCGGAUGGGAGAGGAGGACGUUUCAACUUCUCCGGUCAGACAUAUCCAGAUCCUCUGAUAGCGUUCACCCGGAGAGCAUCUGCGGUCGACAUUUCAGAUUACCCGGAUUUUGCACAAUGUUGCAGUGUUCUCCUGAAGCUUCCCGAUAUUUGCCACCGACUAAGAUUUUUUCUCUUAAGAUAUUUUGUGUAAAUUUCUAUUUUCUCCUUGUAAUCAGUCAAAGAUAUUAUUGGGAUAUUUCUUAGAAAAUAACUUCUCUAUAUAUAUCUUUGAACCAUUGUAAAGAGGAGAGAUAUUAUAUAUAUAUAUAUGAAACCGAUGAACAGAGCACUUGCUCUGUUUUUGUUCUUCAUAUUUUUGUUUUCUUGUUAGUUUUCUUUCUAGCCAAUCAAACUCUGAGGAUUUUUCCUUAGAGGAUGAGAGGCUAGGCUCUUUGUCUCUUGGAGUGAAGAAAGCCGGGUAAGUUUCCUCAUGCAUAAAUUGGAAGUUUUGUUGUUUUAGUUUUUAAUGAAGAGAAAGUGUGAUCCGUUAAUGGUUUUUAUCUUUUUAGUUAACUUAAAACGCCUUUAACUCACCUAGGCCAACACUUGAUAAGGCAAGUGAUCUCCAUCCAUUGAGAUGCACUUGUUUAUCUCUUGCGAGCCUUUGGGAGGUGGUUUAGAGGUAGGAUUUUCUAGAAUUGCCAACACUUGGUAAGCUUUUGGACUCUAAGGAGACAUCCAUUAGUUAUCUCUUGCGAGCUUGAGAAGGGAAGUCCAAAGUUAAAGAUCACCUUGAAUGGCAAAUGCUAGGUGAGAGGCAUGAGCCAUUGAAAGUUGCAUCAGUGAGAGGGAUUUAGUGUUUGAACCCAUUAAAGGGAAGCAUCUGUACCACACCGGUUAGAGAAUUAACUAUAUGUUAAUUCUCUAAUGCGAGGAAAAGAAACAAGUGACCGGAACUCUCCUUUUUGUAUGAGGAACCUGAGCCUAGUGAUCUAAACUCCAAGAAACACUUUUCUUUGUAGUUAAAAUUAGUUACUAUUUUUUGUUAGCUUAAAACCAAACCUUUUUCAUUCAAACAUCUUUAUGUUUUCUUUUAAAGCUGACUUUGAAAGGAAAAUGCACCAAUUCAUCUUUGAAAUAAUAUCAAUUGUGGAGUGAAAACCCAUCCCAGUGAACGACCCUAGAGCCACUAUGCUAUGCUAGCUAAGGCUAUCCUAGUAUGAUUCAUUCUCAAUUGGUGUCUCAGCUGAUUCAUGUCCAACUAGUGCUCCUUGACUGAGGAAGUGAUCAAUAAAAUUUAUAACCUAUAUCACCAUGCAUUAGGAUAGCUUUAGCUAAUAUAGCAUAGUGACUCUAGGAUCGUUCACUGGGAAGGGUUUUCAACUCACAACUGAUACCAAUUCAAAGCUGAGUUGGUGCUUUUUCAUUUCAAGGUUAGCUUUAAAAGAAAACAUAAAGAUGUUUGAGUGAAAAGGGUUUGGUCUUAAACUAACCAAAAAGAAAGUAAUGGAAAUUACUUAUGAAGAAAAACAUUCCUUGGAGGUUUAGGUUCACAGGGGAGGUUCCUUAUGCAAAAACAAAGCCCCGGUCAUUUGGUUCAUUUCCUCGCAUUAGAGAAUUAACAUAUAGUCAAUUCUCUAACCGGUGCUAUACAGAUAUAUCCUUUAAAUGGAUUUUAGCUCUAAUUCCCUCUCAUUGAUGCAACUUGCAAUGGCUCGUGCCUCUCACCUAGCAUUUGCCAUUCAAGGUGAUCAUUAACUUUGGACUUCCCUUCUUAAGCUCGCAAGAGAGAACUAAUGGAUGUCUCCUUGGAGUCCAAAAGCUUACCAAGUGUUGGCAAUUCUAGAAAAUCCUACCUUCAAGUCACUUCCCAAAAGCUCGCAAGAGAUAAACAAGUGCAUCUCCAUGAACGGAGAUCACUUGCUUUACCAAGUGUUGGCUCAAGUGAAUUGAAAGUGUUUUAAGCUAACUAAAAACAUAGAAAUCAUUAAAGGAUCACACUUUCUCUUCAUUAAUGAUUGAAACCACAAAGCUACUAAUUCUUGCACUUGGAACCUUUCCCGGCAACCUUAACUCCAAGGAACUAAAAGUCUAGCCACUCAUUCUCUAAGGAAACUUCCUCAGAGCUUGUUUGGCUAGUAAGAAAACUAACGAGAAAACAAUUAUAUGAAGGAAAAACAGAGCAAGUGCUCUGUGAAAUAUAUUUCUUUCUUCCGUCGAUUACAUAAUAGAUUGUAAAGAAAAUUACAAACUAUAUAUCAGGUUAUUCACCCUUUGUUCUUACUUAAAGACUAAGGAAUCCUAUGAUAGGUGGGUUACAAGGAGACUUUGGGGAUUUAGAAAACAAAUAUCUAAAGCAAAAUAUCUCAAGAUGUCGGUCGGAAAUAUCAAGAAGCUUCAAGAGAACACCGCGGCACUGUAUACUGAGAGAAAAACUCUCUUAGUAAGCGCUAUCAGAGGAUCCGGAUAAGUCUGACCGGAGAAGUUGAAACGUCCUCCUUUCUCAUCCGGCUGUGAGAUAUCCGGAUGUAAAAUGUCGGCGCACGGAAUUCCGGAUGUGAAAUGUCNNNNNNNNNNNNNNNNNNNNNNNNNNNNNNNNNNNNNNNNNNNNNNNNNNNNNNNNNNNNNNNNNNNNNNNNNNNNNNNNNNNNNNNNNNNNNNNNNNNNAAAGCUGAGUUGGUGCUUUUUCAUUUCAAGGUUAGCUUUAAAAGAAAACAUAAAGAUGUUUGAGUGAAAAGGGUUUGGUCUUAAACUAACCAAAAAGAAAGUAAUGGAAAUUACUUAUGAAGAAAAACAUUCCUUGGAGGUUUAGGUUCACAGGGGAGGUUCCUUAUGCAAAAACAAAGCCCCGGUCAUUUGGUUCAUUUCCUCGCAUUAGAGAAUUAACAUAUAGUCAAUUCUCUAACCGGUGCUAUACAGAUAUAUCCUUUAAAUGGAUUUUAGCUCUAAUUCCCUCUCAUUGAUGCAACUUGCAAUGGCUCGUGCCUCUCACCUAGCAUUUGCCAUUCAAGGUGAUCUUUAACUUUGGACUUCCCUUCUUAAGCUCGCAAGAGAUAACUAAUGGAUGUCUCCUUGGAGUCCAAAAGCUUACCAAGUGUUGGCAAUUCUAGAAAAUCCUACCUUCAAGUCACUUCCCAAAAGCUCGCAAGAGAUAAACAAGUGCAUCUCCAUGAACGGAGAUCACUUGCUUUACCAAGUGUUGGCUCAAGUGAAUUGAAAGUGUUUUAAGCUAACUAAAAACAUAGAAAUCAUUAAAGGAUCACACUUUCUCUUCAUUAAUGAUUGAAACCACAAAGCUACUAAUUCUUGCACUUGGAACCUUUCCCGGCAACCUUAACUCCAAGGAACUAAAAGUCUAGCCACUCAUUCUCUAAGGAAACUUCCUCAGAGCUUGUUUGGCUAGUAAGAAAACUAACGAGAAAACAAUUAUAUGAAGGAAAAACAGAGCAAGUGCUCUGUGAAAUAUAUUUCUUUCUUCCGUCGAUUACAUAAUAGAUUGUAAAGAAAAUUACAAACUAUAUAUCAGGUUAUUCACCCUUUGUUCUUACUUAAAGACUAAGGAAUCCUAUGAUAGGUGGGUUACAAGGAGACUUUGGGGAUUUAGAAAACAAAUAUCUAAAGCAAAAUAUCUCAAGAUGUCGGUCGGAAAUAUCAAGAAGCUUCAAGAGAACACCGCGGCACUGUAUACUGAGAGAAAAACUCUCUUAGUAAGCGCUAUCAGAGGAUCCGGAUAAGUCUGACCGGAGAAGUUGAAACGUCCUCCUUUCUCAUCCGGCUGUGAGAUAUCCGGAUGUAAAAUGUCGGCGCACGGAAUUCCGGAUGUGAAAUGUCGGAGCACGGAUUUCCAGAUGUGAAAUGUCGGCGCACGAAAUUCCUCCCGUGUUGGACUGAGCUAUGUUGCGCAAGGGGGACCGUCUGCGUGUGCAAGGUGUAGGGACUCCUUUCCCGGAUGACACAGAGUGCGCAAGGCUAUCCGGAUCAACUCCAUCUGGAUUCCCCAAGAAGACAUGUGGUGCGCUCCCCUAUCCGGACUCCCUCAGGGAGAAGCACACGACACUCAUGAAUAUCACACCCAGACGAUAGCAUAUCCUAUCCGGAUAUGUUGUCCGGAUGGAAAACAUUGACUAAAGUGAGCAUGCCUUGCUACAGCCCAUGUUCCGCCGCCCUCCGAUGGUGUGUCCGAACGCCCUAUCUGGACAUCUUUGCCAUGGAUUCCAAAGAACUCUCCUCAAUCUCUGAUUGCUUUGGUGAUCAAAAAGCUAUCAAAACACCAAAACUUAACACAAUUUGAUUAGAAUUGAUUGCAAGGGUCCUUAAUAUGUUAAUUGGGUUAAAAGGUGAUAACUACUACUCAAAAGUGUUUAAAAGAGUUUAUUUCAAGCUAUCAAAUAGCACUUUUUGAGUAGUAAUCAUAGUACAUGGUGUAAUAGGUUAUAAAUUUUGUUGAUUGCUCCCAUCUGAGGACUGAAAUCAAGACACCAGUUGGACACGAAUCAAAUGGCACCACUGUCAGGGACCAUUGAGAGGACACGAAUCAGCUGAGACACUAAUUGGGAAUGAAUCAAAUGGCGCCAUUGCCGGGGAUGGUGCCACUUUACAGUGAUAUCACCUUUCCAUAGUACUUGUGAUCUUCAUCACAAGUGUGGUGACUUUUCUUUUCUUUUUACUAACUCUUUUUAUUUGUUUUUGUUUUUUUUCUUUGUUCAUAUUUUAGUAUAUCUUUUAUUUAGUUUUUGGUUAAUAUUAAUAAUUUUCUUUUUUCUUUAGAUUUUUUUUUCUUUUAUUUUCUUUUGUUUUCUCUAUUUUUAAUUCACAAAUUGCUAGUUGUGCAUGUCAUAUUGAAUAUGAGAUAGCAGAGGAAGCCAUGAACUUCAUGAGUUAUGUGGCUGAAGUUUCAAGAGGAUGGGAUGAACCAAAUGCUCGAGAUAUGGGGAGAAUGACGUCUCAACCUAAUGCUAAGGGUGAGAUGUAUAUUUUGAAUGACGACAUACACAUGAAAGCAAAGAUUGCAGCUAUGGCAAGGAGAUUGGAAGAGCUAGAAAUGAAGAAGAUGCAAAAAGUGCAAGCCAUCUCUCAGACACCAUUGCAAGCUAUGCCUUGUGCCAUUUGUCUAUCUUAUGAGAACUUGGUGGAAGAGUGUCCUACCAUUCCAACGGUGAGAGAAAUGUUUGGUGAUUGCAACACCUAUAAUUCCAAUUGGAGGAAUCAUCCAAAUUUUUCAUGGAAGCCAAGAGCACCUCAGUACCAACAGCCGACUCAACCAUCUCAACCAUCCCAACAAGCUUCAAGUCUUGAACAAGAAAUAGUGAAUCUCAGCAAGGUUGUGGGAGAUUUUAUUAAAGAACAAAAAUCCAUCAACUCUCAACUCAGUCAAAGAAUUGACAGUGUAGAGAAUAGGAUGGAUGGGAUUCAAAAUGAUUUAUCUCAGAAGAUAGAUAAUCUCCAAUAUUCAAUCUCAAGGUUUGCCAACCUCAACAAAGUGCAAGAAAAAGGAAACUCUCCUUCUCAACCUCAUCAAAAUUCAAAGGGUAUCCAUGAAAUAGAGGCUAAGGAGAGAGAUAAAAAGGUUGAUCUGCCCACAUCCAAGCUAGAGCAUGAGGUAGAGAGUGAAACAGAGAAAGAAAAGAGGGAGGAAAUCAAAGGAAAGAGAGAGGGGAAAAGCAUAGAGAAAGAUGACUAUAUAGAUGAAGAACCACAGAGGAUAGUCAUCAAGGAAGAAAUAAAGAAACACAUGCCUCCACCUUUCCCCCAAGCUUUGUAUGGGAAAAACAUACAAACCAAGUCUCAAGUGAGAGACACAAACUUCAUAUGGGAUCCGGGCAAGCUAAAUCAGGAUCAAAUUUUUUGAUGGACUUAGUCUUUCUAAAGACUAGCUAGUCCAUACCUUUUUGUUUUACUUAUUACUUGUUUUAAUUUUGAUUUCAAUGCUUUAAUUCUAAUUUGUUUUGAUGUAAUAUAGGUUUUUGGAUGAUCAAAAUCAGAACGGAAAUGUUGCAUUUUGCUACUGUUGGACACAUUUUUGAAGGCCUUCAUGGAGCUCAAAUUAUGCAUACUAUAUCUCUUUUUUAAUCUUGGGAAGUCAGGAGUCCAUAGCUUCAAACGGUGCUCGAUUUGGAGUUGAAACGAAGAAGUUAUGGCCGUUUGAAGACGAUCGCGCAAAGCACCAACGGGAAUUUCGCAGCUGCAAAAUGGGCUACAAAAUUCCCAUUUUGUUGCAGGAAAGCCCUCUCACUGAGAUCACACACACAAAGCCUCUUAAUCCAUUUCUUACCUCCUUAAAACCAUCAGAGCCCAUAGCUCCAGUUGAGGAGACUACCAAAGCAGAGGCCAAAGUCCUGAUCCAACCCACUCAAGAGGCCACCACAGAUGCAUCAGCUCCACAAGACCUUACCAUUACUUGAUCAUCUCUUUACUUUUUGUCUUUACAUAUUAUAUUAAUAUAAAUAAUUCCAUAUUUUGAUGUCUUAUAUUCUGGGAUUGGAUGUAUUACUGAUGAUACAUCAUAUAUAGACAUCAUUUUUUGUUUAAACUUGGCAUUUGUCUAUUUCCUCUACUCACUAACUCUUUUGUUUUUUUUGAAACAUGUGGUUUCUCCUAUACGACUCAGACUCCAUGUCACUAAGGAGGUACCACUUCCUCCCUAUUUUUCAAUCGCUUUUGUCACAUUGAGGACAAUGUUCAACUUAGUUGGGGGGAGAGUUGAGGAAGGAAGUUUUUGUUAUUAAUGCUAAGUUAUUUUGGUAAUUUAGUUGCUUUUUGCUUAAUUUUAAAAUUUUUUAAGUUUUUAUUCUACUCUCCAUGGUUAUUAAGGAAAAAUUUUCAAAAUGAAAAGAGAGAAAUUGAAUUUUUGUCUUUUUCACUUGACUUAGAUUUUGUAUUAUGCUUACUAAAGUUGAUAAAUUGUUGAAACUUCUAUUGAAUUCAACCUUAGUUCUUCCACUUUAAACUAUUCACACAAUGUGCACAAUAGGUUCCGAUUAUAAGAUGAAAAACUAUUUCCCUCUUGACUUAGGAAAAUUUUAGACUUGGUACCUUUGACCUCAUUUUAAUAGUGUUGGGACACCUUAUAAAAGGCCAAUGAGCCUGUGAAAAAAAAAAAAGAAUAGAGAAAGAAAGAAAAAAAUGCUUGCUUGCCUUGAAACCCGAGCAAGGUCCGAGGGGUAUAUGGUGAAAAUCUUUAAAACCUGGUGCCCUAAGCCUUCAUUGGUUGGGAGUCACCGACCUCAAUGCUCGUUACAAGGGUGGAUAGGUGGAGUUUAACAUACUGUAGGUGCUUAGGUAUUAAAAUUCAUUCUCAAAAGUCCGGGUUAAAAUCCGAGGAGUUAGUGGUUGAAAGAUCCUUAAAACUUGAUGCCCUAAACCUUAAUUGGUUGGGAGUCAUCGAUGGACCCCCGUUACAUGGACAAUUUAGAAAAGAAUACCUUUAGCCUUGUACUCCUACAAGAAAAAAAUUGUGAAAUGAGAGGUGCGUUCUUAACCUAUUGGAGGUUGAUCAGUUUGCUAAGCUUUGAAAAAGAACUAGGUUUGGGGGAGAGAUUAGUUCAACAUACUUGUAAACUCCCAUUUGGGGCUCAUUCCUUUGCAUCUCUACAGGUUAUAAUUUUUUGCAAGUGGAGGGCUCUCAAGGAGCCACGUGCCCAUUCAUGGUUGGUUGCUGUGGAAUCAGCUUAGUGGAGUUGAUGGACGAAUGGGAAAGCAACACGUAUGAAAGGAUAUGCUGGGGAUUUUGCAAGCCGUUAGAGGGAGCAGGCCAGCGGUAGGAGAGGGGAGGCGUUUCUGUUGAGGGGCAGCAGGCCAGCUGCAGGUGGUGCGUUUUUCUGGAGGUGGAGUGCUUUUCAGGUGGGGCUUUUCCAUUAGAGGGAGGCUGCAGAGAUCUUUGAGAGGGAGCUUUUGGUUUGGUUGUUUCGGGGAAGAAAGCUGGUGGGAGAGAGGGGAGGCCUCCAUUGACGAUUGCGAGAGAUAUUUUUGGGGCCUCAGGGAAAUCUUGACAGGAGGGAGCUUUUUUUUAUUUGGUGGUUUUUGAGCUUAGGCUGCCGGAGAGAUAUUAGAGGGAGAGUGUUUUCCUUCUGCAGAAGGAGGAGUUUUUUUUUUAGAGAGGAGAACGAGAGAGAGAGAACAGGGAGGUUUAAGGUUGGAGCAGAGAGGUGAGUUUUGGAGAGCUUAGAGGAGAGUAGAGAGAAACCCAGAGCAAAAAGGAAAUGACAUUUUGGUGGUUGUUGUAGUACAAGGAUGUUUUUGAGGGUGUUCAUUGGGCUUGAGGGGCAAGUUUGAGGGGAAGAGAUGAAAGAAGAUGCUGGAGGCAAGUCUUGCUGAGGGUUAUUUUUGUGAGAGGAAAAAGUUUUGAGGUUAAGGAAGGAGCCAUAGUCUGGAGCAGAGAUCUUGAGGAAAGUAAAUGAGCAGAGGAAGGAUAUCUUCAGCUGUUUAGAGAGAGUUCAUGAAAGCUGUUUGAAGAAAGACACAUAGGAAUAGCCUUGGAAGAGGGUGAUACAGGUAUUGUUCUUGUAAUAUGAGGAUUCUUUUGUGUUCAUGGCAUUUUAUUAUGUUUACUGGUUAUCAUGAGAUUCUAUCUUGACAUAUGAAUGCAAGCAGGUGAAACUCCUACCUAUGUUCUCUCAAUAUUUGUGUUCGCUCACCCUCAUCCUGCGUUUGGUUUCUAACUUGUCAUCUGGACUCUGUUUUAUGAGUUGUCGGUCAUUUUGAUUUAAUUUCUCUUUGCAAACUAUUUGAAACCUAUUUUUUUUCUUUAUCCACCUCUGCGUCGUGAGCUCGUUAAUUGAAAUAUGAAACGCAGCUUUCAUGAGCCCCUUUUUGUUCCUGCUCUGUGCUCUGUUUUUGCCACCCUCCUCUGUUCUUGGUAUUUGAUCAUGGGAGGUUGCCCCUUAUGUGUGAAGAAGAGAGUAUUGGCUUGAUAGGUCUGGAUUCUCAAGUCGUCCAUAGUGGUAGAGGACGUAUUCUGGGGAUCAGAUCCAUGACUUUGUUGCGUUUUUGUUGAUUGGAGGAGUGACAAUUUCCCAAGGGCAUGUAACGCAUGUGCUGGUGACUAUGGCAGAUGACAAUGAUGACAUUAACGGACUAUGACCACUAUUUUGGAGCCAUGGCUUGACACAUGGCAUCGCGUAGUGGAUUGGUUGAUACUAUUGAGUGGCCCAUUAAUAUCGAUUAUCCUGAUCAAUAACAAAGGGAAACUGAGCAUAUCAACCAGCUUAUCUCUUCUCUGUCUGAUGAGAUACCUCAUAUACAGACCUUCAAAGGGAAAUGGGCAGUUAUCAGAGGCAAGCUGAGUGAUCUCAGGACCCAAGUGGCUGAUUUUGGUGACUUUCCUGGGUUCAAGUCCAAUCCUCUUUCUAUGGAACUCAUGCAGUCCAUUUCGCAGACCCUACAAGACGCCGUUUUGGUGGCUUCGAGGUGUAGAGAGUCUGAGUUGUCUCAGGGGAAGCUCAAGACCCAAAGCGAUAUAGACUCGAUUUCCGCGAAGCUGGACCGUUUGAUCAAAGAUGGUGAGAUCUUGAUAGGGAGUGGAGUGCUUCAAGAUGGGGUAUUAGUGGGUUCGAAGAAAGAAGUAGUGCGUCACUUACAUGAAGACAUGCCUCAAAUUGUUGACAUCUAGCUCAUUGGGGAGACUAUCCGAGUUUUUGAGACUUACCUAGCUGAGUAUUGAUGUUGAAACGGAGAUGCGGUUUAGUAGGAGCGGCAGUCAUGAUUAGCAAGAAGGUGUGGUAUUGUCAUGCAAGUUCCCUGGGUUUGAGUUUAUGCUUUCUGAAAGGUGGUUGUUUAAUUAUGAUACUGUUCCACCAUGGACUCUUAGAUCUGGUGCAGUGAUAUCUGCUGCUUUUCUUUGGUUGAGCUUUUAGCUCAAUUAUUCAAGGAGUGAGAUGGGAUUGGACUUUAAAUUCUGAUUUGACCUUCUAUCCAUCCCAAUCAUGCAUGCAUAUAGGGCCAUCCUCCAUAAUACCCGCAUUCCCAUUCUUCAAAUAUCCAUUAUUCCACCCUUCCCACUACCUAUUCCACCCAUGACGCCCAUUUCCUCCAUUCAUUACACCCAUCUGCUAUAACCCAUUCCACAUAGCCAUAUCCUUUAUGCCCACCUUCUCACUACCCGUAUAUAUGCUUCAUAGCCUUCAUCCCUAUUCCCAUGCAAAUGCCUCACUAACUCUCUAAUGCCCAUCUCACUCAUUCUUUUCAUCACCACCCCACCUUCAUUAUUUCAUACCCAUUUCUAUUAUCACCAUUCUCUCUCUACACCACCAUGCACCAUGUCAUUCCUCAUCUGCUCAUCAUAUCCAUGUACCAUAGCUAACCCUACAACCAUAUUCACGUCAAAUUUUCUUCCAUGCAAACCCAUUUUCUAUAAAUCCCAUGCGUGUUGCUACCCUUACUCACCUACAUCAAUCUCUCCCCCUCAUUGUCAACACUGGUCAUCUGGAGUCUGUUGGUCCAUGUUCUUAGGCAGCCUUUCAUCACCGGAGUGUCACGGGUCUGGAAGUUGUUUCCCUUAUCACUCACAUUUGGAAAGGUAUAUGUAUUGGGCUACUUCCAUCUUUGUUGCAUUGGGCCUGUGUUGCUUCUUCUAUAUUUUGGGCGCAUGGCAACGAUGUGGUUUCGGGAAGGGAGACAGCAUGGACAUUGAAGUCACCAAACAAGCGGACUGCCGUUUCUCUCCAAUUUGAAUUUUGAGACUCGUCAUGAAGAUGAAGCAGGAGAAUGAUUGCUGUCGUACAGGGUGAAGUAAGCUCCUAAAAUGAAUCCAGUGUUUUAGGAUAGAUAUUGUUGUUGACGGGGUGGCAAUUAGAUGUAGUUGCGGAACUAGCUGCUCCCAAAGAAGAUAUGAAUCUGACUUGUUUGUUGAAUCAGCAGCUUGUGUAGCAACAGAACAACCCCUUGCUUGCUCUAUUAGGUCCAACUGGAAACAAAUUGAAGAGUAAGGGUGCUACUUUAAUCCUCAAAGCAUUGGAAGGAUACCAAGCACAGUUCGGCAAGAUCAGUUGCAAGCAAUCAUGGAUUUGACCUACUAAACAUCAAUGGUGAUUCCGCCAAAGUGUCAUUGUGUGAAAUAUAGGGGGAUGACUUGAGUCAAUACCUGGGCAACCUAUUGUUAAUCCACCCUCACCCCAUGCAAGUCUGGGCUCGUCUUUUAAUCCUGAAUAUAUUUGGGUCAAUGGACGCCUCCAGGGUAUUUUGAUGUACCCAUUAAUGCGAGCUGAUCAUCCACUCAAAGUCUCGAGAUGGCGGGUCAAUUUCUGGAAAGGGUAAUUGAAGAGGAAACUUGUGCAUAUAUAGACAGAAUGGGACUCUGUUGCAAGGAAAUUUAAUGAGGACGUGAACGUUAAGUUCCUAGGCUUCAAAGGAUUUGGAAACUUAAGUUGUGCAGAGAUGACACCCCCUAUUUGCCAGCAUUUUGAGACCAGAGGCACAAAAUCAAGGCGGAAUUGGAAAGUCUUUUAUUAGUGCCCAAGUCAAGGACAGUUGACAGUUAUUUGAUAUUCCGAGAAGCUUGGGAUAGGAUUCUUCCCUCAUGAUCUUGAAUGGGUACAUGACAAUAGUACCAGUCUUCAACCCCAGGGUAUUCUUACCCUGGACCCACUCUUUAAGCUUCUUAGUUGCAUGGCCACCUUUGGCAUGCAAUUUUGGACCACUUGUCCUUGCUCCAUUUUUUCUCUUUUUGAUUUUAAAAAUAAUCUUCCUGGAAUCAAAUACCAUCUUGUAAAUAUUUUUUUCAAAUUCUGAUUUUCAAAUGAUCCAAAAUUUCCCAUUUUCCAUCCUUAGAAUUUUUGGAUACCGAAACCUCAUUUUCAAUAAAAAUUCGGUUGCCAUUUUUUCUUCCGGCAAGCCACUUUUGCAUUUUCUUUAUUUUUAAAAUAAGUAAGAAUUAAAUUCCGUAAUUCCAAGUGAUGGAAGUUAUGGAAUUGAUUCAUGCAAAAUAGAUCGGGCUUUGGUGGGGGCCCAACAUCAAAUAAUUUUUCUUUAAAAUAAAAAUGAAUUUUGAGUGAAGUGUUAUGCGUGCCUUUGAUGAUUUUGUGCUUGAUUUUGUGACAUGUGAGUUAUGUUUAUACUCUUUGUUUUGCACUAACCCUUUCUCUUGAUAGCGCAUAGUGGCUCGCUGCACAAGUACACACUCAUUCCCACUCUGAUUAGUUUAUAUGCAUUUUCUGACUCUCGUAUGUGCAUGUUUCGCUCUGAGUAUUCAUUGAUUUCCUCAUCAUCGCCAUGUUAGCUUCAUUCUAUUAGUAGAGACCCGACUUUAGGGACUUAGAGGGGUGCUACGGUCUUUACCGUACCUUCCCGAUAAGUAACCUGACCCCCGAACCCGAUCCGGUUUUCACAGACCCCCUUUUCCAAAAUAAGGAGUCGCACUUAGGGUUUUUCUUUCUUAUUUUGUUUACCCUUUAAAAAUAAAACAAAAAUAAGUGGCGACUCCAAGUCAUUUUUGAAUAAAUAAAAUCAAUUUUUUCAAAUAAAAAUCGAGCUCGCCAUUCGAGUGGGAAACGCAUUCGAGCGAUCUAAAUGCGGGGUCCACAAUACUAUAUUUGGAAACUAAUAAAUAACACUUAGAUUUUUGUGGAAGAGUAAGGUUUGACCCUUUGGGAGUGGAAACUCUUUUAAAGCUUAAAUUUGCAUAAUGCCUUCUCUUUAAGAAUUGUGAUUAGACAAGUUAUUUGAUAACUCUUGUUGAAGUUUGAGUUUUAUUUCUUUAAUGUUCCAUGUGAGAGUUAGAUCAUCAUGGCACUUGAAAAUUAUUUUUUGAUCAACAUGAUGUUGUAAAUUAUAGUACUGUUUAUUUUUAUUUUUCUAUCCUUCAUUGCUAAGGGAAUAGCAAUAUGUCGGUUGGGGGGAGUGACUACUACUCAAAAAGUGCUAUUUCAUAGCUUGUAAUUAACUUUUUUAAAUACUUUUGAGUAGUAGUUAUCACCUUUUAACCCAAUUAACAUAUUAAGGACCCUUGCAAUCAAUUCUAAUCAAAUUGUGUUAAGUUUUGGUGUUUUGAUAGCCUUUUGAUCACCAAAGCAAUCCGAGAUUGAGGAGAGUUUUUUAGGAAUCCAUGGCAAAAGAUGUCCGGACAGGGCGUCCGGACACACCAUUGGAGAGCGGCGGAACGUGGGCUGUAGCAAGGCUUGCUCACUUUAGUCAAUGUUUUCCAUCCGGACAACAUAUCCGGAUAGGAUAUGCUAUCAUCCGGGAGAGGGGUCCUUACACCUUGCACACGCAGACGGUCCCCCUUGCGUAGCAUAGCUCAGUCCAUCCGGGGAGGAAUUCCGUGCGCCGACAUUUUACAUCCGGAUAUCUCACAGCCGGAUAGGAGAGGAGGACGUUUCAACUUCUCCGGUCAGACAUAUCUAGAUCCUGUGAUAGCGUUCACCCAGAGAGCAUCCACGACCGACAUUUCAGAUUACCCGGAUUUUGCAUAGUGCCGCGGUGUUCUCUUGAAGCUUCCCAAUAUUUGCCACCAACUAAGUUAGAUUUUUUCUCUUAAGAUAUUUUGUGUAAAUUUCUAUUUUCUCCUUGUAAUCAGUCAAAGAUAUUAUUGGGAUAUUUCUUAGAAAAUAUCUUCUCUAUAUAUAUCUUUGAACCAUUGUAAAGAGGAGAGAUAUAUUAUAUAUAUAUGAAACCAACGAGCAGAGCACUUGCUCUAUUUUUGUUCUUCAUAUUUUUGUUUUCUCGUUAGUUUUCUUUCUAGCCAAUCAAACUCUGAGGAUUUUUCCUUAGAGGAUGAGAGGCUAGGCUCUUUGUCUCUUGGAGUGAAGAAAGCCGGGUAAGUUUCUUCAUGCAUAAAAUGAAAGUUUUGUUGUUUUAGUUUUUAAUGAAGAGAAAGUGUGACCCGUUAAUGGUUUUUAUCUUUUUAGUUAACUUAAAACGCCUUUAACUCACCUAGGCCAACACUUGAUAAGGCAAGUGAUCUCCAUCCAUUGAGAUGCACUUGUUUAUCUCUCGCGAGCCUUGGGGAGGUGGUUUAGAGGUAGGAUUUUCUAGAAUUGCCAACACUUGGUAAGCUUUUGGACUCUAAGGAGACAUCCAUUAGUUAUCUCUUGCGAGCUUGAGAAGGGAAGUCCAAAGUUAAAGAUCACCUUGAAUGGCAAAUGUUAGGUGAGAGACACGAGCCAUUGCAAGUUGCAUCAGUGAGAGGGAUUUAAUGUUUGAACCCAUUAAAGGGAAGCAUCUGUACCACACCGGUUAGAGAAUUAACUAUAUGUUAAUUCUCUAAUGCGAGGAAAAGAAACAAGUGACCAGAACUCUCCUUUUUGUAUGAGGAACCUGAGCCUAGUGAUCUAAAUUCUAAGAAACACUUUUGUUUGUAGUUAAAAUUAGUUACUAUUUUUGGUUAGCUUAAAACCAAACCUUUUUCAUUCAAACAUCUUUAUGUUUUCUUUUAAAGCUAACUUUGAAAUGAAAAGGCACCAAUUCAUCUUUGAAAUAAUAUCAAUUGUGGAGUGAAAACCCAUCCCAGUGAACGACCCUAGAGCCACUACGCUAUGCUAGCUAAGUGUCACAAGAUGCUUCAAAUGACCCUCCCCAUGGCUUAUAUAGGAGGUGAGAAGCUUCUAGAGACCCUUGGAGACAUCCACACGUAGCCACUAGUGGGAAGAGUGUGGAAGGUUCUAGAAAUGCCUAGAGAAGUCCACACAACUCUACACUAUGGUAGAAGGCAUGAGAAGGGUCCAAAGCUUUCUAGAGAAAUCUAGAAGUCUCUUGAAUAUUCUAGAAUAGUGUAGGACAUUCUAGAAGUCUCUUGAAUAUUCUAGAAUAGUGUAGGACAUUCUAGAAUAUUCAUGAAUUGUAAGGAACCCUCCAAGGUUCUAGAGAGUUCCAUUGGUGCCUAUAAAUAGGUGAGGGCCUCAUUUGGCCAAGGCACCAAGCAAGUGAGCAUCCAAGCACUUGUAAAGGCUUUCUUGAGAUAAUAAAGCUUCCAUUCUUUAAGGAGUUGCCUACUAAGCUCUUAAGCUUUCGAGUCGCUAGUGUCUUAGCCGAGCAAGCUAAGCAUUGGGGAUCAAGGCUGACUUAGCAAGAUCAAGCGUCUUGACUUGCCUAAGUGCCGCACGAGCUUAGUGAACGACUAAGUCCGUGACAAGUGGUAUCAGAGCACGGUUACAAGGUGGGCAUAGCAAAGGAAGCAUGUCGGGUUCCAACGUGGAGGAGACUAGCGAGCAAACCCGUUGGAGGGAGACCGAGCCUACUGCACGGGGCAGGGGCAGAGGUAAGAAGGAUACAUCUCGUGAUGUUGUUGCCAACAUGGAGGCAAGGUUAGCCAAGGUGGAGCUAGCCAUGGCAGACACCCGGGAAGGGGUGGACUUGAUCGAGCAAGGCAUGGAGAAGGGCUUAGAGGAUCUAAGGGAGCAGAUCCAAGACCUUCGCGAGGGGGUGCUGGUCUCGCAAGUUCAGUCGGUGUCACACAAGGAGUUCAUGUCCUUCCAAGACAAGGUCAUGAGCAUGUUCGCUAGUGUGGAGUCAAGGAUGGAGGCCUUGACUGCACGAGUGGAGGCCCGAGACCAAGAGAUUCGACAAGAGUUGGCCAUCUAUAAGACCGUUGUAUCAGCUCGGGUCAUGGCCACACAGGAGGCAUCUAGGGUGGAGGUGCCGAAGCCACAUAGGUUUAGUGGCAAGCGGGAUGCCAAGGAGUUGGAUAACUUCUUAUGGCAUAUGGAGCGAUACUUCGAAGCUAUCGCAUUGACGGAUGAGGCGGCUAAGGUGAGAACUGCGACCCUCUACCUUACUGACACAGCUACUCUAUGGUGGCGUCGAAGGUUUGCCGAUAUGGAGAAAGGCAUUUGCACCAUAGAGACGUGGGAGGACUUCAGGAGGGAGAUCAAGAGGUAGUUCUACCCGGAGGACGUGGCUUACCUGGCUAGGAAAAACAUGCGGCGUCUUAAGCACACAGGCUCAAUACGCGACUAUGUCAAGGAAUUCUCUUCGCUCAUGCUUGAGAUUCCUAACAUGACUCAGGAGGAGUUGCUAUUCAACUUCAUGGACAACCUGCAAGGGUGGGUCGAGCAGGAAUUAAGGCGCCGAGGCGUUCAAGACUUAGCCACUGCUAUGGCAAUAGCAGAAUCUUUAACGGAUUAUAAGAGGGGAGACUCCUCCAAGGAUGAGUCUUUAGAGGAUAGCCACGCCAUGGGUGGGGGAGACGAGGUUCCAAGGGACCACAAUGCUCCUAAAAAGGGAUCAAGCAAGACGUCUAACGUCUGAGAAGGAAGGGAUAAGGCGGAAAGGAGGGAGUUUACGCCUAAAAUCAAAUGCUUCCUGUGUGACGGUCCACAUUGGGCACGGGAUUAUCCAAAGCGGAAGGCGCUCAGUGCCAUGAUCGAGGAGAGGGAGCAGGAGGACGAAGCACAUAUGGGCUCAAUGCAGCUACUAGGUGCCCUCCAAUUCAACUCGAAGCCUAGUACGCCUGAGACCUCCUUAUUAGCAGGGGUGCAAGUAAAGGAGAGCGAGCUGAGGUAGCCCUUACACACAUGGAAGAGGUCACUAAGGGAAAGGUGAACUCAAUGGGUAAGAGGAAGCAACACUCUAAGCAUCGGAAACGCACGGGUCUGCAUCCAUCUGAAGCCUCACUGGAGAAGGAGGUGAAGAAUAUCCUGGCUGAACGGGUCACCAGGAGACAAGGGGUCCCUCUUGUGAUAGAGUAUCUAGUCCGAUGGAAAGAACUACCUAAGAGGCAGGUAAGCUGGGAACAUGCGGAUGCCUUGAGAAAAUUCUGGAAACACAUCGAGAAGUUUCAGAAUGAGGCAACGACGAGGAUGUCGACGGCUUAGGUGGGGGAGAGUGUCACAAGAUGCUUCAAAUGACCCUCCCCAUGGCUUAUAUAGGAGGUGAGAAGCUUCUAGAGACCCUUGGAGACAUCCACACGUAGCCACUAGUGGGAAGAGUGUGGAAGGUUCUAGAAAUGCCUAGAGAAGUCCACACAACUCUACACUAUGGUAGAAGGCAUGAGAAGGGUCCAAAGCUUUCUAGAGAAAUCUAGAAGUCUCUUGAAUAUUCUAGAAUAGUGUAGGACAUUCUAGAAUAUUCAUGAAUUGUAAGGAACCCUUCAAGGUUAAUAACCUAAACAUCUUACCUCAAUAUUCUUUUAUGAAAAUUUUCAACUAUUGCAGGGUGUCCUUCAUGUCAUUGGUCAUGUUCAGGUCUGAAUAAGUAUGAGUAGUGGUGACAUACUUAAGAUAAUGACCUAUGUAUUUCAAUACAACUUGAAGAAUAUACAAUAAACAAUUUAGCAACAAAUUAGAUUCUUACAAGUUUUAACACAUUAAAUUCAAUAAGCAUAUUAAUUUCAAAGAAGGUUGGUAGCCAAAGGUAGUAAAAUAAUUGAGAUAAAGAAACGAAGAAUGAAGAGAAAUUAAUUUCAACUAAAACAUUAUAAUUAAAUUGAUCUUUUAACUUGACAUGUUAUGAAUCCAUGAAAAAUAAUACAUUGGUAAUACUUUAUUGAUUAAAAGAGUAAAAUAACACCAAAGAUAGAAAAAACUACGUGAUAUGGACAAAGGGUUUAUUUUUGUAACAAUGACCAACAGACUAAAAGUAAAAGGGCCUUGGUGGAGGAAAAAACUAUUAUGUCAAAAUGACUAGUUUCUUUCCUUACAAUUGUAUUUAGAUUAAGGAGCUAGCAUUCAAGUUGAUACCCUGUUUUAGAAAAGGAGGCUUUAGAGGCCUAUAUUAGGGAGAAUGAGGUGCUAUUUUUUUUUCCGUAGGCUUAUUUGUAAGAAGUCUUAAUCUAACUUCCUAUUUUUUAAUGUCAAAGAAAAUACAAGUAUAAGAUAUUUUAAACUUUAAGCCCAUUAGUUUAGGAGGAGGCCUCUACAAAUUUAGAUUGAAAAAAGUUAUAAAGCAAGUGAUCUUAAGGGUCCAAAAUGGUUUUUUUGAGGAUAAACAUAUUCCUAAUGCAUGCACAUGUAACAAGACUAAAGACUUUACAAAAAAGAGUUCGAAAAUGCAUGAAUUUUCAUACCAUUACAACACUAGGAUUUCUACCAAUCUAACUAAUAAGGAUGUGUACAGGAAAUACACAAAGGUUGUGACACCUACCAUGUCUAAUAGUCUUCACCUCUCAAUUUUCCAAUUACACAUCCAUCAAAAUAGAGCAACCAUUGCAUGAUCCAUAUUGAAAACACUACCAACUAGAAGUACCAAGAUAUACAUUAACAAAUCAUGACUAAGAAUAAAUUAUACAAUUAACAUUAACAAAAUAUUCACUAGAUAUUUAGAAUAAUAUGAAGUUAUAUUAGACUACAAGUCAUACAAGGUACCGUCAAGCAUGAGUAAUGAUUAAUUGACUGUUAAUUAAGAUGAGAUUGUCAAUUUGUAAUAAAUAAUAUUUAUGAUUCAAUAAUGUCACUCUUCCUAAAUUAUAGACUAAUAAAUUUUAUUCAUAAUUAAUUUAUUAUUUUCCAAAUAAAAACAAUAUGAAAUAGAAUAAAGACAAAAAGAAAAUUAGGAUUGUUGUUUAAUGUAUAAUCUAGGUUAUUUUGUCAUUUAUAAUCAUUUUAGGAAAUAAGAAAUUUUUAGAAAAAAUAAUAUUUUUUUCAAAUUCGAUAUGAUGGUGACUUCACAAAGAAAGUCAUUCUAUAAAUUAAGGGAUGACUUUAAUAGCUAUUAAUUAUCCUAUUGAUGGCUGUCAUUUCAUCACGUUUUACUAAUGAUGAUCCUUGUAGGUUUAUUUUGUCUAACAUUAAGUAUAUUUUGACAAGUUGAAAACAAAACAUAUAUAUAUAUAUAUAUAUAUAUAUAUUUAAGAAUGUAGGCAGCAUAUUAAUUACCAUGAAAAAUUAAAACCUCCAGCUCACAUCACACUAAUACCUUCACCCAUAUCUUUUCACAUUAGUAAAUACAGUUCAAAUACAAUACCAAAAAACAUGUACAUGCAUGUACUUAGCCAAUAUAAGUCAAUCCCAUUAUUUUAUAUUUUGAUCUCAUUACUUAUAUUUGAUCUUAAUUUCAUUUUGAUUAUUUUAAUCUUAUUACCUAUACCAUCAUCCAACUGUUUACAUUUUAUCCAAAAUUUUUAAUGGUUGGGAUGUAAAAUUCAAUAUGUAUUUCUUUAAGAUUUUCCUAAUAAACGCAUAAUUUCAUAAUAGUAUAGUGGAACUAUAUAGGGAUAUAAACAGGUGGCUCAUUUAGGCUCACUUAGGCCCACUUAGGCACACUCAGCCCAUUUGGACACCCCUAGGCCCUAUAGGCACAUUUGGCUCAUCUAGACUCACUUAGGUCCAUUUAGGUACACUUGGCCUAUCUAGGCUCACUUAGGCCCACUUAAGCCCACUUAGGCCCACUUAGGUUUACUUAGGCCCACUUAAGCUCACUUAGGCCCACUUCGGCCCACUUAGGCUCACUUAGGCCCACUUAGGCACACUAAGCUCAUUUGGACACUCCUAGGCCCUUUUAGGCACAUUUGGCCCAUCUAAACUCACUUAGGCCCACUUAGGCACACUAAGCCCAUUUGGGCACCCCUAGCUUUAGGCACAUUUUUUAAAUGGAGAAAUUAAGUUUUAAAUCAAAAAAUCAGGAUAUUUUUUAAACAAAGGAGUUGACACUUGAAUGUUUAAAAAUAAAAAUAAAAGAUUAAGUUUUUAGAUUGGAAAAUCAUUUUUUUUUAAUAAUGGAAAGGAUAAAUUUCAAAAUAUGAAAAUGAAAUUUUGGAAAUUUGGGAGACUUUUUUGUGGAGGGGAUAUGGAAUUCUAAGAGAGGAGGACUCCUCCAAAGAUACAGGGUUGCCAAUUGCCAUAGAAAAUGGGGGUUGGUGGUUUUGGAGAGUGGAGGAAUUUCUUUUAAAAGGGACUUUCAACACGCACGGGAGGGGGGAAUAGAAAAAAAAGGAAAGAAAAGGAGUGAGAAGACACAGCCGGGAAGAAGGACAUCUUUAAGGGUGGAGAAAACACACAGCCUACCUUGGGAACUUUCCACUACUAGCCGCCACAAGAAAAAUAAAAAAAAGAUCAGAACAUAAGACUCUACAAAAUAAAUCUAAAACAAAUAUCUAGAAGUUAAUUUUUAUCCUGAAAAUUUUCAAAGAACAUCUCCUAUAUAUCUAGUUUACCAUCUAAGUGACCAAAUCAAUUAACCAACCCUCAUUUAGUACCAGAUUUCAUAAUAAUGAUAAAUAGGUCCAGAACUGGGCAUCUUUUUAAGGUGUUCAACAAUUGAUUUUUCUAACUAAAUUCAAGAUGUCCUAAAAUCAUAAAAAAAUUUACAUAGCUAUCUUAAUAUAUAUAUAUUGUAUGAAAAAUAAUCACAGGGCAAUAUCACAUUCAUAACAUACUUAAAAAUAAAUAAACAUCUCUCCACUCCAGAAGAGCAUAUGUGUAGUGGGUGCAAGAAGAAAGAAAUUAUAUCUCUCAUUUUAGAAAUUAUUUAUUGAUAUUUUAGGCAUAAACAAUUAAAUUAAGAAGUCUAGAUUAAAAUAAAAAUAUUCAAAUAAAUCAAAUAAACCAUUUAUUAAUUUAAUUUUUCAGAACAAUACUAAGUGUAAAAAAUAGAGUGAAAAUUGAACCUUCCGAAAGAUUGAUUUAUAUCUUCUAAUUGGAAAACCAUAUUUGACCCAAGAAAUAUUCAAAAAUCAAGCUCAAGGAUUCUAGAAUGUCAUAGAAUAAUUAUACAAAUUUUAAAGGGUUUUUAAGUUACCAAAUUCCAAUUUACGAAUGCAAAAGUACAGUGAAUUAUCCAUAAUUUCAAUAAAUAAAUACAAACUUUGUUUUGAAAAAGACUUAGUAUGUAGGGAUCUAUUAAAUCCCAUUUUAAUUUCCAUGAAUUUAUCCAUGAAGACUCCAUUGAUUGGAGUUAUGAAAUUUAAUUCACGUAUAUUCAAAACCAAAAUUCAUUUUAAAUUUUCUUUUUCAAACUAUGCAUACCAAAUAAAAUUGGUUGCAUGAAUUUUUAGAAAAUUGAAUUUUCAUAACCUAAGAAUGUCCAAGACAAAUUUGGAAAAUUGAGAAUUAAUUUUUAGAAAGGUAGCUUGAUAAGAAUUUUGAAAUUACUAGCAAACACAAAUAAUCACAUAAAGUCCCACAACCAAAAGAAGAAAAUUCUUAAGGAGACAAAGUGGUGUGUGCCAAGGGUGAGUGAAGCAUGUUGACUUGUGUGUGAUGACAAUGAAAGUGUGGCUGUUGUGUGUGUGUUCAUAGUAACAACCUGGUGGUCUACUUUUCUAUGCAGCUAUGCAUGCCUUUCUUUAUCAAUUUAGCUAACGUUUGUUCUCCAAAAUUCAACUAGCGGUGUUGGUCUUCACAAGCUUAUGCAAAUUCUCAAAAUUCAGCAAUCUGAUGUGUGCUUGGGCUAGCAAUCUGGUGGUUUCAAAAUCUAAUAGUGUGAUCAUGUGUGAUACGUUCCCAAUUGGUGUCUCAGCUGAUUCAUGUCCUCUUAAUGGUCCCUAACAAUGGAACCAUUUGAUUCGUGUCCACCUGGUGCUCCUUGAUUGUGGUCCUCAGAAGGGAGUAAUCAACAAAAUUUAUAACCUAUUACACCAUGUACUAGGAUAGCCUUAGCUAGCAUAGCAUAGUGGCUCUAGGGUUGUUCACUGGGAUGGAUUUUCACUCCACAAUUGAUAUUACUUCAAAGAUGAAUUGGUGCUUUUUCAUUUCAAGGUUAGCUUUAAAAGAAAACAUAAAGAUGUUUGAAUGAAAAAGGUUUGGAUUUAAACUAACCAAAAAUAGUAACUGAUUUUACUUACAAAGAAAAGUGUUUCUUGGAGUUUAGAUCACUAGGCUCAGGUUCCUCAUACAAAAAGGAGAGUUCCGGUCACUUGUUUCUUUUCCUCGCAUUAGAGAAUUAACAUAUAGUUAAUUCUCUAACCGGUGUGGUACAAAUGUUUCCUCUUAAUGGGUUCAAACACUAAUUCCCUCUCAUUGAUGCACCUUGCAAUGACUCAUGCCUCUCACCUAGCAUUUGCCAUUCAAGGUGAUCUUUAACCUUGGAUUACCUGUCAAAAGCUCGCAAGAGAUAACUAAUGGAUGUCUCCUUGGAGUCCAAAAGCUUACCAAGUGUUGGCUAUUCUAGAAAAUCCUACCUUCAAACCACCUCCUAAAGGCUCGCAAGAGAUAAACUAGUGCAUCUCAAUGGAUGGAGAUCACUUGCCUUACUAAGUGUUGGCCCAGGUGAUUUAAAGGUGUUUUAAGUUAACUAAAAACAUAAAAACCAUUAAUGGGUCACACUUUCUAUUCAUUAAUAAUUGAAACAACAAAACUUCAAAUUCUUGCAUUUGGAAACUUACCCGGCUUUCUUCACUCCAAGAGAUGAAGAGCCUAGCCUCUCAUCCUCUGAGGAAAAAUCCUCAGAGUUUGAUUGGCUAGAAAGAAAACUAACGAGAAAGCAAAAAUAUGAAGGAAAAAUAGAGCAAGUGCUCUGUAAAAUAUAUUUCUUCCUUCUGCCGAUUACAUGAUUUUUGUCUCUGAGAAAAAACUCCUGAGAUUCGAUUAUAUAUAAGGGGUUAUUCACCCUUUGUUCUUACUUAAAGACUAAGGAAUCCUAUGAUAAGUGGGUUACAAGGAGAUUUUGGGGAUUUAGACAUCAAAUAUCUAAAGCAAAAUAUCUCAAAAUGUCGGUCGCAAAUAUCAGGAAGCUUCAGGAGAACACCGUAGUUGUGCGUGCAAGAGGGCUGUGAAAUUUCGCAGCAAAAGGACAACAUUUUCGCAGCCCAAGGCUGAUUUCACAGUCGUGCAAAAUCUGCCUUCAGCUUGGAGUGAUUGGCUUCCAAUGGCUGUAACUCCUUCAUUUCAACUCCGAAUCAUGUACCAUUUGAAGUAUUAGAUUUUUGACUUCCUGAGAUUCGAAACGACAUAUAGCAUGCAUAAAUUGAACUCCAAGAAGUGCUCCAAAAGUGGCUGACAUGACUGUCAUCUAGAAUGCUUCAUGUUAUAUUUCUCUUUGCUUCCCCUCCUUGCAUUCUGGAUUUGCUUAUGGCAAAGGACUUCAAAGCUUCGGUUCUUCAUGUUUCUGAGUUCUUCAUUGCUUUGCCAUGGAUUCUAAAGAACUCUCCUCAAUCUUGGAUUGCUUUGGUUAUCAAAUUACUAACAAAAACACCAAAACUUACACAAUUUGAUUAGAAAUGAUUGCAAAGGUGCUUAAUAUGUUAAUUGGGUUAAAAGGUAAUAACUGCUACUCAAAAUUGUUUAAAAGAGUUAAUUACAAGAUAUAAAAUAGCACUUUUUGAGUAGUAAUCAAUGUGCUUGUUGCUUUUCUCCUCACAACCAUGCACUAUCAACUUACCUUUCUACCAUUAACAAUUCGUACACAAUCAGUUUGCCUUCCCAAAGUUCUAAAGACUUCCCUUUAAAAUUUCUAAUAAUUAUUUUAUUCCCAUCAAAUUUCAAAUAUGCCACUAACUGCUACCUCUCUAAUACCUUCUCAUCUUCUUCGCUUCAAGCCAAAACCAUGCACUAAAUUUAUGUGACUCUCUAGAACCUUUUGUCAAUUUUUUUUUUUUUACAAACUGUGCACCAAACGAUCUUCAUUCUAGAAAAAACCGGUGCUAACACCAAUCCCCACCAUGUCCACAAUCAACUCGGGCGUUCCCUAUGGUGUGUGUUUGGAGCCCUUUUCAAAGGUACAAAAUUGUUUCUCUUUUAUGGCAGUAUGCUAGCGUGAAUAGAGAUGCCCUCUAACAAUCAACAAGAGAAUAGUUCCUAAGCCUUCCUAUCAAGAGUUUUCUCAAUCUACAUAAAUGGUAAUUGUCUACACUAAUUUCUAAAUACUUAGCCCCUCUGAUUAUGGGUUGAUGAACACCCAUUUGAACAUAACGACCACUUUCCCUACCUUACGUACAAUUUUGCAGUUUCCUUUCUCUAUAAAUACUAGAUUUGGACCAGAUGUGACAUUUGGCAUGCCCAAGGGCAUGGACUAGAAGCAAAGGAAAGCAACAAAAAAUAGGGCAUGAAUGGGUAAAACAAAAUGAACUAACAAAAGCCACAUUUCAUACCUAAUCAACAAAUCAAGAAUAGGUAAUAAAAACUGAGAGAAGUAAUAUGAUUAUCAAAUACUAAACCUAAAGGUAAAUUUAUCGAUUUACAAAGGGAAAUCAAAGAAUCCAAAAUGUGACCAAAACAGAGCAUGUAUGUAGACAAUUAGAUUCAGUCAAACCAACCAAAUAACUUUUGAUGUCCACACCAAAUCAACAAGACAACACUCAUAAAUCUGCAUAAAAUAAAAUAAAAUAGUAUUGAAAAUGAGGAAGAAAUGAAGAUCUUACUUGGAAGGCUCCCUCCUUGAAGUUGUUGCAUGUUGAAGAUCUUAGAGUGAGCAGUGUUUCUUCUCCACUAUAGCCCCUAUAAUUAGGGCAUGAUUUUCAAGGGGAAACUCAACCAACAUCAAAGCACUUGCAAUAAAUGAGGAAUAUGGAGUUGAAAGAGUGGAGAAUCACUUGAUUUUUUGCUCAAUGGUGGAAUUUGUAAGAGAAGAAAGGAGUUUUAGUGCUUAUUCUCUAUUAUGAGAGUCACAAAAUGGAGAUUCAAAAAUGAUUUCCAGAUUUUUAUACUCAAGAUCUCACACUAGGGCUUGGAAACGCACCGUGUGACAAGAUUUCCAGUGUCAAGAGCCUCAUCUAGAGUCAUUGAUCGAUAUUGAUUGUAGUUAACUAGGCUCCAAGGGUUUGUCGGGGUUUUGAAAAAAUGGAGGGAAUGUUUGGCGUACUAUGAAGUCGUGGGUGAGAAUGGGAAAUAUGUGAGCCAUAUAUAAAGGUGUUAUUUUGAUGUCACUUUUAUAGAGCACCAAGGUAAAAAUAAAUAAUAAAGACACUUAUAGAAAACCUCGUGCUAUAGGAAGCAUCAUUAUCCCUCAGCAUAAAGCGCCAUGGUCUAACAUUUUCCUUUUAAGCGUCAACUUCGACCACUUAUUUACUCAAUUGCCCCUCUAAAAGCCAAGUGACGACAUUUUUUUUGAAGCGCCACAAAUUGUGUUUUUUGUAGUAGUGUGGAGGUCUUCCUAUACCCUAUUUAACAUAAUAUAACCUUGCGUACAUGCUUUAGAAAAAUAAGUAAAAGUUUAGAAAAGUAUUUACAUUUGAUUUGAGUUGAAUCAUUCCCUUAUUCGACCUAUUUUGGGUCUAAACUUUAACUUAUGUAAGCCUCGUGAUGCUUUCCUAAACCUUAUUUAGCAUGGUAGAACCCUAGAUACAUCAUUUACAAAAAUAAGUACAUUCUUAAGAAAAAGUACAUCAUUUACAAUAAUAAGUAUAUUCUUAAAAUAUCUAUAUAUACAUACAUUCAUAAGGAAAAUACAUACAUUUGAUUUGAGGUUAAUCAUGACCUAAUUCAACCUAAUUUGGAUCUAAGAUUUGACUUAUGAUGCCUCAGAAUGUAUUUUAUGCCUUCCAAAACUCCGUUCAACAUGAUAGAAGUAUAGGUACAUUCUUUAGAAAAAUAUGUUCGAAAUCUGAAUUUUCCUAUUUGAGGUCUCUUAUAUAUAUUUAUGUAAUAUAUAGUUGUAAAUUAGAUUAGAAAAAUGUGUAUAACUGUAAAUUAUAUUAGGAAGAACAAUCUUUGAUUUAUAAGGAUUUACUUGAUUUAUAAGGAUUAUUAGUUUUCUUUUCCUUUAAUUUUUUUUGUAAAUAUAAGAUAUAAAUUAAGAUCGUAACAAGUAAUUGAAUAAGAAUCUUUUACCAUUUUCUCUCACAUGGUAUUAGAGCCACUUUGACAUCCUUCAUUAGCCUUCAUUGUUGAUUUUAGUUCAAGUUUUUUAGCCUUCACUGUUGAAGAUUUCAAGCCUAAUUCUUUCAACCUUCAUUGUGUGUUUUGUUUAUUUCUUUUUACAUAUUUCAUCCAUUCUACCUGCAAUUUCUGGGAUUUCACCAUGUCUAAGAUGUAUGAUAUUUCUUUUAAAACUAAUUUCAUAAUUUAAAUUAAUGAUUUAAAAAAAUAAAAAUGUUACGAAAAUAAUUUUUAUUUAUUUUUAAUUCCAUUUAAAUAUGAUUUUUUUAAUCUCUACUAUUAUGUUUAUAAGAGCAAAAUAGUAAAAAUAUAUAUUCCAUUUAGUUUACUUGUAAUGAACAAUUCAAACAUGAUUAAUUUUAAUUUUAUUUCCUAUGAGUUAAUUUAGGUAGGGAAGGUCUUAAUGGCAUAGUUUGGUUUUUUUUUUUUUUUUUUUUUUUAAAAAUGUCAAGUUCAAGUUGUUUAAAAAUUGUACAAAACCUAUUAGGAGCCUUGUACACCCUUGUACACUUAACACAUUUCCUUUAUAAAAUUAGUGUAAUACCCUUGUACAGUAAUGCAAAUUCCAUAUCCCUCCUAAGUUAUGUGUCCAUAUAGGUGUGUUAACCAUAUUUUCAAUGGUUUGGUUGAGAAAAUGAUGGAUGACUUAGGGUCAAACAUCAUUAUUGGGGAAAACAUUGGAAUUCCAUGUGGGAUUUAAAUAAAGUACAUGACAUGGGUAUACAAUCCUUCGGCGACAAGGAAAAUAAAGGAGUGGCUCAAAAUUGAUUGAAAUCUUUCAUAAAGGGUAAUCUUGUACACCUUGUACACUUAGUAUAUUUCCCUUGUAUAGUUAGUGUAACACCCUUGUACAAUGACACAAAUUCCAUAUCUCUCCUAAUUUAUCUGUCAAAGUAGGUGUGUUAACCAUGUUUCCAAUGGUUUGAUUGAGAAAAUGUUGGAUGACUUAGGAUCAAAUUUUUUUCCCUAAACAUCAUUACUAGGGAAAGUAUUGAAAUUUCCAUGUGAAAGUUAAAUAAAGUGUAUGAUAUGAGUGUACAAUUCGUGGGUGAUAAGGAAAAUAAAAUGAGUGGUUCAGAAUUGAUUGAAAUCUUUUACAAAGGGUAGCCUUGUACACCCUUGUACACUUAGUGUAAUACCCUUGUACAGUUCGUGUAAUACCCUUGUACAGUAGCACAAGUUUCACAUCCCUCCUCUUAAGUUACACAUAAGUGUGUUAGCCAUGUUUCCAAUGGUUUGGUUGACAAAAUGGUGGAUGGCUUAGGGUCAAAAUCUUUAUCCCAAACAUCAUUAUUGGGGAAAGUACUAGAAUUUCCAUGUGGGAGUUAAAUAAAGUGCAUGACAUGGGUGCACAAUCCGUAAGUGAUAAAGAAAAUAAAUAAGUGGUUCAUAAUCGAUUAAAAUCUUCCACAAAGAGUAGCCUUGUGCACCCCUUAUACAGUUAGUGAAUGCCCUUAUAUAGUGACACAAAUUCCAUAUCCUUAUAGUGAAUGUGUGCUUAUAGGUGAAUUAAACAUGACUCUAGUAGUUUGGUUAAGAAAAUGGCAGAAAACUUAAAUUCAACUUUUUGUGUGAAUAUAUUAUAUUUUUGUGAAAAAAAAAAAUACACAAUUGGCCAAUUCCUUUGUUUAAUUGUGAACAAAUUAUAUUUUUAUUUUAUUAUUAAAAUAACUAAUAAAAAAAUAAAAAAGAAUAAUUAAUAAAUGAAAUUUAAUUCUUUUUAUUGUUUUCAUAUAAAAAUAGUACUAUACAAGGUUUUCAAUUUUCAAAUUUAAAAAUAGUUUUUGUUUUUUUAAUUAAAUGUAUUUUCAAAAAGAGACAAUAUAGAAAAUAAAAAAUUGUUUUAAAAAUAAAAAUUAGAAAAAUAUUUUAAAACCAAACUCAAACAUAAUCUAUAUAAUUUUUAACUACUUGUUUUCAUCUAAAAUGAGUAAAUAUAUCAUUCAACCCUUUUAUAUAAGAAAAAAAAUCAAUCUCUACUAUACUAUAUAUUGAUAUAAUUCACUUCUAAAAUUAGGUCAUAUGAAAACAUUUUAAUUAGAUAUUUAAAAUAAAAACUCUCCAUCCAUCCUCUUUCUUUCUUUUUCUUUUUCUUAUUUUGAUAAAUUUUCAAUUAAUUCAAAUUAUUAAAAAAAAAAUCCUUAGUAAACAAAUUUGCAACAUUUCAUAUAACUUAUUACCAAAAGUCAUCUUCAAAAAGUUAUUAAAAUAAGGAAGGAAGAAGAUUAAAAGAAAAUUUAAACUUUUUAUUUUAUAAUAGUAAAAAAUAAAUUUUAAAAUACUUUUUAGUAUAAAGGGAAAGAAAAUAGUGAAUAUUUUUAUUUUAAAUAGUAUUUUAAUCAUUAAAUUAUUUACUUCUAAAAUGUAAAAGAUAUUUUUUAUUUAUUUAAAUUAACAUUUUUUGAGAAAGUAUUUUCCAAAAUAGUUUUUGAAUCAUUAAUAUAAUUUUGGUUUAUUUAUAAUUUUAAAAUAGAAAAUAAUGUUGAUUUUUCAAUUAUUUAUAAAAGAGUUUAAAAAAAUAAUGAAAAAUAAAAAAAAUGGUUAAAUAAAGAUGAAUUUGUUAAUAGUAGCAUAUGGAGAGUUGUGGAAUGAAGACAAAAAUGAGUUAAAAUGAUAUUUUUGUCAAUUACUAUUUCAUAUCCUUGUAAUCAAUUAUAGGUGAGAGGAAUACCUUACAUCAAUUAUCAAACACCAGCACAAUUCUCCCCUAGAUCUAUAUUGCCCAUAGAUUUGUAUGCUAAUACUAAAUAAAAUGAAAAUAUAUUUAUCACAUAAUUUUUAUGUUUAUGUUAUAUUCUGUUUUAAAUUUUUGUUAAAAGAAAUCAUAUUAUGACAAUAGUAAUAGAUGAGAAAAAAACCAAACAUAAUACAUAUGGUUCACUCUCAAAUGUGGGAGACUUGUCACUUUGUUGUUCCAAAAUUUCCACUAUCAUAAAAAAAAAUAAAAAAUAAAAAAUGUGUGAUCUCACCUCUUACAUGCCUCCUCUAUCAUAAAAUCAAAAUAAUUGAAUGUGGUUCUGGCUUCACCAUGGUUCUAGUUUUUUUGCUUGAUUAAAAUUUUAAGUUUUCUGUUUAUAUCAAAAUAAAAUAGAAAUAUAUUUUUUCAUAAAAAAUUGUAUUAAAUAUUUUAUAUUAAUUUUCUUUUAGUUUUAAAAUAUUAUUACAACUCUCUACUCUUAAAAAAAUAAAAGACAAAAGAUUUAGUUUCAAUUUGGUAACUAUUUUAAAAAAUAAUUGUUUUUUUAAAAGAAAAACCAAGAAAACAUGUUUGACAACUAAAAAAAAUAUGAAACAAUUUUUUUUUUUUUAUCUUAAAAACAAAAAUAUGGUAUUUUUUGAAAACGUCUUUUAGUCGUUUUCACUUGGGUUUUUAGGGCUAUUUUUUUUAAAAUAAGUAUACAAAUAUGGAGAAUGAUUAAAAAUAAAACACUACAUAUAAAAUUUAUUGUUAAAAUGUAUUUAAAAACAUAGAAAACAAGUUAAAAAUAUUUCAGGUUUCAAAACAAGCUUUUAGUCUACAAAAUAUCAAAGACCAAAUUUCAAUAACUGUUCUUAAAAACUAUUUUUUAAAUUUUUUAAAAAAAAACACUUCCUAAACAAAGCUAAUAUAACUCAAUUUUGCUUCACCAAAAUUUGAAAAAAUAAAAUAAAAAUUUUAUAUUUCAUUAAUUUUAGUUCAAAAAAUAAAUAAUUGAUUUAUUAUUAAGGAAAAAGGUUUACUAGUAAUAUUAAAUGUUUAUAAAAUGUCAACCAUUAUAAGAUAAUGAAAUUAAUUAAAAAAAAAUAUACAUCUAAUAUGUAAUUCUAAUUUGUAGAAAAUAUUUUUUAAUCAACCCCCUCUCUAUUAUUAAUUUAAAUUUUUUAAAAUUGUGUAAAAUUAUUUUUAUAAAUAAUUUUUUUCUUUAACGUAAGGGUAAGGCCACCAAGUGUUUGUUUUUUUUAUUUAUUUAAUAUUUUAUGAUUUUUUUUUUCCUUUUAAAUUAAUGGUAAAUCUUUUUUUUUUUUUUUUUUUUUGAGGUGUUAUACUUUUUUAGGGUGAGUAGUAUGAGAAAAGAAGGUUGAUCUUAAUUAGGAAAACAUUUAAGAUGGGGGGAGCAAGGUUGAAUUGAGUUUUUAAAAUAUCCUUAUUUAAACACAACAAAUUCAAGAAAAGGAAGCACAAAUAUAAAGAGAUAAAGUUAGAGGAAGCAAACAUAGAUUUUAUAGUGGUUCGACACUCCUUGCCUACGUCCACUCCCCUCAAGCUCCUAACUGAGUGAGGGUUCCACUAUCCUUGAAGCUUCAACCAAGCUUCCAACGUCUUUACACUUGAUUCCGAUUCCAAUGGCUCUUACACAAUCCUUCAAGUAUUCACUAACUUGAAGCUUUCUAUUCACACAAUCUCACUUUAAAAUAAUGAAGGAAACUCUUAACCUAGCUUAAUAAAGGCUCAAAUACAAUCGAAAUGCUAGGAAGAAUGACAAGAGUGCACUAAAGAGUAUAAAAGUAAGGAUUUAAUGCAUCAAGGAGAGAAUGAGAUCUUUUAAGAGAAGAACAUGUAGUUAAACAAUUGAAUGCAGGUGUUCUCAUGUUCAUAAAUGAAGUAAAACUCUCAAUUUAUAAGUUUCUAACCACGGGAGCCAAAACUGCCAAAAUGUUAACCUCGACUGGUCAAGUUAGGGGUCAACUGGUUGACUAGUCGUUGGGCAAUAAAUGUAUGGUAGGUGACCGACAGGCCUCGACCACACCUUAACCAGACCUCAACUAGGAAAACCUAUCAUCGAUCGGGAAUGCAUAGCUACUGGAAGAGAGAGAAUACUUUUUGCAUCCCUCAAUCAAUCCUUAACUAGGAAGGCUUAAUCGAUUGACUGGUACCCUAACCAAUUGAGCCGGUUGGAUAGUCCCUUGAUUGAUACACCUAUUUUGGUCCGAAAACCUAUUUUUUUCUAUUCCUUUCAUUUUUAACACUUAGGCAAAGUCUUUAGGAGUAUUAAUAGAUUAAAUUUAAAGCAAUUUGCAUAAGGUUUGUAUAAGAAAACUCAAGGUUUAAUGGAAAUUUAAUUUUAAUUAAUAAACCAAGUUUUUAAAGAUGCAUAAAAAGAUAUGAAAAUCCUAAGUGUACAAAUGCAUUCAUCUUACAUAUGUUUCUUAAGAUUAGAAGGCCUUCUAUAUGUUUCAAUGAUUACUACUCAAAAAGUGCUAUUUGAUAGCUUGUAAUUAACUCUUUUAAACACUUUUGAGUAGUAGUUAUUACCUUUUAACCCAAUUAGCAUAUUAAGUACCUUUGCAAUCGUUUCUAAUCAAAUUGUGUAAGUUUUGGUGCUUUUGAUAGUAAUUUGAUCACCAAAGCAAUCCAAGAUUAAGGAGAGCUCUAUGGAAUCCAUGGCAAAGUAAUUGGAAACUCAUUUACAUGAAGAACCUAACCUUUGAAGCUUUAUAGUCCUUUGCCAUAAACAAAUCAUGAAUGCAAGGAUGAAAGCAAAGAGAGAAAUCUAACAUGAAGAAUUCAAGAGGACAUCAACUGUUUAACACUUUUGGAGAACUUUUUGGAGUCCAUUUGAUGUAUACUAUAUGUCGUUUCGAAGCAUGGGAAGUUAGCAAUCCAAUGCUUCAAACGGUGUGCGAAUCGAAGUUGAAAUGAAGAAGUUAGAGCCAUUGGAAUCCGAUCACACCAAGUUGAAGGCCAAUUUCGCAGGCUACGAAAUAAUUUUGCAGCCAUCUUGUACGUCUGCCAAAUUUCGCAGCCAUUUUGUGCGCCUGCGAAAUUCUCCUGAGUGCUUCCAGAUAUUUGUGACCGAUAUUUUUUGAUAUUUUGCUUCAGAUAUUUGAUGUCUAAAUCCCCAUUUUCUCCUUGUAAUCCACCAAUUAUAGGAUUCCUUAGUUAUUAAGCAAGAAAAAAGGGUGAAUAACCUGAUAUAUAUUGUUUUUGUAAUUUUCAUUGCAGACAUCUCGGGAGCUUGUUCUCAGAGACAACUUUUUGUAUAGUUUUUGAAAGGAAGUAAAAUAUAGAGCUUUGCUCUGCCUUACCUACUCAAUUUGAUUGUAUUUUUCAUUACUAGCCAAACAAGCUCUGAGGAUGUUUCCUCAGAGAAUGGGUUGCUAGACUUUUUGUCUCUUGGAGCUAAGGUAGCCGAGGGAGGUGCCGAAUGCAAGAAUUGAGAGUUUUGUUGUUUCAGCUGUUAAUGAAGAGAAAGUGUAACCCGUUUAUGGUUUCUAUGUUUUUAGUUAACUUAAAACGCCUUCAAUUCACCUGGGCCAACACUUGGUAAUGCAAGUGAUCUCCGUCCAUUGAGAUGCACUAGUUUACCUCUUGCGAGCCUUUGGGAGGUGACUUGAAGGUAGGAUUUUCUAGAAUUGCCAACACUUAGUAAGCUUUUGGACUCUAAGGAGACAUCCAUUAGUUAUCUCUUGCGAGCUUGAGAAGGGAAGUCCAAGGUUAAUGAUCACCUUGAAUGGCAAAUGCUAAGUGAGAGGCACGAGCCAUUGCAAGAUGCAUCAGUGAGAGGGAAUUAGUGUUGAAAUCCAUAAAAGGGGAGCAUUUGUACCACACCGGUUGGAGAAUGAACUAUAUGUUAAUUCUCCAAUGCGAGGAAAAGAACCAAAGUGACCGGAACUCUGUUUUUGCAUGAGGAGCCUGACCCCAGUGAUCCAAAAACUCCAAGAAACGUUUUUCUUUAUAAGUAAUUCCCAUUACUUUCUUUUUAGUUAGCUUGAAACCAAACCUUUUUCAACUAAAGUUUAUGUUUUCUUUUGAAGCUAACCUUGAAAUGAAAAGGCACCAAUUCAACUUUGAAUUGGUAUCAGUUGUAAGUUGAAAACCCUUCCCAGUGAACAAUCCUAGAGCCACUAUGCUAUACUAGCUUAUGCUAUCCUAGUGCAUGGUGAUAUAGGUUAUAAAUUUUGUUGAUUACUCCCAUCAGGGGACCAAAAUCAAGGUACACCAGCUGGGCACGAAUCAAAUGGCGUCAUUGCCAGGGAAGGUGACAACUUCACAGUGAUAUUAUUUCAGAGUACUUGUGAUUUUCAUCACAAGUUUAGUGACUUUUCUUUCAUUUUACUAAUUUUUAAUUAUUUCUUUUACUUGUUCAUAUUCUAAAUAUCUUUUAAUUAAGUUUUAUUUCAUUUUAGUCUUUUUUGUAGUCUUUUUUUUCUUUUGUUUUCUUUUGUUUUUGUUUUAGUUACAAUUGAAACUGGUUGUGUAUGCCAAAUUGGAUACGAGAUAGUGGAGGAAGGCUUGUUAAACGUGAUACACCUCAUAACAAGGAAUUGGAAUUGAGCUUGAAAAUCAUGGAAGCUACGCCUGAAGAUCAGCAUAGUCACCAUGGUCACCAGGACAAUCCCAAUGCUUUCAGAUCAAUGAGGGACCGUAUGCAUCCACCUCAUAUGAGUGCACCAUCAUGCAUAGUGCCCCCUACAGAGUAGCUAGUGAUCAGACCGCAUAUUGUUCCACUUCUACCAACUUUCCAUGGGAUGGAAAGUGAGAAUCCCUAUGCACAUAGAAUUUGAAGAUGUUUGUAAUACAUUCCAAGAAGGAGGAGCUUCAAUCAACUUGAUGAGGCUUAAGUUAUUUCCUUUCACUUUAAAGGAUAAGGCCAAGAUUUGGCUUAAUUCUUUAAGGCCAAGAAGUAUCCGUACUUGGACUGAUUUACAAGCUGAAUUCCUCAAAAAGUUUUUUCCAACUCACAGAACAAAUGGCUUGAAAAGGCAAAUUUCAAACUUCUUAGCUAAAGAGAAUGAGAAAUUCUAUGAGUGUUGGGAAAGAUACAUGGAAGCCAUCAAUGCUUGUCUUCACCAUGGUUUUGAUACAUGGCUAUUGGUGAGUUAUUUCUAUGAUGGGAUGUCUUCCUCAAUGAAGCAACUCCUCGAGACAAUGUGUGGAGGAGAUUUCAUGAGUAAGAAUCCGGAGGAAGCUAUGAAUUUCUUGAGUUAUGUGGCUGAAGUUUCAAGAGGAUGGGAUGAACCAAACAAAGGAGAAGUGGGGAAGAUGAAGUCUCAACCGAGUGCUUUUAAUGCUAAGGUUAGGAUGUACAUCUUGAAUGAAGAUGUUGAUAUGAAAGCAAAGUUUGCAGCUAUGACAAGAACAUUGGAGGAGCUAGAAUUGAAAAAGAUGCAUGAAGUACAAGCUGUUGUUGAAACACCAGUGCAAAUACAGUCGUGUCCUAUUUGUCACUCUUAUGAACACUUGGUGGAGGAGUGCCCUACAAUUCCAGCUGUAAAGGAAAUGUUUAGAGAUCAAGCAAAUGUUGUUGGACAAUUCAAGCCCAAUAACAAUGCUCCAUAUGGAAAUACUUACAACUCAAGUUGGAGGAAUCAUCCAAAUUUCUCAUGGAAGCCAAGAGCACCUCAGUACCAACAGCCGGCUCAACCAUCUCAACAAGCUUCAAGCCUUGAACAAGCAAUAGUGAAUCUCAGCAAGGUUGUGGGAGAUUUUGUUGGAGACCAAAAAGCCAUCAAUGCUCAACUCAGUCCAAGAAUUGACAGUGUAGAAAAUACUUUGAAUAAAAGGAUGGAUGGGAUGAAAAAUGAUUUAUCUCAAAAGAUAGAUAAUCUCCAAUACUCAAUCUCAAGGCUCACUAACUUGAACAUAGUGCAAGAGAAGGGUAGAUUUUCUUCUCAACCUCACCAAAACCCCAAGGGUAUCCAUGAAGUGGAAACUCAUGAGGGAGAAUCUUCACAGGUGAGAGAUGUUAAAGCCUUAAUCACUCUAAGGAGUGGUAAAAAAGUUGAGUUGCCAACACCCAAGCCACAUGUUGAAGAGGAAGAAGAAAAAGAGACAAAGAAGAGGGAGGAAAUCAAAGGAAAGAAGAAAGAUAUCAGUGAAGGGAAAGAGGACCAUGAUUCAAUAGUGAAUGCAAAUCCGGAGAAAAUACUUAUUAAGGAAGAAAUUGAAGAAACACACCUCUCCACCUUUUUCUCAAGCUUUGCAUGGGAAAAAGAGGAUAAAAAAUGCAUAAAAAAUUCUUGAAGUAUUGAGACAAGUGAAAGUCAAUAUUCCAUUGCUGGAUAUGAUUAAACAAGUUCCAACACAUGCAAAAUUCCUAAAGGACUUGUGUACUAUCAAAAGAGGGUUGAAUGUAAACAACAAAGCCUUCUUGACUGAGCAAGUAAGUGCUAUCAUACAAUGCAAGUCUCAUUUGAAGUACAAAGGUCCGGGAUGUCCUACCAUUUCAGUCAUGAUUGGAGGAAAGGUAGUGGAGAAAGCUUUGUUAGACUUGGGAGCAAGUGUGAAUUUGCUACCAUACUCUGUCUACAAGCAAUUGGGACUUGGUGAAUUGAAGCCAACAUCAAUCACUCUAUUUCUAGUAAAUAGAUCAGUGAAAUUUCCAAGGGAGGUAAUUGAAGAUGUCUUAGUUCAAGUUGAUAAUUUCUACUAUCCAGUAGAUUUUGUUGUUCUUGAUAUGGACCCUACUGUCAAGGAAGCUAAUUAUGUUCCUAUAAUCCUUAGAAGGCCAUUCCUUGCUACCUCAAAUGCAAUCAUCAACUAUAGGAAUGGACUCAUGCAACUCACUUUUGGCAACAUGACACUUGAGCUCAAUAUCUUUUAUAUGUCUAAAAAGCAAAUCACUCCGGAAGAAGAAGAAGGUUCAGAGGAGGUAUGCAUUAUUGACACUCUAGUGGAGGAGCACUGUAAUCAGAAUAUGCAAGACAAGUUGAAUGAAAGUCAUGGGGAUCUUGAAGAAGGGUUGCCUAAACCCUCUAAUGUGCUUGCUACUCUACAAGGUUGGAGGAGGAGAGAAGAGAUUCUACCUUUGUUCAAUAAAGAGGAGGCACAAGAAGUUUCUAAAGAAGAGAUCCCAAAGCUCAAUUUGAAGCCUUUGCCCAUGGAGUUGAAAUAAACAUACCUGGAAGAGAAUAAAAAAUGCCCUAUUGUUAUAUCUUCAUCUCUUACUAGUCCUCAGGAAAAGUGUCUACUUGAAGUUCUCAAGAGGUGUAAGAAAGCAAUAGGAUGACAAAUAUCUGACUUGAAAGGCAUUAGUCCUUGAUUCGACUCAUGGUAGCUUAGCUUUAAAGGCGUAUCAACAAAAUUUAUACCUUAAAUACUAUUACUAAAGUAGCCAAGCUACUAUAGCAUAGUGGUUCUAGGAUCGUUCACUGGGAAGGGUUUUCGCAAACACAAGUGAUAUUCAAAUUAGGAAAAUAAGUGAUUUUCUUAUGGAUGUUAGCUUUAAAAGAAGAUGUAAAUGUUUUAGAAAGAUUUAAACUAAUCUAAGCUAACAUUAAAGACUAAAAUGAAAGGGUGUAAAAACAAGUUUCUCAAAGAUAGGAUAGCUAUGCUCUGGCUCUUAUGCAAAUUGGAAAUCUCAGGAUAGGCUCCUCGCGUUGGGGUUGCAACUAUGGUGAUGCUUGCUUCCCGAACCGGUAUGGAUUUAGCAAAUCAAGUUUUAAUCCUUUAAAAUGACAAAACAGAUGGUAGUGAAUUUCAUCAAUGGUUAUUCACCUUAGACUUCCUUUGAAUGGCUCGUAAGAGAUAACUAAUGGUCUAAAGCCAAAAGCUUACCAAAUAUUGGCAACUCAAAGUCAUUCCAGGUGAUAAACUCACCUUUCAAUGGCCAUUGAAAUUGGUUCUAACGGAUUAAUGCAAAACUUGGAAUUGAAAACCUCACCUUCCAAUAGCUCGUAGGAGAUAACUAAUGGAUAGAAAUCCAAAAGCUUAUCAAGUAUUGGCCGUUGGAAGUUGUCCAAAGGAAAUAAAAACCAAACUUUGCAUUAAUGAACCUUUAAUGAAAAACGUCUACCUUACCUUCCAGGUGCGAGAAAUUUCCAUGGGAUUGCAUCCAAGCCAUCACAUAACCUCCAUACUUUGAGAAACUAAAAGUUUUAGCCAAUCAUCCUUUGAGGAAAAGCCCUCAGAGGCUGUUUGGCUACUAAGAAAAUAGAAAUAGUAAAGAGAAAAGAGAGACGAGAGAGCUCUGUAUAUCCCUCAGUGUAAAACGUAACACGCAUGUUCUUUAUCUUCCAAGAGGUGAUUUCCACCCCUUAUAUAGUCUUUACAAAAGCAAAAGCUUGUGAUUGGUUAGUUACAAGGAUAAGAAAGGAAAUUACAUCACAAAAUACAAAGGAAAAUAUCUAAAGUGGAGUCGGCAAAAACAGAGGAAAAUUCGCACCACGCAUGGGUUAUGCGAAUUUUGAAGGUGUUAUGCGAAUUUCGCAUAACACCUUGUGUUGUGCGAAAUUUUCGCACAACCUGGAGCAGUUGGCUUCCGAAGGCCAUAUCUUCCUUAUUUCAGCUCCAAAUCAUACACGGUUUAAAGCGUUGGAUUCUUGACUUCCUGAGCUUUGAAAUGGUAUAUAGUAUGUAGAAAAUGGACUUCGGAAAGUGCUCCAAAAGUGCGAAAGAAGACUGAAGAUGCUGUCCUCUUUGCUUCUCUUCAAUUUGCUUCACUCCUUGCAUACUUUGAACGACUUUGGCAAAGGGCUAUGGAGCUCCAAAGCUUGGUUCUUCAUGAAUUUGAUCUUCCAAAAGCUUUUCCAUAACUUGUCCAAGUAACUCCUCCAUCAUUUGGCAUGCUUGAAUUGAUUCAUAAGCUGAUAAAAACAUGUAAACUUGCCACAAAAUGGUUAAAACCAAUUACUAAGGACCUUAAUAAAUUAAUUGGGUUAAAUGAAUAUGAUUACUACUCAAAGGUGCUUAAAACCAUUAUAAUUAAGUCUACAAAAUAGCACUUUUUGGUAGUAAUCAGUCCUUUGGUUUGUACACAUCAUAUAUACAUGGAGGAAGAAGCUAAACCAAUUCGUCAGCCUCAAAGAAGAUUGAAUCCUCAUUUGCAAGAGGUGGUGCGAGUUGAAGUGCUGAAGCUACUUCAAGUAGGUAUUAUCUACCCCAUAUCUGACAGCCCUUGGGUGAGUCCUACUCAAGUGGUACCAAAGAAUUCAGGGAUUACUAUGGUUCAAAAUGAAAAAAGAGAAGAAAUUACUACACGCCUCACUUCAGGUUGGAGGGUGUGUAUAGAUUAUAGAAAAUUGAAUGUUGUGACAAGGAAAGAUCAUUUUCCAUUGCCAUUUAUUGAUCAAGUCUUGGAGAGAGUCUCUGGCCAUCCUUUCUAUUGUUUCUUGGACGGAUACUCCGGAUAUUUCCAAAUUGAAAUUGAUGUUGAAGAUCAAGAGAAGACCAUUUUCACAUGUCCACUUGGAGCAUAUGCCUAUAGAAGAAUGCCUUUUGGUUUAUGCAAUGCACCUGCAACAUUCCAAAGAUGUAUGCUAAGUAUCUUUAGUGAUAUGGUGGAGCGAAUUAUGGAGGUUUUCAUGGAUGACAUCACCAUAUAUGGAGGUACAUUUGAAAAAUGCUUAGUCAACUUGGAAGCGGUUCUUAAUAGAUGCAUUGAGAAGGACUUGGUGCUUAAUUGGGAGAAAUGUCAUUUUAUGGUACAUCAAGGAAUUGUCCUUGGCCAUAUCAUCUUCGAGAAAGGCAUUGAAGUUGAUAAAGCAAAGGUGGAACUUAUUGUCAAAUUGCCAUCCCCAACAACUGUAAAAGGAGUAAGGCAAUUCCUUGGCCAUGCAGGGUUCUAUAGGAGAUUUAUAAAAGAUUUCUCUAAGCUUUCAAAGCCUCUUUGUGAACUUUUAGCUAAAGAUGUUGAGUUUAUAUGGGAUGAAAGAUGUCAAAAGAGUUUUGAUCAACUGAAGCAAUUCUUGACAACAACUCCAAUAGUGAGGGCUCCUAACUGGCAACUGCCCUUUGAAGUAAUGUGUGAUGCCAGUGACUUUUCUAUAGGAUUUGUGCUUGGCCAAAGAGAAGAUGGAAAGCCCUAUGUGAUCUACUAUGCAAGCAAGACAUUGAACGAAGCUCAAAGGAACUACACAACUACAGAGAAAGAAUUGUUAGUUGUAGUGUUUGCCUUAGACAAGUUUUGUGCUUAUCUAGUAGGGUCUUUCAUCAUUGUUUUCACUGACCAUUCAGCCUUGAAGUAUUUAUUGACAAAACAAGAUGCAAAAGCAAGGUUGAUUAGAUGGAUUCUCUUAUUACAAGAGUUCGAUCUCCAAAUCAGAGAUAAGAAAGGAGUGGAGAAUGUGGUAGCUGACCACCUUUCAAGGUUAGUUAUAGCACACAAUUCCCAUGUCCUACCUAUUAAUGAUGAUUUUCCUGAGGAAUCACUCAUGUUGCUAGAAAAAACUCCUUGGUAUGCUCAUAUUGCUAACUAUUUAGUUACUGGUGAAGUUCCAAGUGAGUAGAAAGUACAAGACAGGAAGCACUUCUUUGCAAAGAUUCAUGCUUAUUAUUGGGAAGAGUCUUUCCUUUUCAAGUAUUGUGCAGAUCAAAUAAUAAGGAAGUGUGUCCCUGAAGAAGAGCAACAAGGAAUCCUCAGCCAUUGCCAUGAAAGUGCAUGUGGAGGCCACUUUGCCUCUCAAAAAACAGCCAUGAAGGUGUUGCAAUUAGGGUUUACUUGGCCAUCACUCUUCAAAGAUGCCCACAUCAUGUGUAGGAGCUGUGAUAGAUACCAAAGGCUCAGGAAGCUAACAAAAAGAAAUCAAAUGCCUAUGAACCCCAUUCUAAUAGUUGAUUUCUUUGAUGUUUGGGGCAUUGACUUCAUGGGACCUUUCCCAAUGUCUUUUGGUAACUCUUAUAUCUUGGUGGGGGUGGACUAUGUUUCUAAAUGGGUUGAGGCAAUCCCCUGUAAACACAAUGAUCACAAGGUGGUUCUCAAGUUUCUCAAAGAGAACAUCUUCUCAAGAUUUGGGGUGCCCAAGGCCAUAAUCAGUGAUAGAGGUACUCAUUUUUGCAAUAGACCCUUUGAAACCCUAUUAGCCAAGUAUGGAGUGAAGCAUAAGGUAGCUACACCUUAUCACCCUCAGACUUCCGGGUAAGUUGAGCUAGCAAACAGGGAAAUCAAGAAUAUAUUGAUAAAGCUGGUGAUUACGAGCAAAAGAGAUUGGUCUAUUAAGCUUUAUGAUUCACUAUGGGCAUAUAAAACAGCUUACAAGACUAUUCUUGGCAUGUCUCCAUAUCGCCUAGUCUAUGGCAAAGCAUGACAUCUCCCUGUGGAAGUUGAAUAUAAGGCUUGGUGGGUAAUCAAGAAGUUAAACAUGGACUUGAUCAGAGCCAGGGCAAAGAGGUGCUUAGACCUUAAUGAGAUGGAGGAAUUAAGAAAUGAUGCUUACAUCAAUUCCAAAGUUGCAAAACAGAGGAUGAAGAGGUGGCAUGAUCAAUUAAUCUCCAAUAAAGAAUUCCGGAAAGGACAAAGAGUCUUACUCUAUGAUUCAAGGCUCCAUAUCUUUCCUGGGAAGCUUAAGUCAAGGUGGAUAGGCCCUUUCAUUAUUCACCUAGUGCAUCCCAAUGGAGUGGUGGAAUUACUGAAUUCCAAUAGCACUGACACUUUUAAAGUCAAUGGUCAUCGUCUCAAGCCAUUCAUUGAGCCAUACAAGCAAGAAAAUGAGGAAAUCAACCUCCUUGAGCCAUAGAAAGCCUAAUCAGAAAAGGGUUAGAUGGGCUUGGUUUCACCAAAGUCCAUAUUUUUGUUAAAUUUUGUUAAUUUAAAAGCUUUAUUAAUUCUUUUGAUUUUAAUUUUGGUCUUAAGUUUUGUUAUUUAUAUGUAACUUAAUUUUUUUGAAUGAUCUAAUGUAGGAGGAAUUGCAAAGAAAAUGAAGAAAGGUCUCUUGGAGCUAAAAAGGAGUUCAAAACCAAGGGAAAAUUCAUGGCCUGCGAGAUUUCGCAGAAAAAUGAGGCCUCUGUGAAAAUGGCCCUUGCUGCGAAAUCAUUUCGCAGCCCCAUGCCCCCUUCUGCGAAAAUUUUCGCAGUUGCGAAACCCCCUCUUGGCACACGAGUGCCAUUUCGCAACACAGUACCCCCAUUUCGUAGCUGUGAAAUGGCUGCUGAUUCGACUCAUGGUAGCUUAGCUUUAAAGGCGUAUCAACAAAAUUUAUACCUUGAAUACUAUUACUAAAGUAGCCAAGCUACUAUAGCAUAGUGGUUCUAGGAUCGUUCACUGGGAAGGGUUUUCGCAAACACAAGUGAUAUUCAAAUUAGGAAAAUAGGUGAUUUUCUUAUGGAUGUUAGCUUUAAAAGAAGAUGUAAAUAUUUCAGAAAGAUUUAAACUAAUCUAAGCUAACAUUAAAGACUAAAAUGAAAAGGUGUAAAAACAAGUUUCUCAAAGAUAGGAUAGCUAUGCUCUGGCUCUUAUGCAAAUUGGAAAUCUCAGGAUAGGCUCCUCGCGUUGGGGUUGCAACUAUGGUGAUGCUUGCUUCCCGAACCGGUAUGGAUUUAGCAAAUCAAGUUUUAAUCCUUUAAAAUGGCAAAACAGAUGGUAGUGAAUUUCAUCAAUGGUUAUUCACCUUAGACUUCCUUUGAAUGGCUCGUAAGAGAUAACUAAUGGUCUAAAGCCAAAAGCUUACCAAAUAUUGGCAACUCAAAGUCAUUCCAAGUGAUAAACUCACCUUUCAAUGGCCAUUGAAAUUGGUUCUAAUGGAUUAAUGCAAAACUUGGAAUUGAAAACCUCACCUUCCAAUAGCUCGUAGGAGAUAACUAAUGGAUAGAAAUCCAAAAGCUUAUCAAGUAUUGGCCAUUGGAAGUUGUCCAAAGGAAAUAAAAACCAAACUUUGCCUUAAUGAACCUUUAAUGAAAAACGUAUACCUUACCUUCCGGGUGCAAGAAAUUUCCAUGGGAUUGCAUCCAAGCCAUCACAUAACAUCCAUACUUUGAGAAACUAAAAGUUUUAGCCAAUCAUCCUCUAAGGAAAAGCCCUUAGAGGCUGUUUGGCUACUAAGAAAAUAGAAACGGGAGAACAGGAGAAGAGAGAAAAACAGAGCAAGGCUCCGUCUGUAUAUAUGCGUCUAUGUCUUCAAGAGGUGAUUUCCACCCCUAAUAUAGUCUUUACAAAAGCAAAAGCUUGUGAUUGGUUAGUUACAAGGAUAAGAAAGGAAAUUACAUCACAAAAUACAAAGGAAAAUAUCUAAAGUGGAGUCGGAAAAGGCAGAGCAAAAUUCGCAACACGCAUGGGUUAUGCGAAUGUUAUGCGAAUUUCGCAUAACACCUUGUGGAAUGCGAAAUUUUCGCAUAACCUGGAGCAGUUGGAUUCCGAAGGCCAUAUCUUCCUCAUUUCAGCUCCAAAUCGUGCAUGGUUUGAAGCGUUAGAUUCUUGACUUCCAGAGAUUUGAAAUGGUAUAUAGUAUGCAAAAAAUGGACUUCGGGAAGUGCUCCAAAAGUGCGAAAGAAGACUGAAGCUGCUGUCCUCUUUGCUUCUCUUCACUUUGCUUGCUUUUCCUCUUUGCUUCUCUUUGCUUGUGCUCGUGUUUCCACUUGAAAUUCAAGCCUGUAAAUGUCCAAAAUCCUUGCUUUAACUUGUCCAAGUAGCUCCUCCAUCAUUUGGCAUGCUUGAAUCAAUUCAUAAGCUGAUAAAAACAUGUAAACUUGCCACAAAAUGGUUAAAACCAAUUACUAAGGACCUUAAUGAAUUAAUUGGGUUGAAUGAAUAUGAUUGCUACUUAAAGGUGCUUAAAACCAUUAUAAUUAGGUCUACAAAAUAGCACUUUUUGGUAGUAAUCAGCUGCAAAAUCCCCAAAGCGUGAAAUCUCCAAUUUUCGUAGCCAAAGCCCCAUUUCGCAAGGUGUUUCGCAGUUGCGAAAGACCCCCUUGGCACACGAGUGCCAUUUCGUAGCACAGUAGCCUCAUUUUGCAGUUGCGAAAUGGGCUGCGAAAAGGGCCCUCCGCUGCGAAAUCCACCCUCCUCUGCAAAAAUUAAAACGACCCUUGGCAUCCAAUUUUUUAACGGUAUAAAUUCCACAUUUCUAAUAAACCGGUCAUUUGAACUUCAAACAGGUGCCAGAGAAGAGCCAAAACAGAGCAACCUUCCAUUUUCUCCCUCCUAUAUGAGCCUAAGCUACGCGUGCCUCCGCCCAUCUCCUUCGGUCAGCCAUGGCAAGAACCCGAGGAGCUAAGUCUUCGUCUCUGUCAAGCCGCAAGAGAGCCGCAAAUGAGACCCCUGUUCAAGGCUCCAUGUUCGAGCCUCCGCGACCACGAGUCGUCCCACCUCCAGUUGAGGACGCACCGAUGAGUCCUCCGGUAAGGCGCUAUCAAACCAGGUCAAGUAGCCAUCCCCCGAAGAAGAAAGCUAGGGUAUCCGAGCCAAAGCUAAUUGACUUAUCAAAGCCGUCUUCAGAGCCUCUACAAGAGCCUCACCGUUCUCAGCCACCAUCCAAAGAGCCUCAACUGUCUCAGCCACCAGCUACAAAUUCUCAGAUUCCCUCAGGCAUGACUCCUGAGAUGCUUAUUAGGCGUCCCAUGCUCACUCAGCCGCCCAUUGAGGGUAAUUUGGAUUGCAGGGCUAAGCCAUUCCACUCUGAGAUCUGCUUCGACACAGCCACUUUCAGACUUCAGCUCGAGCUCAGGGACUCCUUCCAUCUGCUACAGAGGUACCAUAUGGAGCAUUUGCUAACUCCCAAGGAUUUUUUCUGUCCCCGUGUAGCAAUGGACUUCUAUCAGUCCAUGACCACACACCAGGUCUGAGAUCUUACUGUUAUCCACUUCACCAUAGACGGACAUCAUGGCAUUCUGGGAGCUAGUACAUAGUAGAGGCAUUGCGUAUUCCCUACGAGCCAGCCCAUCCAGAGGAUUAUCGAGUCUGGACUCAUCCUGCCCAGAGCGACAUAGUUCAUAUUCUGUCCAGAGGAGCAUCCUCGCGCCAGUAUCUAUUGAGGAAGGAGCUCCCUCAUAGCAUGUUUUUCAUAGAUGCACUCCUGCGCCAUAACAUCUUUCCACUUCUGCAUUGGGUGCAGAGGAGAGGAGUUUUGCUAGAGGCAUUGUUCAAGAUAUCUAAGGGAUUCUUCUUUGGCCCUCAUCAUCUCAUUAUGGCCGCUCUUCUGUACUUCGAAGAGAAAGUCCAUAGGAAGAAGCUGCUCAGAGCGGAUGCUAUUCCACUUCUCUUCCACAGAUUGCUAUGUCAGAUUCUGGAGCACUUGGGGUAUCCAUCUGACCCUCAGCUUGAGUGCAAACGUAUUUGCCGAGAGAUAUUCACUCUCAAAAAAUGGAUGAAUAUGACAGCCUAUAGUGCAGACCAGGGAGCCCCAACUGGAGCAGAGCAUCCAGAGCAGCCAGAGGAGCCACAGCCGGUUGAGAUACCAGCUGACAUGAGAGCACCUACCCUUGCAGUGCCCUCUACAAAGCCUAUACCAGAGGUUGCACCCUCUGCUCCUCCUACCACACCACGGACUCCCCCUGUUAUUCCAGCUACAUCAGAGCCCUCUCCUUCAUCUGAGCCUAGGAUUGCUAUAUUCAUUUCCGAGUACAGAGGUCUAUGUCACACUUUACAGGCAUUGACCACUUCUCAGAGCAUCCUUACUUAGGAGAUGACAGCUCUUCGUGCUCACCAAGAGCACAUUAUCGCCACUCAGACUAAGCAUACUACCAUCUUGAGGCAGAUUCAGCACCACCUGGGUAUUCCAUCAGCUCCUGAGCACCCCAUUCCUAUCUUCUCAAAGCCCACAAAGCCAUCACAGGCCCCUCUUUUCGUAAAGCAGGCUUUUCCCUCUGAGGAGCCGACUACAGGAGAUGCAGAGACAUCCACCUGAGCCAUCAUCAUCUUCCCUCUAUCUGAUCAUUUCCAUACUUUUCUUUAUGUAUUUGCAUUUGUAAUCCCAUGCUUUUGAUAUUUUAUAUAUUGGGAUUGGUUGUAUUACUUGUUUACCUUUAUAUUGUACUUUCAUGAAGUAAUACAAAUCUAUCAAUUUUUUAGCACUCUUAGCAUUGUUUUAUUUUAAUUCCUCUACUCAUAUCUUUUGUUGUUUUUGAAACAUGUGGUUUCUCCUAAUCUAAUCGAACUUCAUAUCACUCAGGAGCUACCACUUCCUCCCUGUAAUUUCAAUCGCUCAUGUCACAUUGAGGACAAUGUUCAGCUUGGUUGGGGGGAGAGUUGAGGAAGGAAGUUUUUUGUUGUUAAUACUAAGUAUUUUCGUAAUUUAUUUUAUUUUUGUUUAAUUUAAAAAUUUUUUUGUAAGUUUUUAUUCCACUCUCCAUGGUUAUUAAGGACAAAUUCUCAAAUUAAAAUAAGAGAAAUCGAAUUUUUGUUUUUACUUGACUUAGACUUUGUAUUAUGCUUAUUAAAGUUGAUGAAUUGUUGAAACUUCUAUUGAAUUCAACUUUAGUUCUUCCACUUUAAGCUAUUCACACACUGUGCAAAAUAGGUUCCGAGUAUAAGAUGAAAAACUAUUUCCCUCUUGACUUAGGAAAAUUUAGACUUGGUACCUUUGACCUCAUUUAAUAGUGUUGGGACACCUUAUAAAAGGCCAAUGAGCCUUUGAAAAAAAAAGAGAAAGAAAGAAAAAUGUUUGCUUGCCUUGAAACCCGAGCAAGGUCUGAGGGGUAUAUGGUGAAAAUCUUUAAAACCUGGUGCCCUAAGCCUUCAUUGGUUGGGAGUCACCGACCUCAAUGCUCGUUACAAGGGUGAAUAGGUGGAGUUUAACAUACUGUAGGUGCUUGGGUAUUAAAAUUCAUUCUCAAAAGUCCGAGGUAAAAUCCGAGGAGUUAGUGGUUGAAAGAUCCUUAAAGCUUGAUGCCCUAAACCUUAAUUGGUUGGGAGUCAUCGAUGGACCCCCGUUUCAUGGACAAUUUAGAAAAGAAUACCUUUAAGCCUUGUACUCCUACAAUGAAAAAAAAAUGUGAAAUAAAAGGGUGCAUUCUUAGCCUAUUGAAUUUGGUCAGUUUGCUAAGUGUUGAAAAAUAACUAGGUUAGGGGGAGAGACUAGUUUAGCAUACUAUAUUCGGAAGCUAUCAAGUAACACUUAGAUUUUUGUGGAAGAGUAAGGUUUGGUCCUUUGGAAGUGGAAAUGAUUUUAAAGCUUCAAUUUGCAUAAUACCUUCUCUUUAUGAAUUGUGAUUAAGUAAAGUAUUUGAUAACUCUUGCUGAAAUUUGAGUUUUAUAUCUUUAAUGUCCCAUGUGAGAGUUUGAUCAUCAUGCCACUUAAAAAUUUUUGAAGUGAUCAGCAUGAUUUUGUAAAGUAUAUUACUGUUUAGUUUAUUUUUUUCUCUCCUUUAUUGCUAAGAGACUAGCAAUAUGUCGGUUGGGGGGAGUGAUUACUACUCAAAAAGUGCUAUUCAAUAGCUUGUAAUUAACUCUUUUAAACACUUUUGAGUAGUAGUUAUUACCUUUUAACCCAAUUAGCAUAUUAAGUACCUUUGCAAUCGUUUCUAAUCAAAUUGUGUAAGUUUUGGUGCUUUUGAUAGUAAUUUGAUCACCAAAGCAAUCCAAGAUUAAGGAGAGCUCUAUGGAAUCCAUGGCAAAGCAAUUGGAAUCUCAUUUACAUGAAGAACCUAAGCUUUGAAGCUUUAUAGUCCUUUGUCAUAAACAAAUCAUGAAUGCAAGGAUGAAAGCGAAGAGAGAAAUCUAACAUGAAGAAUUCAAGAGGACAUCAACUAUUUGACACUUUUGGAGCACUUUUUGAAGUCCAUUUGAUGCAUACUAUAUGUCGUUUCGAAUCUCGGGAAGUCAGAAAUCCAAUGCUUUAAACAGUGUACAAAUCGGAGUUGAAAUGAAGAAGUUAGAGCCAUUGGAAGCCGAUCACACCAAGUUGAAGGCCAAUUUCGCAGGCUGUGAAAUAAUUUCGCAGCCAUCUUAUACGUCUGCGAAAUUUCGUAGCCAUUUUGUGCGCCUGCAAAAUUCUCCUGAGUGCUUCUAGAUAUUUGCGACCGACAUUUUUUGAUAUUUUGCAUCAGACAUUUGAUGUCUAAAUCCCCAUUUUCUCCUUGUAAUCCACCAAUUAUAGGAUUCCUUAGUUAUUAAGCAAGAAAAAAAGGUGAAUAACCUGAUAUAUAUUGUUUUUGUAAUUUUCAUUACAGACAUCUCGGGAGCUUGUUCUCAGAGACAACUUUUUGUAUAGUUUUUGAAAGGAAUUAAAAUAUAGAGCUUUGCUCUGCCUUACCUACUCAAUUUGAUUGUAUUUUUCAUUACUAGCCAAACAAGCUCUGAGGAUGUUUUCUCAGAGAAUGGGUUGCUAGACUUUUUGUCUCUUGGAGCUAAGGUAGCCGAGGGAGGUGUCAAAUGCAAGAAUUGAGAGUUUUGUUGUUUCAGCUGUUAAUGAAGAGAAAGUGUAACCUGUUUAUGGUUUCUAUAUUUUUAGUUAACUUAAAACGCCUUCAAUUCACCUGGGCCAACACUUGGUAAUGCAAGUGAUCUCCGUCCACUGAGAUGCACUAGUUUACCUCUUGUGAGCCUUUGGGAGGUGACUUGAAGGUAGGAUUUUCUAGAAUUGCCAACACUUGGUAAGCUUUUGGACUCUAAGGAGACAUCCAUUAGUUAUCUCUUGCGAGCUUGAGAAGGGAAGUCCAAGGUUAAUGAUCACCUUGAAUGGGAAAUGCUAAGUGAGAGGCACGAGCCAUUGCAAGAUGCAUCAGUGAGAGGGAAUUAGUACUGAAAUCCAUAAAAGGGGAGCAUCUGUACCACACCGGUUGGAGAAUGAACUAUAUGUUAAUUCUCCAAUGCGAGGAAAAGAACCAAAGUGACCGGAACUCUGUUUUUGCAUGAGGAGCCUGACCCCAGUGAUCCUAAAACUCCAAGAAACGUUUUUCUUUAUAAGUAAUUCCCAUUACUUUCUUUUUAGUUAGCUUGAAACCAAACCUUUUUCAACUAAAGUUUAUGUUUUCUUUUGAAGCUAACCUUGAAAUGAAAAGGCACCAAUUCAACUUUGAAUUGGUAUCAGUUGUAACUUGAAAACCCUUCCCAGUGAACGAUCCUAGAGCCACUAUGCUAUACUAGCUUAUGCUAUCCUAGUGCAUGUUGAUAUAGGUUAUAAAUUUUGUUGAUUACUCCCAUCAGGGGACCAAAAUCAAGGUACACCAGCUGGGCACGAAUCAUUUAAUCUUGUAUCCAUUGGGUCCUUUGAUAAGUUUCUUGGAUAUCCUUUUGAAUUUCCAAACUAAAACUUGAAAUUCUUUUAAUUUAAAAUAAUUAGCAACUUAACCAUGGUUUGUUAUCAUUAAAACACGAUUAGGAGAACCUUUGGGCUAACAUAGUAUGUUAAUGAGCCUAUUUAUUUUUCAAAUUUUUUAUAUGAUUAUUUAAUAAGAUUAUUGUUAAAUUACUAUGGAUGCAAUUUAGGGAAGACAAAGACCCUAAUUGUUUUUUUUAUUUUUAUUGUUUGCAAACUUAAUGAAUUAUUUUGAGUUAUGUUAUUUAAAUUGUUGGAUUAAUUUUACAUAAUAUAUUAUUGUGACAUUAUAAUAUAAAAAUAAGUAAUAUCAUUUAGUUACCUUCAAUUCUAUUACUAUAGCUAUUUGAUAGACAGUAUUAAUUUAGUAAUGUUAUUUUAAUAGUUUAAACCAUAGGAAAUAUAAUCUAAGCUUAAAAUAUUAAUAUUUAUGUUUUUUAAAUGAUAUAUAAUGUACUUAUUUUUCUAAGGAAUGUAUUUAUUUUUAAGUUAAGAUGUACUUAUUUUCAAAUAGGAUGCACUUAUUUUUUCCAAUGACGUACCUAGUAUCAAAGCAUGAUAGAUGAGAUGUGCGAACAUCAUAAAUGCAUGCCUAGACCUAUAAAAAUGGAUGAUCUUGUCCAAUAUCUUGUUCAAUAUGCUUUGAUAAAAGGUACAUCAUUGGCAAAAAUAAAUGUAUCCUAUUUGAAAAUAAGUACAUCUUGUUUAAAAAUAGGUACACCAUAUGUAUAUCAUGCAUGUGACUCAUUUGCUCUAAUUUGGACAUGAUCUUCCAUUUUUGUAGGCCUAGGCAUGCAUUUAUUGACAUAAGCUAUAUUGGACAAGGGCUUUCACUUUUAUGGGCCUUGGAAUGCAUUUGAAGCUUUUAGCCAUCCCAUUUUGCAUCCUAGAACCCUAGGUACAUCAAUUGGAAAAAUAGAUACAUGGCAUUGAAAAAUAAGCACAUCUUCACAAAAAAUAAGUACAUCUCAUUUAAACUAUAUACCUAACGCAUUUGUCCUAUUUUGGACAUGAGCUUUUACUUUUAUAGGCCUCAAAAUGUAUUUAGGGUCUUCCCACAUCCCAUUUUGUAUCCUAGAACCUUAGGUACAUCCCUUGGAAAAAUAGGUACAUUGUGUUAAAAAAUAUGUACAUCUUUUGAAAAAUAAGUACUUUGCAUUUAAAUUGUAUAACUGACUUAUUUGGCCAAUUCUAAGUAUGAUUUUUCACUUUUAUAGGUCUUGAGAUGCAUUUGAGGCCUUCACACAUCCCAUUUCACAUCGUAGAACUUUGGGUAUAUCCUUAGGAAAAAUAAAUACAUCAUAUUGCAAAAUAGUACAUUCCCUUAAAAAAUAAGUACAUAUUAUUUUCAUUCUAUGGGUGACUUGUUUGGCUUAUUCCUAUCAUGCACUUUCACUUUUAUAGGUCUCAUAAUGCUUUUGAGGCCCUCACACAUCUCAUUUCUCAUUCUAAAACCUUGGGUACAUCCCUUGAAAAAGUAGGUUCAUCUUGUUGAAAAAUAAGUAUAUCAUCUUAAAGCAUAAGCACAUCGAAUUUACAUUGUAUAACUGAUUCAUUUCACUUCUUAUACACAUUCAUUAUUUAUUUGAGUUAUAGGUUCAAGUGACUAAUUCUGGAACAAGCAUAAAGCAUAAUCAAGUUGCUUAACUUUACUUAUGUACUACUAGUUAAGCAUGACACAUUAUGGUAUAUCAUUCAUGAAUAUGAAUAGGUAUAAGACUCAUCAUUCAUUCUAUAGGAAAAAGGGAACAUUUUAUGAACACUAUGUACACAAGUCAUUUGAUAGUAAUUAAGACAACAUGUAUGUUCUUUGUCCUAUCACGCAUUAAAAAAAAAUUAGUUUAGUUUUUAAGAUCAAUUUCAUUAUUAUUUGGUUUCGAUGUUAUGUAGCUAUUUUUUUCCUAUGGAUGCACAAAAGGUUCCAUGAUAUACUAAUUUUUCCUUGUCCAAAAUAGGCCAAAUGAGUAUUUUAAUUUAAUGUAAAUGCAAUGUACUUAUUUUUUAAGUGAAUGUACUUAUUUUUUAACAUGAUGUACCUAAUUUUCCAAUGGAUGUAACUAUGGGUUCUAGGAUGUGGAACAAGAUAUGGGAAGACCUCAAAUGUAUCUUGAGGCCUGUAAAAGUACAAGCUCAUGUCCAAAAUAGACAAAUGAGUCACCUAUACAAUUUAAAUAUUUAAGAGGGUGUAAUUAAUUUUCAACACAACGUACCUAUUUUUCCAAGGGAUGUACCUAGGUUCUAGGAUGCAUAAUGAGAUAUGGGAAGACCUUAAAUGCAUCUUAAGGCCUAUAAAAAUAAAAGCCCAUGUCCAAAAUAAGCAGAAUGUCACCUUUACAAUGUAAAUGCAAUGUACUUAUUUUUUAAGUGGAUUCACUCAUUUUUCAAUGGGAUUUUUUAACUUUUGUAGCAAUUUUUAAAAAUAAUUAUUAAAAAAUGGUAGUUGGGAAAAUAUUAAUAGAUCUACGGCGGUUUUGGCCACGUGGAAGGUGUCUUUUGAAGAGACACCUUCCACAAUUUUCAAAAUCAUGAUACUAAUUUAAAAGAAUUGAAUUUAAGCUAAAGGUGUCUCUUCAAGAGACACCUUCUACAAUCCCAGAAAAUUGGAUUUAUAUUAAAGGUGUCUCUUGAAAAGACACUUUCCACGUGGCAAAAAAUCCAAUAUGAAUUAAAGGUGUCUCUUCAAGAGACACCUUCUACAAUUCCAAAAAAUUUUAAUUUAUACAAAAUGUGUCACUUAAAGAGACACUUUCCACAAUUCCACAAUUCCAUAAAUUCCAAUAUAUAUUAAAGGUGUCUCUUCAAGAUACACCUUCUACAAUUCCAAAAAAUUGGAUUUAUACUAAAGGUGUCUCUUGAAAAGACACUUUCCAUAAUUCCAUAAAAUCCAAUAUGUAUUAAAAAUUGUGGAAAUGAUUUUAAAGCUAAAGAUGUCUCUCUUCAACAUAAAUUCGAAAUUUUCCACUGUGUAUGGAAAUUGUGGACAAUGUCUCUUCAAAAGACACCUUUAGUAUAAUUCCAUUUUUUGAGAAUUGUGAAAGGUGUCUCUUCCACAAAUUUAAAAAAAAUUGGGUUUAUACUGAAGAGACACUUUCCAUAAUUUCAAUUCAAACAAUGGAAAAUUUUGAAUUUAUGCUAAAGGUGUCUCUUCAAGAGAUACCUUCCACAAUUCCCAAAAAAAUGGAAUUAUACUCAGACGCCUUUCAUAAUUUUUAAAAAAUUGGGUUUAUACUGAAAGUGUCUCUUCAGAAGAGACACUUUCCACAAUUUUCAUACACAGUGGAAAAUUUCGAAUUUUGAAAAGACAUAUUUUACAAUUCCCAAAAAAUGGAAUUAUACUAAAGGUGUCUCUUGAAGAGACACCUUCCAUAAUUUUAAAAAAAUUGGGUUUAUACUGAAAGUGUCUCUUCAAGAGACACUUUCCACAAUUUCAUACACAAUAGAAUAUUUCAAAUUUAUGCUAAAGGUGUUUCUUCAAGAGACACCUUCCACAAAAGGAAAAAAAAAUUAUAUCUCUUAAUUAGUAUUACCUGCUAUACAACCAAAUGUUUAAAGUUUAUCCCCUGUAUACAUUAUAAUCAAUAUUUUGACAUUCAAUCCAAAACCAAUGAAAAUAAGUAAACCAAAUGUCAAUUAAGUCAACACAUUUCCAAAAUAGUAACAAUACUAUUUUGUGUAAAAUAAAUCCAAAAUAGAUAGAAUACUAGAGAACUUACGUUAAUAAAAAGUUAGUUUAUCCAAAAUAUAACAAGUAUAAAUAUACAUCUUGAGUAUUUGUCAAAAAUAAUGAUAUGCAAAAUACUAACAGUAUCCAAAAUACAAGUCAUAUGUAGUAACAUCCUCAAUGUGUACCGCAUGAAGGAGCCUUCCUCUUCCAUUGUGGACAUCCAUGAUAUGCAUGCUCCACUAUUGGCUCUAUGGGGCUAACAUGUACCCCUCUAUGAGCUCGACAACCACGUCUCCUACCACGUCCUCAACCAUGUCCUCGACCAUGAUCAUUCUUUUGUCCUUGUUGAUCAUCAUUUGCUAUAUGAACUAACUUCUCAUCAACCAAUGUAACCUCUAUCGAUUGUGGUGAUGAUGCAACAAGUAGUACUAUAGGUGGGUUAGAUGGCACCUCCAUAUGUGUAAUACGAGUCUCCUCAACAGGUGGCGGGCUAAUGUCAGUCGAUGGUGCAUUUCUAAGAACAAAUGUAUGCUUAGUCACUCUCGUAUAAGCCCCUCUCCCUCUAGUCCGUACACCUCAUGAUCAAGUAAUGGAUGAUAUCAGUUGCUGAUGAGGUGGUGGAUUACAAUAAAGUGGACGUACCAUUAUGGGAAAUAGCACAUCUCAUUUGAAGAAGAGAGUCCUUUUGAUAUAAUCUAGGCAUUAAAGUUUAUCAUCGAGAUCAACUCAAAUGAAUCGCUACAUGAUUUGUACGCUCCCUUAAUUUUAUUUUCCUUAUAUUUUUUUCCUUCAUAUUAAUUCCACCACCAAAUCUGAUAAAAUCAAAAUUAAGUUUUAUAAGCCUCUAAGUGAUAAAUAAAAAAAAAAAAAAAAGCCUUCUAUCGAGAAAGGGGGUUAUUUCUGAACAUGGAGAGUCGGCAUAGAAGACCUUUAUUGAAAAUGGUGUUGAUGCUUUGAAAAGUUUGAAUGGACGAGACUCUAAGUUGAGUUGAUGGGAAGAGCAAGAGACGCAGUUUAUUGGGACUUUAAGAGAAAUAUUUUUCUCUUCCACACCAUCCUUUGACAUCAGUCACUUGUAACUCAUCAAUUGACCAACUUCGUUUAUAUGAUUUAUUAUUAUUUUUUUCCAGUUUUCUAAUGAAAAUAUUUCUUUGGUUUGAAGAAAUAUUCAUGUUAAUGGUUCGGAUAGAGAAAGAUAAGAUUGAAUCAAAUCAAAUUUAUUUUAAUUAAUCAAAUUCAAUUUAAUGUAUUCAUUUUAUACAAGAUAAACUAUUUAAUUUUAACAAAUAAAAAGAUAGUAUAUCCAUUUUUAUAUAUGAUAACUUGAUUUGAAUAUAUAUAAUUUUUUUUUUUGUAACCCCUGUUUGAUUCCAAAGAAAAUCCAUCCCCCAUUCGAUUUCCAAAAAAAUUCAUCCUCAUUUGAUUUAUGAGAAAAUCCAUGCAAAACCCCCAAGGAAAACCAAAAAAAUUGCUUUUUUUAUUUAUUUUUUUGCUCUCUAUGCUUUAUGGAUUUAUUCUAGGGGUCUCUGUGGAUGUACUCAACGUCUUAUGCAAUCAUGAAAUAACAUGAAUUGAGUGGAUGUUAUUGCAUAAUAACAUUGAUAGACAAGACUAUUAGAAAAGAGAGCACCACUUUUAUAUAUAUAAAGUAACAGUUAAGUGUGCUAAAAGUACCACCAUGCUAAAAGUGUAUUACACUUUUUAUGUACUACUUUUUCAUAAAAUAAAAUAAAUGGUACCCUCUUUUCUAAGGAUUGUGUCAAUUGGUGUUAUUGUGCAAAACACCCACUCAAUUCACAUUAUUUUAUCAUCACAUAUGACGUCGAGUAUGUAACAAGCGAUAAUAGAUCUUACCCUAAACCAAAUAAGAGAAGUACAUUCUUCCCACCACAAUGAAACUAAAAAAAGAGUGACAUAUUCUUCCCACCACAGUACUACUUUUAACAUAGUACAUUUUUCAUUCAUGAGUGGUACCAUUUUUUUUCAAAGGUUGUGUUGACUGUUGUUAUUGCACAAUAACAUCCACCCAAUUCAUGUUAUUCAAUCAUUACAUAAUACAUUAAGCAUGUAACGGGUGGUAACAUACCUUAAACCAAAGAAGAGUGAUACACUAUUUCCACCAUAGUGGUACAUUUAUCACACUUCAGUGGUAUUUUCUUUUUAUAAAUAAAUGGUAUGCACUUUUCCAAAGGUUGUAUUGAUCAAUGUUAUUAUGAAAUAACACUCAUUGAAUUCAUGUUAUUUCACCAUUAAUAAGACAUCUAGCAUGCAACGAAUGGUAACAUACCUUUGCUUAAACUAAAAAAGAGAGAUACAUCCUUCUUACCACAAUAUUACUUUUAGCAUUUUUAGCAGUACUUUUUUUCAUAAAGGAGUGGUACUAGGGAAAUGCAACUUAAGUUGCGCAAUGGUUUGAGGUGCACCAACUUAGUGUUUUAGGAGGGUACACUAUUUUUUUCUUAACACAUUUAAAAGGUAUGCAACUUCAAUAUACAAAAAUUUUAAUUUUUAAUAAAAUUAAGAGAAAAUCAAUAUAAACAAUUGAAUACAAACUUUUUAUGAAAAUACAUAUUUUUAUUUUAUAUAACUAAAAAUUAAAAAUUUGAACAAAACAAAACUUUAGAAUCACAACCAUGUUUUUAUUUUAUAUAAAUUAAAAAUAUUAAACAUUUCAACCAAGAAGAAAAUUAAAACUAUGGUCAAGUUACAUCCAUAAGAAAAAAGCUAAAACCAUGAUCAUCAAUUUUGAUUUUCACAUGAAAAUUUAAAAAUUUUUAAAAAUAUAAAAAAAUUAAAUAAUAUGACAAUAUAAGAAGAUUUAUAAAAUAAAUAAAUAUUUUAUUUAGGAGGAAUAUAAAAAGUCUUAUAUCCUAAACUUCUAAAUUUGUUAUUAUGUAUUUAUUUUUAUAUUAAAUUUGUUCUUAUUAAUUAUUUAUUAUAUAUUAUUAAUUUUUAUUUAAAUAUCUAUAAAUAAUUAAAAUCAAUAAAUAUGAACAAAUGAAAUAGUGAAAAAAAAUUAAAUUAUAAAAUUUUCAUGAAGCCAAUACAUUAAAAAUAAAUAAAAAAUAAAAAUAAAAAUAAAAAUAAAAGCAAAAAUGUGGAGAUAUUAUGGAGGGAAAAAAAAUCAUGUGACAUAGUAGAUUGUUACAUAUCAAAGUUUUUUUUUUUUUUUUAAACCAACCACGAUUAGCACUUUGACUUAUCAUGUCAAAGUAUAAAAAUAAAAAUUGUGAUAAUUAAUGUCAUGAUGAGAAAAGGGUUAGUCGUUUUGAAAAUACAUGUUUUCAAGACAUAUAUAUAUAUAUAUAUAUAUAUAUAUAUAUUGUGAAAAUAAAAAACCAAUCUCCCUUUUGAAACAGCAGAAACCUUUUGGCAAAAAACCGUGUCUUUCAUUCAUAUUUGCACGAGUAUAAAUACACACAUAUAGACUAGAUUCAAGAAGGAAUUACGACUAUAAUUGUGGGUCUGACUUUUUAUAUAUAGUAGGUACAAAUAUUAUAUGGUAUAACUGCAACUAUUAUAGGAUUGAAUCAGAGGAUGAGUUGGUCAAAGGAUACGAUAUAACUGCAACAAUCACGGGCUUGUCUCAAAGUAUGAGUUGGUCAACUAUUUUCCACAAAGACCACAUGCCGAGAAAUGAACAUUUUUGAGGUGGAUGGGUCAUAACAUCUAUAGGAAUUAUGUGAGAGAAUAGCCAAGGAAAACACAGGGUCGAGACUUGGGAUCCAAUUUAUGGCAUGUGUAGGGUUUUAGCUAGGGGUAACAAAGGCAACCAAAGAUUUUAAGUUCGAGAUAGUAGGGGGAAGGGUGAAAGAGGGUCUCAAAAGGAGAUUUGUUAUCUAAAAGUGGGAUUGGCAUCUGAUUAAUGAGGUAAAUUAUCGUUUGACAGGCAACAGGCCAAAAUUGAAGACGAAUGGAGGCUUGAUGAAGAAGAGUCAAUGUCAUCUCAAGAUUAUGUCUAUGUUGUCUUUCAGCAAUCCCUACAAUUUGUGAAGUGUAUGGAGGAGAAUAGGGGUGUUAAAUUCCAUGUUUUGGAGAGUGUGGGAUGAAGACCUGCAUAUUCCCAGGAUUGGGGUUUUGAAAUAUUUUUCUACUAGUUGCUUGAAGUUUUCAAAAAUACAAGUGGUAUCUGAUUUGUUUUUUAGAGGAUAAAGCCAUAUGUAUUUGGUGAAAUGGCCAACAAAAAUCACAUAAUAUAAAAAAUUAUCAAGGAUGUGAUAGGAGCAAGUCCCCAAAUAUAAUUAUAAAUAAGUUUAAGGGGUUUAGAGCUUAUAAGAGAAGAUGCACCAAAGGAAAGUCAAUGACUUUUAUUACAUAAGCAUGAGUUACAAGAGUCUAGAGACGACUUGGACAUUGAAAGUGAAUGACUUGAGAUGACAUGUCAGAGAAUACGUCGAUUGGGAUGAUCAAGACAACGAUAACAUUUAUUUAAGGAUGUUGGACUGGUGGUGGUGUUGUAGGCCUGAGGUGUGGAGCUUGAGUAGGGAAAAGAAGUCGGACACUCAUACAGAUUUCCCUUAAACGAGUGUUGCCCCCGUGCUCAAAUCCUUCACCAAAAAGUAAGUAGGGAAAAAUUCAAUUGAUGUACAAUUAUGUUUGCAAAACUGAGAAACAAAAAUUAAGUUUUUAUGAAUAGCUGGAGCACACAAAACAUUACCAAACAUAAAAUUUGAAUUUUUAAUAAUUAAAUUAGUAGAAUCGGUAUGAGUGAUAGAAAUACCAUUACCAUCACCAAUAAUUACAUGUCUGUACCACCAUAUUCAGAAUGAAUGGAAAGAUUCUGAAGAUCUGAAGUAAUGUGGUGUGAGGCUCCGGAGUCUAUUACCUAAUUGGCAUUAUGAGUUGGUGGUUCUCGAGCCAUGAAAUUUGCUUGUGGUGUGGAAUAGGAGGAUGGGCGAGACCUGCAGACCCUGGCAGUAUGUCUAGCUUUGUCACAUAGUUGACAAACAACACAGAUUUGAGGGGGAUUGAAUGGAGGACGCCCUUGUGGACCAAGAAAUCUAUUCCCUUGGUUAGGGAACAUGUGUCCAUGAUGAUUCUUGUUGCCUUGAUAAUUAUUUCCAAAUUGAGAACUUUGUCCUUUCUUAUUGUUUGAGUUGUUCCCCUUUUUGCCAAAGUUGUUUGAGCCCUUUUGAUUAAACUGAGUUGUAACAGUAACACUAUCCUUCUUGAAUUCUUCACGUUUUAGGAACAUUUCAUGAUCUGCUAGUUUGUCAUGUAGUUCUUCAAAGGAUAUGGAAGAAUCUCAAGCUCUUAUUGUUGCACUCAAUUCCUUGAACUCAGAUCCUAAACCUUUGAGAACACUUAUCACCAUUUCUUCUGCACCAAGAGGGGAUCCAACAAUAGCCAAUUCAUCAUCGCUCAUAGUUUUGAUUACUGUCAUAUAUUCAACAACAGAUUUAUUUUCUUUGAUGAGUUGGCUCAGCAUCUCUCGGAGUCCUAAGAUCCUAGUCUUCAAUUUGCUGGCAUAUGUGGUGUAUAGACGAGCCCAAGCCUCUUGAGCAAAUGUAGUGGAUGCAACAAGAGGGGCAAUGGUGGAAUCAACUGAUUCCAUGAUAGCAUGCAGAAGUAGGCUCUCUUGGCGUUUCCAAAUUUUGUGCUCCGGAUUGGGUGUGAAAGUGUCACCCAUUUUUAUCAUUUCUAGUGGACUUGGAUAUGUUCCAUCAACAUACCCAAUCAGAUCAUAGCCAUAAAGUAGUGUUGAGAACAUUGUUCUCCAAGAGGGAUAAAUGCUGCUACCGAUGAGUUUCAAGGGGAAGUUGUGUUGCUGCAUUAAUAGACACCAGUGCGGUUGAAGGAGUGUUUCCACAUGACAUGAUGACUCUGUGAUAUGGGAAGGGCCCGGAGGAGUAGGAGUCUUCAGCCAUAGGGAUAGGAAUAAAAGGUGGUUUCAAUGAAGAGACUACAAGAUUUGGGUGGCUGCUGGAAUAGUGACUGUGGAGUUUAUGGCUUUGAUACCAUGAAACAGCAGAAAGAUUUUGGCAAGAAACAAUAUCUUUCAUUCAUAUUUGCAUGAGUUUAUAUACACACAUAUUGACUAGAUUCAAGAGGGAAUUACAGUUAUAAUUGUGGGUCUGCCUUUUUAUAUACAGUCGGUACAAAUAUUAUAUGGUAUAACUGCAACUAUUGUGGGAUUGAGUCAGAGGAUGAGCUGAUCAAUGGAUAUGAUAUAACUGCAACAAUCACGGGGUUUUCUCAAAGUAUGAGUUGGUCACGUGAGCUGUCUAUCACCUUCUUGUUAGAAUAACUAGGGACUCACAUAAAUUAAUAAUUGUUUAUGACUGACUCAUGCCCAAUUGGUGUCUCAGCUGAUUUGUGUUCAGCUGGUGCUCCUUGAUUGAGGAAGUGAUCAACAAAAUUUAUACCUAUAACACCAUACACUAGGGUAGCAAAUACAAAGCUACUAUAGUAUAGUGGCUCUAAGGAUCGUUCACUGGGAAUGAUUUGCAAGCAAUCAAGGAUACCAAUUCCAAGUGAAUUGGUUUUGUUUCAUUUCACGGUUAGCUUAAGGAAUAAAACACAAACUUUGAUUUGUAAAGGUUGAGACUUAAACUAACUAACUUAACAGAAGUUUGGAAUAAUUUAGGAAGAAAAGCAUUCCUUGGAGAUUUAGGUUCACUGGGGUGGUUCCUCAUGCAAAAGACAUAGCUCCGGUCAGAUGGUUCAUUUCCUCGCAUUAGAGAUUCAACUUAUAGUCAAUUCUCUAACCGGUGAUGUACAGAGACUCCUUCAAUUAGAUUUCACUUUAAUUCUCUCACUGAUGUAACUUACAAUGGUUCAUGCCUCUCACGAGCACUUACCAUUCAAGGUGAUCUUUAACCUUGGAUUCCCCUUCACAAACUCGCAAGAGAUAACUAAUGGAUGCCUCCUAAGAGUCCAAAAGCUUACCAAGUGUUGGUAAUUCCAGAAAAUCCUACCUUGAAGUCACCUACCAAAGGCUCGCAAGGGGUAAACUAGUGCAUUUCCACGGUUGGAAAUCACUUGCCUUACCAAGUGUUGGCCCAGGUGACUCCAAAGUGUUUUAAGUUAACUAAAAACAUUGAAAUCACUAAAGGAUUUCACUUCCUCUUCAUUACUAGCUAAAACCACAGAGCUUUGCAUUCUUGCACUUGGAACCUUCCCCGGCAACCUUAGCUCCAAGGAAUUGGAGGUUUAGUUACUCAUUCUCUGGGGAAAACUCCUCAGAGAAUUCAUAACUUAGAAAUAAAAUGAAAAUACAAAGUGAUAAGGUAAGGCAGUAGAAAGAAAAGACCUUUACUUCCUUACCAAAUGGUUACAGAAGGAACUCCUCUCUGAGGACAGGCUCCCGAGAGGUAUUUAUAGCAAACUAAUAUAAAACUAAUUCUUACAAAGAUAUUUGGUCUUUUUACUAACUUAAAAACUAAGGAAUCAUGUAAUUGGUGGUUUACAAGGAGUAUUUUGGAAUUUAGACAACAAAAAUCUAAUGGAAAAUAUCUCCCAAUGUCGGUAGCAAGCUUCGGGAGGCUUCCGGAGCCAUUUCGCAGGAGAAAAGUGAGGUCUGCGAAAUUUCGCAGACACCCAAGAGGGCUGCGAAAUUAUUUCGCAAGACCAAGCUGUCUUCAUAGGGCUACGAAGUUGGCUUCCAUCUUGAAGUUUCCAGCUCCCUUCUCGCGGCAUGGUUCGUGCAUCGUCAGAAGGAGAAACACCUUGCUGUACAAAAGUGCUGCGAAAUUCUCGCAACAAAAGGCCGAUUCCGCAACACUUUAGAGUGACUGGCUUGUAAUGGCUGCAACUUCUUCGUUUCAACUCCAAAUUGCACACCGUUUGAAGCAUUGGAUUGUUGACUUCCUGAGCUUUGAAAUGGUAUAUAGCUUGCAUCAUUUGGACUUCAGAAAGUGCUCCAAAAGUGGCUGCUACGACUGUCAUCAAGAAUAUGCUCCAUGACUGAUCCUCUUUGCUUUUUCUCCUUGCAAUCCGGAUUCACUCUUGGCAAUUGAAUUCUAAGCUUUGCCCAUGAUUCCUCAUAGUUCUCCUCAUUCUUGACUUGCUUUGGUGAUCAAAAUACUAACAAAAACACCAAAACUUGCACAAAGUGAUCAAAAUUGCUUUAAAGGAUCCUUAACAUGCCAAUUGAGUUAAAAGGCCUAAACUACUACUCAAAAGUGUUAAAAAGGAUUAAUUAAAGGCUAUCAAAUAGCACUUUUUGAGUAGUAAUCACUCCCCCCAACCGACAUAUUGCUAGUCCCUUAGCAAUAUAGGAGAGAAAAAUGAAAAUAAAUAGCUAAUUAUACUAAAAUUUACAACAUCAUGCUAAACAAAAUCAAUUCUCAAGUGGCAUGAUGAUCUAUUUCUCACAUGAAUCAUUAAAGAAAUACAAACCCAAAUCUCAACAAGAGUCAUAACACCUAUGCUAACCACUGUCAAUCAAGGGAGUGCAUUAUGCAAACUGAAGUUUUAAAAUCAUUUCACUUUCUGAGAACUAAACUUCGAUCUUCCACAAAAAUCUAUGUGUAUUGGUUCCUUAGGUUCCGAGAAUAAUAUGCUACUAAUCUCACCCCCCAACCUAUCUCUUUUCAACACUUUAGCAAACUGACCAAAAUCAAUAAGAAAAGAACACACUUUCAUCCUUUUUUUUUUUUUUUUUUUUUUUUUUUUUUUUUUUUUUUCAAGGUAGCUUUAUGGGGUACUCUUUCUGACUUGUCCAUGUAAUGGGGGUCCAUCGAUGACUCCCAACCAAUUAAGGUUUAGGGCACCAAGUUUUAAGGAUCUUUCAACCACUAACUCCUCGGAUUUUUCCCCGGACUUUUAAGAAUGAGUUUCUAAUACCCAAGCAUCUACCAUAUGCUAGCUCUACUAUUCACCCUUGUAACGAGCAUUGAGGUCGGUGUCUCCCAACCAAUUAAGGCUUAGGGCACCAGGCUUUAAAGGCUUUCACCAUAUGCCCCUCAGACCUUGCUCGGGUUUCAAGGCAAGCAAACAACUUUCUUUAUUUCAAAGGCUCAUUGGCCUUUUGCAGGGUGUUUCAAUUUUUAUCAAAUGAGGUCAAAUAUACCAAGUCUCAAAAUUAUUCUAAGUCAAGAGGGAAAUAGUUUUUCAUCUUAUAAUCGGAAACUAAUGUGCACAGUGUGUGGAUAGCUUAAAGUAGAAGAACUCAAUUCAAUUUCAGUAGAAGUUUCAACAAUUGAACCACUUUAGUAAGCAUAAUCCAUACUCUAAGUCAAGUGAAAAACAACAGUUCAAUUUCUCUUGGUUUAAUUUGAAAAUUUUUCCUCAAAAUUCAUGGAGAAUAGAGUAACACUAGUAAAAAGUAAAAACUACAACUAAUUAACCAAUAUAAUUGCAAUACCAAAAAGGUUUAGAAUACUUCCUUCCUCAUACCCCCCAACCGAACUGAACAUUGUCCUCAAUGUGAUUUGAGUGACUGUAAUAAAAGGGAGGAAGUGGUACCUCCAUGCUGAUAUCAAAUUCGAAUAUUGAUUGGGGAAAACCACAUGUUUCAAAAAGAAUAGAAUAUGUGAGAAAAGGAAAUAAUAAUAACUUAAUGUUAACUUUUAACAAGAAAUAGUCAACUUGUAUUACUUUGAGUUCAUUUGAUUACAAUACUAAAGACAAGUAACACAAGGAAUCCCAUAUAUAGUACCAAAAUAUUGGGAUUUCAUUGCAACUAAAACAAAAUAAACAUGCAUAAAAACAUAAACAGCAAAUAUAUAUAAUGUCUGAUAAGUGGGGUGAUAGUUGCUAGGCAGAAGGAUCUGCCUCCUCAGUAGGUGGAUCAGCUGGUGCUUCGGGUUCUGGAGGAUGAGACUCUGAAGGCUGAGAGUGUGGCUCUGGUGGAGUAGGAAUGAAGGGCUCUACAGCUUGUGGCAGAUCGAAAUGGACUUGAAGCUGCCUUAGGAUGGCAGCUUGUUGAGCCUGAGAGGCUAACAUCUGCUCCUGGCAUGCUUUGAUGGCUGCCAACUCCUGAGCAAGAUUGCUCUGGGAAGCUGUAAGAGUCUCCAAUGCAUGGCACAGCUCUCGAUAUUCAGAUAUAGGGAUGGCCAUCCUAGGCUCAGCUGAUGUGGAUGGUUGUGAUGGAGCAGGUGCAGCUGGUGGAGCUCGAGGGAUGGCAGGAGUAGCAAGUGUGAUAUCUUCAGGUGCAUGUCUUGGGGAGGCUCUCCUUGCUGCUGGCUGAGGCUGCCCAGGCUGAUCAAUUUUGUAGGCCGUCAUAUUAUUCCAUUUAUCAAGGGUAAAUGGCUCACGGCAUAUUCUCUUUCUUUCCUGCUGAGGCUCAGAGGGGUAUCCGAGAUGUUCCAAAACUUGGCAUAGCAGCCGUGGGAAGAGGAGUGGAAUGCAAUCUGCUCUUUGAAGCUUCUUCUUAUGAACCUUCUCCUCAAAGUAAAGAAGGGCUGCCAUGAUCAGAUGAUGAGGCCCAAAGAAGAAUCCUUCAGACAUCUUGUAUAGAGCUUCCAAGAGAACUCCCCUUCUUUGGGUCCAAUGCUGCAAGGGAUAGAUAUUAUGCCUCAAAAAGGCAUCAAUCAAAAACAUCACUGGAGGUAGCUCCCCCCUCAGCAGGUGUGAUCGAUUUGCAGCUCCUCCAGUUAGGGUGCUAACCAUCUCUAACUCAGUAGGAUUUACCCAAGCUUUAAAAUUGUCAAAUUGGGUUGGCUCAAACGGAAUUUGCAGGGCUUCAGCAAUAUGUCUUGCUCCCAAAAUACCAUGUCUUCCAUCAAUUAUGAAAUGGAUCAGAGUUGGAUUUCUUACCUCUUUGGUUGUCAUGGUCUGGUAGAAGUCUGUGACUACCCGGGGAUAGAAAAAAUCCCUUGGAGCUAGCAGAUGCUCCAUAUGAUAUCUCCUCAGCAGUUGGAAUGAUUGGGCAAGCUCUGGCCUCACUCUAAAUGCUGCUAAAUCGAAGCACAAUUCAGAAUGGAAUGCCCGAGUUCGGCAAUCCAGGUUUCCUUCGAUUGGGGGCUGGGGCAGCAUUGGCCUUCGGAUCACUUCUUCCAGAGGUGCUUCAGCUGCAAUUUGGGGCUCUGGAAUUGGCGCUUGAGGCUCCUGAGCUUUUUCUUGGGGGGCCGGAGAUGGUACCGGCGAUGGAAUUGGAGUUGCUUCUGGUGAGGGAAUUGGCGAGGGAACCGGUGACGGCACUGGAAUUUGUACCGGUGAAGGAUUUGGUGAUUUCUCAGGGGAUUGCUCAGUCAAAUCAAUUGGUUCAGAGCUCUCAACCCUGGCUUUCUUCUUCAAUGGCUGACCACCUGACCUGGUUAAAUAUCGCCUUGCCGGCGGCUUUGGUGGCGCCGGCUUCACUGGAGAAGGUUGUGGUCUCGACGGCGAAGGCUUUGGAGCAGGUUCUGGAACAGAGCCUGAACUUGGCUCCUUUCGCAGACUCCUUUUGCGGUUCGAAGGGGAUGAAGACUUUGCCCCUCGCGUUCGUGCCAUUUUGGAAUAUCGAUCUUUGGCCGGCGCUGCUAAACGGAGAAGACGACCGGAGGUUCGGACGGCGUGGCUUGGCGAAGAAGAUGAAGGGGCUGCGAGAAUGGUGCUCUGAUUUUUGAAACCCUUUUCGCAGCACUUUUGACCGGUAUAAAUAGGAAAAACGGAAGCCCAGGGGUCAGAUUACGUUUCGCAACAAAACGCCAAUUUCGCAGCAACUUGCCAUUUUCGCAGCAACUUCGCAGUGAGUUUCGCAGCUGCGAAAUUGAUGUCACUGUGCUGCGAAGUGGCACUCGUGUGCCAAAUCCACUUUCACAAUUGCGAAAUGCCCUGCGGAAUGGGACUUUUGGUGCGAAAUCACGCUUUUUCAUUUCGCAACGCGUUUCGCAGCUGCGAAAUGGAUGCUACUGUUCUGCGAAGUGGCACUCGUGUGCCAAAUCCACUUUCGCAAUUGCGAAAUACACUCGCAGAGGCUUCUACAGUGCUGCGGAGCGGUUUGGCAACAAAAAUCACAUUUCGCAGAAGUUUCCUUCACUCUGCGAAAUUUCGCAGAGCUCUGUUUUUCCCCUGUUUUUGCUCUGUUUCGGCUCCAAUUUCGACCCGAUUUUUUUUCUUUUCAAUCCCCUUGAAAUUUCUUCCACCUGGGAUCAUAUAACAUGAUUAAAACACACCUAAAAACAUGAUUUAAGAUCAAAAACUAAGAUCAAAAGUAUGAAAACAACUUGAAAAUUUACAAAAUUUACAAAAAUUUUGGACUGUGGUAAAACCACGCCCAGCAAACCCUUUUCACUUAAGCUUUUUGAGGUUCAAGGAGGUUGAUUGCCUCCUUUUCUGAUUUGAAUGACUCCAUGAACGGCUUAAGACGAUAUCCAUUGACUCUAAAGCUAUCCUUGCCAUUGGAAUUCAAUAAGUCCACCACUCCAUUGGAAUAUACUCGGUGAAUAACAAAUGGACCAAUCCACCUUGACUUGAGCUUCCCAGGAAAGAUAUGGAGUCUUGUGUCAUACAUCAAAACUUUUUGCCCUUCCUGAUUCAGUUUGCCUGGAUCCCAUUUGAAGCUUGCAUCCUUCACUUGAGACUUGGUUUGAGAUGAAGAUAUUACGACAGGACAUUGAUUAUUUUCUUCAAGAUAUGUAUAAUUCAGCUCCACAGGUAAAGGCUUCAGAUUGAGUUUUGGAAUUUCUUUUUCAACAGCUGCCUCCUCUUCCUUAUUGAACAAAGGUAAAAUUCCUUCUAUCUUUCUCCAACUUUGUAGAGUAGCAAGCCUAAUAGGAGAUUCAGAAAAACCUUCCUCAAUAUCCUCAAGACUUUCAUUCAACUUGUCUUGCAUAUGUUGAUUGCAGUGCUCCUCCACCAAAGUAUCAAUUAUACAUAGCUCUUCUGGACCUUCUUCUUCUUCCGGAGUGAUUUGCUUUUUAGACAUAUAGAAAAUAUUUAGAUCCAGUGUCAUAUUACCAAAAGUGAGUUGCAUCAGCCCAUUUCUACAAUUGAUGAUUGCAUUUGAAGUUGCAAGAAAUGGCCUUCCAAGGAUGAUAGGAACUAAAUUAGCUUCCUUUACAGUUGGAUCAGUAUCAAGAACAACAAAAUCUACAGGAUAGUAGAAAUUAUCUACUUGAACCAAUACAUCCUCAAUUACUCCUCUUGGAAUUUUCACUGAUCUAUCUGCCAAAGAUAAAGUGAUUGCUGUUGGCUUCAACUCUCCAAGGCCCAGUUGCUUGUAGACAGAGUAUGGAAGCAAAUUCACACUUGCUCCCAAGUCUAGCAAGGCUUUCUCCACUACCUUUCCUCCAAUCAUGACUGAAAUGGUAGGACUUCCAGGGUCUUUAUACUUCAAAGGAGACUUACACUGUAAGAUUGCACUUACUUGCUCAGUCAAGAAGGCUUUCUUGUUUACAGUCAACCCUCUUUUGAUAGUACACAAGUCCUUUAGGAAUUUUGCAUAUGUUGGAACUUGUUUGAUCAUAUCCAGUAGUGGAAUAUUAACUUUCACUUGCCUCAAUACUUCUAGGAUUUCAGCUGCAUUUCUAACCCCCUUUUUCCCCUGUAAUGCUUGAGGAAAAGGUGGAAAAGUUGAUUUAUUCAGCAUUUCUUCCUUCAGAAGCUCCUUCUCUGGAAUUACUUCCCUUGUUGCAUCAGAGUCCUUCUUCUCUUCACUGAUCUCACUGCCUUUAUCUUCCAUUUCCUUCCCUUUCUUCAUCUCUUCUUCUUUCUCAACAUGUGGCUUGGGUGUUGGAUGCUCAAUUUUUUUACCACUCCUUAGAGUGAUCAAAGCUUUCACAUCUUUCACCUGUGAUGAUUCUCCCUCAUGGCUUUCCACUUCAUGGACACCUUUGGGAUUUUGGUUAGGUUGAGAAGGAAAUCUUCCUUUUUCUUGCAGUGUAUUCAAAUUUGUAAGCCUGGAGAUUGAAUAUUGGAUGUUAUCAAACUUUUGAUUCAUGUCAUUUUGCAUUCCAUCCAUUCUUUUGUUCAACAUACUCUCCAUUCUGUCCAUUCUUUGAUCCACUCGAGCAUUGGUGGCUUCUUGCUUUCCCACAAAAUCUCCCACUACCUUGUUGAGAUUGGCUAUUAUUUGUUCAAUACUUGAAGAUUGCUGAGAUGGUGGAUCCGGCUGUUGGUAUUGAGUUGCUCUGGCCUUCCAUGAGAAAUUUGGAUGAUUCCUCCAACUAGAAUUGUAGGUAUUUCCAUAAGGAGCAUUGUUAUUGGGCCUGAAUUGUCCAACAACAUUUGCUUGAUCUCUAUACAUUUCCCUUUCAACUGAAAUUGCAGGGCACUCCUCCACCAAAUGUUCAAAUGAUUGACAAUUGGGACACAGCUUCACUUGCACUGGUGCUUCAGCAACAGCUUGCACUUCAUGCAUUCUUUUCAGCUCCAGCUCCUCCAAUCUUCUUGUCAUAGCUGCCAACUUUGCUUUCAUGUCAUCAUCUUCUUUCAAAUUAUACAUCCCAGCCUUUGCAUUGUAAGCAUUCAACUGAGACUUCAUCUUUCCCACUUCUCCUUUGGUUGGUUCAUCCCAUCCCCUUGAAACAUCAGCUACAUAGCUCAAGAAAUCCAUAGCUUCCUCUGGAUUUUUGCUCAUGAAAUCUCCUCCACACAUUGUCUCGAGGAGUUNNNNNNNNNNNNNNNNNNNNNNNNNNNNNNNNNNNNNNNNNNNNNNNNNNNNNNNNNNNNNNNNNNNNNNNNNNNNNNNNNNNNNNNNNNNNNNNNNNNNAACUUAUAGUCAAUUCUCUAACCGGUGAUGUACAGAGACUCCUUCAAUUAGAUUUCACUUUAAUUCUCUCACUGAUGCAACUUACAAUGGUUCAUGCCUCUCACGAGCACUUAUCAUUCAAGGUGAUCUUUAACCUUGGAUUCCCCUUCACAAACUCGCAAGAGAUAACUAAUGGAUGCCUCCUAAGAGUCCAAAAGCUUACCAAGUGUUGGUAAUUCCAGAAAAUCCUACCUUGAAGUCACCUACCAAAGGCUCGCAAGGGGUAAACUAGUGCAUUUCCACGGUUGGAAAUCACUUGCCUUACCAAGUGUUGGCCCAGGUGACUCCAAAGUGUUUUAAGUUAACUAAAAACAUUGAAAUCACUAAAGGAUUUCACUUCCUCUUCAUUACUAGCUAAAACCACAGAGCUUUGCAUUCUUGCACUUGGAACCUUCCCCGGCAACCUUAGCUCCAAGGAAUUGGAGGUUUAGUUACUCAUUCUCUGGGGAAAACUCCUCAGAGAAUUCAUAACUUAGAAAUAAAAUGAAAAUACAAAGUGAUAAGGUAAGGCAGUAGAAAGAAAAGACCUUUACUUCCUUACCAAAUGGUUACAGAAGGAACUCCUCUCUGAGGACAGGCUCCCGAGAGGUAUUUAUAGCAAACUAAUAUAAAACUAAUUCUUACAAAGAUAUUUGGUCUUUUUACUAACUUAAAAACUAAGGAAUCAUGUAAUUGGUGGUUUACAAGGAGUAUUUUGGAAUUUAGACAACAAAAAUCUAAUGGAAAAUAUCUCCCAAUGUCGGUAGCAAGCUUCGGGAGGCUUCCGGAGCCAUUUCGCAGGAGAAAAGUGAGGUCUGCGAAAUUUCGCAGACACCCAAGAGGGCUGCGAAAUUAUUUCGCAAGACCAAGCUGUCUUCAUAGGGCUACGAAGUUGGCUUCCAUCUUGAAGUUUCCAGCUCCCUUCUCGCGGCAUGGUUCGUGCAUCGUCAGAAGGAGAAACACCUUGCUGUACAAAAGUGCUGCGAAAUUCUCGCAACAAAAGGCCGAUUCCGCAACACUUUAGAGUGACUGGCUUGUAAUGGCUGCAACUUCUUCGUUUCAACUCCAAAUUGCACACCGUUUGAAGCAUUGGAUUGUUGACUUCCUGAGCUUUGAAAUGGUAUAUAGCUUGCAUCAUUUGGACUUCAGAAAGUGCUCCAAAAGUGGCUGCUACGACUGUCAUCAAGAAUAUGCUCCAUGACUGAUCCUCUUUGCUUUUUCUCCUUGCAAUCCGGAUUCACUCUUGGCAAUUGAAUUCUAAGCUUUGCCCAUGAUUCCUCAUAGUUCUCCUCAUUCUUGACUUGCUUUGGUGAUCAAAAUACUAACAAAAACACCAAAACUUGCACAAAGUGAUCAAAAUUGCUUUAAAGGAUCCUUAACAUGCCAAUUGAGUUAAAAGGCCUAAACUACUACUCAAAAGUGUUAAAAAGGAUUAAUUAAAGGCUAUCAAAUAGCACUUUUUGAGUAGUAAUCAAUGACUAGGCUAUCUAUACAUAUUUCAAUUUAUAUUUAUUAAGUACGAGUCACCUUGUGAGUAGAGCCCAAGUCACAUGUCUUACAUGAUGGGCCUAAAACACAUGAUGGGCCUAAGACACAUGUGGCCCAACAGCCCAAUGGGUAUGCUCUCCAACCUCCCAUCACAAGAGAGAAAACAGAAAAGUGGUUUCCUCCUCUAUUGCCUUAGAAGAACCAUAUUUCUUCAAAAUCAACAAUGGAUUCGCGUUUGUCUACAUUCUCUAAUCUAAUCGACAUGUUUUUUUUAUUAUUUAACAUGAGAUUUCUGGUUUUGGGUUGAUAAAGAAUUUGGUAAUCUUUAAAAAUGUUUUACAACACUUCUAUCUAUGGGGCAUGAUAUCUUUAUAGACUACGCAUCUGAUCAACUUUGUGGCAUGUCUCAUCCAACUUAUUUUAAUGCUUGUUUAUGUGACAUGAUACAAUGGAAUGGUAGUUAAAAACUCUUUUAUUUCUUUAAUACAAGAACACGUCUCUAGUCCAAAACAAAAGAAAACAAAUUGGAAACAUGUCUUUCCAGCCCUCAGGAAGGGAUUUAAACCGGAAAUAUUAACGAUACAUUUUCAAAGCAUACUUAAAGCAAACACUCCUCUCAUAUUACCAAUGCAACACGAUUCAAAAGCCCUUUUAUUCUACACGAAACUUCUUUCUGAUCCACAAGACAAAGCCAUGGACCUUCUGUGGGUCUUCGAUGGGAAGACCCCCACACAUGAUGUUCCCCUUUUACUCUAUACCAAGCUUCUUCCUCAUCUCCAUGACAAAGCCAUGGACCUUCUGUGGGUCUUUCAGAGAAGACGACACACUCUCCUUUUCCUUGCACCUCUUGGUCCAAGCGAUCAACUUGGGGCACUCCACCUCUAUGCUGAAGUUACCAAAGCUCUCAUACGCAUAAAACAAGGUUGAGAAAGUCACCAGAGCCACAUCCACAAACCCAAAUUUCUCACCACCAAAGUAAGGCUUCUCUCCAAGCUCUCCUUCCAAAAUCUUAAGGUACUCUAUGAAUUCAUUCUUGGCUGUUUCCUGCUCUUCUCCUUUGGUUGACCAUAUCCUCCUUCCAAGUUCAUAGAGCUGUGGAAAGUAAUGGAGUCAAAGAGAGAAAAGGCUUGUUUUUUUUGGAGCAUUUCAUCAAGUUUCAAACUUUCUGUAUAGUUGGACAAGUUUAUUAACGACCCUUCAGCAUAGAAAUCUCGUAUCCUAGGAAAAAUAUCAGAAUCAGCUGAAAGAAUGUAUCAUUUGCUAAAGUUUUUCCCCUCAAUUUGGGUUAAAGAAAUGAGAAGAAAGAGAUCAAAAAGACAGAACACAUAUUAAAACAACUGUUGUGCAAAAUGUUGAACAGAAGGAUAACAAAAAACCAAAAUCUGUUCUUUAAAAUCUGGUUUAUGUAUCCCCUUUCUUGGGGGAAAACGUAUUCUUGAGAUCUGCUUUUUUGGAUGGAACGAACAGACUUCGGAUUCAACAGAACAAAGAAAUAAAAACCCAUAUCAGAAAUGCAGAGUGGAGUCUUGUUGAAGAAACAGCAAAGAGAAUCAGUAAAGUUCUAGUUUGGGACACCAAAGCCAACAAAACUAAAUAUCAGAAGAGAAUAUGUGAAGAACCAGAAUUUUGGAUAAAUCCCUCACCAUAAUCAAAAUGUGAGUCAAUCGCCAUGAAUCAAUGGAAAAGAAUGCUUUAAAUCAACAGAAAAGGCAUACCUUCUUGUCUAUGUAGUCCGCCCAGAACCUGGCCUGAGCUCUCUGGUAUGGGUCACUAGGCAACAAGGGAGAUUUUUCGUUCCAAACCUCAUCAAUAUACUGAACUAUUAUCAUAGACUCACAAAUGGGCUUUCCAUUGUGGAUCAGAACUGGGAUUUUCUUAUGAAUCGGGUUCAUCUCAAGAAGCAGAGGACUCUUGUUGCUCGUGUCCUCCUCUCUAUAUUCAUACUUGAGACCCUUCUCUGCCAGGGCAACUCUGACCCUCAUACCAAACGAGCUAGGCCAGAAAUCCAACAAGAUAAUCUCGUCUGCCAUUGCUACUACUGUGAUUGAUAAGAUUCAAACUCAAGCAUUGAUGAACUCAAGGGAAAUUGUUAAGUAUUUAUAGCAAACUUCAGAGACGUGGGUUAGAUACUUCUAGGAGGUGAUGAUGCUCAUUCCCUAGCUUUCAUUUUCAUUUUCCUUAAUUAUAUUCUUAUCUCCGAUUCGUAGCUCUCCAGGAUUCCCAUAUUUUGAGUUUAUUUAUUUAUAAGCCAAGUGUUUUUAAUUAAAUAUAAUGCUUUCGAAAUUCUUUGAAAAUUAGAAAAAAUAGUCAUAUUUGAUCAUUUUAAUUUUACUACUUACUUUUAAAUCCAAAAUAGAAAGAAAUUUAGUGUUAUUUUGAAAAUUUAGUGUCAUUGUUACAUUUUUUAUUGCCAUUUUAUGAUUCAAAUUAUCCAUUUCUUUGAUGUUGCUUCUCCCUAUCCAUUUUCGACAUUGGGAUUAAAACUAUUCACUAAAAAAUUGAUUGAUAUAAAAUUACAUUAAAUUUAAAUUAAAUUCAGAUUGACGGAUUAUUUGUCACUAUGCAUGUCAUGUUGCUUGCAAAAACUAUCCAUUCGAUCUCCUUUGCGGUGGUGAUCGCGACAACAAAAACAUGGAAGGAAAGGAAAAACCUUAAUGUUGUUAGCAAGAAAUGAAAGAAUUGGGAGGUUGUGAAGUCUACUUAUGAUCUUAUGAUCUUGUCAAAUAUGAUCAUCAUACAAUACUUGGUAACAUUUAAUUAAAAUAUAUAGUAUUUUUGAGUGACAUUCCCUGCUUAUUACCAACAUAUGGUAGUCACUAAAACCAAUGUCUUUAGUAUAUUUCUUAAUUUAAAACAAUAAAAAGUUAUAAAAAAAUAAUAAAAUGAAAAAUAAAUUUAAAUUCAAUUAACAUUUCUUACAUGUUUCAACAAGACUAUCUCUUUUCUUUUCUUUUUUUUCUAUUCUACAUAAAGAUUGAAAUUUUUUUAUUAUAUUUGAUUUUAUUUUAUACCUUUGAACUAAAGAGAAUUUAGAUUUCUUUCCAUCUCUAUUUUUUUUCUUCAUUUAGUACUUUUUGUAAUCCAAUGGGCUAAAUAUAUUUGUUGCUAGAAAAUUUUACAUUCUCCGUAUUAAAAUUAUGAUCAUCACUACUAGCACUCAAGUAAAAUCUCUCACAAGAAAUAUGUGUAUUAUAAGAAACUAUCGGUUGUAGGAAUUACUCACUAAUUGGUUAAUAAGUAUGGCAAUCUUAUCUUAACACUCAUGGUAGGAUUUUACAUUCCAGUAUGGAAAAAAAACAAGUGACAAGAAAGGAUCACGUACGGAAGAUGCCCAAGCAAGUUCUUGUUGUUUGGUCUAUAUUUUUGGAAUUUUCUUUUUUCUUCUUUCAUGAUUGUGGGCUGUAGUAUAAAAACAUUACUUCUCAACCCCUUUUUCUUCUUUCAUGAUUGUAGCAUAGUUAGAAUCUUAAGAAUCCUUGCUUUGUUGCCUUCUCAUUUGUGAAAAUUUUCAAUAGUAUUAAAAACGAAAGUCAAUGGGUAUUAACGGUGUUACGAUAUUCUUUCCUUUUUUUAAUGGGUAUUGAUUUUGUCCUAAAUCAAACUUCCAAUUCAGACCAUUCAAAUGCAUAAUGAAAUCUAGGUCAUUGGGUCGGGCCGCCCAUUCCGUGGCUCGACACGCCACAAGGUCAGGCGGGGCCAUUACAGGCCAACACUGUAGCAAGCUGGGCUAGCAUGACCCAAAGGAGCAGGCCAUGCUAGGCCUAAAGAAAUAGCCCAUCGGCCCAUCGUGUUGGCCCACUUGGCCCUUUUAAAUUUCACUUUUUACUUUUAACUUUUUAUUACAUGUCAAAUGUCUAUAAUACCCAUCUCAACAACUAUAUUACGACUAGUUUGAGGGGUAAAAAAAGUAAAUCAAUAACUAUUUUUACUUUUUUUAUGUCAAACUUUAGAGGAUGAACUUAAAGAAGCCUUCAAGAAAUUGCAUCUCAAUGCAAACAAUGAUGUUCAAGAGAUUUAUGAUGAUUGAAGAUGAAAAAAUAAGAAUGAAGAUUGAAUAAGAAGACAAAAGUGAAUAUGAUAAUUGAAAAAUUAUAUGUUGUUCGUUUCUUUUAAAUCUAUUAAAUGUAGUUAAUUUUUAAAGGUUAAGUAAUGCAUAUGAUUGAUAGUUGGGUGGGUGUCAACCUGGAUGGGAUGUACUCAAACUAUAAUGACGCAAUUCUCACUUUUGUUUUUUUUUUCUCCUUAUUUUUUCAUGUAAUUUGUUGAAAUAUAGAAUAAAAGAAUUAUUUUUUUAUAUUUCAUUUCCUUUUAUAUUCCAUUAUUUUAAAUUUAUUGUUAUUUUGAUUUUAAAAAAAAUAAACAAAUUCAAAUAUAAUUUUUUUACUAUUUUUAAAAACAAAAAACUAACAUUUCUAUAAAUUUUACAAUUACAAACUCAAUAAAUAUAAAUGUAAAAAAUAAAAAGUAUAAUUAUUAGAAGUGUAUAAAAAAUAAUAUAUAUAAUUAUUAGAGGUGUUUCAAGUAACAAAAAGAAAUUUUAUUUAAUAUUAAGGAAAAAACUUAAGAAAAAAUGACUUAAAAAAUUAAAUUAAAAUUUUUAACAAAGUGAGUGGCCCAUGGGCCAUGGCCCACCGGCACAGCACGGCCUGACCCAGCACGACACGAUUAGCCCACGGACUUAUGGGUCAUGCCAAGCCACCUAUUUGGCUUGCAUGGGUCGGCCCAACCCAACACAUUGGCCCGUAAUGGCCCGAUCAAUAUUAGGCCAUGUCGGCCCAACACGACCCAUUGGGCAUCUCUAUAUACAAGAUUGAAAACCCUUCUUAUCAUGAGAUUUUUCAAAUCCGUUAUUUAUCUUUCAAAGUAAGACUUGUUUGCUAAAAAAAUUGCUCUCUUAGUCUUUAUUUUUGAACUAUCCAUAUCCAAAUAGGGGUUUCCUCCUUAUCUAAGGAGGAGAGAGCCUGAAGGACCAUCCUAGGUAUGGUGUAGUAGCUUGGAGAAGCAUCUAUACCAAAAUCAAAAUGAUAGUUCCAAAUGAAUAAGAUUCUCAUUAGCAACAACCAAUUCAAAUAUAUAAUCUUGGAAAAAUCUUUUCAUGAAAAUUUACUAAGAAUACCAAAACAUUUUUCUUUAGGUUUGAAUACUUAUUUUGGUAACCUUCUUAAUUAUAAAUUAUCUAUUAUGAAUUUUCAAAAUUAACUUAUUUUCUUUAAAUCCAAACCUUGUGCAAAAUAAGAAAAAUAUUAUUUUAUAAAGAUUUGGAAAAACAAGAGUUUUUUUAUUAAAAGAAAGAUUUUAUUCUUAGAGAUCUCGAAGAUCUAAGAAAAUUUUAAAUAAAAUUAAAAUCAUUAAGAAUUAAUUUUUAAAAGGAAUGGAAACUCUUAAUUCUUUUCUAACUUAUCUUUUCUUAAAAUAAAUUUCCUAACAAUACACAUUCCAAUUUAAAUAAGUUUUCCUAUUUUGAAAAACUCCAUCAAAAUUUAUAUCUAAUUAAGAAUACCAAAUUAUCCUAUUUUAGGUCACAUAUGCAAGUAAUAAAGAUAACAUAAAAUAAAAACAAGGAAAUAAUUAAAUAAAUAUUUCUCAUGAACUUUAGGGAUCCUAUUGCAUAUUUGGUAAUUAAAAAUUGGAUAAAAUUCAAAUUAUCAAAAUAUUCUUGCAACCAAAGAUUAGUUAGUAAAAAUUGAAAAAACUCUAAAAAGUUGAAUUUCCACAAAAAAAAAAAAAAAAAAAAAAACCUAAAAAAGAAGCCCAAAAUCAAGCCCAAAUAACCGAAAACAAUUUGGCCUGAACUCAAUUCAGAAAUAGCAUGCUCUUUGCACAACCUUACUACAAUUGACUAUAUAUUCCUCAUUUCAACUCCGAAUAGAAAAUUGUUUGAAGCAUUGGAUUCCUGACUUCCUAAGCUUCAAAAUCAUAUAUGAUUUGUUCCAAUUUUGAGUCAAAUUAGGAUCUAAAUCAAGAACUUCCAAGAAUCUUUCUUUUUUCUUAAGUCACCAUAGGAUCUCAAAAAUGAAAAUUUAAGAAUUUUUCCUUUCCUUUUGGGUCACCAUAGAUGGAUGAAAAAAAACAAAUUUUUUUACAACCAAAAAAAUAAAAAUAAAAAUCUUAUACCCCUCAUGGGGUGUACAACCCAACCUAGAGAAUAAAAUAGCAAAGAUCAUAUCCAUUCAUAUUCAUUCAUUCAAUUGAAUUAAUAAAAGCAUUUCAUUGAUUCAUCCUUAGGGUCUAUGAGAUGAAUAAAAAAACAACCCUGCAAAAUAGAUGUGAGCGCAACUUAGAAUAAAUCUAGCAUGCAAGUGUAGACCUUCCAUUUGUUCCAUUAGCACAUGCCCUAUUAAGUGCUCUUUUCAUACUUUGCAAUAGUCUCCUUUGGUGGCCCAUUUUCUACUCACACAACUUACCUUUUUUAGCCAUCUCAAAGACUCUAGUUGAGAGAUUUAUCUAGCCCCUCAUUGUGAGUGACCCUUGGCAACCCCAAGUUAGAUCUAGGAUUUUCUUUUUCUCUUUUUAUAAUAGCUCCUUUUUAAGUGCUCCUUUAGGACAACAUACUUAGACAUAUUCAAGUACACUUCUUAGGUCACUUAAACACACCCUAGGUCACCUAAGCACCUUCUACCUUAUAUAGACUCACUCUAGGUCACUUAGGCACUUUAUAAACUCACAUUAGGUCAAUUAGGCACUUUUAUGAUCACCUUAGGCCACUUAGGCACUUUUCUUAUCACUUUGGGUCACUUAGCACUUUUUUUUAUCACCUUAGGUCACUUAGGCAUUUUUUUUUAUUAUCUUAGGUCACUCAAGCGCAUUUUUGAUCACCCUAAUCCACUUAAACACAUCCUAGGUUACUUAAGCACUUUUCUUAUCAUCCUAGGUCACUUAAGCCCAUCUAGACACAUCUAGCCCAUUAAGACACACUCUGACUUAUUUAGACAUGCCUUAGUUAAUCUAGGCACAUCUAACCUAUUUAGACAUACCUUGAUCCAUAUAAGCCUAUUUGGUUCAUCUAGGCACACUUAGCCCAUCUAGGCACACCUGACCCACUUAGGUACAUACAUACUCGUCUAAGCACACACCGGUCCAUCUAGGCACACACCAGCCCAUCUAGGCACACCUUGACCCAUCUAGACACACCCUGGCCCACCUAGGGUUACUUGAGCCCACCUAGGUCACCUUUUAGGUAAUUUUUGCUUGCAAGACAUCUUUUUCUAUUUAGUAAUUUAUUUUAUUUAUUAUUUUGUGUAUUUUCUUUCUUUGUUUUUUAGUUUUUUUUUUUUUUUUAUAUUAACAUUGUAACACCUUUUUAUUCAUUUAUUAAAUCUAAUAUUUUUUGUGCUUUUGUAGGGAAAAGUUUGGAUAGGAAAGGAUCCUCUUUUGGAGAGAGAGAACUAGCCAUCUUUGAAGAUCACAAACAACCUCCUGAUAAGAUGAAAAGUUUUAGCUAUAUAUAGGGACUAGUUUUGAAAACUUGAAGAUAUACAAAUAAUGAAAGAGGUGCAUCACAUUAAGAGUCUAGAGAAGAAAGGUUUUUUUACAUAAGAAUGUAAAAAGAUAUGGAGGUAAGAGGGAUUUGGAAUAUAGUUGGUUGCUACCUUGGUUUUGGAAAGAGAUACUCAGCCAUAAUGGGCUCUUAGAAAGUCCUUGAAAGGUUAGAAUUCCGCAUAGGGAUUUUGAGGUUUUUUUUAUUUUUUAUUUUUAGGGGAUUAUGCUGGUUUUCUAGAGGGAAUAUCCAACAAUGUAAAAAAGAGGAAUCAUGUAGCGGUUUUUUUGGGAAGGAAGAUUUUAACAUGCAAAAGGGAGGUUCAGUUGCGGUCUUUGAAAUAAAAUCAUUCAGAGCGUGUGACGAACGAAAAAAGGAGAUUCGGUCCGUGGUGAGGAUGAGAGAUACAGUCCGCGUUUUGAAGACGUUUCGGGAGGGUUUUGAAAGAAUAUGGAGAUAGAGAGAUAUUCAACUCAUUUUGGGAGCACAUUCAGGCCGUGUUCUGGGGAUAUUCAGAGCGUGUUUUGGAGUCACAUUCAAGCCGUGUCUGAGAGUAAGAGGGAGCGUGUUUUCGAGGGUCACAUUCAGUCUGUGUUUUGGGAUCAUUGAGAACACGUUUUGGUUCCCAUUAGUAUGCAUCUAGUACAAAUUGAACCUACCAAUUCGCCAAUUAUGAGUUGGGCGCUUUAACCAUUCAGCCAUGGAUGCUUAGUGGGGAUCCUCGUACAUGGUGAAUAACCAAAUUCUAAUUGAAAUGAAAUCUUUAGGAUAAAUCAAUGUAAUUUAGGAGGAAUAAUGAAAGGACAUCAAUUCAAAUCUUGGAUUUUCAAAUUGAGAGAUAUUGAGAGAGAUCAAUAAUUCUCACUAUUUCUUAGAUUCAUGGACCCAAUUCACUUCAGUGGGAUAUUUCAUUCAUAUUUUUUUCCACCAAGAGAGCACAUUCAGGCUGUGGUCUGAGGGGAAGAUAAGAGAAGGUAAGAAAGGUAUCAUUUGGACAUUGUUUCAUUUUGAAAAUUUGUUUUGACUUUGUUAGUUUUUUGCGGAAUUUUGGAAUUAGGAUUAGAGAUAAGGGUGAUUUCUUUGAAAGUUUGAAUGAUUUUAAUAUCUGGACCUUUUGCUUUUAUUCAUGUUAUUUCAUUAAAAGCUUCAUCUUGAAAAUUUUGGUUAUGCUUUAAAUUUUUUUGGUUCUGAUUCAUGUUAUUAGAAUGUUAUUUCAUUAAAAGUUUCAUCUUGAAAAUUUUGGUCAUGCUUUAAAAUUUUCUGUUUAUGAUUUAUGUUAUUAGAAUGUUAUUUUAUUAAAAAGUCCCAUCUUGAAAAGUUGGUUAUAUAAAAAUUUGGUUAGGUUUUAAAUUUUUCGGAACAUAUUUCAUGAUAUUAGAAUGCUAUUUCAUUGAAAGUCUCAUCUUGAACAUUUUGAUUAGGUUUUAAUUUUUCUAGUUACUAUUCAUCUUAUCAAAAUGCUAUUUUCUUAAAAGUCUUAUCUUGAAAAUUUUGGUUUGGUUUUAAAUUUUCUAGCUAUCAUUCAUGGUGUUAGAAUGCUAUUUUAUUAAAAAUCUUACCUUGCAAAGUUUGAUAAUUUUAACGUUUAUAGGUUAUUCCCAUACUAUCAAAAUUUUCAUGUUUCAAUGAUUAGUUCUUAGGGUUUUUUUAUAUUCUCUAUUUAUUAUGCAUGUUAGUUGAUUGGGUUAUUGGAUUAAAUUGGCAAUGGUAGUUUUUAGGGGUUUUAGAUUCUCUUGUUACUAUGCAUGUUAUUUGAUGGGUUUAUUAGAUUAAAAGUUCUUAUCUUUGGAAACGGUAGUUCUUAGGUUUUUAGAUUUUUCUUGUUAUUAUGCAUGAUUAUUUGAUUGGGUUGUUGAAUUAAAAGUUGUCAUAUUUAGAAAUGGUAGUUCUCAAGUUUCUAGAUUUUGAUGUUAUUAUGCAUAUAAUUUGAUUGGGUCGUUGAGUUAAAAGUUCUCAUCUUUGGAAGAACCAAAUGAAUCAACCCAAGCUCUAAAGAAAAAUCUAAUAAAAAAUUCUUUUGAACUUUAAAAUGGGUUGGAGUUUCCUAGGAAACAAACACACCCACUCUUUGAAUGGAAGAGGAACUCAAUGGAGUUUGUCUGACUGUUGUAGGGGAGGUGUUCCCCUAACCCUAAAAAUCAAUUUUUGGUUCAAAUAGGUAAGAAAACCCUUAGGAAAUGUAAAUUUACAACCACAUGAAGUAUCAUUCUUAAUGCUACUUCAAUUUUGAGUCAAAUAAAUUUGAGUAAAAAUAAGACCAAAAUACCUACCAUGUCCUUGACUAAUUCAAAGGUCAACCUAUUCCAUAUAUUAAUGAACAACAAAUAAAGAAUGCUUGCGAUUUCUCAAAUAAUUCAAAGGCAAGACUUGACUCAAAGGAGUCAAAUGACACAUUAUUUUCUCAUAUGCAUCAUGACAAUAUUUGACACACAGAGUCAAUUGGCAUGUCUAUAUCAAUUUUUUUUUUAGUGCAAAAUGGAAUGGUGGUUAAGAACUUUUUUACCUCUUUAAUACAACUAAUACAAACAAAGCAUAUAUCAAAGUCUCACAAGAAAAAGCAAGGUAAAGCUCAUAAGCUUAUUGUGUGAACAAGUUGACAAAACAUGAAGGCCAAAAGUUUUGGCAUUACGAGGUCCAUUGGGAGGGCCCUACAAAUGCACAUUACAUUUGACCCAAAUUCUUCAAAUUUGCUUUUGAAAAGUUUAUCCAGUUAAAAUGACUACUAGCAUUGAAUAUAAAUUAAAUCAUUUAAGAUUAUCUUUUGCCAAACAUAUUAAUUAUAAAAUAAAAAAUCGUUAUAAAAGUGAUUUAAAAACCAUGCCCUAUCACAUUCUAUUCAUGGAGAAUGAUGUAAUCAUGCAACAACUAAAAAAUCCAAAAAAAAAUUUAAAGUUUUAAAUUUAAAAUUUUAAAGUACAUAGAAAAAUUAAUUCUAGAAACAUGUAUUUCAAUAGUGAAAUUAUCAAAAUUUUAAAAUUACACUGUAACCCUCGAUCUCAUUUCGCAAUUAAUUACUGCAAAAAAAUUUUAUUUUUUUCUUUUUACUUUAAUGUGACAAGUUAAAGAGCAAGUCAUUGUUGUCUUUUAAAAAACGAAAAGAAAAAAAAAUUGACUCAUGGUAACCAACCAUGUCAUAUGAUUUUUCUUUUUUCUUUUUCCUCUCCUUCGUAAUAUCUUUACCUUUCUGUUUCUUAAUUUCUAAUGUGUUGACUUCAUGAAAUCUUUUUAAUUUCAUUUUUCAUUAUUUCAUCUUCUACAUUUAUCGAUUUCAAUUAUUUAUGGAUAUUCUAGACACAAAAUAAAAAUAUAUAAUAAAUAAUUAAUGAAAACAAAUUUAAUAUACAAAUAAAUUCAUAAUGAACAAAUUUAGAAGCUUAGGACAUAAGAUUUUCUAUAUUCCUCCUAAAUAAAAUAUCUAUUUAUUUUAUAAUCUUAUUGCAUUGUCAUAUUAUUUUAUUGUUUAUAUUUUUAAAAAAAUUGUUAAAUUUUUAUGUGAAAGCACCUUUGAGUAGUAAUCAUAUUCAUUUAACCCAAUUAAUUCAUUAAGGUCCUUGGUAAUUGGUUUUAACCAUUUUGUGGCAAGUUUACAUGUUUUUAUCAGCUUAUGAAUCAAUUCAAGCAUGCCAAAUGAUGGAGGAGCUACUUGGACAAGUUAUGGCAAAGCCUUUGGAAGCUCAAAUUCAUGAAGAACCAAGCUUUGGAGCUCCAUAGCCCUUUGCCAAAGUCGUUCAAAGUAUGCAAGGAAAGAACAAUGGAAAAGAGGAAAAGCAAGCAAAGUGAAGAGAAGUAAAGAGGACAGCAGCUGCAAUCUUCUUUCGCACUUUUGGAGUACUUCCCGAAGUCCAUUUUUUACAUAAUAUAUACCAUUUCAAAGCUCUGGAAGUCAAGAAUCCAACGCUUCAAACCGUGUACGAUUUGGAGCUGAAAUGAGGAAGAUAUGGCCUUCGAAAGCCAACUGCUCCAGGUUAUGCGAAAAUUUCGCAUAACACCUUCAAAAUUCGCAUAACCCAUGCGUGUUACGUUUUACACUGAGAAUAUAUACAGAGCUCUCUCGUUUCUCUUUUCUCUUUGCUAUUUUAUUUUCUUGGAAGCCAAACAGCCUCUGAGGGCUUUUCCUCAGAGGAUGAUUGGCUAAAACUUUUAGUUUCUCAAAGUAUGGAUGUUAUGUGAUGACUUGGAUGCAAUCACAUGGAAAUUUCUCGCACCCGGAAGGUAAGGUAGUCGUUUUUCAUUAAAGGUUAAUUAAUGCAAAGUUUGGUUUUUAUUUCCUUUGGACAACUUCCAACGGCCAAUACUUGAUAAGCUUUUGGAUUUCUAUCCAUUAGUUAUCUCCUACGAGCUAUUGGAAGGUGAGGUUUUCAAUUCCAAGUUUUGCAUUAAUCCGUUAGAACCAAUUUCAAUGGCCAUUGAAAGGUGAGUUUAUCACUUGGAAUGACUUUGAGUUGCCAAUAUUUGGUAAGCUUUUGGCUUUAGACCAUUAGUUAUCUCUUACGAGCCAUUCAAAGGAAGUCUAAGGUGAAUAACAAUUGAUGAAAUUCACUACCAUCUGUUUUGCCAUUUUAAAGGAUUAAAACUUGAUUUGCUAAAUCCAUACCGGUUCGGGAAGCAAGCAUCACCAUAGUUGCAACCCCAACUCGAGGAGCCUAUCCUAAGAUUUCCAAUUUGCAUAAGAGCCAGAGCAUAGCUCUCCUAUCUUUGAGAAACUUGUUUUUACACCCUUUCAUUUUAGUCUUUAAUGUUAGCUUAGAUUAGUUUAAAUCUUUCUAAAACAUUUACAUCUUCUUUUAAAGCUAACAUCCAUAAGAAAAUCACCUAUUUUCCUAAUUUGAAUAUCACUAGUGUUUGCGAAAACCCUUCCCAGUGAACGAUCCUAGAACCACUAUGCUAUAGUAGCUUGGCUACUUUAGUAAUAGUAUUCAAGGUAUAAAUUUUGUUGAUACGCCUUUAAAGCUAAGCUACCAUGAGUCGCAUCACAAAGCCCACAAAACUCAAUAUCAGAAGGGAACGUGUGAAGAAACCCAGCAUUUUGGACAACUCCCUCGCCAUAAUCAAAAUCUGAGUCAAUCGCCAUGAAUAAAUGGAAAAGAAUGCUUUCAAUCAACAGCAAAGGCAUACCUUCUUGUCUAUGUAGUCCGCCCAGAACCUGGCCUGAGCUCUCUGGUAUGGGUCACUAGGCAAAAGCGGAGAUUUAUCGCACCAAACCUCAUCAAUAUACUGAACUAUUAUCAGAGACUCACAAAUGGGCUUUCCAUUGUGGAUCAGAACUGGGAUUUUCUUAUGAACUGGGUUCAUCUCAAGAAGCAAAGGGCUCUUCUUCCACAGGUCCUCCUCUCUAUAUUCAUACUUGAGACCCUUCUCUGCCAGGGCAAGUCUGACCCUCAUACCAAACAUGCUAGGCCAGAAAUCCAACAAGAUAAUCUCGUCUGCCAUUGCUACUAAUGUGAUUGAUAAGAUUCAAACUCUUUAAGUAUUGAUGAACAGCACGGGAAAUUGCUGAGUAUUUAUAGCAAAUUUCAGAGAGUGGGUUAAACCCUUGGAUACUUCUAGGAGGUGGUGAUGCUCAUUCCUUAUCUCAGCUUUCAUUUUCAUUUUCCAUUCUAUCUCGGUUUCGUAUCUCUCCAGAAUUUGUGAAUUAUGGAAACGUUUGUUAUGGCAUGGUAAAAUAUAGAAGCGUCCCGAUAGUUGGUUGCUUCCACGUCAUCUCAUUGCUUUGAUCAUUCCACAUCAUCGCUUUCGCCAGCCCUGUCAAUUAAGUACACUGGUCCUCUGCAUAAUUUCCACCACAAAAAUGAUGUUGCAAGGAAAAGAAAUGAUAUUGUAGGGAAAAGAAAAUAGAACUUGUAUAUUUUUAGAUCGACAAGUCACUAUUGGUCCCUUCCUUAGUUCUUAGAUUCCUGAAAUUAAAUAAAUAUUUAAACUUUAUGUGUAUUAUAAAUAUUUAAAAUUUCAGUGGUGAUUGUAUUUUUAUCUAAGAUCUAUUUUUUUUUAAUUUGAAUAAAUUAAGUAUUGUUAAAUAUUUAAAUUUUUUAUAUUUUAAUUAUUAGUAAAUGUUAAUAAAUAUUAAAUAACUGAUCUUUUACAUUACAAAAAUAUUUAUAAAAUAUAAUAUUUUAUUUCUUGUUAAAUUAGUUUGCAAUCCAACACAUUUUUGAAUAUUUAAAUAUCAUAAUUCAUUAACAUAUUAAAAUUUUAUAAUAAAUAAUUAUGUAAUUGAUAAGAAAUUGGUAGUUUGAUAAUAAGUAUAAUUAUGGGGUAUUUGGUAAAACUCAAUAAUUAUUACUUAAUGACUUAAGUUGAUUUUAAGUAAAAUUAUAUUUAAGUUAUUGACUUAAAACUUAUUACUUAAUUUUUAAUUUAAAUAUUAAGGUUGUUUAAUAAAAUUAAUUUAAAAUUUAUUCUAAAUCAUCAAAUUGAUAUACUUACCCCCAUAAAUUAUAAUGAGGAUAAAUGAGAUCGAGUAACAAUGGAAGUUGUAUAAUAACAAAAAAAAUCGUGGAACUAAGAUAAAUGAGGGUAAAAAGAUAAAAUGAAAACAUGGAUUUAAGAAUAAAUUAAUUAUUUUUACUUAUUAGUUAAAGUUGUUUUUUACUUUAAGUCAUACCAUUAAAUUAUUUUACCAAUUAUAUUUAAUUUAUUUAAUAACUUGAAUUAAGUUAUUAAGUUGAUUUACCAAUACCCACUUAGACUUGUUAGAAACUAUUAGAACUUUUCUAAGUUAGUAUAUGUUUAGAUUUGAAGAUUUGUGAUUGAAAUAUGUAUUCUUUUUAAAAUUAAUUCAUUGAUUUUUGGAAUUUUAUCUCCAAAGGAGUAUCAACUUUUAAUUUAUAUUUUUUAAAAUUAUUAAUUCUAAUAAAUAUUUAGAUGAAUGUGAAUUAUGCUUUAGAAUUUUGAUUAAAAAAAAUCUUAUUAGAAUUGCUAACUAUUUUUAUUUUUUAUAAAGCUGAAUUUUUAUUAAAUAUUUUUCGAAUUUAAAUUUUAUGAUUUUUAGUAUAAUUUAUUUUUAUUUUUGAAUGAGUAAUCAAUAAUAAUUUGUGGAAUUCAAUUUUAUUGAGAAUGGGAUAAAUUAUGGGGUAAAAAUAAUGGAAACAUGUGGGGAUUUGAAAUUUUGUAAAUUUAUCUUUUAGCUAUCAAUUUAUGAGAAAAUUUUAAAUCUGAUUUUUCUUUAAAAAAAUGAAAAAUGAAAAUGAAAAAAAAAAACAAACAAAAAAUCAAAUAUAUUUGAUGCUUUUUGUAAAUGACAACUUUGUUAAUUUAUAAUAAAUUUAUUUCUCACUCAAAUUAUAUAAAAUUAACAUAGUUUAACUAUUUUUUAAAACAAGUUAUCUAUUCUUUUUUAAAGGAAUUUAGUUUAAAUUUUUGUGAAAAUUUGUAUUUAAGCAAGUACUCUUAAUUAAUGAUUAAAAGCUUUUUUAUUUUUUACUUUUUCCCCAUAAAUAAUUAAAUAUUAUAAUUAAUCCUAGUUUUUUCAAACUCUUAUAAAUAGGAGACUUGGGUCAAUGAAAUGGAUACCUCAAAGUUAUUUUAGAACUCUAUCUCUUCUCUAAUUCUAGUCUCUCCAAAAGAAAACUCUUAUUAUAAGUUUUUGUAUAAGAUUCAAACACUAAAAGGACAAACUUAUUCUCAUAAAAUAUCUUUUUUAUCAUCUAAAAGGUAUGUGAUAAACUUCUACUUUUAUAUUAUUUUCUAUUUAAUUUAUCCUUUCGAUGAAGAAACUAGAAAAUAUUUUUUUUUAUAGACAAAAAUUAUGAAAAAAAAAUUGCAACUAGAAGUUAUAAAAAAAAAAUGUAAAAUAUGUACAAUUGUAUAGCCAAAGGUUAUAUGAGAAAUUAUAAAGUUAUAAAAAUAUAAAGAAUGACUUACAUGUAAUUUCUAAUUUCUUUUAAUCAUAAUGAUAUAACCAAAUGUUACACAAAACAAAAUUGUAUUGUCAAAAGUUAAAUAAUGAAUAUUUCAUAGCCUAAAGAUGUAUACAAAUUUGCACAUUUUUGUUAUGAUAAAAAUAAUCCAUAGCCAAAAACUAUGUAAGCAAUCAAUUCGUACUUUUUAUUUUGUUAAUGCUACAUGAUGUUCAUGCAUUUUUUUUUUACCAUAUUUAUAAUAAUCCUUUAGCAAUAAAAUAUAACAAAAUCUUAAAUCAUUAUGCUUUUAUUAAUGAAUAUUAACCUGAUAAAAUAUUGUUAGAUAAUUUUAUUCAUUUAUUUUGGUAAAUUGAAAUAUUAUUCUAAUUAAAUUAUUUCAAAUAUAGUUUUCAAAUAAUGUCAAAUCUUACCAAGUUUGAGUUUGUUACAUUCCCUAUUUCGGGCAAAACUAUUUAUCUAGAUUCUAAAUGCUAAAAUUCACCUAAACGAUAUGAAUCUUGAAUAGACCAUUAAAGAAUAAAAUGAGGCAUCCUCACAAGAUCGCACUAGAGCAUUAAUAUUCCUUCAUUAUCACAUUGAUGAAGGAAUAAAAGGUGAAUUCCUUACAAUCAAAGAAUUUUCAUUCUUUGAAAUAAUCUAACGGAAUGAUACUUUGAUCCUUUGGAAUAAUAUAACAAAAUGAUAUGGCCACCACGAGAUUAUAAUCCUUCCAAAAGAACAUCAUGAUUGGAUGCACUUGAGAUUACAAAAUUUCAAGUUUGUCAAUGACCACAACUCGACUUUAUUCAAAAGUUGUUCACAAUUUAUAUGGAGAAAAAAUCAUUAAAGAAUAUAUCCUUGAAAAGACAUUUACUAUUUUCCAUGCCUCGAAUGUACUCCUAUGGCAACAAUAUCAAGAGCAUAAUUUCACUAAAUAGUUUGAAUUAGUUUAAUGUCUUCUUAUGGCUAAACAAAAUAAUGAACUUCUACUAAAGAAUCAUCAAUCUCAUACUAUUAGGUCUAUGUCAUUGCUUGAAGAAAAUGUCACAUCCGUCCAAGCUCCUAGACAUUGAGUUGGACUUGGACAUGAACAAGGCUAAGGACACAGUCAUGGUCGUGGUAAACAUAAUUCUUGGUACCAUGGUAAUUAUAGUCAUUAGAAUAGAAAAAACAAUUCAAACCAUUAGAAGUGGAAUAAUUCAAAGGUACAACCUAAAAAGGAUAUAUAUAUAUAUAUAUAUAUAUAUAUAUAUAUAUAAUCACAAAACAAACAUGAUAGUAAGAAUGAAUGCUAUAGAUAUGGUAUGAAAAGACACUAGUCAUGUACCUAUCAUAUUUCCAUAUGUUAAAAAAAUUGUACAUAGGUUUUAGAAAUGCCCAAUCGGGUAAGGGAAAGCCUCAAACAUUCCAACACUUCCUUAUGUUAAUAUUUAAAUCCUAAUAAGGAUGUAUAUUGUCAUGGUUCACCUUAAAAAAAUUGCAUGUAUGUUUCUUAAGGAUGUAUGUAGGAUUUAGAAAUGACCUACGACGAACAGGAAGGCCUCAAAUUCAUUAUGAGGCUUCUAUAAUUUAAUAUUUAGACCCAAAUAAGAAUGACUGGAACUAUGGUCCACCUUAAAAGAAAAGGUUUUUUUUUUUUUUUUUUUUAAGAAUUUACAUACUUUUCUUAAGAAUGUAUGUAUUUUUCUUAAGGAUGUACGUAGACUUUGAAAAUAACCAACGAGGAAUGGGCAGCCUCAAAAUUAUUACAAGGCUUCCAUAAAUUAAUAUUAAAACCUAAAUAAGGUGAAAUAAGGUCACAAUCUGCUUUUAAAAAAACGCACAUAUUUUGUUUUUUUAAGAAUGUACAUGUUUUCCAUAAAAAUAUAUGUAUUUUUUCUUAAGAAUGUUCUUAAGGUUUAGAAAAACCUAACAAGGUAAGGAAAGACCUCUAAUUCAUUCUCAGGCUUCCAUAAGUGAAUACCUAGACCUAAAUAAGGUCAAAUAGGAUUAUAGUCUUAAGAUAGAGUUCUUAAAAGCAUAACAUGGUGUAUUAAAUUUGAAAUUCAUUAUUUAUUUAAUGAUGUUCCCAUUUCACUUUUAUCUAUCUUUAUUCCAUGUAUUAUAUUUUAUGAGAAGUCUUGUCAGCAUCUUUUGCAUUGUACAUGACUUAGGUGCAUUAAGAGUUGCACAGAAGAUCUUUAAGCCAUGGGUUCCUUGCAAAUAAUUGACUUGUUCACAACCAGUUUAUGGGUCUAGGCAACCCAUUAGAAGUUGUAGUGCACCACCUCUUAAUUAGAGGGAUGGUUGGUCUCCGUUAUCGGGAUGAGUUUCCCAUGGUGAGUACACUACUGUGUAUGAUUUACACAUUAGACAAGACCUACGAUGAGUCAUGACUUAAUACUAUCAAGUAGUCAUGACCUCACCAAGCUACUUCAUUGUGUUAUCUCUCAACCUUGAGAGAAUAUCGAGAAAAUUAGCAAUGAAUUUUACCUAUGAGUGAGAUUGUAAGUUGAUCAUAUAUUCCCUAUGGAUUGGGUCACUGUUGAUGGAAGUCAGUAACAAUAGGUAUUCUUAAUAGACACCAUGAUAUCUCAUGGGAUUGAGACAACAUGUCCCCUUGGGUGAUCCUAAGGGGAUGUGUUCAUGGAAACUAUGGCCAUAAUAGUUCCUUAAGUAGAACUUGACAUAGGCUCUUUGAGAGCUAAGACAUGUCAAUUGAAUAUACAAUAGGAGGAUUCGUAACUCAAGGAUAGUAGAGGUAGUCUUGAAAGGUUGAUAGCUUUCACCUUGUUAGGCUAGAACACCAGUUCAUGGGGAGACUGAACACAAUGGAUACUAGGUCACAGACCCGAGCACGUAGUGUCUCGUUGUUAUUUACAUAAGAUAUUGGAGUUUAGUUUAUUCUUUGUAAUAAGAUGUUGAAUCAACUUCAUAAUUGGAUCCUGAGGGAGUUAGUACUCUUAUAGAUCCUAAUGGUCCCUGCUCUGAGCUUAUAUAUCUUUUUGGCAUAGUUAUGAGUGUCGAAUUGACUCUAGGUUCACUUUUGUGCAUAAGGGCAUUUUGGUAAUUAUGCAAGAUUGCAUAAGGGUAAGUGAACAAAGUCUCUAGAUUGAGCUAAUUAAUUAAUUAGUAGGCCCUAUUGGGUUAAUUAAUCAAUUAGGAUCCAUUUUGGGCUAAAUUAAGUUACCCAAACCCAUGUGGGCUCAAGUCACUUAAGCCUAGUUAGGAACCCUAUAAAUACCCCCUAGGGGUUAGAGUCUUCAUCACUUUUGUCUUCCACCAUUUAGAGAGAAAGAGGGCAAUAGCCUCCACCUUUCUUUCUUCCCUAUCGAAAGUGUGCCAAGAAUAAAGUUGAGUCAUUAGGCAAAAGACCAUGGGUUUACAAGACUUCCAACAACUUCAAUGUCAUCUUCAACACUUGGAAUUUAAGGUUUGAAAUAUCCAAACCUAAAGGUUGCACUUUAACCCUAAAGAUCAAUUUUAAAAAAUAAAUAAAUAAAUUGGUAUUGUUUCCAUUCCUUAGAUCUACUAUGCCAAUACACAAUUCGCUUGAAAAAAAUGUAAGUAUUUUCUUCAAAAUAUAUAUAUUUGUUAAGAAUGUAUGUAUUUUUGUAAAAGAUGUACCUUAGGUAGGGUUCCACCAUGUUAAAUGAGGUUUGGGAAGCUCUCAAAUACAUUUCGUAGAGUACAUAAGCCAAAUCUUAGACCCAAAUGAGUGUGAAUCUAUCAUGUUAAGUUGAAAUCAAAUGUACAUAUUUUUCUUAAGGUGUUAUAUUUUUCUAAAAAAUGAACUUGUGAGUGUUUAGCUAGGUUGGAAAUUCCAAAAAAAAUUCCAAAGGGUCCCCUAACUUGGUUUACCAAUCCCUCUUUGGACUACUUGACCUUUGAAGAUUAAGACUUUGCUAAGAGGUCGAGGUAUGUAGCUGAAUCUAUGGUGAUUGAAUGUGAAUCAACCCUAUUUUUUCAUUUUUAAAUGAGUAAAGAAAGCUAAGAGAAAUAUUGUUGGUGCAAGGCUUUUGUUCCCUUGUUUCUGGAUCGAUCCAGGUAUAGGGGCAAAUCGAUCCAACUAACCUGUUUUUCAGAUCAAUUUUCAACAUUUGGAUUAAGGUUUCACUCUCAUUUAAAAUCAAAUCUCCCCCAUUUUUGGAAGUGGUGACUGUAGUAUCCGUGAGAGAGUUUUUUCUUUCCUCACUAUUUAGAGGGUGUUUACCUAUGAAGAAAAUCCAUCCAAGUUUUCCAAGAAUUUUUUUUUAAAAUGGAUUUUCUGAAAAUGAACAUGGGUUGAUUUCUAAAACAUUCAUAUCUCGUUCUCUUGGUUUUGUGCAAAAACCCAUUUUCUUCUUGUCUAAAUUCAAGAGGAAAUCGAGCUUGGUGCCAAACUCCAAGUGUGCCCCGAAAGAAGAAGCUAAGAAGCUGAAAAUGAAUGUACUAGUCAAGUGGUUUGGGAAAGAUUGGUUGGUUUGAGCAAGGUAAAACUUUGUAUUCAGAUUUUAUUUUUCAUAGUGGAUGUUUUCAAUCAGUAAUAGGCCCAUGGUUUUUUAUCUCUUCGGAGAUUUUUCAUGUAAAUUUAUGGUGUCUCAUUGUCUCUCUUUCUCUUCUUAGCAUCAGUUUUCAGUUUCAACAAUUUAUUAUAAUUUUGAUUGUCUACUAUUUGAUUGAAUGAUGAAGAGAAAUGACUAUGAAUCAUCUUUGAAGCUGUUUCUAAUUGUUAAUCAUUGAUAUUUUGAGGUAUAUUGAUCUUGCUUUUAUCAGAAUUUAGUUUAAGUUGAUUUGGGUUUGGGAGCGUUAGAUCAUGUGCAUGUGAAUUACAUUUGAAUAUUGUUGGGGAGUGUUGUUGCAUUCAUAUAUGCAUGUGAUUUAUAAUUUGUGUUUUUGAGAUUGUGUGAAGAGAAGAAAAAUAUUAAAAAAGUUUUAAGGUUUUCUAAUUUGAGUUGAGAUUUUGUUUAAUUAGUCAAAACACCUAUUCAACCUCCCUUAGGUGUAUUCUAUUGAGAUUCACCUUUUCAAUUGGUAUGAGAGAGGGUUUUUAAAGCAAAAAUCAUUUUCAAUCCUUAAAUCUCAAUCAUGGAAUCUCAUUAAGAGGGAGCUUCCAUUAGGAGACCACCAUUCUUAACCAGUGAAAAUUAUUCUCAUUGAAAAGUGAGAAUGCAAUAUUUUCUCAAAAUGCAAAGUGACAAAAUUUGGAAUGUCGUUGAAUUUGGUUAGUCUCCACCUAAGGUGUUAGAUAGAGAAGGUAAACUAACAAAUGUUAUCAAGCCAAAAUUGGAAUGUGAUAGAAGUGAAAAUGAAGCAAGUGAGAAUAAAGCUAGAGCCAUGUACUCCAUCUUCAAUGCCAUUAGUACGAAUGAAUUUUGUAGGAUUGCCACAUGCACUUUGGUUAAAGAAGGCUUAGGAUAUCCUCCAACUGACUCAUGAAGGAACUAAUGUUGUGAAAAUGUCCAAGCUUCAAAUGUUGACAUCUAGGUUUGAGACCAUUAGGAUGAAUGAUCAUGAAACUUUUGGAGAAUUUCAUGCAAAAUUGAUGGAUAUAGUGAAUUCUAACUUCAAUCUAGGUGAAUCCAUCUCUAACUGUAAGGUGGUUAGAAAAAUUUUAAGAUCUCUUCCAGAUAGAUUUAGAGCUAAGGUUACCGCCAUUGAAGAGUCUAAGGAUGUGGAUUCCUUGAAGAUAGAUGAACUUGUAGGUUCUCUCCAAACCUUUGAGAUGAUGCUUGUAUCACCUAGAAAAGCUAAGGGAAUUGCUUUAAAAGCUAUUAAAGAAGAGUCCCUAAGUUCCGAAAGUGAGGAUGAUGAGAAAAUGUCAAAGGGUGAGCUUACUAAGUUUACUAAAAAAAUUAAGAAGUACAUGAAAUUCAAAAAAUUCAAGAAAGAAUCAAAUGAUGGUAAAAAUGGAGGAACUCUAUUAGAAAAAAAAAAAAGAAUAUGGAGAAAUGUGUGAAAAAAGAGUUGGAGAUUGAGUGCUUUAAAUGUGGAGGAAAUGGGCAUUAUGCCGCCAAAUGUCCCUCAAAGAAAAAAAAAAUGAAAGAAGGUCAUGCAAGUCACUAGAAGCAACAUAGAAUCUUGGCAAUCAAGUGAAAAAGAAUCCAAUGGAAGUGAAGAAUACACUAACUUCAUAGCCUUUGCUGCAAGUGUCAAUGAGAAACCACUUAAGAAAGAGGUCUUAAGUGAGUCGUGAGUCAAGUGACUCCAAUGAUGAUGACAUGAAUUUUGACACAGCAUAUGAGACUUUGUAUAAGGAGUGCUUGAGCCUUAAACAAGACCAAGUCAAGUGGAAGGCUUCUAAGAAUAUUCUAAUCAAUGAGAUUGAUGUCUUGAAGGGAGAAAAGAAGGCUUUGCUUGACAAAAUUGGAUUUCUUGCAAAUGAACACUUGGAAGUGAAAAAAAAAAUAUUAUGUAUUGAAAAGUGAAUCAAAUGUUCAAGGAUGAGUUUAAGUCUUAAGAAGGAAGAAUCACAUCCUAGCUCUAAGAGACUUAAUGAGUUUAUCAAUUUAGGGCGUAAAUCUUUUGAUAAACAAGGCUUAGGAUUUGUUGAUGCAAAUACUACUCCAAGUAGUGGUAAAACAAUUUUUGUUAAGCCUUGUGAAAAAUAAUAUCCUAAGAAAACUCAUUCUCAAAUCAAGUUUCAUUGCAAUCAUUGUGGCAAAAUGGGGCACACUUUUGAUAGAUGUUGUGCAAGAUUGUUUGAUAAUUUUCAAAGGAAGUUGACCAACCUAAUGAAUGAAUGUUAUUCUUUGAAGAAUAGGUUAUUGAAUGAGAACAAGAGAGUGUCCAAGAAGUGCUCAAAGAUCCCUCAUAAUGGUGAGUUGAAAGGAAGCACUUUGAAUGAAAAGACAAGUCUCAAAUGUUAAACAAAUUUGGGUGUGAAUGAAUGAGUUGAAGUGUUUUGUUGUCCAUACCGCACUUAGAGCUAGUGAGUCACACUCAUGGCAUCUUGAUAGUAGAUGUUCACAUCAUAUGACUAGAAAUAAAUCUUUGUUCACUUCAUUCAUUGAAUUUCAUGGAGGAAAUGUGACAUUUAGAGAUGGUAAUGUGGCUAGGGUGAAAGACAAAGGUACCAUUUGUGCCCCUAACAUUCCUAAUCUUGAAGAGGUCUUAUAUGAAGGUUUAAAGGCUAACUUAAUUAGCACAAGCCAAAUGUGUGGGAAUGAGUUCAAUGUAAAAUUUUCACAAACUUUUUGCAAGGUGUUUGACUUGAAUGAUGUAUGUGUGAUAAUUGGCUUGAGAACUUGUGAUAAUUGCUAUGUUGUUAGUAAAAAAUCUCCUUCAUCCUCUUCUCUCGUGUGUAGAAGUUCUAAAAUUGCAUAUGUUAAUCACUUGUUGCAACAUAGAUUGUUGCAAAAUGAAAAAGAGCAUCCCAUUGUAAAAGUUAGGAUUGGUGGGGGGGAUUUGAUGAUGCCAAUGUUAUUGAUAGGCUAAAGAACCAUGUUCUUCAUUAUAGACAAAAAUAUGUGGACAUUAAGCAUCACUGCAUUCAAGACUUGGUAGAAGACAAGGUUGUUUACAAGAGGUUUACCCUAUAGAGAGUCAAAUUGCUAACAAUGUUACUAAACCUUUGGACAUUUCUAGGUUUGAAUCACUUAGGAACCCCAUAGGUUUAUAUACUCUCUGUUUAACUACCUCUAGAACUUGUCUAGGACUCCUCUUGCAUAUCCUUGAGUCCUAGUUGUCUUCCUAAGUUCCCAAAUAUCAUCAACUUGAUGUUCUUUUUGUUUUGGUUCAAUAUUUUCUCCAUUUUUCAUAAAUUUUCAACAAUUGUUGAGUUCAUGAGAGUGAUAUGCUUAUUCAUUUUGUUUAAAAGUUAAAUUAAAUCAUAAUGAUCUUAAAAGCUUCAAGAUGUAUUUAUCUUCAUGGCUUGUUUGAUAAACAUGAUAUUGAAUCCUUGCUAUUUUGAUUUGGUUAGAUAAACUACAAAUGAUUAGCUUCAUUUCUAUUAAGUGAGUAAGAGCUCAUUGUUGGACCUUGUGUUUGCAUAAUGGUGAAUAAUGCACUUUAAAGUCUAAAUGUAAACUUAUACCCAUUUAAUGAGCUUUAAAGAGUGAGUAAAGACACCUGGAAUAUCCUUGAGAGGUUGAGAUGAUCAAUCCUUGAUUGUUUGUCCUCUCUUUGAAAUUAAAUUUGUUUAAAAAUGAAAAAGAAAAGAAAAAGAAAAUAUGAAGUUUCCCGAAAUGGAUAUGGCUAUGUGGAAAUGUUUCAAGAAUUAAAAAGCCUCAAUUGCAAGAGUGGGACAUCCCUUAUGUUGUUAUGUUGUAAAGGCAUCCUUCGAGAUCCUCAAGUCAAAAAUUGAUCUUAAGGGUAAAACAUAAAGCUUUGUAUUACUUUCAAUGCUAAAUGUGAAAAGCAAAUAGUGUAUGAAUUUUAUUAAAGGGAUGUGAUUAGGUCAUGUUAAACAGAAAUCUAGCCAAGAGAGAUGCAAAUUGACUUUGAUUACUAAUCAAAAAGUACUCUUUUAUAGCUUGAAACUAACUGUUUUAAACACUUUUUGAGUAGUAGUUAAUACCGUUUAACUCAAUUGGCACAUUAAGGAACCUAGCAAGGGUUACUAAUAAGUUUUUCGCAAGUUUUGGUGUUUUUUGUAGCUAUUUGAUCAUUGAAACAAGCCAAGAAUGAGGAAGAAUUUUGUGAAAUCCAUGGCAAUGUAAGUUAAAGCUCAAAUACAUGAGGAAUCCAAGCUUUAGAGCACUUCAUAGCCCUUUGCCAAGCCAAUCAAAGAUGUAAAGAAGAAAACCAGAGGAAGAAAUCCAACAACCAGCAUUUCCGCAUGGUUGUGCGAAAUUUCGCACACCAUGCAAAACCACUUGAGGCAGCCAAAGAAUUUCGCACAACAUGCGAAAUUUCGCAUGGUAUGCGAAAUCUUCCUGUGCACCGACUCCGUUAGAUUUUUAUCUCUAGAUAUUUUGUGUAAUUUCCUAUUUUCUCCUUGUAAUCAACUUCGAUAUUUUCAUAUAUAUUUUUUUAUAUAUUUGGUGUGUGUAACAUCUUUUGAUAUAGACACACAGGGAUGUAAUCAGAGAACACUUGUAAAUUCCCCUUUAUAAGAAAUAUACAGAGCUUUUGCUCUACCUUUUCAUCUCAUUUUGUUUUCACUCUUCUUUCUAGCCAAACAACCUCUGAGGAUGAUUUAUCAAGGGAUGAGUGGCUAGGUUUUACGUUUCUUGGAGUGAUGGAAGCUAGGUGAAGGACCCGAAUGCAAAGAUGGGAGUUGUCCUUGCUUUAAAUGAAAGUAGUUGUUAACCAUUAAUGGUUUUUAUUUUAAGAUUUAGCUUUAAAUCCCUUAAAAGCACCUUGAAUGGCCAAUACUUGGUAAGCUUUUUGGAUUCUAUGGAUGCUUAUUGCUAGAUCCAUGGAUGUCUAUUAGUUAUCAUUUAUGAGCCAUUGGAAGGUGGUUCAAAGUGAGAGUCUUUAGUGUUUCAAGCCAUUAAUGGGAAGCAACUAUUAUUUUUCAUGAACCCUUUGGAUCAAAUCUUAAUAUCUAAAUAUAAAACCGGUUCGGGAAAUAACCAUCCUUUAUAUUAUUGUCCCCAAUGUGAUGAGAAGAUCCGGAAUCUCCCCCUUUGUCUAAGGAACCCGAUCCUAGUGACCUAAAGCUCUAAGAGACCUUUUCUUUGUAGUUAACUUCACUUAUUAUUUUUGCUUAACUUAAAAUCGAUCUUUGCAAUCACAAUUCCAUUUUCUUUAAAAGCUAAUUUUCAUAACGAAAAAUAUUAUUUUAUUUCCUUCACUAAAGUCAAUUGUACAAUGAAAACCCAUCCCUGUGGACGAUCCUAGAGCCACUAUACUAUGUUAGUUAUGCUACCCCAGUGUGAGGUGAUUUAGGUUUUAUAAAUUUUGUUGAUAACACCUAUCUGAGCCAGAGUCAAAUGGCAUGACUACAAUGGGGAUGAAUCAAAUGGCACCGUUGCCAGGGAGAUGAUGCCAAAGUACAUUGACAUGACUUUUGGUGAACACUUGUGAUCUUCAUCACAAGUUUGGUGAUUUUUCUUUUACUAAUUCUUUUUCUUUAUCUCUAUUUUAGCUUAUCUUUUAUUUAGUUUUCAGCUAACCUUAACUUUUUCCUACAAUUGUAUUUCUUUUGUUUUCUGUGUUUUUGUUUCAGUAAUUUUUAGUUGUGCAUGCCUUAUUGGAUAAGAGAUAUUGAGGGAAGACUUGUGAAGAUUGAAACUCCUCAAGAAACUGAGUUGGAAGUGUGCUUGAACAUCAUGAAUGUUCCACCUAAAGACCAAAAUAGCCAACAUGGUCAAGAGGAUAAUUUCAACGCAUACCGAUCCAUGAGGGAUCACAUGCAUCCACCUCGUAUGAGUGCACCAUCAUGCAUAGUGCCUCCCAUUGAGCGACUAGUAGUCCGACCUCACAUUGUGCCACUCUUACCUCCUUUCCAUGGGAUGGAAAGUGAGAAUCCCUACUCGCAUAUUAAGGAAUUCGAGGAGGUUUGUAAUACAUUCCAAGAAGGAAGAGCUUCAAUUAACUUGAUGAGGCUCAAGCUAUUUCCUUUCACCUUGAAGGAUCAGGCCAAGAUUUGGCUUAAUUCUCUAAGGCCAAGGAGUAUCCAAACUUGGACUGAUUUGCAAGCCGAGUUUCUCAAGAAGUUCUUCCCUACUCAUAGGACUAAUGGUUUGAAAAGGAAAAUUUCAAAUUUCUCGACUAAGGAGAAUGAGAAAUUCUAUGAGUGUUGGGAGAGGUACAUAGAACCUAUUAAUGCUUGUUCUCACCAUGGCUUUGACACAUGGCUCUUAGUGAGCUAUUUUUACGAUGGUAUGUCUUCUUCAAUGAAGCAACUCCUAGAAACUAUGUGUGGAGGAGACUUCAUGAGUAAGAAUCCGGAGGAAGCCAUGGACUUUUUGAGUUAUGUGGCUGAAGUUUCAAGAUGAUGGGAUAACCAAACGCUAGAGAAGUGGGAAGAAUGAAGUCUCAACCUAAUGCUAAGGGUGGGAUGUAUGUUUUGAAUGAAGACAUUGACAUGAAGGCAAAGGUUGCAGCUAUGGCAAGGAGAUUGGAAGAGCUAGAAAUGAAGAAGAUAUAAGAAGUGCAAGCUAUUUCUGAGACACCAGUGCAAGCUAUGCCUUGUUCCAUUUUUCAAUCUUAUGAGCACUUGUUGGAGGAGUGUCCUACAAUUCCAGCAAUGAGAGAAAUGUUUGGAGAUCAAUCAAAUGUUAUUGGUCAAUUCAAGCCCAAUAACAAUACUUCAUAUGGCAACACCUACAAUUCAAAUUGGAAGAACCAUCCAAAUUUCUCUUGGAAACCAAAGCCACCGCAGUACACACAACCUGCUCAAGCACCUCGGCAAGCCUCGAAUCUUGAACAAGUUAUUGUGAACCUUUGCAAGGUUGUGGGAGACUUUGUGGAAGAUCAGAAGUCCAUCAAUGCUCAACUAAAUCAGAGAAUUGACAGUGUGGAGAGUACAUUGAACAAAAUGAUGGAUGGGAUGCAAAAUGAUCUGUCUCAGAAGAUAGACAAUGUCUAAUACGCAAUCUCAAGGCUUACCAACCUCAACACAGUGCAAGAGAAAUUAAAGUUUCCUUCUCAACCUCAUCAAAAUCCCAAGGAUAUCCAUGAUGUGGAGGCUCAAGAGGGAGAAUCUUCAAAGGUAAGGGAAGUCAAAGCAGUUAUCACCUUAAGAAGUGGUAAAGAGGUUGAUCUGCCCACAUCCAAGCCAAAGCAUGACGAAGAGAGUGUAGCAGAAAAAGAAAAGAGUGGAGAAAAUAAAGGAAAGAGAAAAGGGAAAAGUACAAAGAAAGAUGACCAUGAGUCUAGUGUGGAUGAAGAACUCGAGAAGAAAGUGAUCAAGGAAGAUAUGAUGAAGAAACACAUGCCUCCAUCUUUCUCCUAAGCUUUGCAUGGCAUAAAGGGAACCAAUAAUGCAUCAGAAAUUUUUGAAGUGGUGAGGCAAGUGAAGGUCAAUAUCCCUUUGCUAGACAUGAUCAAACAAGUGCCGACAUAUGCAAAAUUCUUGAAGGACUUGUGCACUAUAAAGAGAGGGUUAAAUGUGAACAAGAAGCCUUCUUGAUUGAGCAAGUGCCAUCAUACAGUGCAAGUCUCCAGUGAAGUACAAAGAUCCGGGCUGCCCUACCAUCUCAGUGAGUAUUGGAGGGACUUGCGUGCAGAAAGCUUUGUUGGACUUAGGAGCAAGUGUAAAUUUGCUACCCUACUCUGUCUAUAAGAAGUUGGGACUUGGAAAGUUGAAGCCAACAUCCAUCGCUCUAUCUCUAGCAAAUAGAUCAAUGAAGAUUCCAAGAGGGAUGAUCGAAGAUGUCUUGGUUCAAGUUGACAAAUUCUACUAUCCAGUGGAUUUUGUUGUUCUUGAUAUGGAUCCAAUUGUCAAAGAAACUAAUUAUGUUCCUAUCAUACUUGGAAAACCAUUCCUAGCUACAUCAAAUGCAAUCAUCAAUUGUAGGAAUGGAGUCAUGCAACUCACGUUUGGCAACAUGACAUUGGAGCUCAACAUCUUCCAUUUGUGCCAGAAACAUAUCCAUCCGAAAGAAGAAGAAGGGUUAGAGGAAGUAUGCAUGAUUGACGCUUUAGUGGAGGAGCAUUAUGAUCAGAGAAUGCAGGAGGAUUUGAUUGAGAGUUUUAGGGAUCUUGAUGAAGGGUUACCUGAACCCUUAGAUUUGCUUGCUACCCUGCUCCCUUAGAGGAGAAGAGAAGAAAUUCUACCCUUAUUCAAUGAGGAGGAAACGCAAAGAACUGCUAAGGAGGAGUUCUCAAAGCUUAUUCUUAAGCCACUACCCACAGAGUUGAAGUAUGCAUACUUGGAAGAAGACAAGCAGUGUCUUGUUGUUAUAUCUUCAGAUCUUACCAUUCAUCAAGAGGAUUGUCUACUUGAAGUCCUUAGAAGAUGUAAGAAAGCAAUAGGCUGGCAAAUUUUUUAUUUGAAAUGGAUCAUCCCUUUAGUCUGCACCCAUCAUAUUUACAUGGAGAAUGAAGCUAAGCCAAUUUGUCAACCUCAGAGAAGGUUGAACCCUCACAUGCAAGAGGUGGUGCGAGUUGAAGUCUUAAGCUACUUUAGGCCAGUAUUAUUUACCCUAUAUCAGAUAGCCCAUGGGUGAUUCCUACUCAAGUUGUGCCAAAGAAGUCUGGGAUCACGGUGGUGCAAAAUGAUAAGAGAGAAGAUGUCUCUACGCGCCUCACUAUAGGUUGAAGGGUGUGUAUCGAUUACAGGAGGUUGAAUGUAGUGACAAGAAAGGACCAUUUCCCAUUGCCCUUUAUUGAUCAGGUACUUGAAAGGGUCUCUGGGCAUCCUUUUUAUUGUUUCUUGGAUGGCUACUCCAAGUACUUUAAGAUAGAAAUUGAUGUUGAAGACCAAGAGAAGACCACUUUCACGUGCCCAUUUGGCACCUAUGCAUAUAGGAGAAUGCCUUUCGGCCUAUGCAAUGCACCUGCAACUUUCCAAUGAUGCAUGUUAAGCAUUUUCAGUGAUAUGGUGGAGCAUAUUAUGGAAGUCUUUAUGGAUGACAUCUUCAUAUAUGGAAGUGCAUUUGAUUAAUGCUUAGUCAACUUAGAAGUUGUUAUGAACCGAUGCAUUGAGAAAGACUUAGUGCUUAACUGGGAGAAGUGUCAUUUCAUAGUACAAUAAGGGAUUGUCCUUGGGCACAUCAUCUCCAAGCAAGGCAUUGAAGUUGACAAAGCAAAGGUUGAACUCAUUGUCAAGUUGCCAUCCCUAACAAAUGUCAAAGGAGUAAGGCAAUUCCUUGACCAUGUCGGGUUCUAUAGGAGGUUUAUCAAGGAUUUCUCUAAGCUUGCAAGGCCUCUUUGUGAAGUAUUGGUGAAGGAUGCUAAAUUCAUAUGGGAUGAUAGAUGCCAAAGGAGUUUUGAAGAAUUGAAGUUAUUUCUAACAACCGCACCAAUAGUGAGGGCUCCCAACUGGAAACUGCCCUUUGAGGUAAUGUGUGAUGCCAGUGACUUUGGAAUAGGAGCUGUUCUUGGGCAAAGAGAAGAUGGAAAACCCUAUGUGAUCUACUACGCGAGCAAGACAUUGAAUGAGGCGCAAAGAAACUACACAACCACCAAGAAAGAAUUGUUAGCUGUAGUUUUUGCUUUGGAUAAGUUUCGUGCUUACUUGGUGGGGUCCUUCAUUGUGGUUUUCACUGAUCACUCUGCUUUGAAGUAUUUGUUGACUAAGCAAGAUGCUAAAGCAAGGCCAAUUAGAUGGAUCCUCUUGCUUCAAGAGUUCAAUCUCCAUAUCAAAGACAAGAAAUGAGUGGAGAAUGUGGUAGUAGACCACCUUUCAAGGCUAGCUAUCGCACAUAAUUCCCAUGGUUUGCCCAUCAAUGAUGAUUUUCCAAAGGAGUCUCUCAUGUUGGUGGAAGUUGCUCCUUGGUAUGCUCACAUUGCUAACUACCUAGUCAUAGGAAAAGUUCCAAGUGAGUGGAAAACACAAGAUAAGAAGCACUUCUUUGCAAAAAUUCAUGCCUACUAUUGAAAAUAGUCAUUUCUAUUCAAGUAUUGUUUCGAUCAAAUAAUAAGAAAGUGUGUUCUUGAAAAAGAGCAACAAGGGAUCCUCAGUCAUUGCCAUGAAAAUGCAUGUGGAGGCCACUUUGCUUCUCAGAAGACAACCAUGAGAGUAUUGCAAUCGGGUUUCUGUUGGCCAUCACUUUUCAAAGAUGCCCACACCAUGUGCAAGAGUUGUAAUCGAUGUCAGAGGCUUGGGAAGUUGACACGCAAGAACAUGAUGCCUUUGAACCCCUUUUUGAUAGUUGAUCUUUUUUAUGUUUGGGGCAUUGACUUCAUGAAACCUUUCCCUAUGCCUUUUGGCUACUCUUACAUCUUGGUGGGAGUAGAUUAUGUUUCUAAGUGGGUUGAGGCAGUCCCAUGCAAACACAAUGACCAUAGAGUGGUUCUCAAGUUUCUCAAGGAGAACAUCUCCUCAAGAUUUGGGGUGCCCAAAGCCAUAAUUAGUGAUGGGAGUACUCAUUUUUGCAACAAGUCUUGUGAAACUCUCCUAGCCAAGUAUGGGGUGAAGCAUAAGGUAGCUACACCUUACCACCCUCAAACUAGUGGGCAAGUUGAGUUAGCAAACAGGGAGAUUAAAAACAUAUUGAUAAAGGUGGUGAACACAAAUAUAAAAGAUUGGUUAGUCAAGCUCCUCGAUUCACUAUAGGUAUAUAGAACAACUUACAAGACCAUUCUCGGGAUGUCUCCUUAUCGCCUAGUCUAUGGUAAAACAUGUCAUCUCCCUGUGGAAUUGGAAUACAAGGCUUGGUGGGCAAUCAAGAAGCUCAACAUGGAUUUAAGCAGUGUUGGGUUGAAAAGGUUCUUAGACCUUAAUGAGAUGGAGGAAUUGAGAAAUGAUGCCUACAUCAAUUCAACAAUUGUAAAAGAGAAAUUAAAGAGGUGGCAUGAUCAGUUGAUUUCCCGCAAGGAUUUUAAAAAGGGAAAAAGAGUCUUGCUCUAUGACUCUAAGCUCCCCAUCUUUCCAAGCAAGCUAAAAUCAAAGUGGAUAGGUCCUUUUACCAUUCACCAAGUUCAUUCAAAUGGAGUAGUGGAACUACUCAACUCCAAUGGCACCAGGAGCUUUAAAGUGAAUGGCCAUCAUCUCAACCCCUUUGUGGAGCCUUUUUCUCGCGACAAGGAGGAAUUCAUCCUCCUUGAUGCACAUCAAGCUUGACAAGACCAGUUUUCUUAACGGACUUAGUCUUUCUAAAGACUAUUGAGUCCAUAUCUUUUUAUUUUAUUUUUUAUUUAAGAGUUUUCCUAUAUUAUUACUUGUUUUGAUUUUGAUUUCUCGUUUUAAUUUUAUUUUAGUUUGAUUUAACUUAGGUUUUUGAUGAUCAAUUGCAAAAGGGGCCUCAAAGCAGUUGGGUGUGUCCUUAAAGACUUCAAACAGAGGAAAAACCAAGAUAAUUCAAGCACCCUGCGAAAUUUUUGCAGGGCAUGCGAAAUUAAUGAAUCAUUUUGCAUGGGGUGAGAAAAUUUCGCACACCCUGCGAAUCAAUUUCACACACUAUACGAAAAUGAAAAGACCUUGCUAAAUCAUUUCAAACACUUUGCGAAAUUUUCGCAGAGCAUGCGAAAAAUUUUGCACACCCAACACCGUUUCGAAUGCUGUGCGAAACCCUAAGGGGUCUACAAAACCAUUUCGCACCUCCAAAGCCAUUUCGCACGCUGUGCAAAAAUCAAGAGGCGUUGUGCGAAAACGAAAAGUAGCCUUACUAUCCCUUUUUAAACCCCGAGCUCUAACUUCUCCAUUUCGCAAACACCAAACACCCUGCAAAUCCCUCAUUUUCCUCUACCACCUUGUGACCUCGUCCCUCUCCAUUCAACACCCCGUCCCGCACAUCUCAUUUUGAAGACUCGCACUCUGCGGCCCCUUCGAGCACGGCUCACUUUCCAUUUUCUACAUGGCGCUAACUCGAGGAGCCCUUCCCGCCCCUUCACCGAGACACACUCCGAGGCAGAGAGCCUCCUCUACUUAAGUGCCUAGUGAUUCUCCAUCUUAGGCCGCAGAGGCCUCGUGGAUUCCACCUCCUGAGAAUGGAGUAGCCAUUGGUCCUUCCUCUCCUGCUCCUCAGCGCAAAUAUGAGACAAAGAGACCACCUAUUACACCAAGGGCAACUACUUCGCUCCUUGAGAGUUCAGUAUGAUGUCCUCCUGCCAAGAGAGCCAAGACUUCAGGCCCAAGCGAGUCAUCCAGAGUUUCAUAGCCUAAGGCUCUUGCAGAUUCUGAGGUUCCUUCUGACUUAUCACCGGAGUCUAUUAUCUGACGCCCGAUGCUCACAGCACCACCCAUUAAGGGCAACUCAGAUUGCAGAGCAAGACCUUUCCUCUUGAAGCUAUAUUUUGAUCAAGAGGCCAUGCAACAGCAGCUUGAGCUCCGAGACUCUUACGGCCUACUGUAGAGGUACCACCUUGAGCACCUUAUAACUCUUUGUGAGUUCUUUUAUCCUAGAGUAGCACUAGACUUCUACCAGUCCAUGACUACUCUUGGCGUCCCGAGUCUUACUGUGAUUUACUUCACCAUUGAUGGACAUCAUGGUAUCCUCAAGGCUAGACAUAUUGUAGAGGCUUUACAAAUUCCUUUCAAGCCAGUGGAUCCAUCUGCUUUCCGCCAGUGGUCCUAGUAUCUCAGAGGGACAUGGUCCGCAUUUUAUCCAGGAAGACCUCUACAGAUUCGAUCCUUCUACGGAAGGAGCUUCCACCUAGGAUGCUCCUUGUAGAUAUGGUGCUACGCUCCAACCUCUUUCCCUUACAGCAUUUAGUACAGAGGCGAUGAGCUAUUUUGGACGCUUUAUUCUGUAUAUCGGAGGGCUUCUACUUUGGCCUGUUCCACUUGAUCAUGGCCUCCCUCAUCCACUUUGAGGAGAAGGUCCAUAGGAAGAAGCUUCAAAGGGCGGACACCAUUCCAUUACUAUUCCCGAGGUUGUUGUGCCAAAUCUUGGAGUAUAUGAGCUUUUCUAUUGAGCCUCGGCUCGAGCGUCACCGCCUUUGUCGAGAGUGAUUCACUCUGGACAAAUGGAAUCAAUUGACGGGCUAUUAUGCACCUCUAGGAGCCUUUCCUAUGGUAGCACCUCCAGUGCUCCUAGAACCAGAGCAAGGCGAGCUCCCGACAAAGACUGCACCACCAGUGCCCACACCUGAGGCUACUUCUACUGCUCCGCCUACGACUCUUACUGUUACACCAGUCGCGCCUACUACAUCCGAGCCUUCCAUCACCAUAUCGGCUUUAGAGUUUCGCUCCCGUGUGCAUACUUUUUAGACACUUACCACCACACAUGCUACUCUCUUUCAGCAAAUGGCUGAGAUGCGUGCCCAUCAGGACCAGCAGACUGCUAUACUUCGCCAGAUUCAGCAGCACUUGGGACAUCUACCUCUGCCUCAACCUGACCUUUCUGCAUCAUUAGAGCCUUUAGCUCCAGCUAAGGAUACUAUUCCACCUGAGGACACUACCACAGUAGAGGUCCGGAUUUCGCCACCUCAGAAGGCCACCACAGCUACACCAGAGGAUUCUUCAUUUCUACCUGAGGCUCCCACUACUUGAUCAUAAGAAAUCUCUUUAUCUUAUUGUAUUUACAUAUUAUAUUACUAAAGAUUUGUCCUUGUUUUGAUGCUUUAUAUUCAGGGUUGGAUGUAUUACCUGAUCAUAUCUCAUAUUGUACUUUCUCAUAUUAAUAUAUAGACAUCACAUUUUUUUAUUAUAUUUAAAAUUUUUCUAUUUAUUCUACUUGUCACUCUUUUGUUUUUUGACUCAUGUGGUUUCUCCUAUACGAAUCAGACUCCAUUUCAUUCAGGAGGUACCACUUCCUCCUUUUAUUUUCAAUUGCUCUUGAAACAUUGAGGGCAAUGUUGAUCUCAGUUGGGGGGAGAGUUAAGGAAGGAAUUUUUGUUAAUAAUGCUAGAUUAAUUUGUUAAUUUAGUUACUUUUUGCUUAAUUUUAAAAGUUUUUUACCCUACUCUUCAUGGUUAUUAAGGAAAAGUUCUCAAAAUGAAAUGGGAGAAAUCGAAUUCUUGCAUUUUUACUUGAAUCUUAGAGUUUGUAUUAUGCUUAUUAAAGUUGAUGAAUUAUUGAAACUCCUAUGGAAUUCAACCUUAUUUCUUCCACUUUAAUCUUAUCACACUAUGCACAUUAAGUUCCGAUUAUAAGACGAAAAACUAUCUCACCCCCUAAACUUAGGAAAAUUUCAACUUGGUACAUUUGACUUCAUUUUAAUAGUGUUGGGACACCUUAUAAAAGGCCAAUGAGCCUUCGAAAAAAAAAAAAAGAACAAAGUGUUUCGCUUGCCUUGAAACCCGAGCAAAGUCCGAGGGGUAUACGACGAAAGUCUUUAAAACCCGGUGCCCUAAGCCUUUAUUGGUUGGGAGUCACUGGCCUCAAUGCUCGUUACAAGAGUGAAUAGGUAGAGUUUAACAUAUUGUAGGUGCUUGGGUAUUGAAUUUCAAUCUCAAAAAUCCGGGGAAAAAUAUGAGGAGUUAGAGGUUGAAAAAUCCUUAAAGCUUGAUGCCCUAAACCUUGAUUGGUUGGGAGUCAUCAAUGGAUCCCCAUUACAUGGACACUUUAGAAAACAAUACCUUUAGCAUUGCACUCCUACAAUGAAAAAAAUUGUGAAAUAAAAGAGGUGUGUUCUUAGCCUAUUGGAGGUUGGUCAAGUUGCUAAGGUUUGAGAAAAAACUAGGUUGGGGGAGAGAAUAGUUUGACAUACUAUAAUCAGAAGCUAAUAAGCUUAACACUUAGAUUUUUGUGAAAAAAUAAGGUUUGAAUCUUUGGGAGUGGAAAUUCUUUUGUUGCUUAAAUUUGCAUAAUGCCUACUCUUUAUAAAUUGUAAUUUGGCAGGAGAUUUGAUAACUCUUGUUGAAGGUUGGGUUUUGCAUCUUUGAUGUUCCAUGAGAGAGUAUAAUCUGCAUCAUGCCACUUGAAAAUUUUUUGGAGUGAUUAGCAUGAUUUUGUAAAUUAUUUUACUAUUUAUUUUUCUUUAUCUCUCCUUCAUUGCUAAGGAACUAGCAAUAUGUUGGUUGGGGGGAGUGAUUACUGCUCAAAAAGUACUCUUUUAUAGUUUGAAACUAACUGUUUUAAACACUUUUGAGUAGUAGUUAAUACAUUUUAAUUCAAUUGGCACAUUAAGGAACCUAGCAAGGGUUACUAAUCAAUUUUUCGCAAGUUUUGGUGUUUUUGGUAGCUAUUUGAUCAUUGAAACAAGCCAAGAAUGAGGGAGGAUUUUGUGAAAUCCAUGGCAAUGUAAGUUAAAGCUUAAAUACAUGAAUAAUCCAAGCUUUUGAGCACUUCAUAGCCCUUUGCCAAGCCAAUCAAAGAUGCAAGGAAGAAAACCAGAGGAAGAAAUCCAACAUCCAGCAUUUCCGCAUGGCUGUGCGAAAUUUCGCACACCAUGCAAAACCACUUGAGGCAGCUAAAGAAUUUCGCACAACAUGCGAAAUUUCGCAGGGUAUGAGAAAUCUUCCUGUGCACUGACUCCGUUAGAUUUUUAUCUCUAGAUAUUUUGUGUAAUUUCCUAUUUUCUCCUUGUAAUCAACUUAGAUAUUUUCAUAUAUAUUUUUGUAUAUAUUUGGUGUGUGUAACAUCUUUUGAUAUAGACACACAGGGAUGUAAUCAGAGAACACUUGUAAAUUCCCUGUAGUAAAAAAUAUACAGAGUUUUUGCUCUGCCUUUUCUUCUCAUUUUGUUUUCACUCUUCUUUCUAGUCAAACAACCUCUAAGGAUGAUUUAUCAAGGGAUGGGUGGCUAGGUUUUACGUUUCUUGGAGUGAUGGAAGCUAGGUGAAGGACCCGAAUGCAAAUAUGGGAGUUGUCCUUGCUUUAAAUGAAAGUAGUUGUUAACCAUUAAUGGUUUUUAUUUUAAGAUUUAGCUUUAAAUCCUUAAAAGCACCUUGAAUGGCCAAUACUUGGUAAGCUUUUCAGAUUCUAUGGAUGCUUAUUGCUAGAUCCAUGGAUGUCUAUUAGUUAUCAUUUAUGAGCCAGUGGAAGGUGGUUCAAGGUGAGAGUCUUUAGUAUUUCAAGCCAUUAAUGGGAAGCAACUAUUAUUUUUCAUGAACCCUUUGGAUCAAAUCUUAAUUGCUAAAUAUAAAACCGGUUCAGGAGAUAACCAUCCUUUAUGUUAUUGUCCCCAAAGCGAGGAGAAGAUCCGGAAUCUCCCCCUUUGUCUAAGGAACCUGAUCCUAGUGACCUAAAGCUCUAAGAGACCUUUUCUUUGUAGUUAACUUCACUUAUUAUUUAUGCUUAACUUAAAAUCAAUCUUUGCAACCACAAUUCCAUUUUCUUUAAAAGCUAAUUUUCAUAAGGAGAAACACCAUUUUAUUUCAUUCACUAAAGUCAACUAUACGAUGAAAACCCAUCCCUGUGGACGAUCCUAGAGCCACUAUACUAUGUUAGCUAUGCUACCCUAGUGUGAGGUGAUUUAGGUUUUAUAAAUUUUGUUGAUAACACCCGUCUGAGACAGAAUCAAAUGGCAUGACUGCAAUGGGGAUGAAUCAGACUUAUUGGAACAUUAUCUUGAAUUUCUUUAGGAAGGAAGAGUAUCUUGAAAAUGAUUUUUGGCUCAUAAAUGAAUAUAGGUUUCUAAGUGGAAAUUAUUUAACAUUCUCACCGUUUUAUGGUGUCAUGAGUGAGUUUUUUUUAGCUUAAGCUUCCUUGUUAGAGUGUUGAUAAUCAUUUGUUUUUUACCUAUUCAUUUGAUAAAUUUGGAAAGUACUUCAAUCUCUAUGUUUAUUAAUUUUGUCUAUUGUUAAGUUCUUGGAAGCAUUUUUGUUCAAUGUGAAUCAAUUCUAACUCAUUAAUUGAAAGAUAAGUAUGUCAUCCUAUUGUAUCUCAUCUUUGGUCGAUCAAUUUUCAGUUUUUGGAAAGCUUAUUGGUGUAUUUCUUGUGAUUUUUCGAUAGUUUUUGCCUAAGUCAUUUUUCAAUUGGGUGUCGAUCGAUCUACUGAAUUUGUGGAUCGAUCCAUUGUGUGCACAAUGUAGUGACCGAGAGCCCUUGAAUGAAUCUUGGAUCGAUCCACCAAGAUCGAUACCACCUAGUCCUUGUCUCUCACACACUUAGCCAUUUUUUUCAAAUUUGGUCUAUUCAAACCUAUGUGACUAUGUAUCAUCGAGAGCACAAUUGAAAGCUGGAUCGAUCCACCCAGAUCGAUACCACUUAUGCAUUUGUGAAAAAUUCCAUUUUUGCCCCCAACUAGUUAUACUCAUAUGGUUUAAUGGAUAAGGGGUAUUUUCAUAAUUAAAAGUAAAAAAUUGAAAAUUUGAAAAAGUCAAAAUCCCUAAAUCAGUUUUUCCCAAUUCAUUUCUUUCAAAAACCCUAGGUUUUUUGUUCCAAAGAAGAGAACUUCUCUACUCUAAGCUUCUCUUUAGCCAUCAUUGUCAGUCCAUCAUUCCUACCACUACCAUCAAAAGUCUCUACCACUGGAAACCUUUAUCGUUAGACUUCCCUAUCUGGUGAGCGUUUCAAGUCUGGCCAAUCCCACUAGACAGCCUCGUCAAAUAGCCUAGAAUUGUUGUGUUGCUCAGCUCAUGUCGUCGGCCUGUGUGUCUUUUCUUAAUGCGUCGAUGUUUUAGAAAAUUGUCUUCUACAUAGUAUGUGUUGGCUAGGACCUCCUGUGUGCAUCACUAGAUUGUAUCUUGUGCAAUUAGGAUUUUGUUCCAACAGUUGGAAAUUCCAAUCUGCCCUUAGGACUGUGUUUUUCACCGCACAAUCAACACAACGCAAUCUACACUUCUGGAAAUUGUGUUCUACAUAGCCCAUUUCUCUUGUUUUUUGCUCUACUAUUUUCCAAUGUUCGUGUCUUUAAUGCAACUUAUUUGCAAGAGUUCUCAUUUUUGGCAACCAUUAUUGUUUGAUUUAUCCAUUCUUCUCUCUUCUAUUAGUCUCAUUUGGAUUUUUUAUUUUUUAUUUUUUUAUUUUUUUUAUAGAGUCCUCUCACAAUAGUUUUAAUAGUUUGAGAUUUCAUUUUUGCCUUGGAGUGUUCCUAGUUUCUAGGAAUGCUAAUCCUAGGCUUUGGUUAUUCAUUUUGAGUGGUCUUCAUACAUUUUCAUGCUUGAAAUCUAUUUUCAUGGUGAUAAAGCAUUUUUUGAAAGUUUUUAAUUGAAACCAUGUGAUAGGAUUUAGGAGGAGAUUCUUAUAUCCUGUGAUGGGAGUCAAGGGGAGAUUCUUGUAUCCUAUAUUUUUUUUUUCUAGAAUGUUGAUAUGGAUACUUGGUGAUAUGUGAAUAUUUGAUUUUUGGGUAUUUGACAUUUUUGUUGAAAAGUAGAUGUUUGUUGAUUUGGAUGUGAGAUAUUCUGCUAUUGAAUUCUCAUCCAUUUAUCUUUUUUAUUGGAUAGAAAAUGGGAGAUUAUGACUUUUUGUCUCCUAUUGGGACAAAAAGGAGAAAACAUUUUACAUGGAUGUUGAUAUGACAUGUAGUUGAUCAUGACGGUUUCUUUGUGUUUUGUUGCUUUGGAUAUUUGAUAUGUUGAUCAUGAUCACCUUUUUUGUAUAUCGAUGGAUAUUUGACACGUUUUUGAACUCAUGAAUGCAUAUUAACUAUCUUUAGACAAGUUAUUUUUGUGGAUAUAUGUGGAUAUUUGUGUGUCAAUUCAUUUGAAACUUAUGGAAUUGUCUUGGUAAUAUGUGCAAGUGCUACUAAUGUUUUUUCUUGAGAUUUAUUUACAGGAUUGGUAGUACCUUUGGUUAGGUUUUGAGUGAGUGAGUGAGUGGCCUUGUAUGAGAGUUGGGUGGGACUUACUUGUAUUCAUUCGUGUUGUAAAGGGUUUUGUCCCAGAAUUUCCAAAUGGGGAGAUUGUGAGUGUUUAGCUACGUUGGUAAUUCCAAACAAAAUUCCUAAGUGUCCCUUAACUCGGUUUACAAAUCCCUCUUCAAACUACUUGACCUUUGAAGAUUAAAACUUUGCUAAGAGACCGAGGUAUGUAGCCGAGUGUGUGGUGAUUGAAUGUGAAUCAACCCUAUUUUUUCAUCUUUAAAUGAGUUAAGAAAAUAGGGAGAAAUAUUGUUAGUGCAAGGCUUUUGUUCCCCUUAUUAUGGAUUGAUCUAGGUGCAGGGGCAAAUUGAUCCAACUAACCCACUUUUAAGAUCAAUUUUCAACCCUUAGAUUAAGGGUUUCUUUCUCAUUUAAAAUCAAAUCUCUCCCAUCUCUAGAAGUGGUGACUACAACAACUGUGAGAGAGUUUUUUCUUUCUUCACCAUUUUAAGGGUGUUUACCUACGAAGAAAAUCUAUUCAAGUUUUCUAAGAAAAAAUUUUUAAAAUGGAUUUUCUGAAAAAGAGCAUAGGUUGAUUUUUGAAACAUUCAUAUCUAAUUCUCUUGGUUUUGCGCAAAAACCCAUUUUUUUUCUUAUGUGAAUUCAAGAAGAGGCCGAGAUCGACCUUGGUGUAAACUCCAAGCGUGCUCUAAAAUAAGAAUGUGAGAAAGUGAAAGUGAAGGUACUAGUCAAGUGGUCUGGGAAGGAUUGGUUGGUUUGAGCUAGGUAAAACCUUGUAUUUAGUUUUUAUUCUUCAUAGUGGAUGUUUUCAAUUGGUAGUAGGGCCAUGGUUUUUGAUCUCUUCGAAAAAAUUUCAUGUAAAUUUAUGGUGUCUCAUUGUCUCAUUUUCUCUUCUUAGCAUCAUUUUUUAGUUUCAACAAUUUAUUAUAAUUUUGAUUGUAUAGUAUUUGAUUGAAUGAUAAGGAGAAAUGGCUAUGAAUCAUCUUUGAAGUUGUUUCUAAUUGUUAAUCACUGAUAUUUUGAGGUAUAUUGAUCUUGUUUUUAUCAUAAUUUAGUUUAAGUUGAUUUGGGUUUGGGAGUAUUAGAUCAUGUGCAUGUGAAUUUCAUUUGAGUAUUGUUGGGGAGUGUUGUUGCAUUCAUAUAUUCAUGUGAUUUAUAAUUUGUUUUUGAGACUGUGUGAAGAGAAGAAAAUAUUCAAGAAGUUUUAAGGUUUACUAAUUUGAGUUGAGAUUUUGUUUAAUUGGUCAAAACACCUAUUCAACCCCCCCUUUAGGUGUAUAUUCCACUAUUGAGAUUCACUUUUUCAGAACCUAUACUUCUACCGAGCUACAUGAAGUUUUGUAAGGCAUAAAAUACAUUUUGAGGCAUAUAUAAGUCAAAUCUUAUAUCCAAAUUAGGUUGAAUUGGGUCAUGGUUAACCUCAAAUCAAAUAUAUGCAUUUUUCUUACAAAUGUUUAUAUAUAUAUAUGCAUUUAAGAAUAUAGUUAUUAUUGUAAAGGAUGUACUUUUUCUUAAGAAUAUACUUAUUUUUGUAACAGAUGUACCUAGGGUUCUACCAUGCCAAAUUGGGUUUGGGAAUGCAUCAUGAGGUAUAUAGAAGUUAAAAUUUAGACUCAAAAUGAAUAAGGGAAUGAUUCAACUCAAAUCAGAUGUAAAUACUUUUCUAAACUUUUAUGCAUUUUUUUAAAGCAUGUACGCAAAGUUAUAUCAUGUUGAAUAGGGUAUAAGAAGACCUCAAAUGCAUUCCGAGACCUACAUAAGUGAAAUCCCACACCCGAAUUAGGUUGAAUGAGGAUAAGAAUCCCCAAUGAAAUGAAAUGUACAUGUUUUUAUACUAGAUGUACCUAUUUUUCUAAAUGAUGUACUUAUUUUUUUUAAAAGAUAUAUGUAUUUUAAGAAAUAUAAAAAUUAAUUAAAGAAAUGUUAAUACAAUUUUUAUGAAAAUAAUUUUUUUUCUAUUUUAUGUUUAUAAAAAAGUUAAAGAUUUUAACCUAGUAAAAAGUUAGAACCAUGAUCAAUUUUAAAUCAUAUGAAAAAUUAAAACAAAUGUUAAUAUGAAAGUUCAAAUUUUUACAUGCCCUUAUCAAUGUCUCAUCAAAUUUUUUUAGUACAAAAUGGAAUAGUAAGUGAAUACUCUUUUAUUUCUUUAAUACAAAAAAUACAAACCAAGCAUCUCUCAAAAUCUUGUUCCUUGCUCUUGAAUAUAAAGUAAGAUAAGCUCGUGAACUUAUUCACAGUAAAAGUUUUGCUAACCUACAGUCACGCAACACAUGAAGGCAUUAUUCGACUUUAUUUAGGCAUCGAACACAAUUCGGUGAAGCUACUAUAUGCCUUUUGAAGUGAUUUUCAUUUGUCAGCAACUUGUUGUGCAAAGCCAGCCACAAAAAGGAUCUAAUCCUUUGGGGACCCCUUCAUUUCCACAAGGCCAUCCAAUUCUUAUUCAGCUUUGUCCAGCAACUCUCUUCAAUCAGUUCGUAAGCCGACUUGGUAGUUGACAACGUUGACAUAAAGGCCAAAAAUAGUGGAGGAUUGUACAAGAGCACAUAGCACUAACCCAAAUUCUCAAAAUUUGCUAUUGAAAAGUUUUUAGCCUAUUUGGCCAUUUCAUUAAAAAAUAAUUUUUGUUUUUAAAAAUUAAAAAAAAACUAUUUUUAAAAAUUCAUAAAAUUGUUUGUUAGUUGUUUUCUAUUUGUAAUUUUUAAAAAUAAAGUGAAAUAAAAAACAUAUUUUAUAAAACAAAUAAAAAUUGUUUUCACCAAUUUUAAAAACAAAAGAAAAAUAUAGAGGAAUUAAAAAACUAUAAAAAGAAAAUUGAAGAUGAUAUCAUUCUUCUUUACCUCUUUCUACGAUCUAAUAUCGAUACUGAAAAUCUUCAAAUAUAAUAUUCUUUUAAAUUACAUGUGUUUUUAUCAAUUUCAUUUAAUUUAAGAAAAUUUUCAUUGAUAAAAUAAAUUCUAAAUCAAAUUAUACUUUAUACAUAAAAUUUACUAAUUUUUAAAAAUAACUUAAAAGUUAAAAACUGAUUUAGUUAGUACUAUAAAGUCAUGAAACUCACUAACAUUAGAAUGACAUACACCAAAAUUCAUUUGAAUGUCUUGGCUAGUUUUUUCUUUGCAUAUAAUCAUAUUUUUACAAUUUUUUUCACUUAGUAAAUAAUCACCAAAUCAAGUAUGACUUAAUGCGUUGAAUUUAUUAACAAGUCUAAGUAAUUCUAAAAAAUAAAUUGAAAUGCAAAUAGUGAUCCAAUUAAUACCAUAAAUUUAUGGACAAAAAUUGAACUUGAAUGACUUUAUUGUUUCCAAUUUUGUUUCAUUGGACAAAUAAACUUAAAAUUAAACCAAACUUAAUGUGUUGAAUUCAUUAAUAAAUUUAGUAAUUUCUAAAAAUAACUUAAAACUCAAAUAAUGAUGUAAUUAAUAUUAAAAAAUUUAUGGAUGAAAAUUGGUCUAAAACAACUUUAUUAUUUUUCUUCUACAUGGAAUCAUAUAUUCCCAAUUUUAUUUUACUAUAUAAAUAAACUCAAAAUUAAACAAGACUUAACAGUCUAGUAAUUUUUAAAUUAGAAUAAUAUUUGAAAUAAUUUAAUUAGAAUAAUAUUUUAAUUUAUUAAAAUAAAUCAUAAAUAAAUGAAUAAAAUUAUCUAACAAUAUUUUAUCAAGUUAAUAUUUGUUAAUAAUAAGGAUUUAAGAUUUUGUUAGAUUUUAUCGCUAUAGGAUUAUUAUAAAUAUGGUUUUAAAAAAAUGCAUGAACAUCAUGUAAUAUUAACAAAAUAAAAAUUACGAAUUGAUCGCUUUCAUAGUUUUUGACUAUGGAUUAUUUUUAUCAUAACAAAAAUGCGUAAAAUUGUAUACACCUUUUAGGCUAUGAAAUAUUCAUUAUUUAACUUAUGAGUGUACAAUUUUGUUUUGUCCAAUAGUAGUGCAAUUAAUAUUAAAAAUUUAUGGAUAAAAAUUGGGUUUUAAUGAGUCUACUUUUUUUCUAUACAUACUUAUUUAUUUAUAAAUUUUUUUAUUAAAGAAUGAACUUCAAAUCAAGUAAUUGAAUUUACUAAUAGGUUAAUUUUUUAGUUUUUUUAAAGUUACAACCUAGUAAAUAGAUCUAAUCACUAUAAGAAAUAAUAUAUGAAAACUAAUUGUAGACCCCAAAAUUUGUCAUAAUUUUAUUUUUACAUUGAUAUUGAGUUCAAUUUUAUCCUUAGAUUUAAAUUUCGAUUACAUCUUAAUUGUUUAACCCACUUACACUAUUUUUUUAUUUUUUUUAUUUUUUCUCUCCUCUCUCCUCUCUCUUCUCUCUUCCUCUUUCUCCUCAUUCUACCUAUUCCACCUACUUCCCUUACCCAUUUCCUUCUCGUCUAAGCCACUCCCCAUACCCCCUCCAAGUUUUUUUUUUUAAAUUUUUUAUCAUCUUUCUCUACUCUCCUCUCUUCACUUUUUUUUUCUCUCCAUCAUUUCUUCUUCGGGUUCCCUUCCAACACCACAACCACUCCACAACCCACAUACCAGACACGGUCGACUCCCCCAUCUCCUCUUUUUUUUUUUUUUCCUUUCCCCCAACUCUCACACACGACGGUCCCCAUUUUCUCUUCCAUUUUUUUUCUCUUUCCCACAGUCCUUCCCUCUACACUGCCAUUUUCCAAAGACUCCCAUUAUCACACGCUCCCCAUCUUCCUUCAUUUUCUUUUUUUUCUUUUUUUUUUCUCUUCCUUUUUCUUUUCUUUUCCCCUCCCCACACUCCAUAGCCACUACCGGCCCUCCACUGCCCGCCACUACCAGCAGCCACUGCCAACAACCACCACCCGCUACUAUCUGCCAGUCAUUGCCGGCUAGCAAUCCUACCAUCCAUAGUUCUAAAAAAAAUGGGUAAAUUUCCUUUUUACUUUAUUUUAUUUUCAUUUUUUUUAUCUUUAUAUUUUUAUUUUCAUUUGCAUAGUAAUUUAUUUAGACUUGGAUCUAUUGCUUAUUGGUUAUUUAUUUGGACUUAUUGGAUUGGGUUUGAGACAUUAUUUUCUUUGGUCAUGUAUAUUAUUAAUGUGGGUUUGUUAAUUGAUAUGAAUUUUUGACCCAUAAUGUGAGUAUGAAUUUUGGGCCCACAAUGUUGGUGGAAUUUGAUUGAUGACUUGAAUAUUUGAUAUGAGUUUGACCAAUUUGAACUAUUUAAUUUGGAUAUGGGACAAUUAUGAUGUAUAUUAAAUUAGGCUUGGAUUAUGAGAUAUUAAAUUUAGGCCUAAUUGAAUUUAUUUUAUUUUGUGAUAUUUUGGGCUUGGCUAAUUGUGUUGUAUUUUGGUUAUUAAUUUGAAAAUUUUGGAUUAAGAUUUAUAGCAUGUGAGAUGUUUUUGUUAGGUUAUAUUUGUUAAUUUAUGCCCAUUUUGAUUGACAAAAUUUAUCAGACUAAUUUGAAAUUUGAAUUUGAGUUUGAAUAUUUGUUUGGGAUUUUGUACAUCUUUGGAUAUUUACAUUUGAGCUAUUUUGUUUUUGCAUGGGUUUAUUUUGCAAAUUCUGUUGGCUGAAUACAAAUUUAUGACACGUGGAGCACGAAAUUUUAUGGAAGAAAGUGAGAAUCAAAAGGUUGUAGGAACACAUUAAACUUGUUAUAAGCUUAUUUUGGUACACAUUUUAUUUCCCACUUUUAUUUGAUUUUAUUUCUAUUAGUUCUUGUAAAUAUUCAUUUGUAUAUAUUUAUUGAGUGUGUACAGAAUUGAAUAUUUAACAAAUCAAAAUUUUCAUUUAAAUAAGAGGAAUAAUUCAGUAAAUAUGUUCUAAUAAAAUAAUAAUUUUAAAAUAUUCUUCUUCAUAAAAGAAAGUUUUUUUAUUAAUAAAAAUUCAUAAAAAUGCUUUUAAAAAAAUUCAAAAAAAAUUGUUUUUAAUAGAAUUUGAUAAAUUAUUUUUAAUAAUAAUUGUCCAAAAAUGUCUUUGUUUAAUAAAAAUUGUCCAAAAAUUGUUUUGUAAAUAAAGUUGUCCCAAAAAUUCUUUUGCAAAUAAAGUUAUAUUCUUUUUAAUAAUUUGUACAAGUCACUUUUCUUAAAUGAAAACAAAUUGAAAUACUUUUGUAAAUAAAAUUGUAAUUUUUUUGUAAAAGCGAGUAAAAAUCAUUUUUGUUACCAAAUUGAAAUUUUGUAAUAAAUUAUUUUGAUAUAAUAAGUGAAAAUAACUUUUUUGGAAAAUUAACUACAAAUUAAAUUGAAUUAAAUCAUUAAUUAAAAAUAAAUUGAAACUUCUUUUCUGUAAAUAAAAAAAAUUAAAAUCAUUAAUUUAAAAUCAUUUUUAAUAAAAUCCUUUGAAAUUUCUUGAAAAUUAUUUUUUUAAUAUUUUUUUAUUUAGUUCAAUAAAUCAUUUUGCAUAAUUCUCUUGUUAUUUAUUUUGUAUAUUCUUGUAAUUAGAUUUCAUCAUUAUUUUUAUGUAUAUUGAUUUUCAUCAUGACUUGCACAUACUCAUUUGCAUAAUUAUUUUUCUUGGUAUCCAUAAUUAAUUAAUUAAUCAUCGCAAUUUCCUUAAUUCAUUUAGUAGAGGUCGUAUGUAUACGAGCUUAGAGGGGUGUUACAACUCAUUACCAUACCUUCCCAAUAUGUAACGGAGGACUCAAACUCGAUUUUUCACAAACUUGUUUUUACUUCAAGAGUCACACUUAAGGUUUUUCUUUUUUAUUUUGUUUUUCCCUUAAAAAAUAAAACAAAAAUCAGUUGACUUCAAGUCUUUUUUUUAAAAUCAUAUUUUUCACCAAAUAAAUAAAAAAUGAGUCUCGCUGUCGAGUGGAGACGCACAUAAAAAACGUAGGUCCACACCAAUAUAUUAUACUAUUUUUUAAUUUAUUUAUAAUUUAAAACUAAUUUCAUUUUUUAUAAGACCUUAAUUAAAUUUCUAUUAAUUAAAUUUAGAAUAUUUUUACAAAAUCAACAUAGAAAAAUUAUUUAAAAAAAAAACCAACUUUAAAAUAACUUGCCAAACAUCCUUAUUUUAUAAAAUUUUUAAAACAUAUUUUUAUUUGUUUAACAUAAAAGCAACUUUCAAAAACAAACAUUAUGGAACGUGAUUGAACUUUUCUCUUAUUUCUUUUUCAUUUUCUUGUUACUUAAAAUGACCGACAAAGGAAGAUGAAUUAAAUUAUUGAAGAACAUCUUUUGCCAAACAUAUUAGUUAAAAAAAGUGAUUUAAAAAGCGGGCCCUAACCUAUUCUGGAGCCCAUGAUAUCUUUGUACGUUACCAUAAAAGGCCACACGCCACACGCCUCAGCAAACCCACCAACCCUCAGAAAGGGGUUUCAACUGCAAAUAGUAACCAUACAAUUUCAAAGCAAAAAGCCAAACACUCACAUAAAUCUAAUAUUACCACAGCAACACUACUAAAUAGUUAAUAGCCCGUGAUGUUUCCUUUUUAUUCUAUGCCAAGCUUCUUUCUCAUCCCCAUAACAAAGCCAUGGACCUUGUGUGGGUCUUCCAGAGAAGACGACACGCUCUCCUUUUCCAUGCACCUCUUGGUCCAAGCUAUCAACUUGGGACACUCCGCCUCUAUGCUGAAGUUUCCAAAGCUCUCAUAUGCAUGAAACCAGCAAGAGAAGGUCACCAGAGCCACAUCCACAAACCCAAUUUUUUCACCGCCGAAGUAAGGCUUCUCUCCAAGCUCUCCUUCCAGAAGCUUGAGGCACUCUAUGAAUUCCUUCUUGGCUGUUUCCUGCUCUUCUCCUUUGGUUGACCAUAUCUUCCUUCCAAGUUCAUAGAGCUGUGGAAAACAAUAAAGUCAAAGAGAGAAAAGGGUUAUUUUUUUGGAGCAUUUCAUCAAGUUUCAACUUUCUGUAUAGUUGGACAAGUUUAUUAAGGACCCUUCAGCAUAGAAAUCUCAUAUACUAGGAACAAUUUAAAUGAAGGGCCGGUGGAAGAAAAAUAUCAGAAUCAGUUGAAAGAAUGUAUCAUUUGCUAAAGCUUUUCCCCUCAGUGUGGGUUUUAGAAAAUGAGAAGAAAGAGAUCAAAGCAACAAAACAUGUAUUAAAAGAACUGCUCUGCAAAAUGUUGAACAUCAGGAUAACAAAAAAAAACCAAACACUGCUUUAAAAACUGGUUUUUGGAUCCCCUUUCUUGAGGGAAAAGGCAUUCUUGAGAUCUGCUUUUUUGGGUGGAAAGAACGGACUGAAAACCCACAUCAGAAAUGCAAAGUGGAGUCUUGUUGGACACACAGCAAGGAGAAUCAGUAAAGUUCUAGUUUGAGACCCCAAGGCCCGCAAAACUCAAUGUCAGAAGAGAAUGUGUGAAGAAGAACCCAGCAUUUUGGACAAAUCCCUCAUCAUUAUCAAAAUCUGAGCCAAGCGCCAUGAAUCAAUGGCAAAAAAAUGCUUUAAAUCAACAGCAAAGACAUACCUUCUUGUCUACGUAGUCCACCCAGAACCUGGCCUGAGCUCUCUGGUAUGGGUCACUAGGCAAAAGCGGAGAUUUAUCGUGCCAAACCUCAUCAAUAUACUGAACUAUUAUCAGAGACUCACAAAUGGGCUUUCCAUUGUGGAUCAGAACCGGGAUUUUCUUAUGAACUGGAUUCAUCUCAAGAAGCAGAGGGCUCUUGUUCCUAAGGUCCUCCUCUUUAUAUUCAUACUUGAGGCCCUUCUCUGCCAGGGCAAGUCUGACCCUCAUACCAAACAUGCUAGGCCAGAAAUCCAACAAGAUAAUCUCAUCUGCCAUUGCUCCUACUGUGAUCAAUAUGAUACAGACUCAAGUAUUGAUGAACAACCCAAGGGAUAUUGUCAAGUAUUUAUAGCAAAUCUCAGAGAGUGAGUCAAAACCUUGGAAAUUUCUAGGAGGUGGUGAUGGCGUGAUGCUUCCUUAUCUCAGCAUGCACUUUCCUUCCAUAUUAUAUCCUUAUCUCAGUUUUCUUUCUUGGAAAAGUUGUGUUUUCAUGGGCCAAUAUGGUAAUAAUAUUGUUUUUGGAACCCAGGUUUGUGAAAGUUGAAAAACAUUUGUUAAUGUGGAAACUUAUAUCAGAUUCAUGCACUCUGAGCCGGUUGUAUUUUUUCUACCGAAAUUGCCCCUCCAGGUAUCCACGUCAGCAGCCCAUCUCAGAACGGGCUGAAACUGAACCGGUUGUCUUGUGCAAAAUCAAAUAUUGAGCUUCCCACAAAAACACCCUAGGCGACCGACCGUUCAUCCUCCCUUUCUCUCAUUUGGUACCCAUUCCAAAUGCGUCGGAGUUUCGAGAUGCAAUCUAUUUGAUGUCUUUGGUUGGAAAAUUUUGAUAUUCUUACAAAAGGAAUAGUCCAAAACACAUGACCGUAGUAUGCACAAUUGAAGAUUGUCCUUGGAAAAUCACUACGUGUGCAAUAGGGGACUCAAACAUUGUUCAAGUACACACAUUCCGAAAUGUGCAUAACCAUUGCUUGGAAGAUGUUGUCUUAUCUCAGCCUUUAGUGAGAUCCACUCGUGCAUCGUUGGUCAUUGAUGAUGUCAUUCGAUCUACUCCUGAAUACCAACCACGCCAAAUUUGUAAGGACUUUGUAAGGCAACAUGGCAUCCAAUUAACUUACCUACAAGCAUGGCAAAUGAAGGAGAAGGCUAAGGAGCGCAUUUAUGGACAACCCAAGAAUUAUUACAAAUUGUUGCCAUGGAUGUGUGAAAGAAUGCUUGCAACAAAUCCGGGAUCGAGUGUUGAGUUGAGUUAUUUCGAUGACGACCAUUUUGAGAAGCUUUUUGUUGCUCAUUCAAUAUCUAUCGAAGGGUUUGUAAGGGGGUGUUGACCAAUCAUUGCAAUUGAUUCGGCCCAUAUGAGUGGGCCUUAUGGUGGUGCUCUAUUUUCGGCCACCGCCUAUGAUGCUAAUGACUCCAUGUUCCUCUUAGCCUUUGGAGUGAUGAGCUCGGAAAAUUAUGAAGAUUGGUUAUGGUUCUUGGAAAAACUGAAGAUAGUUGUGGGAAACAAGGAAGUUAUUAUUAUCUUAGAUAGACAUCCUGCUUUGCUUCGUAGUGUCCCUAAGGUGUUUGGCAUUGAAAACCAUGCUUAUUGCUACCGUCACCUGAAGGAGAAUUUUAGUAGUUUCUUGUCCAAGCAUAACACACGAGGGAACAAGGGUAAAGAAAAUGCAUUGCAAUUCCUAGAUAGCAUUGCAUAUGGAAGGUUAGAACAUGAUUAUAACGUUUCCAUGUUUGAACUAAAAAAAUACAACGAGGCUUUAGCCACAUGGGUGUAGACCCUCAAUUUUGUCCCUUUAGUACAUGUCUUUAAGUUCGUUUUCAGUGCUUCAAAAUAGUUCCUUGGUGGCCCAUUACUACUCGUACGACUUACCUUUUUCUGAGUCACCUCGGAGACUUUGGUUGAGGGAUUAUUUGAUCCCAUAUUGUGACCCUUGGCAGCCCUAACUUAGACUUAGGUUUUUCUUGUUUUUUUUUUUUUAGGAUAGCUUUUAGAUACACUUGGCCCAUUAGGACACACCCUAGGUCACCUUUAGAUGUUUUUGCAUGGUUUGCAUGGUUGCAUGGCUCGUGUUUUUGCAUGGUUGCAUGACUCAUAUUCUUUUGGUGGUUACAUAGCUCGUAUGGCUUGCAUGUGGUUGAUUUUUUUUAUUUUUGUUUUUAAUUAUUUUUAUUUUUUAUUUUUAUUUAUUUAUUUUAUUUUUUAGAUGUGUGAUUUAAAUUUCUUUUGAUUUUCAAUUUCAUGAUAUUUAUUGAUUUUAAUCUUUAUUCUAUUUUGUCUUUAUUUUAUUCUUAUUUCUAUUUGUAUCUUUGUUUAUUUAUUUAUUUAUUUAUUUUUUGGGCAUGAGGAAACGGACCGCCAUUUAUUUGGAAGGAAAAUCAACAGAAUUUUGAAAAGAGGAGAUUUUAUUUUUAGAGGGACAGCACAUAUACUUCUUCCAUAGGGGGAUCGGCUACAAGAAGGAAAGAAAAGAAAGAAAGGAAAGAAAGGAGAAAAGGAAGUAGGAUUUUCCUUUUCAGCAAGAUGGUUUCUUUUUGAAAAGUGGGACUGGCAGCACGCAUAGAAAAAGGGAUUUUUUUUUAAGAAAACCAGGGGCAUGCAUUGGAGAAAACGGUUGAAGAGGAGAAGAAGAAGGAAGCACAAGAAAACCAGUGGAGAUUUUCUGAGGAUAGAAACCAGUGCAGAUUUUUUUUAUUUGUCAGAAGUAAGCAUUCCCAGGGGGGGGAUUCUUUGGAUUGCUUUGGGUGAGAAGAACAGGGACUGAGGUACACGAGUUUCUAAAGGAUUUGGGAGAAGGAAUCAUAUCUAGAAGAAAGGAAUUGAGUCAAAGCUGCCGGGUAUGCUUCUUGCUACUUUUUUAUUCCCGUUUACAUUCAAUACUCCAUGAUCCUCUGACCAUUUUUGAAUAUUCAAUCUUUGCUGAUUGGUGUGGACGGUAGGUCCACAAUUAGUUCUAUUGAAAUUGGUUGUUUCUUUGUUUAUUUAAGACUUUCGUUCUUUUCAAUGUCAUUAAUUUCUUAUGAGAAUAAUAUGCAUUUGGGUCAGUCCUUGAUUCUGAUGAUGGAAAUCCUACCUUGUUCAUGUUGAAAAUCUGUUUUAAAUCACUCCUCUAUUCUAAGCCAAUGGAUUGAAAUAUGAAAUUGUGGCUUUUCUUGGUUAUUUUCCUCUUCUUUCUGUGUUUCUUUUUUUUGUUAUUUUCUUCUAUUUCUGGCCCACACCUCAACCAACCCUAUUCCCGAUCUUCAAGAUUUAUUAACGUUGAUUCAGAAAUUUUUGGAACUAUGGAAGAGAAUUUAGGAAAUAAAGAGGUUCUUGAGAACUGUUCUAGUGAGCUCGCUUUCUGCUAGCCGUCUGCAUGGGGAUGUUGUAAUUGGGGAGCUUUUGGCUAAAUGGCUUCUGAAACUUCAGCCUGUGACUACUUCUCCUUAUGUGUUAUUAUCAAACUUGUAUGCUUCAGAUAGGAAGUGGGCAAAUUUAAAGAACCUGUCAUUAGCAGGCAACAAUUUCUUUGGCCCAACUACAGACUCAACUUCGAGGUUAGAAUCAAUCCAGUCUUUAGAUUUCAGUUGCAACUCCUUUUCUGGUGAUAUGGCAGCAUCAUUGACUGUUGAGUCUGAUAUGGAAUACAAUUGGAAUGCCAACAUUGAGAUAUUUGGAAGAAGAGGUCCUGCUCCCGGAGUUAGACUUGGUGGGGUGCUUGGCGACUCACUUACCAGAGUUGCAAGAAAGCAAGCAGAUGCACUUUUGUUUGCAGAGGCCAGGAAACAGAGUCUUGAUUCUUUGAAAAGAGAAGAUGGCAUUUUGCUAUAGAAGGAAAAGAUUACAGCUCAAGUUACUAGAAGUGGACAGAGGCAAAAGAUAUCAGUAUAUGAUCUAAUUCCAGGUGAUAUUGUUCAUCUUUCCAUUGGAGAUCAGGUCCCAGCUGAUAGACUUUUUGUUUUAGGAUUUUUCUUUGUCGAUAAAUGAGUCCAGUUUGACAGGAGAAAGUGAGACGGUUCAUAUGAAUUCUGAGAAUCCUUUUUCUCUUGUUCAGAACUAAAAUUCAGGAUAGGUCAUGCAAAAUGCUUGUGACUACUGUUGGGAUGAGAACCCAAUGAGGUAAAUUGAUGGCAACUCUUAUGAAGGAUGAUAAGCCUACUGCAUCAAACUAUCUGUCCAUAGCUGCACUGCCAGUGGGAGAGACAAGGAAGGAGAUGGAUUUAAUACUUCAAAAACGGAGCAUUUAGAAGUUCGGAUGGAUCUUACAGAUGACUUAUUGCACAUGGUUUCCUUUUCUUGGACUAUAUUAAUCUUCGUCGAGCUUCUACAGUCUGUAAGUAGUGGCGAGCUGGUAGUUCUCAUGAAGACUUCUGGAGGUGUCUGAAUCUCGAAAAUCAGAACAUAUCUGAAGAACAGUUUGAGGAUAUGUGCCGUAGAUAUCCGAAUGCCACUGAAGUGAAUAUUUUUUUUGGUGCUCCUUCAAUUCACUCGCUGGUUAUGACAGCAAUAUCUUCUUUAAGGAAUCUGGAGAUCUUAACCUUGGGGAAAGGAACAUCAGGUGAUGCAAUUUUAUUUUAUUUUUAGCCUUGGCUGAUUGUUAUAUACUAAAGAGACUUGAAGCUGUUGAAUUCUCGAAUGCCCUGUACAAGAGCUUUUUGGACGAAGACCUGAUUUGACCAGAGAAGCUUUACUCCAGGACAUGUUUUCAAAUGCAAAAAGACCACAGCAAGACGAUUGCAUCUGGCCAAAGAGUUGCUUACUUUUCUUGUUGAAGCUCUAAAGUAUUUUGCUGAGACCAAAGAAGGGACUUCUGAAAAGGUGCUCCAGUUCUGUGGAGAAAGUGCAGAUCCUAAUGUCCAAACCUCUCAGUUUGUUUCCAUGAGAUGAAGGAAGAGGUGCAAGUCAAGAUUUAGUCUUGCUGCAAUUUCUGAUGUCGAAACUGCCAAUAAUUCUGCCAGCCUACAGAAAAUUCCAAUAUCUGUUUUGAAUAUUGAUGAAAAAUACAUUGCAUCAAGGUUUUGCUGUAAUCUGGAGAAGUCAUUAUCACCAUUAUUUAAGGAUGCAGCAUACAGAGAUUUUGACCUCAAUUUAUCACUCAAUUGGCAAGAGAUCGUAAGUGCCUUUGAUAACUGAUCAGUGGCUGUUUGAGGCGCCAAGUAUGUGACUAAUGAUUAUGUAUCAGUGACAGAACUGACUUCAUAGGCUACCUACAGAAUUUAACAAAGAAAAGAAAGCCGGGAGAGAAAUCUGAUGCUGAAUUCAAUGGCAAGUCCAAAGGAAUUCAGUGGCUGUUUAAGAUGACUUUUAUGGAUGAGUUCAGUAGAGAAUUGAAAAGAAUUCAAGUGGUUGCAUAUGUGGGUGAGACUCAAUUGCGUUAACGGGUACUCUUGAUGGCAGAAAUUUGAAGGGAAUGGGGAAAGCUCAUUAACACAUUGGGGAUCUGCACAUGUUCUGGCUGCUUAACUUGAUGAUCAGUUUUAUGGUGACAUUAUGAAGAAUCUAAUUGAAACAGUGGAGGAUCUUGUCAGAUGGGGGAUUUAUACAAGGCGUUUUGGACAUCAUAACAACAGGGGUUGCAGAUUAUGUAGUUGGAAGUGUCAUGGCCUGUGACAGUUCUGUUUUAACGCCAUGAUAGAGAAGAAGAUCCUUUUAGUUGUGAAUGUGGGAGCAUUGGAUAUGGUGAAUUCUGAAGCCAAGAUUACCAUACUUUCUCAUUUACUGAACAGAAAUAUUCAUGUACACAAUGAGCAAGUAUCUCUUAUUCGAACAUAUAUGUAAAAAGUCCAAAAGCUUCAAUGUUUUGACCAAAUCAAAUGCUUUUGUUUCUCCAUCAUCAGAGGCGUUGACUCUCACAAGAAGGCGCACUCAUGAACAGCAGCUUGAAUUCCAUGUCACAGAGGUUUUGGAAGAGGCUCGAAUCAUUGAGGCUAAGCACAAAAGAUUGCUGGAUUAUCUGCUGGUGCAUUACUUUUGGAGUAUCACAUAAAAUCUCACUGGGAUUUUGUCCUAUGGAAAUCAUUAAACGGCGAUAACAAGUCAAGCUGGAGUUUAUCUGCGGGUUGAUGAACUCAUUGAAAUUGCCAAACUCCUUGGAUUGAAUUCUCAGGGUGAUGUAUCAGCUGCUGAAGCUGUUGUUGCUGGUGAUCUACAAUUGGCAUUUGAUCUCUGCCUUAGUUUGGCAAAGAAAGGACAUGGUCCCAUUUGGGACUUAUGUGUUGUUAUGGCAAGGGGUCCUGCUCUUGAAAACAUGGGUAUAAACUCUCAAAAGCAGCUACUGGGUUCUGCCUUGAAUCAUUGUGACGAGGAAUCCAUUGAUGAACUGCUACACGCAUGUGAAAUCUAUGUUGUUGCACUGCUGGUGAUGUUGAACCGAGGGAAUAAAGAGUACAGGUUUAGGGAUUACUCCAACUGACUCCAUAAUCAUUUGGUGAAUGACAAGAACCAGGGCUGGAUCAAGAAUUGUUUGAUAGAUAUCGACAUUUGUAGUUGCCUCGGGAAAGAGAUAAAUGACGAUGUUGCUACAUUCCAUAGGAAGAAUUUGUUUCCAAUCCAGUCGAGUCACAACAAACCAACAGCCUAAUGUUCCUAACGUUGUGUAGAUCCCAUGGAAGAGGCACAUCCUGAAGAGCAUGAUGAGUUUACUGAGAAUGGUAAUGGUAAGGAAAAAGAUUCCAACAAUCCGGCAGAUGAAAGUUUUGAAGAGAUAGAAUCUGGACAAGUGGAUGGAAAAUUUGAGAGGGAUGAUCUGGGAAGGGUAAUGAAGACAAAGCUGACAUGGAUUUAGAGGCACCAAGGAAAGGUGUCUUGGGAUCUGAAAAUUCUAACUUCAUUAGUGAUCAUAUGUUCAAUGCAAAAUCUGUGACGCAAUCAAAGGAUGACAUGCAGGCUGCAAAUUCAAGAAACGUGACACCAGAAACCCUUUUUGCCUUCUCAAUUCUCAUGUUGGGUGCAAUUUCAAAGAGUAUUGCUACUUCUUUGACAUAUCUAGCAAUUAGGUGUAAGAUCAUGGUUCAAGCAGCAUAUCCAAAUGACGGUGAAGCCUAGAAAGCUCCACAGAAAUCCCACAAAAUAGUACAUGAUGUUCUCUAUGUUAUUUGGAAGAGAGAAGGUGGACCGGGGUUCUUUAAGAAAUUGCAAGCUUAGAUCCUGAAAACCGUACUAAACUCAGCAUUGCUUUUGAUGAUCAAGGAGAAAAUUGUAGCAGGCAUUUGAGUACUAAUACUUGCAGCCAUCCCCAACUAAGCAAGAGCCGGAAUUGUUAUUUCUUGUUAAUUUCUACUGUCACCCAUGAUCAAAUGAAGCCUUUAAGCUCUCUUCUAGCAAUGUCUUUGAUAUUAAAUACCCACCAGAAUCCCCAUUCAGUAACUGCUUCAAUUUGAGCUCAUGGAUCCGAGGAAAACAUGGAUANNNNNNNNNNNNNNNNNNNNNNNNNNNNNNNNNCAUAGACGUGUGGAUGCCCACUAAUCAGGUACGCUCUCUUUACCUCCCAACUCUAAAAUUCUAUGAAUAUGUAUGUUAUCAUGAACCAUGACCAUGUUUGAUGUCAUAAUUGAUUGUCUUGAUGCUUGUUUGAUCAUCUUUGAUAAAAUACAUAUAAUGUGUGUUAUACUUCUAUACUAACUCUGAUGUUUUAUGAUAGCGCUUGAAGAGCGGUUCAGGUACGCACCCUAACUCUCUGUUUUUGUGAUUUGAUCUUGUUUAGCAUGCAAAUCUUUUGAAAUCACCUAGCCUACUUAGGUAUCCAUAACUAACCGAUUAAUUGCCAUAUUCCCCUUAACUUAGUCAGUAGAGACCUCUUUAGGGCUUAGAGGGGUGCUACCUCCUAGAGGUACCUUCCCAAUAAGUAACCUGAUCCCCGGACCAAGACUUGGGUUUUCAAAGACACGCUUUUCCAAAAAUUAUGGAGUCAUUUUUUUUAGGGUUUUAUUUCUUGUUUUAUUUUCCCUUCAAAAAUAAAAAAUAAAAUAAGUGGCGACUCCAACUUUUUUUAAAAUUAAUUUUUCACAAAUAAAAAGCGAGUCUCGCCGAUCGAGUGGGGACGCACGUGAAAAAUGCUGGUCCACAAUGGGUUGAAGAAAAUGCGCCGCACCAUUGGGCCAUGUCAAAAUUCCCAAAACAAAGAUGGGAUAAAAUGACUACGAACCUUGCCGAGUCAUUUAAUGCUUGGUUACGGAUUGAAAGACAUCACUCUAUUUGUAACUUUUUAUUGGAGCACAUGUCCAAGUUAGCUUCUAUGCUUGUGAAGCAUCAAGAAGAGUCCAAGAAUUGGAAAGGGUGUAUAGGGCCAAAAAUUGAAGCUAAGGUGCAGGAAAAUAUUGCAAAGGGUGCGGUGUAUCCAGUCACACCGUUCAAGAAUGGAGUAUUUUGGGUAUGUAUCGGGAGAGCCUUGUUGAAUGUAGACAUUUUGAACCGUACAUGCACUUGUAGGGGUUGGCAAAUGUUGGGAAUCCCUUGUGAGCAUGCCACGGCCGUCAUUAUUUCCAUUGGUCAAAAUGUUACUGAUUUCGUCGAUGAUUGCUACAAAUACCCAAUGCAAGAGUUGAUAUAUGGGGGCUCUUUCUCCGGCAUAGAGACCCAUGACAUGCCUACUGUGGACAAUGAUGGUUUGGUUCGAUCUAUCACCGAGGAAGUGUUCUUCUCUCUAAAGCCUCCACAUACAAAGCGCGCUCCCGGAAGGCCAAGGAAGAAGCGCAUUGAGUCUCAAUUUCAAUAUAAACGGAAUAUUUAUUGCUCUCGUUGUCAUAUGUCCGGCCACAACAGAAAAACCUGAAAAAAUCCUUUGCCCUAAAUGCAUAUCUGUCUACUUAUUGCAUUAUGCUGAUCUUGUAUUACUCUAUUUCAACUAACUGGUUGUCACCCAAUCAUCGUUACUAUUUGAGUGUUUUGUGCCUUUCCAUUCACCUGCAAUGUUCAUUGAGUUACAUUAUAUUUCUCUGCUGAUUCAGUUCUUUCACAAAGUCCGAACUAUGUUUGCACCACAUCUUGUUUUAAUGGUAUUUACUCAAAUCCCAUGUAUUUGCUAAGAUUACAUUGCUUAAGCCAUUUUAACCAUACUACAGUUUGUGUUCCCAUGUAUCAUUUGGUGGCAUCAUUUAAUUAUCCGAAAAUAAAUACUUUGAAUGAGUGGCAUCAUUUGUGUUCCCAUGCACUCUAACAAAAUUUAUUUUUCACCACACUUCUUCAUGGCUUGUGCAAUACCAGCCACAACUGUACGCUAACAGUUCUUACUUUGCAGGUUUAAUUAAUUGCGCUUCCAUUAUAUCCAUCUGAACGAGAAGGUCAUCUUAUUCUAGGCAUGGCAAUGGAAAGGAGGAAAAUGAAGGAACAUGUCCUUGCAACAUGUGCACAUGUCGGCAACACGGAUUUCAUUCAACAAUGCAUUCAAUCUUCAAUUUCACCUUUAAUGCAUAUUUCCAUAUAUUCUAUUUUCCUAUCACUGACCAAUAUUUAAUUUUAACUGUAGGAAAAGCUCCCAAAGUCCCGAUGUUCUGGAAGGAAAUUCAUCACUGUGAUUGCGCGCUUACCACCAGAAAAACACCAAGCCAUCAUAGAUAUGGGAUUUGGGGGCCUGCUAACAUUUGCCUAUCGAGAGAUGAGAUAUGAGCUGUGCGGGUGGCUCAUAUCUCAAUAUGACUUUACCUACCACAGGCUUAAAAUGGCAACUGGCAGUGCUGUCAAUGUUAAUGAACAACAUGUCAGCCAAGUCAUGGGCAUCCCUAACACCGGGGAAGACUUGGUUAUUGUUAAAAGAACAGGCCCCUCCAACCGCACAUACACUCUCAGGGUUUUGGAGCAAAACCUUGACAAUCUGCCCGUUGGUGAUGAUUUUUUAAAAACAUUUUUAAUUUUUUCUUGUGCCACUCUGUUGGCACCUAAUUCCAAACUUGAAGGAAGCCAUGACCUAUAGGACACCAAAUGGGAUUCUGAUCUUGGUGUCCAAAGGAAUUGGGCUAAGUUUCUGUUGCAACACUUAGAGGACGGCAUUAGGGAAUAUCGGCAAAAGCAACCUACUUACAUCCGAGGCUGCCUCAUGUUCCUCCAGGUACAAUCAAGGGUCCACAGUAUUCUGCAAUUAGGUUCAACUUUGUUUACAUUUUAUUUUAAAACUCAUCGUUACUGCAAUUCCAUAAUUUAAUGCUUAUUGUUUCGUAUACUACCCUUGUACAGCUCUUUUAUAUGGCAUUCUUCUAUAUGCCAUCAGUUAUUGUUGAGGUGACCCGGCCGCUUGCUGCCGCAUGGAGUGACGAUGUCAUAAAGCGCCGCUUAGCGGCUGAAAUAUCAACUUUCAGUGGAUAUGGGCAUGUGGAUCUAUGCUAUAAAUGAACAUAGCUUUUCGUAUUAGUUAAAUGACCAUAGUAGCUUAUUCAAGUCAGUCCCAAUUUGUUGCUUCUCUAAUUCAACUGAUGGUGCAUUGUGCAGGCACAGGAGCAGCCACAAAGCACACCUCACAUAUUGCUACCAUCAGUAGCCUCGACCUCCACAGCCGGUGACGAUGCUACAGAGGUAUUGCAUAGCCACUAACCACUCAUACAUGUUGUUCCAUACAGACUCCAUACAAUACUAUGCUUAUAAUAUUUGUUGUUCCACUUUAUAAUAGGUUAUCAAAGCCCACAUCAAUGAGACAUCAGAGACUAUGCUUAGAUUAGCUUUGUCUUUGGUGCGGGAUGUGGGUGCAUUACGUUGCCGGCCCAGUGGAUCAGAGGGGAAUUCUUUCGUUCCUUGCCCAUCAAUAGAGCACCACACUAAAGAUCAACCAAUGCGGCCAAUACCAUUGAGGCAGCCAUCAACUGAGGAAAUUGAACCAGAAGACAACCUCGUACCAACCCCCCAUUCGCUAGUUGGAAUGGGACCAUCACCAGCUCCCACUUAUUCCGAGCCACUGGUCCCACAGUCUUAGGCAGAGGCAUCCCUUCCAGCUGAAGUGACAGUAGAGGAUGCAGAAGAUGGUGAAGGCGCAGGUGGGAGUGGCAUCCAAGCCCCUAAACCUUCAUCGAUGAAGAGAUAUAAGCAGACCGCUAAGUGGAUUGUCAAGCAUCCUCCCGCUUGCAAAAGUUCAUUUGUCGCCCAAUGUGUUAAACAAUUCCCAAAAAUACCUCAUGCAGAUCGGGUAGUAGCAGAUUAUGCUUUGGCUGAAAUGGGUGAUCCUAGGUACACUUAAGAUUUCUAAAACUCAUUCUUAUAAUCAUUUUAUAGGUUAAUAACUCUACAUCAUAAUGACAAAUUUACUUUCAUGUCAUUGUAGUGAGAUUUUGUGCGACAUGUAUGGGAUGUACAUUAGACGGGAGGAACUUUCUUGUCUAAAUGCAGGGCGGUGGGUUAAUUCAAUGGUAGGUUACUUAUCCUUAUGCCUUACUAAAUUCACAAUUAAUAAGUCAUAUGAAUCGAUAAAGUGUUGAUGGAGGUUGUAAAAUAUGUUAUUUUACACAACUUUGGCAGAUUGUUGCGAUUGUCUCUCGCAUAAUGAAUGGACAGCAAGCACCACCACCUCGCGCACACUUUUUUGAGCCUUCAUUCUCGGUGAGCCCUCUAAUAUCCUAAAUUCACUUGGUUUGAAACUAGAAGAGUAGAUGUUGAUGUUUGUAUUGAUUCACCUCACCCUUGAACAGGUUGUUCUGAGCAACCUCAAAUCUAAUGCAACCACGCAAGUCAUCUUGGAAAGAUGCGCUAUGUAUCUGGAUCCUGACACAUUGGGCCAUGAUCUUCUUAGUUCAUGUGACAUGGUAAAUGAACAUAGCUAAAGUUCAAUUCCAUAGUAAUAAAUGCAAGGGUAUUGGGAAUGACUAUAAAGUAAUGACAUAAAAGCUAAUAACUCUUGAAUUGUUAUGGAGAUGUUCAUCCCGGUUUGCGAGAAUAAUCACUGGCACGAGCAUGUUGUUAAUUUUGUAGCUGGAAGAGUUGAGAUACUUUCGUCAUUGCCCCUAAGGCGGGGCAACAACAUCAGUGCUACAACACGACGAUUAUCAAUGGCACUCCACAAAGCACUGCAUGCAUAUAGAAUCCAUAUGCAUGCGGAUGUCUCAAGUUUUGUGCAUGUCCAACCACACCUUCUCCAACAGCUGAAUGGGUAAAGUAUUCAGAUAUUCCAACGAAAACAAACAUUUCUAAAUAGUUUGAUUUAUCAGAUUUCUAUCAUCUAACACAUUUCUGAUGUGUUAUAGGUCCGAUUGUGGUGUCCUCGUUCUAAAGUUCAUGGAAUUUUGGAAUGGGACGACCUUAACUACUUCAGUGGUAGAGGUUAGAGUUAGUUUACACUGUCAAACUUGGACUGUUUUUCUUUGUUUUUUUCCCAACCGCAUGGAAUAAUUUUUUCCCAUUUCCGUAGGACAAGACGAACAUGUACAGACUCCAGCUAGUGCUGCAACUAGUGCUCAAUGAACGCAACAGUGUCAGAGAUACAAUUAUGGCCGCAUGUCAUUUGUAACUUCAUAGUUCAUGAUAAGUUUCUUCCUAUCUGCUGCUACGUACCAAAAUGACCAAGGGUUGAUUGUAGUUUGUCCAAAAUUUAUUAAUUCAUAUCAUGUUGUGUGCUGAUGUGAUUUGUUCCAAUUGUAAAACCAUUAUUUAUGUUCUAUAUGUGAUGUAUCUAAUGAAGUAUUCCACAUCCCAUUGUAACAGUGGCAGUUGGGUUAUGCUGAAUAUGAGGCCUUUAUGUACAAGAAUGGCCAACGUGUAAGGGAAAGGAAGAGUACCUGGUAAUGCUGCUGCUGGAGCAUAUGGGAUGCAGUAACAGCAAUGUAAUAGGGCUGUUCAUUUUUCCUUCAAUAUUGUAAAGGAAGGGAGUAGGAACAUGGACAACACUCAAUAUUUGUUCUUUUAUUAUAGUUAAGGGUGUUGGUCAGUGUUGUAUUGGCGACUGAUUGGACAACAACUGUGAUUGUAAGAUGUGAUCCAAAGUGAUAGGUUUAUUGUGGGAUAUGGUACUAAUUUCAUAAGAGAACAACAAACAUAGACUGGAACCUAUUUGUUUGUACACUGAUGCAGUUUUAGUUUAUCCUUCUAUACUCACAUUAGUAAAUUGUUUGACGACUUUCCUUUCAUAUUUAGUUAUUGUGUAAGCUUUUACAUAGCAUCUUCUGUUAAUGUUAUUGGUAAGUUGGGAGGUUUGUUUGGUUUGAUUUACUACAUUAAGGUAGUACCUGAAGACCAUUAAGAUAGUACCUUAUGUGCAUUAAGGUAGUACCUGAAAUUUCUUAUGAUUACAUAAGGUACCGUUGGAGUAACCUAUGAGAACAUAACAAUCUGGUUUAGGCUAGCGAACCCGAAUGGAAACGACACCUCUGAUAUAUUGGCUUCAUGAAGAAGAAAUCUGUCUUCGUCUCAUUGGAUUGCAGUUUUUCCUAACCUCCAUAUAAAAUGUGAAGGUAAUUAAUUUGUAUUUAGGGUUGUUGUGUUAAUAAUUUUUAUUUAUUUUUGUUUAAAAUGGAGUAGAGUAGUGAUUUUCGAGUGGUUGUUGUAUUAAGAACUUUUUUGUGCAUCGAUGAGGCCAUAGCUUGAGGUGCAUGUGGAUUUUGGAGCGCAUGAUCGAAAAUUCGAUCUAGGUUUUUUUGUGGUUUGGAGACUAAUGAAAUGAAAAAAUGAAAGUGAGAAUUUAUUUUUUAUUGUGAAAAGAAUGUUCUGGAGAUAUAUAGAAAUUCGGUGGAAAACUUGUGUAUUUUUUGAGAUUUUUAGAGUGAUGGUAAUUAUUGAUGGCUAUAAUUAGGCAAGAUCAACUUUUGGCAAAAAAAACUUGAUAAUUGAAUCAUAUUUGUUGAGAAUAAAAUAAUAAUAAUGAUAAUAAGAAUUAAAAUGCAUAAAUUAUGUGAUGGUUAGUAGAAAUUGUUGGUAGAAUUUGUGAAUUUGUAAUGUUUGUUGGAUUUUGAGUGUACAUCUUUCGUCAAUGAAGACAUAAUUCUUUCAUUGCAUUAUAAAUUGGAGCAUGACAUUGUUAUGUUCUUAUUGCUUACUCAUUCGAUAGCUUAUGUAAUCAUCAGAAAUUUAAGGUACUACCUUAAUGCACCUCAGGUACUACAUUAAUGACCCUGAGGUACUACCUUAAUGUACCUCAGGUACUACCUUAAUGCAUAUUGGAGAAAUGUUGCUCUUCUGUGACUUAAGCCACAAUUAGUUCAUUGCAUUACAGAGUGCAACAUGACAUUGUUCUGUUUUUAUCAGUUACUCCAUCGGUAGCUUAUGUAAUCAUCAUAAAUUUAAGGUACUACCUUAAUGAUCAUGAGGUACUACCUUAAUGUACCUCAAGUACGAACUUAAGGCACCUUGGAGAAAUGUUGCUCUUCUAUGACUUAAGUUAGAAUUAGUUCAUUGCAUUACAUAUUGCAGCGUGGCAUUGUUAUGUUCUUAUUGCUUACUCAUUCGGUAGCUUAUGUAAUCAUCAUAAAUUUAAGGUACUACCUUAAUGCACCUCAAGUACUACCUUAAUGACCCUGAGGUACUACCUUAAUGUACAUCAGGUACUACCUUAAGGCAGCUUGGAGACAUGUUGUUCUUCUAUGACUUCAGUCAGAAUUAGUUCAUUGCAUUACAUAUUAUAGCAUGACAAUGUUGUGUUCUUAUUGCUUACUCAUUCGAUAGCUUAUGUAAUCAUCAGAAAUUUGAGAUACUACCUUAAUGCAUAUGAGGUACUACCUUAAUGACCUGAGGUACUACAUUAAUGUACCUCAGGUACUACCUUAAGGCACCUUAGAGAAAUGUUGCUCUUCUAUGAUUUAAGUCAGAAUUAGUUCAUUGCAUUACAUAUUACAACAUGCCAUUAUUAUAUUCUUAUUGCUCACUCAUUCGGUAGCUUAUGUAAUCAUAAAAAAUUUAAGGUACUACCUUAAUGCACAUGAGGUACUACCUUAAUGCACAUGAGGUACUACCUUAAGGUACCUCAAGUACUACCUUAAGGCACCUUGGAGAAAUGUUGCUCUUCUAUGACUUAAGCUACAAUUAGUUCAUUGCAUUACAUAUUACAGCAUGCCAUUGUUAUGUUCUUCUUGCUUACUCAUUCGAUAGCUUAUGUAAUCAUCAGAAAUUUAAGGUACUACCUUAAUGCACAUGAGGUACUACCUUAAGACCCUGAGGUACUAGCUUAAUGUACCUCAUGUACUACCUAAAUGGACAUUCGAGAAAUGUUGUUCUUUUGUCAAUAUUUUUCAUGAGACGAUUUUAUCAGAUUUUUAUUAACUAAAAGAAAAAAAACUCGUGAUAUGUAACAAAGAAUUAUCUCAGCACAUGACAAUCUAAAAAAAUCACCAGUGCCAAUAGUCUUUAAUGAUUCAUUACGAAUACCAUCCAAUGUCUUCACCAUCACCCAUGACACCUGAAUUUGUCACCAUGGUUUGUAACAUUCUACUUCAACAAAGGAUCAUUAUUUUUUAACUAUAUUUGUAGAGGACACUGGGAUGGAACAGGGAAAAAAUUGAAAGGAUAUGUAACAAAUGCCUUAUCUCUAUUAGGAUUUCCUAUAUAAAACAAAACACAAACAUAGUCCUUGAAAUUUGUACAUCAGCAAAACGUUUCUAAUAUAGUCAACAAACCAAAGAAACCUCCAACCUACCUAUAACAUUGACAGAAGAUGCCCAAGAAUAAUGAACAACUCCUUUCCUACUCCCUUUCCUAUACAAUAUUUCACAUUAAUGAACAACCCUAUUAUAGUGAUGAAUCUCCUCAUUUGAAGAGGAUUGAAUAAUUGAUUUAUCCGUGUCCUAAUUUUGAUCAUAUGGUAAACCAAGUUUGCUUCAUACAAUCUGAAGAAAGAGGAUAACCUUACGCGUAAGCUAUAGCAACAGCAUCACCAUGCAGUCUUUCUUUCUCUUACGCGUUGCCUAUUGUUGUACAUAAAGUUCUGACAUUCAGCAUCACCAUACUGUCAUUGUUACAAUGGGAUGUUGUAUACUUAAUAAGAUACAAUAAAUAUAGAACAUAAAUAAUGGUUUUAGAAUGGGAACAAAAUCACAUCAUCACAUAACAAGAUAUGAAUUCAGUCAUCUGUGGACAAACUACAAUCAAGUAUUGCUUUAUAUGGUAAGUAGCAUCAGAUAGGAAAAAACUUAUCAUCAACCAUGAAGUCACAAAUGACAGGAGGCCAUAAUUUUAUCUCUAACAGUGUUGCAUUCAUUGAGCACUAGUUCCACAACUAGCUGGAGUCUGUACAUGUUCAGCUUGUCCUACAGAAAUGGGAAAAACUUAUUUCAUACUGUUUUUUUUUUUAAAAAAAAAAACAAAACCAAUUAGGAUGUAAACCAGCUCUAACCUCUGCCACUAAAGUAGUUAAGGUCUCCCCAUUCCAAAAUUCCAUGAACUUUAGUGCAAGGAUACCACAAUCGAACCUAUAACACAUCACAUUUAGGCUUGUCAUGUAGAUGAUAGAAAUCUAAGAAAAAAAAAUUCACCUCAAAUGUCCGUUUUGGUUAGAAUAUAUGAAUAUUUUACCCAUUUAGCUAUUGCACAAGGUGUGGUUGGACAUGCACAAAAGUUGAGACAUCCACGUCCAUAUGAAUUCUAUAUGCAUGCAGUGCUUUAUUGAUUGUCAUAGAUAAUCGCCUUGUUGCAGCACUAAUACUGUUUCCUCGCCUCAAGGGCAAAGAUGAAAGAAUUUCAACUCUUCCAGCUGAUUAACAACAUGCACGUGCUAGUGAUUGUACUCACAAAUCGGGAUGAACAUCUACAUUAUCAUAAAAGAGUUAUUACCUUUUAUGUUAUAAGAUAAUAGUCAUGUCCAAUGCCAUUGCAUAUAUUACUAUGGAAAUGAAAUUUAACAAUCGUUAUUUACCAUGUCACAUGUCCCCAAAUCAUGGCCCAAUAUACCAGCAUCCAGAUACAUGCGACAUCUAUCCAUGAUCACCUGGCUAGUUGCAUUUGUUUUCAAGUUGGUCCGAAUCACCUGUUCACGGGUGGGGUUAAUCAAUACAAACAUCAACAAAUGCUAUUCUAUUUUUAGACUAUGUCAAUUUAGGAUAUUAGAGGGUUCACCGAGAACGAAGGAUCAAAAUAGUGUGUGCGCGCUGGUGGUGCUUGUUGUCCAUUCAUCAUGCGAGAGACAAUCGCCACAAUCUGACAAAGUUGUGGAAAUGAACAUAUUUUACAACCCCAUCAACACUUUAUACAUUAUAUGACCUAUUAAUUUUGAAUUUAAUUCAACAUAAAGAUAAGUAACUUACUACUGAAUUAACCCACCGCCCUGCAUUUAGACAAGAAAUUUCUUCUCGGGUAAUGUACAUCCCAUACAUCUCGCAUAAAAUCUCGCUACAAUGAUUGAAAAUGAAUUAUGUCAUAAUGAUGUAAAGUUAUUCACAUAUUAAAUGAUUGUAAGAAUUAUUUUUAGAAAAAUGAAAUGUACCUAGGAUCACCAAUUUCUGCCAAAGCGUAAUCCGAUACUACCCGAUGAGCAUGGGGGAUUUUAGGGAAUUGUUUAACACAUUGGGUGACAAAUGGACUUUUGCAAGUGAGAGGACGCUUCACAAUCCUCUUACCAGUCUGCUUAAAUCUCUUGAUAGAUGAAGGUUUAAUGGCUUGAUUACCACUCCCACCUACCCUAUCACAUUCUCGCGCUUCUUCUAUUGUCACUUGUGGUGGAAGCAAUGCCUCUGCAUGAGACUGUGGGGCCAUUGGCUCGAAAUGAGUGGCUUUUGGUGACGGUUCCAUUCCAAUUGGAGAAUGGGGGGUUGGUGCGAGGCUAUCUUGUGGUUCCAUUUCGUCAGUUGACGUCUGCUUGCCAGGUGUUUCGCGUAUUGGUUGAUAUUCAGCGUGGUGCUCUGCUUUUGGGCAAAGGAUUGAAGAUAUCCCCUCUGAUCCACUUCGGCGGGAACAUAGUGCAGCAACAUCCCGCGCUAGAGAGGAAGCUAAUCGUAGCAUACUCUCCAAUGUGUCAAUGACACGGGCUUCAAUAACCUAUUACAUAGUGGAAAAUAGAAUAGUUUUAGAAUAGUAUUGUAUGCAUUGUAUAGAAGAACUUGUAUGAGUGGUUAGUGAAGAAGAACUACCUCUGUAGCAUCGUCAUCAGCUGUAGAGGUUGAGGCUAUUGAUGGUACAUUCAUAUUGGCUGUGCUUUGUGCUCGCUCUUAUGCCUGUGUCUUGCAUCAUUAUUUCAAUGAGACAAUCAACAAAUUGGUUAUUACUGGUGCGAGGCUAAAUGGUAAUUUAACUAGUAGGGAAAGCUUUGUUGAGUUAGAGCAUACAUGCACAUAUCCAUAACCACCGAAUGUUGAUAUUUCAGCUGCUAAUUGGUGUUUCAUUACAUCGUUAGUCCAUGCAGCAGCUAGCGGGCUGGUCACUUCAACAUUGACUGAUGGCAUGUAGAAGUAUGCCAUGUAGAACAGCUGUCCAAGGGUAGUAUAUGAAACAAGGAGCAUUAAAAAAGCAAAUUGCAGUAAGCAUGACAUUCAAAUUAAAAUGUAAACUAAGUUCAUACUAAUUGCAAAAGGUGUUGGAGCCUAAACUGUACCUGGAGGAACAUGAGGCAGCCUUGGAUGUAAGUAGGCUGCUUUUGUCGAUAUUCCUUGAUUCCAUCUUCUAAGUGUUUCAGCAGAAACUUUGCCCAAUUCCUUUGGACACCAACAUCACCAUCCCAUAUGGUGUCCCAAAGGUCAUGGCUUCCUUCAAGCUUUGAGUUAGGUGCUAGUAGAGUGGCACAUGAAAAAAUUAAAAAUGAUUUUAAAAAAUCAUCACACACGGGCAAAUUCUCAAGGUUUUGCUCCAGUACCCUGAGAGUGUAUGUGCGAUUGGACGAGGUUGUUCUCUUAAGGAUAACCACAUCUAGCCCGGAGUUAGGGAUGCCCAUCACUCUGUUGACAUGUUCUUCGUUGACAGUGAUAGCAUUGUCAGUUUCCAUAUUAAGUCUAUGGUAGGUAAAGUCAUAUUGAGAUAUGAGCCACCCGCAUAGCUCAUAUCUUAGUUUGCGACAACCAAAAGUCAGUAGGCCCCCAAAGCCCAUCUCUCUAAUGGCUUGCUGUUUUUCAGGGGCUAGGCGUGCAAUGGCAUUUAUGAAUUUCUUCCCAGAACAUUGGGACUUAGGAAGCUUAACCUACAGUUAAAAUGAAAUAUGGGUUAGUGACAAAAAAAUCCAAUAUAUGCAAAUUUCCAAUUAAGCUGAAUUUGAAGAUUGGAGCCAUUGUUCAAUGAAAUCUGUUUAGCCGACCUGUGUGCAUGUUGGUGGAACAUGCUCCUUCCUUUUUCUCUUUUCUGUUGCCAUGUGUAUAAUCAGUAUGUUUGGAUGGCGAUACUGAAUCGACGAGUUUCGAAACCUACAAAGUAAUCAAUGGCCUUAUGAACAUUGAAGCCUAUGGAUAUGAAAGUUGUACAAAGGAGUAAAAAUGAGACACGUAUGACUUCAAAUAGAUUAUUGUGAUAUAUAUUAAUGUCAUUGGUUUAGCACAAGAUCAACAGCUCUAAAACAUGAAGAAGAAAACUAUGAACAGUGAUGGAAAAAAAUGUUUCCCAAAUUUUCAACACGCUCCUAUACAAUUAGUUUCAAGUCAGUAUGCACUAAUGAACAAAUCAGAAUUGUCAAAACUAUGAGAAGACUAACAAACAAGUGAAGAUAAGUUGUGGUGGCAAGAGAAAGGGGAAAUGAGGGAAAAACUAAGAAUAACAAAAUACAUUGAUUCAAUGGUAUACAAUUCAUGUUAUUGCGUAGGCGUACUAUAUUGUACAACAAAGCAGUAGUCUUUAUACAUGGAAACAUAUACUGCAGUUUGGUUAAAUUGGUUUAAGCAAUGUAAUGGGAGGCAAUACAUGUGGUUGGAGUAAAUACCAAUAAAACAAGAUGUGGUGCAACCAUAGUUCAGACAUUGUGAAAGAAAUUAAUAAUCAAAGCAAUAUAACUUAACUCAAUGAACAUAGCAAGUGAAGGCAAAGGUACAAAAUAUUGAAAUAGUAACGUUGAUUUGGUGACAACCAAUUCACUAAAGAUACUUGAAAUAGAGUAAGACAAGAUCUACAUAAUGCAAUAAGGUGACAAAUAUGCAUUUAGGGUAAAGGAUUCCUGCAGCUUUUUCUGUUGUGGCCAAACAUAUGACAACGAGAGCAAUAGACAAUGCGUUUAUCUUGAAAUUGGGACUUAAUGCGCUUCUUCCUCGGCCUUUCGGGAGCGUGCUUUGUAUGUGGAGGAUUUAGAGAGAAGAAAACCUCUCCAGUGAUAGAUCGAACCAAACCAUCAUCAUCCACACUAGGCACAUCAUGGGUCUCUAUGCCGGAGAAAGAGCCCCCCGUAUAUCAAUUCUUGCAUUGGGUAUUUGACUAGAUAAUUUUCACUGCUGAAAACCCAUAUCAUUUUUUCUAAGGCCUAAUAGUUAAAGUAAUUUUAUAUAAAUAUAUGAAAAUCAAACUGAUAAAAUUAUCAAAUCUACAUCAUUUUGUGCUAAAUGGGAGUAGUCACAGACAAACAAAACAAACAAUAUAUAGAUCAAAAUGCAUUUCAUCCAUUCUACUUACAUUCCCUAGUUCCAAAUAUAUUAUCAAGGAAAUUAAACCACUGCAUGGAUACCAAUAGUUCCUAUAUAGCAUUUCCUAUUUCCAUCUUCUAAAAGAGAUCUCUAAAUCAAUAUCAAUUACUAAUCAACAAGAAGAGUAACAUAUACUAACCAAAAAUAUUUGAAGAAAUGGGCCGUGAAUUUAACCUAUACAUAUCAAACAAAUACAAAAAAAAAAAAAACAACAACGAAAACGUUAGCACCCACCAACCAUGAAUAUCCCAAAAACCCAAAAACCUGAGUAAUUUCGAAUCUAUAAAUCACCAUUUCAGAAGCACUUAUUUCGCUCUCAGAAGAAAUACAUCAUCCCCAAAAAGUGUUCUCUUUUGGUAAUCCACUGCAUAACCCAAUCCAAAAACACAAUCCAAUAAAUGGGUUUCACUAAAAAUGCAUUGUUUCCCAAUACCCAAAAACAGUUUGGGAAAAAAAAUUCCUUUUUUGGCAAACCAAUUCAAAAUAUGUUUUUCCCAAUUCUAAACCACAACAAAAACAAAUGGGUUUUUUAGAAAAACAAUUCCCAACCCAUAUUCUUGCCUUCAUUUUAUAUCAAAACAACAGAUUUUCGAGAAUUUGCCAAUCCAAAUAAAACAGUAAAAACUCAGAAAACGCAUGGAAUUGAAAAAAAAUGAUGGUGAUUUAUUACGAACAGAUUUAAAAAUUUAGUACCAACUCCUAAAUGCCAACAUUUGAGCCACACCUAGUUCAUAAAAAACCCACACAAACAACAUAUUUACGUGAAUGUAAAUGCGAAUGCAAAAUAAGGAAGGAAUGGGUUACCUCGAGACAGAAAAUCUGAUAUGAAACAAAUGGGAUUAAGCCCUUCUCAACUGAAAUGACAUAACUUUUUUAACACUCUACAUGGUUCUCUGCUUCGGCUCGGUGACAAAGUGAAAACAAAUGAGAGGAACGGGUAAGGAAUGAGAGAGAGGGAAGAAAGAACCGUCGACUACACCGUUUUUCUGGGAAGCUCAAAUCGCCGCGAUGACGAAGUGAAGACAGAUGAGAGGAAUGGGUAUGGAAUGAGAGAAAAGGAAGAAAGAACCGUCGGCAAGGGUCUUGAAGCGUCGGCUACAUCGUUUUUCUGGGAAGCUCAAAUCACCUUGGUGACGAAGUGAAGACAACUGAGAGUAAUAGGUAUCAAAUGAGAAAGAGGGAAGAAAGAACCGUCGGCUAGGGUGUUUUUGUGGGAAGCUCAACAUUUGAUUUUAGAGUUUUCAACCAGUUCAGUUUCAGCCCGUGCUGACGUGCCCUUCAGUUGUUGCUGACCUGGAUACUAAGAGGGGCAAUCUUGGUAGAAAAAAGACAACCGGCUCAGAGUGCAUGAAACUCAUAUAAGUUUCCACAUUGAAAGAUAUUUUUCAUAUUUCAUAAACCUGGGUUCCAAAAACCAUAUAUUUAACAAAUUGGUCCAUGAAAACACAACUUUCCCUUCUUUCUUUCUCCAGAAUUCCAAAAUUUUAAGUUUUUCUAUAUUUUUUUAUUAGUCUAGAAUUUUUUUUUAUAUCAAAUCUCAAUUUAAUGUAUUCACUUUAAAAAAAAAAAAAAUUAAAAAUGUCAGUUGAGAUAUUCUUAUAUUUUUAUCAUUUGUACAAAAAUAAUUUAAUUUUAAAAUUAAUAUCAUAUUUAAAUCCAAAAAUAUUAUCAGAUAGAAAGCAAUUUAGCGUUUUUAUAUAUAUAUAUAUAUAUAUAUAUAUAUAUAUAUAUAUAUAUAUAUAUAUAUAAUAUUUGCAUUCAAAAAAAAAAUCAACACAUUUAUUUAUUUUUAAAAACUUAUUAAAUUUUAAUUUUACUAGUAAAUAAUAGAAAUUAAAAUAAUGAACUUGUGCCACAAGUUUGUGAGUGAAGUAAACUUUGGUUAUGGAGCAUCCAAUGCUCUGGUUGCUUCCACGAGAGGUCAUUCUGUCGUCCCUGGUCAACUAAGUACACUGGUCCACUCCAUGAAAUAUAUUUAUGUUAUUUUUUAUUUUAAAUUUUUGUUAGGAGAACUCUUCACUAUGAGAAAAAAACACACUCUCAAAUGUGGGAGAUAUGUCAUAAAAAAAAUAAUAAUAAAUAAUAAAAAAUACAGGGUGAUCUCACCUCUUGCAUAUCUCCUCCAUCGUAAAACCAGAAUCAUUGAAUAUGGUUCUAGUUUACUAUGGUUCUAGCUUUAUGGCUUGAUUAAAAUUUUACAAUUUUUUGUUUAUAUUAAAAUAAAAUAGAUAUAUAUUUUUUCAUAAAAAAAUCAUAUUAAAUAUUUUAUAUUAAUUUUAUUUUAAUUUUAAAAAUAGAGGUGAAUAGUGGCAUCAAUAGGAAUAUCAAUCAUGGAAGCCAAAGUAGCUAAGGCAUCAGCAAACUGGUUCUAUGCUCUAGGCAUAUGUGUGUAUCUCAAAUCAUCAAAUCUCCCAACUAGUAGCUCCAAAUAUGCGUGGUAAGGCCUAAGCUUCACAUCCCUAAUCUUCUCCUUGCCUUAAAUCUAUCUCAAUACCAUAUUGGAGUCACCAAACACCUCCAUCUAUCUAAUCCAGAGCUCGAGAGCCGUCUCUAAUCCCAAGAUACAAGCCUCAUACUCAACAAUGUUGUUCGUGGUAAGAUGUCGAUCUAAGAAUGCCAAACGAACAGAUCUGGGAAUGUGAUCACCAUGAGGGGAUAUUAACAAGACACCUAUCUCGUAUCCAGAAUGGUUGGCUGCACCAUCAAAGUACAUGCGCCAGCCUGAUAAACUGGUCACAGCAGCGACAUCCUCGUCUGGGAAGUCGUCAUCAAUGGCUCUGCCAUCGGAAACUGGUAAAGAAACUAGGUGAUCCACGACAAUGCUCCCUCUAAUGGACUUUUGAGUGACAUAAUGGAUGUCAAACUUAGUCAGAAGUACCAACCAUCUCAUGAGGCGACCGACCAAAGAGGGCUUGUUAAACAAAUAUCUCAGAGGAUCUAGACGGGAUAUCAAAUGCACUAAAUACUCGAUCAUAUAAUGUCUCAAUCGGCAAGUGGCCCAAACCAAUGCCAAUCAGUAACGCUCAAUCACGACAUAUCUCGUCUCGUAGUCUAGCAUCGUCUUACUCAGAUAAUAAAUGGCUCGCUCCUUGCCUGAAUCAUCGAACUGAGCCAACAUACAUCCCAAGGCUACGUCUGAGACGAAUAGGUAUAGGAGUAAAGGACGGCCUGGUGUAGGAGGUGCCAAGGUUGGAGGUGACAACAAGUACUCUCGAAUCCUCUCAAAUGCACGCUGACACUGAUCAUCCCAAAUAGUAGGUUGACUCUUCCUCAAGAGUUGGAAAAUGGGCUCACAGAUGUCUGUCAAUCUAGCGAUGAAUCUACUAAUGUACUGAAGUCUACCCAAGAAGCCUCUGACCUCUCUCUCUAUCCUUGGUGCAAGCAUGUCAAGGAUGGCUCUGAUUUUAUCCGGAUCUACCUCUAUGCCUCUCUCACUGACCAUAUACCCCAAGAGUUUCCUAGAAGUCACUCCGAAAGUGCACUUCUUAGGAUUCAGUCUCAAUCUGAACUGUCGGAUCCUGUCAAAGAACCUCUCAAAAGCUGCUAGGUGAUCCAAUCUGUCUCGGGAUUUCACUAUCAUGUCGUCUACAUAUACCUCGACAUCCCGAUGCAUCAUGUCAUGGAAGAGGGUGGUCGUUGCUCUCUGAUAGGUGGCCCCUACGUUCUUCAAUCCGAAUGGCAUGACUCUAUAGCAAUAAGUACCCCACUCGAUAAUGAAGGACGUCUUCUCCAUGUCCUCUGGACCCAUCAAGAUUUGACUAUACCCGAAAAAUCCGUCCAUAAAAGACAACAUCGAAUGACCUAUCGUAUUGUCAACUAGCAUGUCGAUGUGUGGGAGAGGAAAAUCAUCCUUAGGACUGGCCUUAUUAAGAUCUCGGAAAUCAACACAGACUCUCACCUUGUCGUCAUUUUUGGGAACAUGGAUGACAUUGGCCAACCACUCUAGGUACUCAACCACUGACAAAAAUCCUACACUGAGCUGCUUCCGGAUCUCCUCUUUCACUUGCAAACUCCAACGAGGGUGCAAUCAUCUCAACUUCUGCUUAACCGGUCUAGCAUGGGGCAGAAGUGGCAAACGAUGUUGGACGAUAGAUGGAUCAAGGCCUGCGAAAAGGUCCAAGUAUGCUUUGAGCAACUAGAUGAGGCUAUCCUUCUCAUCUACAGAUAGAUCUGAUCCGAUCCUCAACUCCCUAGGCUGAUCUGCUGUGCCGAAAUCAACAAUCUUUGUGUCCCCUACAGCCGGUGAAACUCUUUUAUCAACGGGAUCCGAAUCGAAAACAGAAAAUGAGUCAUCGUCUGAAUCAUGCUGUGCAAUCUCAUCAUCAAUGUCAAAUAUAUGUGUUGUGGGUGAAGGUGGUGCAGAUAAAUCAAUAUCACAAGAGAUAGGCAAAUACUCAAAAAUGCUCAAAUCCAUAGAUGAAAAGUCAAAAACAUAGUCAUGAUAGGAGACAAAUCUCGAUAAGACAUCGAAUGAAAGAAGUGAGUCCAUAAAGUCAAACACUCCCUCAACAAGGCUAACAGUGCCAUCAAUUAAAUCAACAACAGCUAUAGCAUCCUCAGCGAUCUCGAUGAAAGAUACCCCAAAAAGAUCGAAUGGUGAAGUGAGCUCAGGCUGGACUAUCUCCUCAAUUUGGCUCAAGCUCAACGCAAGCAUCUCAUCGACGUACUUGUCACAUGGCGCAGCUCCGUCCACUAUGUCGCUGAUCUCGGAAAAUGUCCCGUGAUCAUCGAUCUCAUCCAGGAAGCAAAACGUCAUAAGGCUCGUGUGAUCUGGAGAGGAAGGAGUGAUCAACGCAGGAGUCGAAGUACUCAGGGCUCCGUCACUCAAUCGUAACUGCUGGACGAGGUGUUGAAGCUCAACCUCCUGGGUGGUGCUGAGUCCUCCAAUGAUCUCAUCAAAUGGUGCAUGGGGCUCCGAUGCCCUCAUAAAGUAAUCUAUUAGGCUCAUGGUAUAUGGGUGAACAAGAUAAUAAAAGGGUGUAUGAGUUAGUCGAGCCCUCAUCAUCUCCUUGCGCAAUCGCACCAUAUAACGAUAAUCGGCCUUAGUGGGGAUGAACCCGAGUCCGAAUGGUACGUCGUGAUCAAGGAUGGCUAUGAACUCACUAGGCUCGUGCUGACACCGCCCUAACCCCAUGCCGGGAAGAUAAGACAUACUCCGCAUCAUAUCGAGCACCACCGUGCUACUGUGCAAGUCAAAGGACAUGGCUACGAAAUCUCGAUAGAAAUCCUUUAUCUCCACGGUCUGCACCUCAUCAAAUGUGAAUCCGGUCAGAAAAAGUUCGUCAUCAGUGCGACUAAUCUCAAGUACAGGCUCAGCAGAAAUGAACAUAUCUUCCACAGACUGCACCAUGACGACCUAACCAUCAUGAAUAAACAUCACCUUCUGAUGAAGGGAAGAAGGAAUGACCCCAGCUCUGUGGAUCCAUGGUCGGCCCAAAAGCAAGUUAAAGGAUGUAGGAAUCCUCAAAACUUGAAACACGGUGACAAAAGCGGUUGGACCAAUCAGUAGCUCAGUCUCUAGUGUGCCCAUGACCUCCCUCUAAGUACUGUCAUACGCGCGAAUAGUCUGAGUGGAAGGACCGAAAUCAGAUGGUGCAUAGCCGAGGGCAAUGGCGGUGGCCAGAGGACAAACGUUCAGGGCCGAGCCAUUGUCUAGAAGGAUAGAUGGGACUCAGCAACCUGAACAACCAACAGAUAUAUAUAGGGGACGUGUGUGGUCCGAGCCCUCUAGUGGCAAGUCGUCAUCCGAGAAUACAAUGCAUGUGGCUCUGUCGACCGUCAUCAUAUGAAUCAAACCCUCAGGAGUGGUAGUAGUCUCGACUCUGAUUUGGCUAAGGGCUCGAAUCAGAGCAUUACGGUGAGUGCUCGAGGAUGGAAACAGGCUCCAUAUGGAAAUAUGAGCCUGAAUGCUCUGUAGCUACCUCAAAAUCUCGUCGUCCUCUACUCUGACUUUCUCGGGAGCAGAUGUACCCUCAAUUGGCCUAGUUGUUGUGGGAGGUGGCUGUCGCAUCACUCUACCUCCUCGGAGAAUAUACUAAACAUCCAGAGUCUGCGAAUUAUCAACAUGCAGAGCUUAAACCUUUUCAACAUCCAGGAUCAAGAUGAAUGGCGUCUGGACGCUGUAAUAUGGCAAAAUCAAUGGCUCAACAGUGGAAGUCUGUACUGAUGCCGCCUCGAGAACUAACCCGAAUGAAACAAGCAUCCAAGGCCCUAAAGUCACUCUGUCCAUCUCCUAAAUCCAAUCUGACAUGAUAGGCUCUGGCUCAGUGUCAUCCCAGCUUAACAUAUGGAUGUAGUCAUCAUGAUCAGAGAACUCCAGGAAAUGUAUGCCAUCGGCCAGUGGGGAAACCGCAUGUGUAGUGUGGGUAGGUAAUGGGUUUGUGGUUACACUUGGCUAACCCAAGUGCACCAAACCCUGGUCGAUCAAAUCCUAAAUGGCAUGCCUCAAAGCGGUACAGCGAUUAGUCUCGUGUCUAGGCCCUUGAUAGUAUGUACAAUGCAGAUCCAUCCUGAACUGAGGUGGAAUCGGCUGAGGUGGCGGCCUGGGAGUGAGAGUAGUCAAUAACUCGGCCUCUGUAAGCUUCCGAAGAGCCUGGCUCAACGGCAUGCCUAACUGCAAGAAUUGCCUCUAUGUCCUCAAAGCAAAUGGAGCAAACGUCUGCUGAGCUUUAGGUCAGGGAUAAGGCACUAUGGGUCUUGCAGUGAACUGAGUAGCAUAGCAUGGAUGUCAUACGGCUAUGUAGGAAACUGAGGGUCUCUUAAUGCCCUGGGUGGCAUAAUAAGGUAAAGCCAAAGUCUGUGGCAUGUAGGACUGAUCAUAAGUCAGACGAGGCGCCCGUGGUCUAUACUGUUGAGGUGGAUAUGAAGAAUGAGCCUCGAGAAGCUAUGAGACCGACUGAUGACGUCUAGGAGGCCUCUGACUGGAAGAACUAAUGGCACUGACAUCCACUGACCUCUGUUCCCCAAAAGGCUUCUUCCCCUUAACAUCACUAGGGGAAGAAUUUGUCCACAAUCCUUUCGAGAUGCCGUCCUCGACAUUGUAUAAAGCCAAAACCAAUGAACCAAAAUCUGUGAAUGGUACCCCAACCACGUGCCUGGCGAUCCUGGGCUAUAAACUCCUCAAGACCCUCUAUAUAUGAUCUCUCUCUGAAGGUCUAUCAAUGAUCUCGAUAAUCUUUCCAUGCUAACGAGAAAUGAAUGAAGAAACUGACUCGUCUGUCCUCUGCCUCAGAGCCUCGAGCUCUCUACUCGAUACAUCUACGACAAUGUUAAAUGAAAACUAUCGUAAGAACUCCUGGGCCAAGUCGUCCCAUGUCCGACGUCGUGAAGACUCCAGGGAUGCAAACCAGCGUUGGGCUGCCCCACUCAAAGAUAGCGAGAAUAGAGUGAUCAUCUGCGACUCGUCCAGACUAUGAGCCCUCAUCACUGUGCUAUAGAGUCUGAGGUGAAUACGUGGACAACCAAUGCCCGUAUAUCUCUUAAUGUCUAGCAUCCUAAACUUAGCUGGCAAACUGGCUACCGGCAUAUCCUCGAAAUCAUCCCAAACAACUGAUCCAUCUGACACUCUCAUCUGCCUCAUACGCUACUCAAGACGGUCCAUACGUGCAUGAGCGUCAUCAACAACAGUGGUUUGGACAACAGCGGGUGAAGCGAUCUCAGAAUGUCCGUGUAAUAUAUAGGGUGAGGCCUAAGGCACUGAAGGAACAAGUGGUGGUGGCGGAAGUGGAUGCGAGUCAUACGGCGUCUUAUCCUAAACUAUUGGUGGUCUACUCUGCUGACCAUCGAUCUCCUGCCUGAGGCUAGCCAAAGCCUCCUAGAUAGAAGUCAUGACGGUCGUAAACUGAUCCACUGUAACAACCUGCCGAUCCAUACUCGGUCUCUCUGAAUACUGGACUAAUUUCCCCUCUACUCUGACCCAAGAAGGUGUAUCCAGACUAUGAACAAAGAUCUGAUCCUGAGAAGAUGAGAAACGGAAUGAGGAUACGAUAUAGGGAAAGUACGGAAGAAAUGAUAAUCUGAACUGAAAUGAGCAAGGCAUCCAAGACGAAGACGGAUUGUCUGACCAUACUCAAACUCGCACUGAUCUCUAUGCACUCUCAACUAGAGACUAAAGAGAGGGAGUGUCGAAUCCAAAACGUGACCACAGAGGCUCCGAAGGCCCUUAGAUGCACCCAUGUGUAAGGAGGGAGUCCUAAUCGAAGGAUCUACAGCUCAACCUACGAGGUGAAGGUGGCUCUAAAUGGAUAUGGGUGGACUUUAAAAACUCCCUAGCAGAAGCGAUCAUACCCUCCGGCGAUAUGCAACCCUCUGCACGCCUCCGAAGAGAUGGGGCGCUUCCAUGCAAGGUGGUCAUCACCUCCACACAUGCACUACCUCAACAUCCCAGGGGAUUUCCUAUGGUGAAACCUCUCAAAACUCUCAGCACUCGAUGGUCAACUAAAGUGCGCAGUGAUGGCGCGGGUGCAUUCGAAAAUCCUAGGAAGCUAAAACGGAAAAGAAAACACGUUGGCCACACAAAUAUCCAUGAAACCUAGCUCCGGGCUAUACAGGUCUUGAAUGAUCGAACUCCUCCAGAAUGCUCUCGUACAUCGAUAUAGCCCAUUGCUAGACCCUACUCCUAAUCUUUGGCUCGGUCAAAGAACAAGCACACAGAAGGCAUCACACUUGCAAUAGUGAGGACCAGAAUGAAGGGUUUGACCGAGAUGAAGAGAGUUGGAGGUAGGGGGAUAGAAGUGCAACCCACAUAAACAAGCGACAUGCAAUCAAGCAGAAGAAAGACAGUCAUGCGACAUGCAGUCAAGCAGCGGACAAAAUAUAUCACUCAUACACACAUACAAACUAUGAUAAUUAGAUAAAAAGUGAUACAAAUUCAUGCUUAAAAGCGAUCAGGAUAAUAUACAAGCCAGAGAAAACAACACAGCAAGUCAAACGAUGUACAAUAGUGAGUCUAUGCGUGUGAAGUGAGUAGAAUGAUAAUGGAAAAAUCAGAAUCGCUAUACCAAGCAAAACAAGAUAAGCAACCUAUGAUAAUCGGCAUGUCAAUGUACCAAAGUAAUAUAGCAAUGAAGCGCAGAAAAAAACGACAUCCGAAACCCCAAUCAAGAUAAUCGACAUAUUAAUGUCCCAAUACAAUAUCCAAGCAUGCAUAAAAAACUCUCAAUGUGUAAUCAAAAGAUAGGUACUCGCUGAUCGACCCAUCAAAUGCCACAUUUGCUUCAUCCUAAGUUCAAGCUUGACCCUCUAAAUCAUCCCCAGUAGAGUCGCCAUUUUGUGGACCCCAUAUUUCAUGCUCAUGCGUUUUCCACUCGAUGGCGAGCUCGAUUUUAUUUGAAAAUGAUUUUUAUUUAUUAAGAAAAUGAAUUGGAGUCGCCACUUUUUUUUUUCAUUUUUUUUAAAGGGUAAACAAAAUAAGAAAGAAAACCCUAAGUGUGACUCCUUAUUUUGGAAAAUGUGGUAUGUGAAAAACUGGAUCGGGUUCAGGGGUCAGGUUACUUAUCGGGAAGGUACGGUAUAGACCGUAACACCUCUCUAAGUCCCUAAAGUCGGGUCUCUACUAAUAAAAUGAAGCAAUCAUGGCAAUUGAUGAGAGAAUCAAUGAAUACUCAGAGUGAUCAUACACAUGUGAGAAUCUAAACAUGCAUAUAGAAAUACCAGAAAGGGAGUGGAUGCAUACCUAGGCAACGAGCCACCAUGUGCUGAAAAUGCACUAGCUGUCUUCCCCCCCCCCCCCCCUCCAGCCUCCUCUCAAGCUAAACUAUCAACCUCUGAAGCUCCCGGAAUCUCCUCCCCCCGUCUGGCUUGCUGCCCAAGAAAAGGAUCUCUUCCCCUCAAAAUAUCUCACAACCCAGCAUGAAAAGCACCCAUUCUCUGCCAACAAAUUCUCUCUCUCCUCUACUCCUCCAAUGACCUCAACUUUUUCCCGAAUCUUCUUAACACGUGUCAACUUCUUGUUUGCUCCUUGAUUCCACUACUUGACGCCAUAGCAACCAAACGAGAAGCAAUAUGUGGCUACUCACAACUGCGACACCUAGCAAAAAAAAAAGUAAUCUGUAGAAACAACAAAGAGAAAAAAAUGAACCAUGCCUAAAUGGGGGUCUACAAUUUCAUAUUUCAAAACAAAUUUUUGGUCUAUAAAAUAUCAAAAAACAAAUUUCAAAAACUAUUUUUAAAAAUUUAUUUUUCAGAAUUGUUUUAAAAAUAAGUACACCAUAUAUAUAUAUAUAUAUUAUGUAUGUGACUCAUUUGCUCUAAUUUGGACAUGAUCUUCCAUUUUUGUUGGCCUAGGCAUGCAUUUACUGACAUAAGCUAUAUUGGACAAGGGCUUUCACUUCUUUUAUGGGCCUCGGGAUACAUUUGAGGCUUUCACAUAUCCCAUUCUACAUCCUAGAACCCUACAUACAUCAAUUGAAAAAAUAGAUACAUCGUAUUUGAGGCUUUCACUUUUGUAUAACUGACUCAUUUGGCCAAUUUUGAGCUUGACUUUUCACUUUUAUAAGCCUUGAGAUGCAUUUGAGGUCUUUGCAUAUCCCAUUUCGCAUAGAAGAACUUUAGGUAUAUCCUUAAGAAAAAUAAAUAAAUCAUAUUGUAAAAAUAAGUACAUUCCCUUAAAAAAUAAUUGGUACUGUGGACCCUGCAUUUUGCUCGAUGCGUUCCCACUUGAUGGUGAAACUCAUUUUUUUAUUUGUUUGGUGAAAAUUGAUUUUUAGAAAAGACUUGGAGUCGCCACUUAUUUUAAUUUUUUUUUAAAAGGAAAAAAAAAAACCCUAUGUGACUCCUUAUUUGGAAAAGACAUGUCUGCAAAAACAGAAACUGGGUCCGAGGGUCAGGUUACCUAUUAGGAAGGUACGGUGGUGAGUCGUAGCACCCCUCUAAGCCUGUAUACAUACGGUCUCUACUAAUCGAAUUAAGGGAAUUGUGGCAAUUAAUUAAUUAAUUAUGGAUACCAAGAAAAAUAAUCAAGAAAAUAAGCAUGUACAAGUCAUAGUGAAAAUCAAUAUUCACGAAAAUAAUGAUGAAAUCUAAUUACAAAAAUACACAAAAUAAAUGAUAAGAGAAUUAUGCAAAAUGAUUUAUUGAACUAAAAAAAAGAUAUUAAAAAAAAAAAGUUUUCAAGAAAUUUCAAAGGAUUUUAUUAAAAAUGAUUUUUGAAUUAAUGAUUUGAAUUUAUUUAUUUACAAAAAAAAAAAAAGAAUCAAUUUAUUUUCUCAAUUUUAUUUGUAUUCAAUUUUCAAAAAAAAAUUAUUUACACUUAUUGUAUCAAAAGAAUUUAUUACAAAAUUUCAAUUCGGGUACAAAAAUUAUUUUUACUUGCUUUUACUAAAAAAUAAUGAAUUUUUACAAUUUUAUUUAUAAAUGUAUUUCAAUUUGUUUUUAUCUAAGAAAAGUAAUUUGUACAAAUUAUUUUUAAAAAAUAGCUUUAUUUGCAAAAGAAUUUUUAAUUAAAAAGAGGAAAAUAUUCAAUCUCUUAUUUCUAAAAAUUGCUUUUAAACCUAUUUUAAUUAAUGAAAAAGAAUUUAUUUAAAAACACAUUUUUUGGACAAUUUUAUUAAAACAAUUUUUCAAAUUCUAUUAAAAACAAUUCUUUUGGAUUUUUCUAAAUACAUUUUUAUGAAUUUUUAUAAAUAAAAAAAUCUUUUAUUAAACAAAACAUUUUAAAAUUAUUAUUUUAUUAAAACAUGUUUAUUGAAUUCUUUCCCUCAUUUAAACAAAAUUUCUGAUUUGCUCAAUAUUCAAUUCUGUACAUAAUAAGUAAAUAUACACAGAUAAAUGUUUACAGAAAUAAAAACUGAAUAAGAGUAGGAAAUAAAAUAUGUACCAAAACAAGCUUACAACAAGCUCAAUGCUCCAUUUACAACUUUUCGAGUCUCGCUUUGUUCCAUGAAAUUCCGUGCUCCAUGUGUCAUAAAUUUGUACUUUGCCAACAUGUUUGCAGAAUGAGCCCAUGCAAAAACAAAAAUAGCGCAAAUGAGUAACCAAAAAGUAAUAAGCCCAAGUCCAAAUAAGAUAAACAAUAUGCAAUUGACAUAAUCUAAAUGUCUCAAAUUAAUCACCAACAAUAUAUCAGCCCAAGUUUCAUAUUAAUUUACCACCAACAAAUUAACUCAAAUUUCGUAUUAAUUCAACAAUUCAAAUAUCACAAACAACAAUUACUAUUAUAAUCAAAUCAAGAAAAAUGAAUAAUAAUAAUAAUAACAAUAAUAAUAAUAAUAAUAAUAAUGGGAAACAAAUGAGAUGGGAAGGGGGUCGCCGGUCGGCAAUGGCUUGCCAGCGGCGACUGGUCGAUGGUCCAACCGGCAACAAUGAGGGUUGACGGAUUUUUAGGAAACAAAACAAAACAAAACAAAAUAAAAUAAAAAUAAAAAUGGGAAAAAGAGAAUGGGAGAAAAUGGGAAGGAAAGAGGAGAGAAAAUGGAAAGGAAAAGAAAUGAGGAAGAAAAAAAAAAUGGAAGAGAUGAGAUGGGAAAAUCGGCCAAUGUGUGCAUUUGGGUGGAAGAAAAAAAAAUGGAAAAAGAAAUGAGGGAGUCGUGGUCUGUGUAGAAAAAAAAAUGGGGAGAAGAGUUGAGAAAUGGAGAGAAGUUGGGGAUGCUCCAACCGUGAGUGGAGUGUGGGGAAAAAAAAUGAAAAAGAAUGGGAAAUGAGGAAGAAUAUAUAAAAAAAUAAAAGAAAAAAUGUUGAAGAGUGGAGAUUUUGGGGUCUUGGACGUGGGGUGAUGGGGGGUAGGUGAGGGUAGGUAGGGGAGAGAGAGGAGAGAGAAAUGAAGGAAAUAAAAGGAAAAAGAAAUAAUAAUAAUAAUAAAAUAAUAAUAAUAAUAAUAAAUAAAAGAAAAGAAAAAGUAAAAUAUAAUAAUAAUAAUAAUAAUAAUAAUAAUAAUAAAAUAAAAAAAAUAUACAAAAUAAUAAAAACUAAGAAAUAAAUGGUAAGUGAGUCAAAAAACACAUGUAAUCGGGAUUUAAAAUCUAAGGACAAAAUUGGGCUCAAAAUCAAUGUAAAAUAAAAAUGAGACAAAUUUUGGGGUCUACAAAUAUGUCCCUCUUCGGUAGAGUCCACGAGUAAAGUGAGUGUAUACACAAACGAAACGAAAUGGACUUUACUGAAGAAAAAGAAAGACCACCAAAUUUGUCUCAAUAUGACAUGGGCUCUCUUAAACCAAAACAAGAACAAAGAGGUUCUAAGACCCUACAAAAAUAGCAAGAACUAAAACUCCUAAGGUGCCCUUAAAGAUACACUAUGGAUCCAGACUCCCUUAGAAAUGUCUCUAAAAGUGACUUGAAAAUUGAUGUCGAAGUCGAGUAGCAGCUGAACCACCGAGGAACACAAGAAUAAAUGUGUAUAAAGGAAGAAAUUACUCAUCUAUAUACGAAAGUAGGAUGGAAUAUGAAGCUGUGAGGACAAGGUGUGCAAAGACUAGUGUCACCUAAAUCUAAAGUAAAGGAUGGGACACGACUGUAAUGACCAAAAUCACCUAAAAUAGAGGAAAGAUCGAACGCGGUUGCCAUGACAAAAAACACCUGAAUCAUAUGGGACACUGUCACAAUGACCGAAAUCACCUUAAACAAACGGGACGUGAUCGCAAUGACCGAAAUCACCAAACUAAAGGAAAAGACGAAUAUGCGACCAAUCGUAUAGGUGCGAUCUACGCUGGAAACUCAAACUGAACAUAGGGUGAAUGACCGAUCGAUAAAGGUGCGGUCCCAAAAACUCAAACUGAACUCAAACUGACAAGACAAAUGAUCGAUCGAUAUGGGUGCGACCCUGACUCGAACUCAAACCGACAAGAGAAUGGUUGAUUGAUAUAGGUGCGGUCCCAAAAAUUGAAAUCAAAUUGAUAAUACAAAUGACCGAUCGAUAUAGGUGCGGUCCCAACUCGAAACUGAACUGACAUGAUAAUGACCUAUCAAUAAAGGUGCGAUCCUAACUCGAAAGUAAACUAACAUGACAAGACAAUGACCGAUCGAUAUAGGUGCGGUCCCAAAACUCAACUUAAACUCAAACUGACAAGGAAAUGAUAGGAAGAUGGCCGAUCGAUAUAGGUGCGGCCCCGAAAACUCAAACUAAAACUGACAAAACGAUAAAUGACCGAUCGAUAUAGGUGCGGCCCCGAAAACUGAAACUGAAACUGACAAGACGAUAAAUGAUCGAUCGAUAUAAGCGCGAUCCCGACUCAAAUUGAACACAAAUUGAUAGAAAUAUGGUCGAUUGAUAUGGGUGCGGCCCCCAAAACGCAAACUCAAACUAACAGGACGAUAAAUGACUAAUCGAUAUAGGUGCGGUCCCAAAAAGCUCAAACUAACACGGAAAUGAUAGGAAGAUGGUCGAUCGAUAUAGGUGUGACCCUAACUUAAACUGAACAUAAGCUGAUAGGAAUACGGACGAUCGAUAUGGGUACGGACCCCAAAACGCAAACUCAUACUGACAAGAUGAUGACCGGUCGAUAUAGGUGCGGUCCCAACUCAAACUGAACACAAACUGACAAGAGGAUGGCCGAUCGAUAUAGGUGCGACCCCGAAAACUCAAACUGACACAGAAAAUGACCGAUCGAUAGAGGUGCGGUCCUGAAACGAAAAGUGAUAGGAAAAUGAUCGAUCGAUAUAGGUGUGGUCCCGACUCAGACUCAAACGGACAAGAUGAAUGAAAAUAACCGAUUGAUAUUGAUGCAGUCCCGACUCAGACUCAAAUAGACAAGAUGAUGACUGAUCGAUAUAGAUGCGGUCCUGAAACUCAAAAACUGACAUGAAAAGUGAUAGGAAGAUGACUAAUCGAUAUAGGUGCAACCCCGACUCAAACUGAACACGGAAGAUGACCGAUCAAUAUAGGUGCAGUCCCGACUCAGACUCAAACAGACAAGAUGAAUGAAAAUGACCGAUCGAUAUAGGUGCGGCCCCUACUCAAACUGAUUAACAUGGAAAUGAUAGGAAGAUGACCGAUCGAUAUAGGUGUGGCCCCGACUCAAACUGAACACGAAAGAUGACCGAUCGAUAUAGGUACGGUCCCGACUCAAGCUAAAAUGACAUGAUGGUGAUCUGAUCAAGUGACCUAAAGCCAAAGGAUAACCAGGAUAACAAUGCAAGCAAACUCAGUAGGAGGGAAUAUGCCCUAGUAUGACAACUCAUAAGGAUCGACAAUUAGAUCAAAAAAUAAUGAAGCAUGUGCAAGGUCUGAUGAUCCUAGGGAAUGAGGGUAUGCCCCAAUAUGCAACUCGUAGGGGUCAACAACUAGAUCCAAAGGUGAAUGAAAGUUUGUUGAAAGGUUGGUGCUCUCGGAGAACGAGGUAUGCCCCCGCAUGUGACAAUGAACAAACUGAGAUACAAAAUGCUCCAAAACUACUGUGCUCUAAAAUAUGCUCAUCCAUCAUGCAAUGAAAAUGUCCAACCUCAUAUAGGUAAUGCCAAAUAGGACCAUGUAUCGUGACACCAUACUGACAAAGCAAAACUAACUGAUGAAUAAUAACAAUAAUGAUCAGUGCUCAAAAUGCAAAGAGCAAACAAAUCAACACUCAACAUGUCAACUGUCAAAGUGAAAACAUAGUCACUAAUAAGUCAACAAUCUGUCAGGCCUUUCCAUCAUGGAAGAUGUUGAACCUAAAGUCCAAAAGAUGUAUGAAAGCACAACCAAAGUGAUCGAGGACUGGUCUACACUUCUCCUAACUGAGAGAGGAGUGUGAGGUCAUGUGUCACGGUGAGAUGUGUGGGAUAAAAAAAGGUGAUGAUCAGGCUCUAGUAAGAUAGAAAGUAUGAAAGUAUCAAGGGUGGAAUGUCUGAGUACAAGCUGAAAGGUAUGUAGGUAACCGAGAUCAUCCAAGUAUGCCGAGAAGACUAAACCCAAGGUGUCAAUAGCUCCAUAAUCCAUCAAAAGCAGCAAUCACAAAAUAAAAAGUCAAGUCUCGAUAUCAAAACAUCCGGUUAGGUGGCUAUACCCCAAUAUGCAAUGAGGACAACAUGAAAUAAUCCAAUGAUCUCCAUAUCACUCGUCAGAUGCUCCAAUGUCAAGAAUCAAUAUGAUUUCCCUCCACAAGAUGGAUACGCCCUAGUGUAAAGGAUCCAAUAGUGUGGUUAUGCUCCAAUGAAAAAUGCUCUCCAUCCCGAUUAUGCCCCAAUGUAAAGCAGUGCAUCCGAGUCAACAAUUGCUAAGUAGGACCAUGCCUAGUACGGGUUAACAAAUUGAUCAAUCUCUAUUCCUGGUGCCAAAAAUGAAAGCAUCUCAACAUAAUCCAUAUGAAUCAGAAUCCUCGUGCUCUAUGAAUGUGAAUGAAGUGGCUAUGCCCUAGUAUAAACCAUCUGAAGUGUCUAUGCUACAAGAUAAAUCAAAGUCCAUCAUCGAUGAGAGGGCUAUGCCUCAAAACAAAUCAUCUCAAAAAUCAACCAUCAAUGAGUGGAGUGUGUCCCAAUGCGGAAUAUCAAGUAGAGUGAUUGUAUCUCUAAUAAAAGCACUUUCUAAAAUGGCUAUGCUCCAAUGUAGGAUCAUCCCACAACUCCUAAUCCAUCAUGAUCCAAACAAAAACUGACUAUGCCCCAAUGCAAGGCAUCAUCUCAAAAGAAACUGCCAUCGAUGAGCGGGGUAUGCCCCAGUGUAGAUCAUAUCACCUCUGAAAAUCCAUCACUGAUAAAAAGGGUAUGCCCCAGUGUAAAUCCAUCGCCUCAACUCCCCAUUUGUCAUGCUCCAAGAAAUAAUCUCCAACAAAUCUCAAGUAUUGCCCAUGUGUGAGCCAUCAAGCAUAACGUGUGAAGUCAUGACCAUAGGGUGGUCUUAAGAUGCGGGACGUAACGUAGGUUAAGGUAAUAGGGUGAAAGAAACGAAAGGAAACUAGGCUCAAAUAUCCCAAUGAUAUAAUCCCCAUACCCCUCAUGCAUGAGAUGCAAUGCGUAGAAAAUGUCAUGAAUCCUGGACCUAAGGGUCUCCACACAAAAAGUGAUGAUAAAGGAAUGGACACAUCAAAUAAGCAAGAAUAAAGUGUGGAGGCUGAACCCAAGUCAAACAUUAAGUAGGACGAGAAAAGAAAGAAAUCAAAUGAGAUAAGGUGAAAUGAAGGAACAGAACAAAGAUAGAAGAAAGCAAAGAGAUAGAAAAGUGAGUGAUAGUCAACCUAUAUCAAAGUAUGAAAAAUAGUCACAUCUGAAAUAGAUGGAAUGAUGGAUAGAGUAAGGAUCUAGAGAUACCAAAGAAAUGUCACACGCCAUCUCACAAAAGAAAUGAAAAAUGUGACUCAUACUCUCGCUCAAAAUAUACAUCAAGAUGAAUCUAAAAAAUAAGCUCUCAUACGAACUCUCUCUAACACAUAAACUGAAUGAAGCAAACUAGCACAUCCAUACAUGUGCUUAAUGGAAAACCGUAUAAUGAACAAUGCACUUUUUUUUUUCUCUUUUUCUAUUGUUUUUUUUUUUUUUUUUUUUUGUGGAUACUCUGAUCAAUAAUGAAUGAACUCCCAUGAAAAUACAUACUCAAAUGAUCAAAUCCUCUCCACAUACAGAUGUAACAUAAAUUCUCACUAACAAAACAACCUCUCAAACUGAAAUCUCUAAACCACUACCUAUGGGGUGAACGGGGGGAAAGAAUGUGACAAUCCUCUAUGUAAUGACGUGUGAAAAACCACUACUCAAGGUGAAACAAGGACAAUGUUGAGCAAGCAAUGAUGAAGGAAAAGACAAAGAACGAAUAUCACAAGUGGUGAUAUGUGAUGCCAAAAAAAGUGAUGAGAUGAUGUCAAAGAGGAAAAUAUCACAAUGAAGAGUGAGGAAUGAGGCCUGAAUAUGUAUGUCAGGUCUAGAAUUCAUGAUGUAUCCAAUCAAAGCAUGCAAACACUAUAGGGUCCCUAACCCGGUGCAAUAGGUAAAUGAGGUGAUGAAAGAAAAGGCUAUGGUGCUCGUGUGAGACUCAAUGGGCUAGCAACGGGUAACUCUACAUGUAAGGGUGAUAGGGUAAAUGGGCUCAUGAAAUGAUGGUCACCUAUCCUUUAACCACAACCUCGAACAUCAUGCUUUCAAGAUCUCACAUGGCUAAUACUAAAGACUGGCAUCCGUCCAACAUAGUUGUAUCAACCUCUCUGAAAUCGUGUGACAGCUCCCACUGAUGCUUUGUGAUAAUCAUGAAAGCCCUUUUUAACAAUCACCUCACUCUAUCGUCAUGAGCCACCCACCAUCAUCUCAUAAAAUCACCAUCUCUAAUCAUCCCGACUCUCUGAAGCCAUGUGCAAUGGCUCAGAUCUGGAUGCUCCAUGAUAACUCCUCUGCCUCAACAACGUCAUCAAGCAAUCAAACCACUCUCACAUCGUGAUCCAUCUAUCAUCAUGCAAAGCUCACCUCGGGUCUAACCAUCUCGGACUUUACCUGGUCAGAUCAAGGAAAUGAUGGAAAGAAUAGGCAAUGGUACUAUAGUAUACAAAGACAAAUAGGGAUGGAAGGUCGUAUAAUGGUACCAAGGGGUGGUGUCAUGUCAGGCUCAAAAUGGGUAGGUCAUCAAGCCUACCAAGUCAGGAUAUGGAUAUAUAUAUAUGGUGCUGCUCUGAUCAAAAGGUGAAAUGGGUCACAGUCUCGAACUCCCUAGGUUGAUCUCCUAAUCCUAGGUCAAUAGGCUCAAUAUCCUCCAUGAUAGGUCAGGUCAAAGUGAUCAUGAUGUGCAAAUGUAUAGAUGUCCCAAGUCAAAAGUACAACACAUCAUAUGAUAUACGGUCAUGUGAUAGCAAACUAAAACUGGAAAUAUGACAGAAACCCUAAGAUCAUAAAGGUGUCUACUAUGAUAUGGUUACAAAUGUGACUAAAGAAUUUCUAUCAACGAUCCAGAAAAUGAAUGAGGUGUGAAAAAAAACACUGUCAUGAGAUCGAUACUCCAUCUAUAACAAAAUACCUCUGAUUCACUUUCAACCCAAGCUCAAUAAAAAAAAUGAUUGGGUGAUAAAGGCAAACAUCUCAAUAAUGGUGUGAAUGUGAAAACCUGCCUUUCACCUUUCUAUAAUGAAAAUAUCUAGUUGAAAAUAGAAUCAGGUGAGUCGACCAAAUAAUGAAGUAUCAAACCCAUGAUAGGUGAAGAAUAUAAAAAUGUGAGCAUAAUCAAUGAGCAUAUCCCAAAGUGUCAAGUAAAAAGUGACAACAAAUUGAAAGAAAGUGUCAACUUAAGAAAAGAAGACCAUCUAAAGCUCUAGGGAGAAAGAGUGCUAGACUCAACUAGCUACAAGAAGAAACCAGAACCAUAUAGUAAAGGGUGGUCCGACUAAUACUCAAACUCGCACUGAUCUCUAAGCACUCUCAACUGGAGACCAAAUGAGGAAGUAUUGGAUCCGAAUUGUAACUAAAGAGGCUUUGAAGACCCUCAGAUACACCCACGUGUAAGGAAGGAAGUCCUGAUCGAAGGAUUUAAGGCUUAACCUACAAGGUCAAGGUGGCUGUAAAUAGUAAAGUGGUGGAUCUUAAAGGAUCCCUAGCAGAAGCGAUUAUACCCUUUGGUCGUACGCAACCCUCUGCACACCUCCGAAAAGACGGGGUGCUUCCAUGCAAGGUGGUCAUCACUUCCACACAUACACUACCUCAACAUCUCGGGGGGUUUCCUAUGGUGAAUGCUCUUCUAAUGGUUGUCGUAUCUCACAACUCUAUCCACUCAUUAAUGAUCUAAGGUGCACAGUGAUUGGUGUGGGUGCAUCCGAAAAUCCUAUGAAACUAAAAGAAAACACACUGGUCUCACAAAUAUCCUGAAAUCUAGCUCUGGGCUAUACAAGUCUUCAAAGGUCGGACUCCAAUCAACAUCAACGUGUCGGCCACCUCCAAGAUGCUCCCAAACAUAGAUAUAGCCCAUCGCUAAACCCUACUCCUAAUCACUAGCUCAGUCGAAGAGCAAACAAAGUAACAAGUCUCAUAUCAAAUACAAGAUCAAGGGGAACAAGGUCGACCAAGACUAGGGAAUUGGAGAUAAAGGGAUAUAUGUGUGUCCCACAUAGAUAAGCAACACAUGCAUCACACAAAAGAAGAGUAGUCAUGCAACAGACAUUCAUGCAACACACAUGUAUAUAUCAUCCAAAUCUACACACAAGCUAAGCAAGAAGUAUGAUAAUAGAGAUGGAUAUAACAAGAAUAAACAAUAUGUUGAGACAAACAAGAUAAUAUACAACAAAUAGAAUCAAUCAUGUCAAGAUGAAUGAGAUAUACAAAAAUAAGAAUAUAAAUGUCCAAGAAAGCAAGACAAUCAUACAACAAGAAGAGUCAUUAUACUAAAGUAGGUAAGAGAAACAAUCAAUGUAAUCAACAUGUCAACAUCACAAAUGAACAUAACAACCAAACAUGUAUCAUAGAUAAACAUAUCAAAGCUCUCAAUGUGUAAUCAACAACCAAUCAUACCAAGACACAUUGAGAGGGGUAUCCAUUGAUCGACCAAUCAAACGCCACAUUCCCCUUAACUUGAGUUCAAGUCUGACCCUCUAAAAUUCCCCAAUGGAGUCGCCAUUUUUUGGACCCUGCAUUUUGCUCGAUGCGUUCCCACUCGAUGGUGAAACUCGUUUUUUUAUUUGUUUGGUGAAAAUUGAUUUUUAGAAAAGACUUGGAGUCGCCACUUAUUUUAAUUUUUUUUUUAAGGGAAAACAAAAUAAGAAAGAAAACCCUAUGUGACUCCUUAUUUGGAAAAGACAUGUCUGCAAAAACAAAACUGGGUUCGAGGGUAAGGUUACCUAUUGGGAAGGUAUGAUGGUGAGUCGUACCACCCCUCUAAGCCCGUAUACAUGCGGUCUCUACUAAUCAAAUUAAGGAAAUUGUGGCAAUUAAUUAAUUAAUUAUAGAUACCAAGAAAAAUAAUCAAGCAAAUGAGCAUGUACAAGUCAUAGUGAAAAUCAAUAUUCAUGAAAAUAAUGAUGAAAUCUAAUUACAAAAAUACACAAAAUAAAUGAUAAGAGAAUUAUGCAAAAUGAUGUAUUGAACUAAAAAAAAGAUAUUAAAAAAAAGUUUUCAAGAAAUUUCAAAGGAUUUUAUUAAAAAUGAUUUUUGAAUUAAUGAUUUGAAUUUAUUUAUUUACAAAAAAAAAAAGAAUCAAUUUAUUUUCUCAAUUUCAUUUGUAUUCAAUUUCCAAAAAAAGUUAUUUACACUUAUUGUAUCAAAAGAAUUUAUUACAAAAUUUCAAUUCGGGUACAAAAAUUAUUUUUACUUGCUUUUACUAAAAAAUAAUGAAUUUUUACAAUUUUAUUUACAAAUGUAUUUCAAUUUGUUUUUAUUUAAGAAAAGUAAUUUGUACAAAUUAUUAAAAAAAAUAACUUUAUUUGCAAAAGAAUUUUUAAUUAAAAAGAAGAAAAAAUUCAAUCUCUUAUUUCUAAAAAUUGCUUUUAAACCUAUUUUAUUAAUGAAAAAUAAUUUAUUUAAAAACACAUUUUUUUGGACAAUUUUAUUAAAAACAAUUUUUCAAAUUCUAUUAAAAAAAAUUCUUUUGGAUUUUUCUAAAUGCAUUUUUCUGAAUUUUUAUAAAUAAAAUAAAAAAAAUCUUUUAUUAAGCAUAAUAUUUUAAAAUUAUUAUUUUAUUAAAACAUGUUUAUUGAAUUCUUCCCCUCAUUUAAACAAAAUUUAUGAUUUGCUCGAUAUUCAAUUCUGUACAUAACAAGUAAAUAUACAUAGAUAAAUAUUUACAGAAUUAAAAACCGAAUAAGAGUAGGAAAUAAAAUAUGUACCCAAACAAGCUUACAACAAACUCAAUGCUCUAUUCACAGCUUUUCGAGUCUCACUUUGUUCCAUGAAAUUCUGUGCUCCACGUGUCAUAAAUUUGUACUCAGCUAACAUGUUUGCAGAAUGAGUCCAUGCAAAAACAAAAAUAGCACAAAUGAGUAACCAAGAAGUAAUAAGCCCAAGUCCAAAUAAGAUAAACAAUAUGCAAUUGACAUAAUUCAAAUGUCCCAAAUUAAUCACCAAUAAUAUAUCAGCUCAAGUUUCAUAUUAAUUUACCACCAACAAAUUAACUCAAAUUUCGUAUUAAUUCAACAAUUCAAAUAUCACAAACAACAAUUACUAUUAUAAUCAAAUCGAGAAAAAUGAUAAUAAUAAUAACAACAACAACAACAACAACAAUAAUAAUAAUAAUAAUAAUAAUAAUGGGAAACAGAUGAGAUGGGAAGGGGGUCGACGGCCGGAAGUGGCAUGUCGGCAGCGACUGGUUGAUGGUCCGAUCGACGAUAGUGAGGGUUGACGGAUUUUUGGGAAACAAAACAAAAUAAAAUAAAAUAAAAUAAAAUAAAAAUGGGAGGAAGAGAAUGGGAGAAAAUGGGAAGGAAAAGAAAUGGGGAAGGAAAAAAAAAAAUGGAAGAGAGGAGAUGGGAAAAUCGGCCAGUAUGUGUGUUUGGGUGGAAGAAAAAAAAAGAAAAAAAAAUGGAAGAAUAAAUGAGGGAGUCUUGGUCUGUGUAGAAAAAAAAAAGGAGGGAAGAGUUGAGAAAUUGAGAGAAGUUAGGGAUGCUCCGGUCGUGAGUGGAGUGUGGGGGAAAAAAUGAAGAAGAAUGGAAAAUGGGGGAGCUGGCCGUGAGUCCAAUGUGGUGAGUCGUGUUGGAAAAAAAAAAAAGGAAGAAGAAAAAUGGGGGGGAAAUGGGGGCAGCCGGCCUUGGGAAAUAGGGGUAAAAAAACUAAAAAAAGAAAGAGAGCUUGUGAAUGGGCCGCGGCCACCAUUUUUGAGAAUGGGGGAGAAAAUAUUAAAAAAAAAAUGAAAGAAAAAAUGUUGAAGAGUGGAGAUUGGGGGUCUUGGACGUGGGUUGAUGGGGGUAGGUGAGGGUAGGUAGGGGAGAGAGAGGAGAGAGAAAUGAAAGAAAUAAAAAAUAAAAAAAAUAAAAAUAAAAUAAUAAUAAUAGUAAUAAUAAAUAAAAUAAAAUAAAAAGUAAAAUAUAAUAAUAAUAAUAAUAAAAUAAUAUAAUAUAAAAAAUAAUAAAAAUUAAUAAAUAAAUGAUGAGUGGAUCAAAUAUAUAAUCGGAAUUUAAAAUCUAAUGAUAAAAUUUGAUUCAAAAUCAAUGUAAAAUAAAAAUGUAAUAAAUUUUAAUAUUUACAAGUACAUAUUAUUUUUAUUGUUUAGGUGACUUGUUUGACUUAUUCUUAUUAUGCACUUUCCCUUUUAUAGGCCUCCGGAGGCCUUCACACAUCUCAUUUCUCGUUCUAGAACCUUGGGUACAUGCCUUGAAAAAAUAGGUUCAUCUUAUUGAAAAAUAAGUACAUCAUCUUAAAACAUAAACACAUCAAAUUUACAUUGUAUAAAUGACUCACUUCACUUAUUAUACAUAUCCGUGAUUUAUUUAUAAGUUACAUGUUCAAGUGACUCUAAUUAUGGAACAAGCGUAAAGCAUGAGCAAGUUAUGAAUAGGUAUAUGACUCAUCAUUCAUUCUAUAGGAAAAAAGGUACAUUUUAUGAAUGUUGUGUACAGAGUACACAAGUCAUUUGAUAGUAAUUAAGACAACGUUGUGUACGAUGGAAUGGUAGUUAAAAACUCUUUUAUUUCUUUAAUACAAGAACACAGCCCACCAGGCACCAAUCCUCAGAAAGGGAUUUCAACCGGAAAGAUUAACGAUACAAUUUCAAAGAAAAAACUUAAGCAAACAGCCAAACACUCAUAUAUAUUAUCUAAUAUUAACUAAACAACACUACUCAAUAGCCCAUGAUGUUUCCCUUUUACUCUAUACCAAGCUUCUUUCUUAUCCUCACAACAAAUCCAUGUGCCCCUUCUACUCUAUACCAAACCUCUUUCUCAUCCCCAUGAUAAAGCCAUGGACCUUGUGUGGGUCUUCCAGAGAAGACGACACGCUCUCCUUUUCCAUGCACCUCUUGGUCCAAGCGAUCAACUUGGGGCACUCCGCCUCUAUGCUGAAGUUGCCAAAGGUCUCGUAUGCAUAAAACCAGCAAGAGAAGGUCACCAGGGCCACAUCCACAAACCCAAUUUUUUCACCCCCGAAGUAAGGCUUCUCUCCAAGCUCUCCUUCCAAAAGCUUGAGGCACUCUAUGAAUUCCUUCUUGCCUGUUUCCUGCUCUUCUCCUUUGGUUGACCAUAUCUUCCCUCCAA
rnacentral:lncRNA from 1 species